rnacentral:lncRNA from 1 species
AUGUUUACCCAUUCAUUGAAGGAUUCGGUUUCAGUGUUCGUGUAACCGCCAUCCUCCACAUAAACUCCAUUAUCUGACUUUGAUGAGAAGAAGUCAGGAGUGGUCUGUCCAGUUUCAUCAGGAGAGUACUUAUUCUGAAAAUCCCUCCAUGAAUUGAACUGGCCGUCUACCUGCUCACUGUCAAAUUGAGAAUUCAAUAAACCACUACCAUAACUAGAACCAUUAGAACAUGAUGAUUCCUGUUCUGGAUAAACUGGUGACUGCAGUGCCGAGAAAGAGGCAUCAUUCAGCCCAGUAUAGCCACCACCCUGUGGAUUGAAUUCCAAAAGUUGUCGAGCUUCUGCCUCAACAGAAUUUUCGACAAUAUUUUCGGAAACACGAUUUCUAGAAUGAGAAAUCGAAUGGUCUCUUGCUUGAACUUCAGAGACCAAAACACCAUUUUCUGUAACAUGAUUGUUAUUAGAAACCAAAUCUUCUUUUCUUGUAAAAUGAUUUCUAUUAGUAUCUUCUGCAAGAUGAUUUCUUUUAGAAGUCAAAUUUUGACUAGAUUGAUCUUGAUCACUAAUGGAAACACCAAGCUUCUGAUCCCGUUUUCUUUUAGAAGUCAAAUUUUGACUAGGUUGAUCUUUAUCACUCGUGGAAACACCAAGCUUCUUAGCCUGUUUCCUUUUAGCGGAAACAACACCAAACUUCAUCUGAUCCCGUUUUCUUUCUAGGCGACACACAACAAAGUCCUUCUACAAUCAACACAGCAGAAAUAGAAAAAGUUCACCAAUUGACUGCUGUAUUAUCAAUUAUUUUUCACGAAAAUAAACAGAGUACUUACAACACAUACGCAAUUCUAAAACAGAAACUGAUACCUUAUAAACAGGGUCAUCUUCAACAGCUAUUUCGUGCAUAACCCACUCAGUCUUAGCUUUCUUGGAGGCAGAAUCAUGGCGGGAGAAAGACAAAAUCCUUUUGGUACCAAUCACUUCGGUACUGUAUUUUCGCUUGAUUUUAGAACCAUUGCCCGUCUUUUUCCAGGUUCCUUCCUUUGUUCCUCUAUUUACCCGUUUACUCUUGGCAUACUUGUAAUCAGGCUCACAGAAAAAGUACCACACCUCUUCCUCAGACUGAAUCUCAGAAUGGCCUGCAUCGCAGCAAAUGAUUCCAUCAAUUUCUGAAUUUUAGUUACUAAACUAAUUAAUCUUGAACAGACAUCGCGUUGAGUACUUGAUUGGCACGAUUACUUACAGGGUAGCUCCCAGGGCUCAAAGCCGUAGAAAUCAAUUUCCUUGAUCGUACGGACGGAGAAACCAGGAUCAAGUCUCUUCAUCUUCAGGAGACGAAUGAUUUCUUCAUCAGUUGGGUAGAAUCUGAACCCUACGAGACUGUUCAUUUCUGAUUCAGCACCCAGGUGAAACAUAGAGUAAUACUGAGAGAGUGAAAGCUUCUUCUGUCCAAUUUGGUCUGCGAAAACUAGAAAGAGUCAGUGGGCAAUAUAAUUUCUACUCGAUUGCUACAGAACAAGUUGAAAUAAUGAGUGUCCUGAUAUCAAGGUUCGUGGAACUAAUGGGUAUUGCUAUCAUCUUUGUAAAAUGUAGAGUUAGUAUGUUUUUUUAAAAAAAUUAAUAAAUCUCUUUUCCUUUUUUAACAACUUUAGUUCUUUUAAUAAUGUCAUUUGAAAAAUGUGUCUUCCUUUGUAAAGCUCUCUCUCUCGAAUAGAGAGGCUGGAAUGGAAGUAUUGAGGGGUCAUAAGGACCCGGGUGUUCACUCCUUGGGAGUGUAAAGUAGAUCAUUAUCUUUAGUUUUUUUAGCUAUAGUGCGUUUGGAUAGGCUCUCUGGGGAAGCAGAGAGUAUUCUCGGAGGAAAGGAUUCGUAGUCAUAGUUGUGUGCUCACCCUCUUUCAUUAGCUGCCAUGGAUACAGACGAAUUAAUUCGAAAAUGCAAAGCAAUAACUAUUCGAGAGGAAGAUAAAGCUAGAGUGACGAUGGAGGUGGACGUGAAAACUAAGAAAGCAGGAAUGCUAGCAAGAUGUCUAAUGGGUAAAGUCCUUCUCUCGAGAGGAGUUAAUAAAGAAGGGCUCAAGGGCUGCGUUACAGCAAGUGUGGAGAACGUUCAAAGAAGUCNNNNNNNNNNNNNNNNNNNNNNNNNNNNNNNNNNNNNNNNNNNNNNNNNNNNNNNNNNNNNNNNNNNNNNNNNNNNNNNNNNNNNNNNNNNNNNNNNNNNACUAGAGCUUAAUAAACUUGAUCAUUUCCCGCCAACAACAGGGGCCAAGAUGACCAAAGAGCUUUUGAUGCUGGAAGACAUGGAAGUCAUGGAUUCAAACAUUGCACAAGUAUCGGCGGAGGCUGGCAGUCAGCCCCGCCGAAAAUCAUGAAAAUUAUCAGUUGGAACGUUCGGGGUUUGGGGAAUCCCCGAGCGUUUCAAGCCUUGAAAAAAAUCCUCCUUUUGCAUGGUGCUCAAAUUAUUUUUUUGUGCGAGACAAAGGUUUCGGUUUUGCAAAUGAACGGGAUUGCGAAUAAGCUACAUUUUGAUAAUUUCUUCGCGGUAAACUGUAGUGGUAGAGGUGGAGGCUUAGCGUUGCUCUGGAGCUCAGAAAGUAGGGUGCAAAUCAAGUCUUUCAGCACGCACCAUAUCGAUGCUGAAAUACUAACGACAUCUGGUAGACGAAUGAGGAUUACAGGAGUGUAUAGUCAUCCAGAAAUGGGGCAAAAAAAGCAUACUUGGACGCUUCUAAGACGGCUGGCAGGUUUGUCUUUUAGCCCUUGGCUGUGUUUUGGUGAUUUUAAUGAGGUUUUGCAUCCGGGUGAGAAAAGGGGGGGGGGGGAAAUGCUAGGAAUGUGAAUUUAAUCAAUGAUUUUAGCGAAGCUUUGAGGGAUUGUGUUUUAAAGGAUGUUGGGUUUAAGGGGUAUCCGUUUACGUGGAGUAAUGGGAGAUAUGGGUAGGGUUUUGUGGAAGAAAGGUUAGAUAGAUUUGUUUGUAAUAAAGAGUGGAGUGAAAUUUUUGUGGACGGUGAAGCUAGCAACCUUGACACAUGGUUUUCGGAUCACUGCCCUGUGUUGAUGGAAGUUAAAGAGAGGAAUGAGGGAAUGAUUCAUGAUGGAAGGCACCGUUCAAGAAUCCAUUACAAGGAUAUGUGGAGCUCGUAUGAUGAAUGUAAGGAAAUCAUUAAGGAAGAAUGGAGGCUGUUCGGCAAUUGGAGGAGUGAAAAUCCAGUGCAUGUGUUUUGGAACUCAGCGAAAAAAUCGAUGGCUCGGCUGUUAUAUUGGAGCAAGGGGGAAUUUAGAAGGCGGGAGAAGAAAUUAGAGGAGCUGAGGGUGCAGCUGCGGGGUCUAAAGCUUAGGAAGGUGCAAUUUGAAAAUUGAGUAGAAAUUAAGAAAGUGGAGAAGCAAAUUCAAAACAUCCUCAUCAAGGAAGAAAUCUAUUGGAAGCAGCGCUCAAGAGCGGAUUGGCUCAAGGAAGGUGACAAGAAUACAAAGUUUUUUUCACAACAAGGCGUCGUCGAGGAAGAAGAAAACCAGAAUAUGGGGGAUAGAGGACACCUCGGGAAGAUGGACUGAGAAGCCAAAAGAGAUAGAGCAGGAAUUUUGCAGCUAUUUCAACAAUCUUUUCGCAACAACUCAACCAAGUAAAGAGCAAAUCUCAGCAGCCAUGGAAGGCAUGACCUCGAGAGUAUCGAAAGAUAUGAAUGAGAUGUUGGAGAAGCCUUUUUCAGUUGAGGAAGUGAUGGAUGCUCUGAGCCUAAUGUGCCCAACCAAGGCUCCGGGUCCGGAUGGAUUGCCAGCAAUUUUUUACCAAAAGCAUUGGCAAAUGGUCAAAGAUGGAGUCCUUGCUACUUGCCUGCACAUCUUUAAUUCACAAGGUUCUAUAACUCCUAUCAACCAUACCUAUAUUGCAUUGAUUCCAAAAAUUAGGAAGCCUAGAAAAGUCACAUAGUUUAGGCCUAUAAGCUUGUGUAAUGUUAUCUAUAGGAUUGUUGCUAAAUCAAUUGCGAAUAGGUUUAAACAAAUUUUGCACAAGAUCAUCUCCCCAACGCAAAGUGCGUUUAUUCCUCAUAGGCUGAUAACUGACAACAUUAUAGUUGGUUAUGAAUGUCUUCACAAGAUAAGACAUUGUAAGAGCAUAAGAAAUGGCUUGGUAGCUUUAAAGCUUGAUGUGAGCAAAGCAUAUGACAGAUUGGAGUGGAGUUUUCUUGAGCAAAUUAUGAAACGCUUAGGCUUUUCCCAUCAAUGGAUCAGUUUAAUAAUGAGGUGUAUUAGUUCGGUGUCUUUUUCGGUUAUCAUUAAUGGAUCGGUUAAGGGCUUUAUCAAACCUCAAAGAGGGUUAAGGCAAGGUUGUCCCAUUUCCCCGUAUUUGUUUAUUACUUGUGCAGAGGCCUUUUCCUCCCUGUUGCAACAAGCUGAACAGCAAGACUUAUACAUGGGUUGUCUUUUGGAAAAGAGUUGAAGAUCUCGCAUCUAUUAUUUGCGGAUGACAGUCUGAUUUUUUGCAGAGCUUCAGUUGCCGAUUGCCAAAAACUGAAGAUGAUCUUGGACUGUUACUCUUUGGCAUCUGGGCAAAUAUUUAACUUCGAGAAAUCCUCCCUCUUUCUUAGUGGCAACGUCCAGCAAGCACAAGCUUCUGCAAUUGGAAACAUAUUUCAUCUCAACAUUGUGUCCAAGUAUGAAAACUACCUAGGCCUUCCUGCUAUGGUUGGGAGAAAGAGAAGUGGUUUCUUCAAUGACAUCAAGCUGAAGGUUCUUAACAAAAUCUCAAGUUGGCAGCAUAAAUUUUUCUCUUGUGGGGGCAAAGAGGUGUUGAUUAAAGCAGCUGUGCAAGCCAUUCCAGCAUUCGCUAUGAGUGUGUUUAAGAUUCCGUUGGGGAUUUGUGAAGACAUUCAAAGAAUAGUGGGCAAUUUCUGGUGGGGAUCCAGCAGGGAGAGACGAAGUAUUCAUUGGUCGAAAUGGGAGAAAAUGAGUCAGGCCAAGUGUAAGGGGGGUAUGGGAUUUCGGGAUUUUGCAAGUUUCAACCAAGCUCUAUUAGCGAAGCAAGGCUGGAGAAUUCAGCAAUGCCCCGAUUCUCUGGUGGCUAGGGUCCUGCAAGCGCGGUACUUCCACUCAUCCAAUUUUUUGAAUGCGAAGAUUGGCUCUAAUCCUUCGUAUAUUUGGAGGAGUAUUUUGUGGGGAAGACAAAUCAUUUGUGGGGGCUCUCGAUGGAGAAUUGGAAAUGGUCAAGAUGUCCAUAUACAUAAGGCUAACUGGAUUCCAAAACCUUUUACUUUCAAGCCUGUGAUUAAGCCAACAAUGCCUAGUGAGGCUCUAGUUUCAGAGUUAAUCAAUGGUGAGAACUGUUGGGAUGAGGAGCUGAUAUACAAGCAUUUUGAUAAGAUGGAUGCUGAUGUAAUAACUCAAAUUCCGCUGCCGAGAAGAUUAAGGGAGGAUGAACUCAUUUGGCAUUUUGGAAAGAGUGGCCAAUAUACUGUCAAAAGCGGUUACCAGAGAGCACUGAAAAUUAGAUUUCCAGCCAUGCCUUCAAGCUCGGAGUCUUCGAAAAAUGAGUGGAAUAUCAUUUGGUCUCUUGCUCUGCCAAAGAAGAUCAGAAUAUUUGUUUGGAGGGCAGCCAAAAACUUGCUUCCUUCAGCUGAGAAUUUGUGGAAGAGGAAGAUUGUCCAAGAGCCUACCUGCCAGCUUUGUAAAAUGGGAAUAGAGAAUGUGUUUCAUGCCUUAGUUGAUUGUAAAGCAGCCAAGAAGGUUUGGAGAUUAUCCCUUUUUUAUAUUGAUAUUCAAGCAGCCCCUGGGCAGGAUAUUUUGAGCUUGUUGCAUGGAGUGAAAAGAAUGAGAAGCAAUGCUGAUGUAGAUUUGUUUGCCGUGAUGCUCUGGGCGAAGUGGAAUGCAAGGAACCAAUGGCUGUUCAAAGGCAAGCGAGAGAACCCCCAAUCUGUUGUGGCUAAAGCUGAAGCUGUGAUGGAGGCUUAUAAGAGAGUGCAGCCUUCAGCUGAUGUAAGCCAUGGAAAGCAGCAGAAAGUGGCUCAGCUGGGAUGGAAUCCCCCUCAAGAAGGGUUUGUUAAGAUCAACACUGAUGCCGCUACCAACUCAGAAAAGAAUCUUGUUGGGCUGGGGGCUGUGAUUAGAGAUGAAAAGGGGCAAGUGACAGCAACUGCGAUCAAGGUUUCAAAAUUCCAUGGAAGUGUAGCUUAUGCUGAGGCAGAAGCUAUGGAAUGGGGCUUGCAGGUGGCAAAAGAUGCGCAUGUGAAAGAUGUAAUUAUGGAGUCAGAUUCGCAAGAAGUAGUUAGCUUAGUAAACAACAGACAGGGCAGCAGAUCCGAGAUCUAUUGGGUAGUAUUGGAAAUUCAGAAAUUGAAAGAAAGCUUCGAUCAUGUUAGUUGUGUGUAUACACAUAGAUCUUGCAAUGCCAUUGCCCAUUCUCUAGUUAAAAUAGCUUUAGAGAAAUGCGAAACUGUUGUAUGGAAGGGUUCCUACCCUCUACAAGUCAUGUAUUUGUUAUCUUCUCUGGAUUAAUAAAAAUUUCUUUUCAAAAAAAAAAAUAAUGUCAUUUGAAAAGAAAUAAAGCUGGCCGAGAGAUCGGGUUGGAUUAUUUACACUCUAAAUAUUAUUUUUAAUUUUUUUAAAAUUUUAAAAUAUAAUUACUUAAGCUUUUUAAAUUAGUUAACUUUAUUUAUUUAUAAAAUUAACAAAAUUAUUUAGCGCACUAUUUUUUAAGAGAUUUGACAUAUGCUUACAAUAAUAUAAUUCACCAACUGGUGUCUUUCAAGAACAGGUUCAUCUGAUAUGAUUGAUCUUUAGCUUUGCAAGUUCUUCUGAUAUAGGAGAUUUUUGCGGAUUAGCUCAAGACAAGUUUGAUCCGAGGUACAUACAAGUGAAGGUAAAGUUGAUGGGUGGAAAAGCAAUUGCCAUGAUCUCACAAUGAAAGAAACCACUCUUCCCCUUUUUACCAUCCAUGGACAGUCUUGCAUUAGGUCUAUGAACCAUUCGUACGAGUACUAUAAACAAGAAUUCAAUUGGUAUGUUUAACAAGCUGAUGAAGAUUCCAAGACUUGGCCAUAUGCCACACAUAGACAUCAAAUACAGACCAAGUGGAUUAUCCAGGUACUACAAACAACAUUAUUUCCUGGAGGACUUGAUUGUUGUUUAAAUGUGCUACUUAAUUAAUAUUCUCAGUAGUUCAUUUACCGUUUACCCACGCCCAUUUCUUCCCUUGUAGGUGAGCAGUUGAUAUAUAAUUUGUUAGUGGUUAUUGCGCCAAUAGGAAGCGUUUCAUGGCUUAGGCUCAAGUCCAUUGAUCUAAAGAACAUAUGCAUGUAGUAAAUUAAUCAAACAUAACAACAUAGCACUAUAUUCCCAUUAAACAAGCACCAACUUUCAUGAACUAGGUAACACAAUCACAUAUAGAAAUAACUAUUUUCUAAUAUAUGUAACACAGCGGGAAGUACAUUCCUCAUGCAUGAAGCAUGAUCAAAAUUUCAACAACAAUAUUCUCCACUAGCUAGCGGAGACUGAAGAGGGCAGGAUGAGCAAGUUCAGUUUCUACAAGAGGGUAUUUGUCAUGGAUAGCCCCCAUUGUGAAUUCACAUCUUCCUGCUGCUCGCAGCCGUUAAAUUGAAAAUUCAGCGCAUGACAGUCAUUACUGAAGCCAUCAGAACAUCUCUAUUCUAGUGAUUCCAGUGGGAAUCCAUUACAACCGUAGAGAGCAUCAAAUUGAGCAAACACCAAAGGUUCUUCCUAAAACCAACGUAGGAAGAAACACAAUUUCGAUACGUAUUCCUCAUGCACGAAAUAUAUAAAUUAGCAUUUGAAAUUGUUUAUAUAGCAAUCGUUCACACCCCUAAAAAAGGUUUGUUCUGCAACUUGAUCUCUAAAAUAAGAAAUCAAAUGGUAAUAGGCAAUUGUAGAGAUUCUACCUGAAUUAACAUUGGACAAAUAGACAUUAGCUCUGUAUGUAUAUAUUUCUAGUGCAUUAGAGAUAUUAUGCUUGCUUUUUCUUGCCAUUGGAAAAGUAUUUUCUGCAACAUGAUUUCUACAGUACAAAUUUAAAUUGCGACUUGGUAACAGUUGGGAUUCUUCCUGAAAUUAGAGCCAAUGGCAAAGUAGCAUUAGUCCCAAAAACAGUUUCUGCUACACCACGUUCAUAAGUUGAUAUUUCAUAUCUGCCACAAGUUUUGUUCUUUCUCACCUUUGGAAAAGUAUUUUCUGCAACAUGAUUUCUGAAGCACAGACCAUGAACAAAGCUUUAUUAGUUCUGGAUACGUUUAUAAUAUAUAUAUAAGUUGAUUUUGAAAAAUGCCCAAAUUCAAACUUUUUCUCACCACUGAAAAUUUUUCUUUUUUCUGCAACAUGAUUUCUGGAAUCAAAACCAAAUGAUGACUUGAUAGUAGCUGCAAUUCUUCCUGAAAUAAGAACCGUAAAUAGCAUUAGUUCCAAAUAUAUUUCUUAUGCACUACAUUCAUUAGUUGGUAUAAAAAGCUGUCAACAACACAUAUUCUUUCUCACCUUUGAACUAAAACAUCUAUUUUCUGCAACACGAUUUCUACACUUAUAAGUCAUACUAUGAGCUGUUAAUUGUUCACAUUCUACCUGAUGUAAAAGAUAAAUAAGAUUUCUAGAAUCAAUAUUUGGCAGUGGUCGACCUUCUACCUAAAAUAACAACUAAAAUGGCAACGAAGUAAUAAUUUCACGUGGGAGUCUCAUACGACAAAAAUGGAUAACAUGUUGAAAUUAUCCCUUCGGCAUGCCCUAUGUCACCCAUGAAUAUCCUUUUUCAACAUGAUUUCUAAAAUUAGAAAUGAUUGGUGACUCGAUUGACCAUCAUCACAUUUUGAAGUUUUAGCCUCGUUAAUUUUUUAUUUUUUCUUUCUAAGAGGCAAAUAACAAAUUCCCUUCACACAAAUUAAAGUUGUAAAGAGUAUGAGCUCAAAAAUUUAGAAUGUUAACCAUCAAUUUUUAUUCCGGCAAAGAGAGAUUUUUCAUUGAAAUUUCCUGUUGUGAGAGCCAAAAUCCAGAAAAUAAAUAAGCAAGACAGUCACCUUGUCAACUUUACCUGAAAUGAAACCCGUACACGACGCAUUCUGCUCUGUGCUUCUUAUCUGUUUGGACAUAGAAAUCAGGGUCAAGUCUCCUCUUGUUCAGAAGAAGCUUGAUGAUUUCUUCUUCAUCUGGUGGAUGGAAUCUGAAUAAUCUGAAAACGAGAGAGCCCAUCUUUUAGAUUUGAUUCAAAGUGCUUGAGGCCUAGCCAGCUGUCUCUCAUGAUAAAAAUUUGCUCUGCACGAUGAGACGGGUUCACCGUUUAUUUAUACAUACACUAGCUUGAAGCUUGGUGAUUGGUCGAUGAAACGUCAAGGGGCAGUUGAUGAUGUGUCGCGAUAGUUUUGUUUUCACGCGAGCAAAAUGUGUUAACAUCGUACGGUCAGCGAUCCACUUACAGGGUGUCUCCUUCUUUUGGAAGGAAUGAAAGGAAAUAAAGACACGCGUCUCCCCUUCCUUUACAAGUUGUCUGCUAAUUUCUAAUAAUACUAGAAGCUUCUACUUCUUUUACAAGGAGUCAAUAAUUCACGUCAGCAUAGGACUCAAGGGCCAUUUAAUCUGAUGUGGCAAAAUGUGGCAGAUGACUCAGCUUGUGCUUGAAACCGACUUGAGCAAAGGUUAAGAUUAUUUAGUCUUUUUUUAUUUUUAAGGGAAGUGGGCAAAACUCAAAUACUUUUUUAUUUUUUUCCCUUAUCAUCCUUAAGGAUUGAAUCCGAGUGGUUCGGAACUAUAAGAUUCUUAAUGUUACCGAUCCGACUACGCCCUUAAGGGCUAAGAUUAUUUAGUUAGUAGAGGUUUUGAUUGACUUUUAAAAAUCUCUUUAAAAUACAGUUUUGUUAGGUCAGUGCUUGUAUUUUGGUGGUAAGAAAAAAUAGUAUUUUUGGGAGUAAAUUAGUAAUUUUUUAAAAUAUAUUUUAAAAAAGUGUUUUCAAAAUUGAUUUUUUUUUAAAUCUUAAGAGGGUUCUUAAGAGAGCUAAGAUGACAUUAAGUAGGAGUGCGCAACCCUAUAGACAUCAUUGUUUAAUAUAUUAAUCAUAUUAGAAGGGAUAGAUUAAAAGCAAUGUAAACCCAAAAGAAAAAAAAAACCGUAGGACGCAUGGAAAUUUGCUGCUGCAUUGGCUUCCCUGUAGAUGUGAUCCACUUUAAUCAACCAAUCAUGGCGGAAGAGAUUCUUGAUGGCUUGAAUGAGAGUAAAGUGUUCAUUGACAGGAGUGUUCGAGCUAGAGACUAAUUGCAUAAUGUACUUACUGUCAAUUUCCACUUGAACCGUACGAAAACCAUAUUGUCAAGCGAUGGAUAGCCCGUGAAAUAAACCCCAUAGUUCUGCUGAAGUCAUUAAGCAAACACCCAAGUUAACACUGUAACCUGCCAGCCAAAUACCUCUGUAAUCACAUAUUAGUCCACCAGCUCCUGCAUUGCCUGAAGAUUUCUUGGCACCAUCUGUAUUUAAUUUCACCCACGGCCAAAGAGGAGCGGUCCAGCAGAUCCAUCUCUCGACACGAGCCAUGCCAGCAGUAAGAGAACACAAAUUACUUCUUUGAAUUUCAGCUGCCCUAACUUUGAUAUCCAUUGCAAUAUUAUUGCUCUCCCAGAAAGCCUUGGUGAAAAUAAAUUGAUUGCGCCAAAACCAAAGCUGCCAAAUAGCAAUGCCAAAGGUGACACGCCAAAGGUUGCCACCUGGAAAAUUGUUCAAAUCCUGCAAAUUCUUUGACAUCCAGUCCGCAAGGUUAGCUUCGAAAAAAUGCUGAUGAUUAUGGCCCCGAAGUAACGGAAACCAAACCGCUUUAGAGAAAGGAUAGUCACAGAGGACGUGAAUCGUAUUCUCCAAUCCAUAUCCACACCUCUCACAAGGUAGAUCAAUGUUCAAAGGCGUGACACUAAUUCUCCUCGAGUCUUCAAGCGAUUGUGAAGCACUAACCAAAUGAAAAUCUUUACACUCUGCGGGCCCUUCCAUGACCAAGCCAACUGCCAGAAAUUAUCUCUUUCAUUCCAUUGCGACUGAGCCAAAAGAUUAUACGCUGAUUUAACUGUAAAAUUUCCUUGUGAUGAAGCUGCCCAGUAGACUUGGUCUACACCAUUUCCAGCCGAAGGGGGAUAAAUUGAAGCAAUUCACAUCACUACAUUAUAGAGUAGAAGGUGACUGAAUUUUGGCCAAUUCCAAGAACCGUCUGUGGACACAAAAGAACCAACAUACAAAUCACUGAGAUCAAGAGGGAUCGGCUGCAAGGCAAAACCCACAAGAGGGUAAAAUGUUGUUGCCCAACAGUCCCACCAAAAUUUGAUUUUCCUACUAUUACCAACAUUCCAAUGUAAUCCCCGCUUAGCAUGAUCCCAAACUCGACCCACAGAUUUCCACAAAUGAGAGCCGUAUCAAGUGGGAAUAGAAUAUGGAAUGUCUGAGCAAGAAACUCCGUAUUUUGUAGCUAACACUUGGACACAAAGCUUAUCAGGUUUAGUAAUUAAAUUCCAAGCAAUCUUCAACAACAAAGCUUCAUUCAUAAUGUCCAGCCUUUUGAAACCUAGGCCACCAGCCAAUUUCGGUUGGCAUAUAUUAUGCCAACUAAUUAAACUCAUUUUAUGCAGAUCAUCAUUUCCACUCCACAAGAAACGUCUACAAAUUUGAUCAAGUUUAGAUUUGAUACUAACCAGCAAAUUCGUAGUUUGCAUAGCAUAAAUGGGAAUUGCUUGGAGGACGAAUUGAGUGAGAGUAAUCUGCCCUGCAAGAGAUAGUUGAGAAGCAACCCAUCCCGAAAGUCGUUGAUCCACUUUAUCUAGAAUCCCCUAGUAAGUUUGCUUAGUAACACGGCGGUACAGCAAUGGCAUGCCUAAGUACUUGCCCAAAUCUUUUGUGACUACAUACCCCAACUUGCGCCCCAAUCUGCCGGCAACAUCAACUGGUAGUGUCGUUAAGGUGCACCAAAUUUAAAAUCUUACCACUAAUAUAAAUAAUUAGUACAGAGCGAGUAAGGAUCGAUCCCACAGAGACUAUGCUAAUUAUAUUUAUUAUUAACUCCAAAGCAAGAUUUAAAAUAAAAUAAUAGUAAUAAUAAUAAUAAUAAUAAUAGUAAUAAUAAUAUAAAUUAAUCUAACUAACAAAAGUGCCAAUUAAAAAUAAAAGGGGGGUUUAUGAAUUUUUAACUAAAUAGUAAGAAAUAAAUAAAUUAAAAUUACGAACAAGAAUUUAAUAAAAACUCUAAUUAAAUGAGAAAGAAAGAAUAAUGAUGAAAACUUUGGUUAAAUGAUCAUUCGCCACCACCAAACAUGAACAUAAUAUAUCAAUUCUAUUAUCAAUUUAUAUUAAAACUAUCAACCAUAGACAACAAUAAGCUCUGUUAGUCUCAAUCUUUCAUUAGUGUGUCGUUAGGUAAAAUAAGCUCUUCACCUAAUCUCUAACCAUUAAAUAAUUUAAAACAAGCUCUUUAAAUUUAAGAUAAUGGAAGCAUUAAACAAAGAAAGAUAUUAGGUUGAUCUAGGCAAUAAACACACAAGCUCGGAUUAUUUAACCUAUGUUAUGUUCUCCAAUUGAAAUCAUUAAUUCCAACCCGCUACUAAUGAUUAAAAUAUCAAGACAAUUACGGAUCAAGAAUUUUAAUCUAACAAUAAAAUUUAUUCAAGUCCUAUCUAAUUAGCCACUCAAACAAAACAAGAAUAAACCAUGAACAUUAAUUAUAGAAGAACAUAAACAAUCUCAAUUAAAUAAAUUGAAUGGUAGAAUUUAAAUUUAAUUGCAUAGCAUGUUUAGGGUUUUGAAUUCACCCUCAACCAAAUAAAAAUUUAGCCUAACAUAAUUGAAUUGGAAAUAAGAAAAUUGACAAAACCAAUCAUAGAGAUUAAUUCAAACGGCUGCCUUUUUCUUCAAUUUAAUUCCGGCCGCUGAUUUUUUUCUUCUUCUUGCAGCUGUUGAUUUUCCUCUUGCUGCCGAAUUGGAUCUGCCCUGCUCUUUUUUUCUGUCCAGCGGCUGCAAUCUCCUUUUAUAAUGUUAGUUGACCGAAUUCUUCUCCAACAAGAAUAAAGAAAUCCUUUUUCAAUUCUAAUUGAAAUCCUUCUCCAAUUUAACGCCACCAAAAGCCAUUAAUUCCAACUUUUGAAAGUCAAUUGCGGGCCCGUUUAAAUGCUUUCCACUUUUGCAAUGCCAUGCACGUGUACUCCAAUUGCCAAUUGAAAAAAAUUAAAUCUUUUAAUUAUUCAACAUUUCUCAAUUGGAUUAAUUGCUUUGAUUUCUUCCACUCGGUUUUAUCAAUUUUUGACUGUAUUUUUAUCUUCCAAUUUAAUCUUUAUUCCUUCUCAAUUUGAACUUCUUCAUGCCCUUUUUAUUCAUAAUCUCCAAUUAAUUCCCUAUUCAAUAAAAUAAUUUAAUUAAUUAAAAAUAACAAAUAAAAAUAACUAGUAAUUAAAUAAUUAAGGGUAAAAUAUGUAUAAUUUAAAAAUUAACUAAAAUAACUAGAAUAUUUAAGAUCAAAACAAGAAAAAGAUGGAGAAAUUAAUAGUAAAAUAUAUGAAAAAUAUGCACUUAUCAUCAACAAACACAUUUUUGGAAAAAUAAACCUAGGUCUUAGAUUUAUUCACCUUUGCGCUAGAGCACAAACAAAAUUCUUCCAAGACCGAAUUGAUGAAAUAAGCUUGCUCACAGAGGCCUCGGCAAGGAGUAAAAGAUCAUCAGCAAAAAAUAAGUGGCUUAGGGGAGUACCCAUCUGAGAUAAACCAAAUAGGCUUCCAUUGAUCUUGCUGAAUUGAGCAAUAAAUCCCAUGACUUAGUCUCUUGAUACAAAGCACAAAAAUAUAGGGAGACAAAGGAUCACCCUGCCAUACACCUUUGCUAGGAGAAAAAUCAUCAGUUAAUUCACUAUUCCAUAAAAUGUUCAUACAGUUAGAAGUAAGGCAUUCCAUUAUUAAGCGAACAAGGUCCAAUGGCAAAGAGAGCUCCAUUAAAGUCUUAUGGAUAAAAUUCCAACUUAAUCUAUCAUACGCUUUCUCCAGAUCAACCUUUGUAGCCAUGAAACCUUUUUUACCCAUCUUUCGUCUCAUAAAAUGAACAAUGAUGAUGUUUUAGUGAUAUGUCGGCCAGGGACAAAGCUUGUCUGAUGGGGACCAACGAGAUCGAGGAGUAAAACUUGAAGUCUAUUCACAAUAAACUUGAUAGGGCGAUACAUCUUAAAAGAUAUAGGGUGUUUAGUCUUUGGGAUGAGGAUGAAGAGGGUUUUAUUAACUUCUCUAGGGAUACAAUGCGAAGUGAAUACUUCCUUUAUGCCAGCACAGAAAGAGUCACCAACAAUAUGCCACUGAGAUUGAUAAAAUCCAGCAGGAAAGCCAUCGACUCCAGGGGCUUUGAGAGGGCUCAUUUGAAAAACAGCCUGACGAAUUUCCUCAUUAUCAAUCGGAGUAGCAAGAUUUGCCAAGCAAAGCUGAUCAAUUUGAGGAAAACACCCUUGCACAUAAUAUGGACAGUAGGUGUCUUGAUCAGAUUUAUAUAAAGUAGAGAAGAAUGACACGACAUGAUAUUUAAUAUCCUGUGUAUUAUAAAGCCAAGUACCUCCAUCAUCCUUAAUAGUAGUGAUGCGAUUACGAGCCCUCCUUCUAAUGGUUUUUUUUUUUAUGAAAAAAAGAGGUAUUCUGAUCCCUGUAAUUAAUCCAGUCUCUACAGGAUUUUUGAUACCAUAAUAACUCCUCUUGAGAUGGAACUUCUUUUAACUUUUUUUUUUAAUUUGCCUCAAGACGAUACAAACUACGGAAAGGCUGGCGCUCCAAAGCCUGCUGAAUCCCACCAAUUCGAGCUAAUAGUUCUUUUUUCCGUUUAAAGAUAUUGCCAAAAACUUCUCUAUUCUAAGUAACCACUUUAUUUGUGAAGAUAGAGGCUACCUAGGAAUAAGGAGUAUUUUUUUGCCAGCUAUCCUGCAUAAAAGCCCCAAACCGUUUGUCAGUCAUCCAAGUAGCUAGAAAGCGAAAAGGCUUGGUGCUCCCCAUGCAUCUAGAAUUGCGCCCAAAGCGAACCAAAAUCGGUAUGUGGUCAGAUUCAAUUCGUGGCAAAUAAGUAACCGAAUAACUAUCAAAUUUGAGAAUCCACUCUUGAUUACUCAUAGCGCGGUCAAGAUGUUUUGAAAGAUUCCCACAUGAACAAGUGAAUCGGGGGCCACUGAACUACAAGUCAACCAUUUGUUUAGCAUGAUACCGUGAUUUGAAAUUUGGACAAACACCCGUGCUCAAUUAAGAACCCCCCACAUUUUUCCUCAGCAUACAAUAUUGAAUUGAAAUCACCCCCCACAAUCCAAGGAUCAUGCAUCGAAUCCGCAAUACAAUUCAAAUGGCGCCAAAGAUCACGACAUCCAGUUGAAUUGGGGCUCGCAUAGACUGUUGUGACCCAAGAUUGGAAAACAUUCUGGACACUGAUUUUCAAAUGAAUAAAUUGGUUAUGAUUUAAGACAUUCUCAACGUCAAAAAAAUUCCUCCAUAAGAUCCAAAUGCCUCAAGAGAACCCAAUAGCCUCCACUCAAUGUGAGCGGUCAAAGCCACUUUUUUUUAAUAAAGUCAUCUGCUUUCUUACCACUGAUUCUGGGCUCUAACGUCGCAACAAUGGUAUGAUUGUAGCUUUUAACUAAAGUAGCAAAAACACGUCGAAAGUUUGGGGACCCCGCCCCUUGGACAUUCUAGAAAAGGAUUGAAAUCGUCAUAAAAUAUAUAUAUACAAAGAAGGUGAGUAUGAGCUGCUUACAUACUGAGCCCUAAAACCGCUCCUUCAUGCAUGCCAGGAGUUUCAUUAACAACAUUGUUUUCAUCAUCAAACAUCGUGUCUUCACUUACAUGCCUGAAUACAAGUUUAGGGUCACUAGCAUAGUUUGCCAUUGUAUUAACUUCCCUUUCAUCCUUAUCAUCGGGAGGAUUAGCUAGCUGUUUUGGGUAGCGUUGCUGUUCAGGGUUGGCAGAAUCUUUUCCACUUGAGCAACCCGGCUAGUUGCCCAUCAUCGCAUGGUUUUUUUUAUGGGAAAGGUCACUGUUGUAUGGUUAUGAGGAUCAAAGAUUGUCAAGUGAAAGUAGGUUCAACGGGCAAACAAGGAGUAUGUCCUGAUGGGUUCGGGAUAGGGAUGUGUGUAUUGUGGGAAAAAGGUUCUAGUAACAUGGGGGAGUAGGUUUACAUGCAUGGAAGUGAAAGUUUUGGAGUUCGGUUGCCUAAGUCGUGAAAGUUGUGCUUUAGCCUCUUGUUUACCUUUAGAAAGGUGGUUAUGGGGUUUUAGGGUAGUAAAGGUUUUCAAAGUAGGGUUCCUUCAGGCGUUAAAGUGGUCAGUAACGGAUGCAGUUGGUCAUUGGGGAGGGAUAAAUGAAGGGUUCUGAACAGCAACUUCCACCACGGCAUUUGUGUCGAGAUCAUCAAAUAAGCAGAAAAACGGGAGGCAGUAUUAAAGUUAUUCUACUGAUUCCUCUCUAAAUCAGAAAUGUUCUCCUUGUCCACUACUACUCAGUUCUCCCUUUCCGUGUCACAACCAUCCAUGGACCAAAUUUCUCCUUAUUGUUAUUUGCCAUAGCUGGAGCACCAUCCUUAUCAACUGCCACAUUAAUUAGAGGAAUGCUCUCAGAGUUACCAUCGUUAGCCCUAUUCAGAUUUUCUUUGUCGGGGCAAGCGAUGCUAUUGUGGCCAUAUUUACCACAUUGGUAACAGAUAACUAACAAACCUUCGUAUUCAACCUUUUGGACCUCAUCCAAAUUAAACUAAGACACCAAAGGUUGAGACAAAGAAAUGCGGACAUCAAUCCUAGCAAACUUUCCCCUCUCCCGUAAUUCGGUAUGAUAAUCAAUAUUGAUAACAGUACCCACUAGUUGUCCAACCUUUCGUAGUAGACGCUUGUUGUAUAGAUGAAAAGCCAUACCAGUUAAACGAAUCCAGACAAUUGCAGAAUCGACAUCAGUAAUAGUGCUGUCAAACUGUGGAGUCCAAGGUUGUACUGUUAAAUAGUGCCCAAAGAUUACCUAUGGCCCCUCAGUUAGUGCAUAGACAACAUCCUCCGGUGAGUGGAGGCGAACUAAAAAAUAAUUGUUUUCAAGGUCAAUCGUUGAAAAAUCUUGUAUCAUAUGCCACAUUACCUUUAGCCGAUUACAUAGAACCUUAUAUCCAAUGCUUCUCCCCAACAACUUCACCACCACAGAGUUCAACCAAGGUUUAGUCAGUUUAUCAUGAAUUCGUUUAGAGAAUUGGAUAGUUGGCGUGGUACCAUCAUCUCCUACUAUCACAUCUCCAGGUUCAAAAUCUCAUUCUUCUUCCAUCUCAGUAUCAGCAAAAUUUAUGUCUUGGCUAAGGGCCACAAGCGCAUCCUUGAAGGAUAUCGGCAGUGGGUUAUCCUCGUUGAUGCCAUGGCUGCGAAAACGAGCCUUUUUGGUGGACCGAUCCUCAGGCAGCGGCAGUAGAAUCGUUUUCAGCAAGUUACGAUUUUCAUGGAGUUCAGAGUUUUUGGAGUUCUACGAUUUUUUCGGUUAACAAGAUUUUUACUAGGAUGGACUAAAAAUGUUUUCAAAACCAAUUUUAAUAGAUCUCGAAUGACCAAUUUUAUCUUCAAAGUAUUAUCCGUGUUCUUUUUUCAUCUCAUAUUUGGACAAUAAAGAUAAGACGAGUGCUAAGUUACGUUAACUUAGGGGGCUCCUAAAGAUAAACAUAUAGCUUUAUGGGUGAAAGCAUAAGCUUACUGGCUUUAGAUUUAGACAACUGGUCGACGAUCGUGAGUAGUACAGAAUAGCUGUAAUUAUACAUGACACAUCAUACCUCCUGGGGUACAAGAAAGAAUCUUGUACUUAUGUAUUCCAAUGAAAUGAGAUCAGCAGUACUAUGCGCAUUUUUAUCUCUUGUUUCCGCUUUAUCACUUGUUUCUUUAAAGUAAUAACCAACUUUCUGACGGAGCAACUUUAGUCAUUACUCAUUCAGAAGGAGGCGGCUCAUUUUAGCUCCUGUUUUUGCUUCUUAAUAUGUGAAAAUUAUUUAAGCUUCAAAGCCACAAUGAACCGCUUGACUAACAAUUUUGUAUUAUUUACAAGGAUGCUAGGAGAUUGUUGCAGAUGCCACAAAAAAGGAUGAACAAAAGCCUCCACAGCUUAUGAGCAAACUGCUUAUAGUGUCAUAUAUACAUGAAUGAAGACAGUUACCGUCACAAGAAUUUUUAACAUCAGAAUUUUUUUUUUCAGUUUUUACUCUGAGAAUAAAACCAAAUUCAAUUCAUAGAAGAAAAUAAAUACAUCAGUUGUGAAGGGUAUGAGCCCAUCCAUACAACAGUUUCGCAUUUCUAGUAACUAAAGAGAGGGCAAUAACAUUACAAGAUCUAUGAGCAUACUGGACACCAACAUGACCAAAGCCCUUCACAAAGUUACUGAAUUUAUGAGAUAAAACAGAAGAUUUUGAAUCUGCUGCCCUGCCUUUUGUUUACAAAAUUAACCACCUCCUGAGAGCCUGAUUCAACAAGCAAUAAUGCCAGGUAACCACCUCUUGGGAGCCUGAUUCAGCAAGCAAUAAUGCUAAGCUUGCAUACCCCACUCCACUGCUUCUGCCUCCACAAAAGAUACAUCUCCAUAAAACUUUGAAGGAUUAAUUGCAGCUGCAAUUACAUUCUCAGUUUCAUCUCGAAUAACAGCUCCCAGCCCUGGGACUUGCUUAUCUGCAUUAGCAGCUGCAUCUACAUUUACCUUAAAAUAGCCUCUGUGUUGGGGACUCCAGGUUUGCUGAUUUCCAACAGUCAAAGAUGCUGGCAAUUGAGUUCUUUUGAUCUUCCCUUAGGCCUAUCAAGUCUGAUCAGCCACUAAUGUUUUCAAUAAGCAUUCCCAUUUAACAAGCUGAACUUCUCCAAAACUUGACCGUACUCUUACAUGUAGAUAUUACAUAUGAUAGAGAGUAACUUGUGCAACCAAAUGCCCCAAACAACCACUCUCAGGGAUUAAAAAGUUUGUAAUACAAUACACUAUGAAUGAAGCAAUAUUACAUUAAUAAUAAUAUAAUAUGCUCCUGGAGGAUUUGAUUAUUCUUAACGUAUGCUACUGAAGUACUAUUAAUACUGAAAGAAUAUCGUCACCUUUGCAAUGAAGGUUUCAGAGUCCAUGUCACUGCCAUCCUCCAAGUAAACUCCUUCAUCUGACUUUGAUGAGAGGAAGUCAGAAGUGGUCUGCCCAGAUUCAUUAGGAGAGUCUUUAUUCUGAAAAUCCCUCUGUGAAUUGAACUGGUCAUCUACCUGCUCACUGUCAAAUUCAGAAUUCAAUAAACCAUUACCGCAACUAGAACCAUUAGAGUAUGACAAUUCCUGUUCUGGAUAAACUGGUGACUGCAGUGCCAAGACAGAGGCUUCAUUCAGCCCAUUAUAGCCAUCUCCCUGUGGAUUGAAUUCUGCAAAUUGUCGAGUUUCUGCCUCAACAGAAUUGUCGACAAUAUUUUCUGCAACAUGAUCUCUAGAAUCAGAAAUCGAAUGGUCUGUUGCUUGAACUUCAGAGGCCAAAACAGUAUUUUCUGCAACCCGAGUCCUAUUAGAAACCAAAUCUUCUUUUUCUACAACAUGAUUUCUAGUAGUAUCUUCUGCAAUAUGACUUCUUUUAGAAGUCAAAUUUUGACAAGAUUGAUCACCAUCAUUAGUGGAAACACCAAGCUUCUCAUCCCGUUUUCUUUUAGUGGAAACAACACCAAGCAUCUUCUUCUCCCGUUUUCUUUCAAGGCGACACACAACAAAGUCCUUCUGCAAUAAAAUAAACAGAGUAUUUUACAAUUAUUUUUCAUGAAAAUAAACAGAUUAUUUUACGAUACCUACGCAAUUCUAAAACAGUAGCUAAUACCUUAUAAUCAGGGUCAUCUUCAACAGCUAUUUCGUGCAUAACCCACUCAGUCUUAGCUUUCUUGGAAGCAGAAUCAUGGCAGGAGAAAGACAAAAUCCUUUUGGUACCAAUCACUUCGGUACUGUAUUUUCGCUUGAUUUUAGAACCAUUGCCAGUCUUUUUCCAGGUUCCUUCAUUUGUUCCUCUAUUUACCCGUCUACUCUUGGCAUACUUGUAAUCAGGCUCACAGAAAAAGUACCAUACCUCUUCCUCAGACUGAAUCUCCGAAUGGCCUGCAUCGCAGCAAAAGAUUCCAUUAAUUUCUGAAUUUUAGUUACUAAACUAAUUAAUCUUAAACAAACAUCGUGUAGCGUACUUGGUUGGAACGAUCACUUACAGGGUAGCUCCCAGGGCUCAAAGCUGUAGAAAUCAAUUUCCUUGAUCGUAUGGACAAAGAAACCAGGGUUAAGUCUCUUCUUCUUCAGGAGACGAAUGAUUUCUUCAUCAGUUGGGUAGAAUCUGAACCCCACGAGACUGUUCAUUUCUGAGUCAGCACCAAGGUGAAACAUAGAGUAAUAGUGAGAGAGUAGAAGCUUCUUCUGUCCAAUUUGGUCUGCGAAAGCUAAAAAGAGUCAGCGAGCAAUAUGAUCCUUGGAUGUGGCUUAUAUAGGCGGCAGAAAGGCUUAAUUUCUACUCAAUUGCUACAGAACAAGUGGAAAUAAUGAGUGUACUGAUAUCCAGGUUCGUGGAAAUAGUGGGUAUCACUGUCAUCUUUGUAAAAUGUAGAGUUAGUAUUUUUUAAAAAAAGAAAAAAAUUAAUAAAUCUCUCUCUUUUUUCUUUUAACAACUUUAGUUCUUGGGAGCUGCUAAGUUACUGUCAGCUCCUACUGUCAAACUCCUUCGAAAUUAUGUGAAUAGUGAUAAGUGAUGGGAUCGGUAUAAAUUUUAAAGGUAUUGUAAGUUACAGUAGUUGUAAUUUAAUAAAAUUUUUAAUUUUUUUAAUAAAUUUCAUUGAAAAAAAUAAAGUUGGCAGAGCGUAUAAUAAUAAAUGGAAUUAGACUAUUUAUAUUCUAAAUAUUACUUUGAACACUUUUUAAAAUUUUAAAAUAUCCUAACUUAAAUUUUUUAAGUUAGUUAACUUUAUUUAUUUCAAAAAGUGAUAAACUAUUUAGCACAGAAUUUUAAGAGAUUUGACAUAUACUUACAAUAAUAUAAUUUCAUCAAGUUGUAAAAAAAUAAUUUAGCAUAAUUUAGUUAUUUAUUUUUUUAUUUAUGUUCAAUAUUAAAUUUGACACCCAAAAUAAUUUACAAUGAGAACACAAUAAAAAAUAUUCCAUAAAUACUAAAAAAGAAAAAAAGAGAAGGAGAAGAAGAAGACAAAGAUGAAGAAGAAAGGCCAAAGCCCCCUCCCAAAAAAAAAAAGCUUAUACAAUACUUUUGUUUUGUUUUAUUUUUUAAAAAAUAAAAAGUAUUACACAUAUUCUAAAGUCAAAUUUUUUUUUGAAAAUUAAUUUACUUAUUAUUCAUCUAAGUAUUAACUAAGAUGUUGGAAAUAAAAAAUUUUGAAUUUUUUUAAUAUACUGAUAUAUUUAUCAUCAGAGCUCUACUAAUAUUUUACAACAAAAAAUUAAUCGAGACUCUUCUUAAUAAUUCUAUUAUGACAUAGCCUGAAGAACGAUCAAUCGAGAUUCUCCUUAAUAAUUCUAUUAUGGCACAACCUGAAGAACGACGCUUAUUUAAUAUUGGAAAAAGAUCUAUUCAACUCGUAAUGUGAGGAGUCAGAUAAACCCUUAUCAGAAGGGGAAUCAAGUUCCAUCAAUGGCUGGGACUUGAACUCAUGCACCAUUGGCUAAAUUUUUUGGGAUUAUGGUAUGAGAAUUAUAAAUUGAAUAAUGAGUGUGCUAUAAAAGUGUUUAAAGUAAUUCAUAUGAUGGAAAUUUUUGUAAUCCAUAUUUUUAUUGAAAUUAUAUUAUUCAGAGUAAUUUUUAAAGUACAAAUAGCCCUAACAUCGUAUUUAAAUACAAUUGGAUAUAUCAUAUUUAAAUACAAUACUUAAUUUUUUAUGAAAGAACCAUGACCACUAUUUUUAUGACAGUGGGAAUAAGAUUUGUAAAAAAUAAACUAUCGAUACUAUCAAUUCUUUAUAAUCAAAAGAAAAAAAAUUCAAUAUUCUAAGUUCUAAGAAAGUUUAAGAGGAAUUUUUCUAUAUUUGCCUUAGGGUAUUCACCUCAGUUAUUGUAAGUGGAGAACACAUUUCAAUUGGAAAAGAAGCUCAAAAUAGUGCUAAUAAAUAAAACACAACAUUAUCUCCAAAUCAUAAUAGAAAAACUCACAUCAAAGAUCCGUGAGUUUAAUGAACUAACAAAAUACUAAAAUGAAAAAAAAAAUCAUAAAAAACCAAUAAAAAAUAAAACGUCACGUGAAAAUCCACACACCGAACCAUCGAAAACUUGACAUACUAGUAUUAAAAGUCCAGCAACGACUCCAAAACAAGCAUAACCUCUCGAUGCAUGCACUAGAGCAACAUCAACAAAGGACAUUAAAAUAAACCUGCGGGGGCGAUAGAAAAAUCACAAUUAAGGAAAGAACAGUAAACAAAACAUGGCACCAACAGCAGAAAUUUCUAAAACAACGUAACAAAAUAAAAUAAAAGAAAAACUAAAAAUGCAACUAAAUUAGAAAACAAAAACGAAAAAGAAAUUAAAAGGAUCGGGUAGAAUCUUUUUUUUUUUUUUUUGAAAGGAAGUAAACCUAUCCAUUGAUUAACAAGAAAACAGGUACAGGAUAUCUGCUGGAAAUUCAUCCAGCCACAUUACAGAUUCUUUCUUUUGCAAAGCCAACUUAGCUAAGGAGUGAGCUAUGCCAUUACAUAAUCUAGGAAUGCGCUGAGCUUUAAAAUCUUGGAAAUCAUUCUUUUUUUCCAGAAUUUCAAAGAUCACCCAAACAAUUUUUGACAUGCUGCUAAUUCUGUUAUUUACAAGCUCAACUAAUUCAUGGGAAUCCGAUUCUAUCAGUAUAGAUUUUCCUCCAGCUCUAGUAGCAACCUGCAUUCCCCAGUCCAUGGCUGCUGCUUCUGCCAUUGAAACACUUCCAAAAAAUCUACUUGUCUUUAUAGCAGCCGCUAUGCAGUUGCUCUUCCAGUCUCUAACCACUACCCCCAAACCAGCUACCUGUCUUUUUUCAUCCACUGCUGCAUCAACAUUAACUUUCAACCAGCCUUUUGGGGGAGGACACCAUUGGUUUGCCUUAUCAUCCUCUUUCCUUGCUUGGAAGUUUUCGAGAGGUUUCCUGGAGUUUCUGAAAGCUUCCACUAUUGACUCAGCCCUUACCAUCAGACUUAUUGGAUCAUCUUUUCUCCCCUCAAACAACCACUUGUUUCUUGCAGUCCAGAUUACCCAUAGAAGUGCUGCAACAGUCUCCAUCUUGCUGAUAUGCUGCUUUUUGGUCAGACCUUGUAACAUCUCACUUAUAUCAGGAGAUUUACUCUCUACCCGCAUCUCUGGGAAUUGAGAGCUUCUCCAGAUUUUCUUAGCCAUUUUACAACCAAGCAGAGCAUGAGAUAUAGUUUCCACAUUGCUGCUGCAAAUUUGGCAUAUUGGCUCCUGCACUACUCUCCUUUUCCAAAGAUUUUCCGAUGUAGGGAGUAUGUUAUUGCUAGCUCGCCAUAAGAAAAUCUUUAUCUUUUCAGGCACGACCAGCUUCCACAGGGCACCCCAAAGGUCUGAAUUCUGAGAUGAGCAGCAAGGUUGAUCUGAAAAUUUUAGUCUCAUCGCCACUUGGUAACCACUUUUCACAGAAUACUUCCCUCUUCUGUCAUAAUGCCAAAUGAGCUGGUCCUCUUUUGGUCUUUUAGGGAGGGGAAUUUUUAGAAUGACUUCCGCAUCCUCCCUUGCGAAAGAGUCAUGGAUCAGCCUCUCCCUCCAUCUUUGCUGACCAUCAAUUAACUCUGCCACUGUAGAUUCUACCUUUAUUGCUGGAGCUGAAACAGGCCUGAAAGUUGAAGGUCUGGGCAGCCAAUUGCUUGAAUACACAUUAACUUUUUGGCCAUUCCCAACUCUCCAUCUAGCUCCAUUUUGAAUCACUUGCCUCCCCCACAAGAUACUCCUCUAAAUAAACGAAGGCUUUGACCCCAGCCCUGCCUCCGUGAAGUCCACAUGCUUGAAGUAUCUCACUUUCAUGACUCUAGACACCAAGGAGUUUGGAUUAUGGAUGAUUCUCCACCCUUGCUUAGCUACAAGAGCUUGGUUGAAACUUGAUAGGUCUCGGAACCCCAUGCCUCCCCUUAUCUUUGCUUUGCUCAGCUUCUCCCAACUCCUCCAGUGAAUUCCCUUCUUUUUUCCAUCUGUUCUCCACCAGAACUUAGCCACUUCCUUUUGGAUCUCAUCACACAGUCCCAAAGGAAUUUUGAACACACUCAUAGCGAAUGUUGGGACUGCUUGUGCAACAGCCUUAAUGAGCACCUCUUUGCCUCCACUCAAGAAAAACUUGUGCUGCCAGCCCUGGAUUUUAUUUAACACUCUGAGCUUUACAUCAUUGAAAAAGCUUUUGGACUUCCUUCCUACCAUGGACGGCAAGCCUAGAUAUUUUUCAUAGCGAGAAACCACCUGCAGUUGAAAAAUGUCCUUUAGAGCAGUAGCUCGAUCCUCCUCUGUGUUUUGGCUAAAGAACAUUGAUGAUUUUUUAUAGUUAAAAAUCUGCCCCGAAGCUCUACUGUAACACUAAAAAACAGCCUUGAGAUGAGAGCAAUCCUCUACUGCUGCUCUGACAAAAAUUAAGCUAUCAUCGGCAAAUAACAAGUGGGAGACUGAGACCUCUUUUCCAAAACGAAGCCCCUGGAUAAGCUUUUGCUGCUCCGCCUGAGCGAGCAAAUUUGAAAACACCUAUGCGCAUAUAAUGAACAGAUAAGGGGAUAGUGGGCACCCCUGCCUUAGCCUUCUUUGAGGCUUGAUCAUUCCUGAAACUGCUCCAUUUAUUACAACAGAAAAAGAGGUUGUGCUGAUACAAUUCAAAACCAAAUCCACCAAAUUACUAGAGAACCCUAGCUUCAACAUGGUGUGCUUUAAAAAACUCCACUCCACUCUAUCGUAGGCCUUGCUUAAAUCUAACUUAAGAGCUACCAGCCCAUGUUUUUUCCCUUUGCUAUGUCUAAUUUUAUGCAAGCACUCGUAACCCACUAUGAUAUUAUCGGUGAUCAACCUAUUGGGGAUGAAAGCACUUUGGGAUGGGGAAAUUACAUGGUUAAGCAUAUCUUUUAGCCUAUUUGCAAUUGUUUUAGCUAUGACUCUAUAAAUAACAUUGCAAAGGCUUAUGAGUGUGAUUUAGCGGGGAGAUUAUACCUUUAUCAUUCAAGAUGUAGAGGCUGGUGGAGAUAACACUUGACUUCACUGAUUUCCAAUGCUUCUGAAAAAAAGCUGCGGGCAAGCCAUCAGGUCCGGGAGCUUUUGUUGGGCACAUCUGAGCAAGAGCCGCUGUCACUUAUUCUUCUAUAAAAGGCCUAUCUAGCUGUUCAUUCAUCUCUGCACUCACCCGCGGCUUUAGGCUUUCCAGAGCUGCUUCAAUUUGUACCUCUGUUGGGUUUGAAGAUGUAAACAACUUUGCAAAGUAUUCAUGGAAUUCCUUUUCAAUCUCGUCUUUGUCUUCAGUCCAGCCCUCCUCUUGGUUUAAAAUGCCCCUAAUCCAGUUCUUUUUCUUCCGCGACGAAGCUUUGAGGUGAAAAUAUUUCGUGUUUUUGUCCCCUUCCUUGAGCCAAUCGGCCCUGGAUCUUUGCUUCCAGUAAACCUCUUCAUCCAGCAGCAGCCUUUCAAUCUAAUCUUCAGUGCUUUUGAAUUCAUUCGCUUCUUCAAAAUGCUGAUAAUUGAGCUUCAUAUCACCGAGCUUUUUCUUUAGCCUCUUCAGCUUUUCCUUUCUGUUAUUGAAUUCUUUCUUGCUCCAUACCAGCAACCUUCCCAUUGAGCAAUUGGCUGCCUGCUGAAAAGAUUGCACAGGAUCCCCAUCGUACCGGCUGCCCCCUUGACUCCAUUCUUCCUCUACAAUAUGCCUACAUUCUUCAUAAUGGCUCCACAUAUCUUCAUAGUGAAUCCUUGGCUUCCGUUUUCUUUUAAGGCACAGGAACCUUUUUUGGUCUUGCAUUUCCAGCAUGAUAGGGCUAUGAUCAGAACCCCAAGAGAUUAAAUUUGAAACCAUCAGAUCAAAAGAACUGCUCCUCCAGCCCUCACUCCCUAGAAAUCUAUCAAGCCUUUCUUCAACAUAAUGCGGCCCAAACCUCCUAUUCGACCAGGUAAAAGGGUAUCCCCUGCACCCUAAGUCCAUCAGCUUACAAUCAUUUAUAGCCUCUUGAAACUCUGUUAUCAUAUUCAAGUUCCUUUCUCUACCCCCCAGCUUCUCUUUUAAAUCCAGAAUUUCAUUGAAAUCCCUGAAGCAAAGCCAUGGAAGAGUGAACAAACCUGCCAACCUCCUUUAAAGUGUCCAUGUGUGUCAUUUUUUGUUGUUCUCCGGGUGCCCAUACACCCCAGUGCAUCUCCAUUUCAUCCCCUCUGCUCCUUGAACUAUGGCGUCUAUGUGGUGAUUACUGUACGGGGCAAUAGUUACAUUCACGUCGCUGCUCCAUAACAGUGCUAGACCGCCUCUCAUACCAUUCCUACUUACAGUAAAACAAUUAUCGAAACCCAACAUUUUACUCUUAUCCGUCAUUUGCCCAGGCUUCAUUCUUGUUUCGCAAACUAAAACAAUUUGCGGCCUGUGCUCUUGGAGAAUCUCCCUUAAUGCAAGAAACGUCCGAGUAUUCCCCAAACCUCGGACGUUCCAACUUAUUAUUUUCAUUGCUGUCGGCGGGGCUGGAUUCCAGCCUCCGCCGAUAUCUUAAUUCCCGUCUUUCUUCCUGCUUCUGCUACUUCCAUAGCUGUUUCUUCCCAACUCAGCUUGAGCUUUGCUGAAGGGGAUCCCUCCAUAACUCUGCUUAAUGUGUUCGUGCUUGGGCUUGAGAGCUUUAACUUUUUUUUUGGGCUAAAAGCUAUCUUUUCACAAUUGGCCCUCUUAGCAUUUUUCAGAACGGCUUUGGAGUUUCUCGAGUCUUGAGCCCCUCGGGCCUGGUUUUUCCAUCUUCUCCAUUUAGCUUUGGGCUUCUUUGGAAAAGACCCAUUAUCCACUACCUCUUCAACUAAACUCAUUUGGGUUGAUGCAAGUUGGUGUGUUUCUCGGCCCGUUUGAGAAUUUUGAGAAUUUUGGUUCCCUUUCUUUCCCUCCACAUUUUUAUUUCCACUCAUAAUUCCCGCCAUUUGACCCAUAUUUUCAGGCUUUUCUCCCAACCCAGCUGCAACAAGCUGAUUUUCCCUGCUGAUUUGAUCUCGUCUCGAUUGUGUCCCUUGAGGCAUUAAUGAGUUGUCAGUUUCCGCUUCCAUGUGUCUUAAUCUCAUUAAAUUAUUGUUGGCUGCAUCUUUGCCUUGCCCUGCCCCUGGCCCGUUUGCUUCUGUCGGGUUUAGAUGUUGGUGGUGGUGGGUCUCUGUGUUUUCCGAGUUUUCUGAUCUUCGAUACUCCCUUAUAUCCUUGUUUUUACUCUUCAGGAACCUCAUACGAUCAGCUAACGGGACUACCUUUAACCAUGCUCCAUAUGCCAAACUCUCUUUUGGUUGGCCCUUGUACUGUGCGCACUCUCUAAACUGAUGCCCGAUAUGGCCGCAACAGAAACAGUAAUCUGGCAGCUUCUCAUAAACCACACCUACCACUAUCUCUUCUCCAUUUUCUUGUUGGAUUCUAAGGACCUUUUUCAGCCUUUUGUAAUGUCUAUUGAGAUUCUGACACGUAUAUAUUCUCCAAAGCAAUCUCCUGUUUCAUCAGUGGCUAGAUCUUCCACUCUCCCAAUCUUUGAGCCCAUUUCUCGUACUGUAUUAAUUUGCAUACACAUCAGAGGCACAUUGUGUAAUUGAACCCAGAAAGAGACAUGUGAGAAAGGUUGGUCUGCGACAUUUCCUAUUCCUUUGGGUUCCUCCAGAACAAUGAGUGCUCGAUCGAAGUGCCACGGCCCUCCCAUUAGCACUCUCCUUUUAUCUUCUUCUGAAUAGAACUUGAACAUGAAGAUUUUGUGUCGCAAGCUUUCUACCUUACUCGUACCCACUGGACGCCAUGCUUAUUGAAGAGCAGCUUUGACUCCUCAUGGCUGAUACCUCUCGUGGAAAGGAUUUUCCCCACCAGGCAACCUGCUGCUAUUUUUUCCCUUUUUGCUUUCAUACUACCCCCAAAUAUGACUUUGUCCUCCUCUUCUUCCUCCAAUGUUAUCGUACUGCAUUUUCUAAUUAAUUCUUCCGUUUCCAUCAUUUUAAGACAAGCCCCCCUAGCUUUAAAGAAGAGUACAAAGAUCUCACCAACCUCCCCUUUUGACUUCCUUCUUACAAUCUCAAAAAAAGGUUUAUAAAGAUCAAUGAAAACGAAAAAGAAACGGAACUAUAAUGAUGCUCACCGACUGAGCACCUUUCCGGAUUCCACAAAUCCGAUCCUAGCUCCCAUUUGGUGUUUUCUCGUCAGAGAGAAAAAGCACACAAAGAGAGAUCUUCAUAGAUCGGGUAGAAUCUUAAAAGCAAAGUUUGUGUUUUUUCGCGGUACCUAAGUAGUUUAAGAGCCCACCAGGCCACCACCACUUUCGUUUAUGACUCAUCCUCCUUUGCUUUUACGGUUACGAGUCACCUUCCCUACUCCCUCACAAAUCACAGUCCUGCUUUAGAAAAUCUAGAAUUUUCUGCUACCUUGAUUCUAUGUAUAGUACUUUUACUUAUAAUUUAUGAUAAGAUUCUCCUAUGGGAGCACAUCUGCAUAUUUUAUGACAUUUCAGGAUCCACGGAUCAAGCCAUACCCCUCUUUUUGUCUUUUUGUGCUAUCACUAUUGGAUCAAUACAAAAGUAGUUUCAAGGGUGUGGAUGUGUUUAUUUGGUUAUUAAUAAUGCAGUUCCUAUUAUUUGUUGAAAAUUUAAAAGUCAAAGUUCAUAAAAUUUUGCGCCAACUUCUUUCUCUCCAAGUACUCUUAGUAAAAAUCACUAAUCAUCAGUUUAUCAUCAUUGUGUUGUAGUAAUUACUCUCACAAAUUAUAAUUAAGAGACCAAAUAUGCCAAAUGCAUCAACAAAGACAACAAAAACUAAGAUGAAUUUUGAAUUUUUGUUAAUACUCUUACUUCUGGUCAUUUGUGAAAAUUUUUUUCCUUGAAAAACUAAACUUAUUGACAUAAUAAAUAGAAGUUUUACCUAUAAAAAUAAUAACAAUAAAUCAAUUAUUAGAAAGUCUUAGGUUAGAUUAUUCAAAGAGAAAAUGGAGAGACGCACUGAAGGGGAAGAAUACACAUAAUAAAAGAUAUAAAAAAAUUCAAUUUACUUACAUCUUAAUUUCAUUGUAGAUGAUAAAUAGAGUGUGCAUAAAAAAUUACAUCUAUAUAAUUUUUUUAUAUAAAAAUUUCAAUUCAUUAUUGUUUAUGUAUCAUAGAGCAAAUGAAUUUUAAGACAACAAAGAAAUAGCUUGUCAACUUCUUUCUUAUUUAUUGUAAUUGGUUGGUUAUAGGUUUAAUUGAAAAAGAAAAAAUUUUGAAGAUUGUAAAGGUGAGGGGUGAAAGAAAGAGGAAAAAUAAAUUACUUUAAUAAACUGUAACUAUGGAAGAAAGUAAGGGGUGCAGUCAAAAAAGAAAAAUCAGGGGCACAAUGCACCUGUUGCACCGUAGCUUGAUCCGACAUUUUCAUGAGUUCUAUACAAAUGUUUGCUUUAGGAUUUGUGUCUAUUGUGUCACACGCAUAAUAUGAUUUAUAAGAUAAACUUUUACUCAUCGCCUAAAUAAAAUAAAAAUUGUUAGUGUACUCUUUAAGAAUAUAAAAAUAUUAAUUUACUCAUUUUUAUUUAGAAGACGAUGGUAAAUGAGGGUGCAUUGAUUAUUUUCUUUUAUCUACUUAAUAAAAAAUAAGAGUAAAUUGAUAUUUUCAUAAUGGGAGAUACAUUGAAGAUUAUCAUUCUCAGUAGAGGGUAAAUUAAAAUUUACCUAAUUUAUAUUUUAAAUUAUCACUAAAAUUUUACAUUUCAAUCUGGAUUAGAUUUGCAGGGGGAGCAAUGUCCUUAUUCGGAUUAGACUUAGCUAGAAGAGGCACAUCCUUAGCUCGAUCAAUUUGUUCAGGAUUGGAUGCAUCCAUCGAUUUCAAAUUAGUCUCUUUUAAAGUAUCAUCAGAUUUCUUGAAUAAAAUCCAGAUUAUCAAUUGCAUCUAAAAACUUAUUGAAUGAUUGUUCCACUUUUGUAAAAGUGAGUUACUAUUAUCACCUCACAUCUUAUAAAUUCUAGAAAAUAAUCGAGGCCCGACAUGCUUUUGUUUGUGCAAAAUUAUAAGAAAAUAAUUCGAAGUACUAGUUAGUGUACUAGCCUCGAAAUUCUUGAAUAGAUUCGCUAGUUCUCUCUAGCCAUAAAUUGGUUCAUGGUUGGCAUCACCAUACUUCCAUAUGUCUUACAAAAUCACCUCAACAACUGUUCCGCAUGGCCCAACAUAACACACUGCAAACUAGUCUAAUAGGAACUAUUCGAAUGACUUUCUAACAAUCAUCUUAGGAAAAGUGCUUAGUAGAAUGAAGUCGUCUUCUUUUAACACAAGUGUUAUGAGCUAUUUCUUGAUAUAUUUCUAAAAUCAAAAUAAGAUGUAUAGAGGAUGAUAAUUUCACUGAAAAAGAGUUUUACUUAUUUUAUAAUUGAAAUUUUUGCAAAGAAAGUUUGAAGAUGAGAGUGGUGAGAGAUGAGAAUAUAGAUGAUGGUGUGUACCUUGGAUGGAAAAAUAGAUUGGAAAUAUAUAUAGACAUGUUAGAAGAAAAAAUUUGGUCUAUUUCUCAAGAGAGACAAGGAAUUGUAAAUGUAAGUGUUAAUAUAUAGGGAAUUUAUUAUUUUACUAUCAAAGUUUUAUUGACAUAUCAUGUCAAUACCAAUGUUUGCCGAAAAGUGUGUUUUACUACCAACGUUUUGCACUAUUAUUAAUUCACUACCAUUCCGCUAAAAAAAAAUUAAUGUUUAACGGAAAUUGAGUUAAAAGUCAAUUUUACCCCCAAGAGUUUGGUAGUAAAAUGAUAAUUUUCCUAAAAUUUUGGUAGUAAAAUGAUAAUUUCCCUAAAAACUUGGUAGUAAAAUGAUAAUUUAUCUAUCAAAUUAACAGACAAUUUUACUCUUACAACUAGAAAUGUCUUUGAUGCCCUUAUGACGUCAGCAAAUUUUUAACAUUGUUAACGGAAUGGUCCUGAAUUGAUAACGGUGCAAAACUUUGGUAGUAAAAUACACUUUUCGGCAAACCUUGGUACUGACAUGAUAAGUCAGUAAAACUUUAGUAGUAAAAUCAUAAUAUCCCUAAUAUAUAUUCAAAAUUUAUAUAUCUUUAUAAAUAUAAUAAUCAUUUAGACCUUUAUAAAAGUAUAGCAAAAACUUUAAAAAGUUUUAAGAAUAAAUAUAGAAAAGAUGGACAAGAAACCAUCCAGCAAUUCAUAAGUAAUAAUCAAAGGCAUGAUGACUUGAUUGAAGAAAUGAAUGGAUAUUUGAAUAAAAGAAAAAUUUAUAAUAAAGGUAAGUAUCAAUUUGUUAUUAAUGUAACUUACAUAAGUUAUAAGUUAGCAGGACCCAAAUUCAUUACUUACACAACGCUAAUGGACUAGUGGUGGACGCGUGUUGGUGGUAAGUGAACAUCAGAUGCACCCCACACGCAAAUGUCACAAUGAAUUAUUACAAUGUAUAGCCUGUUUGGGAGUGUGGUGAGGUAGCUGGGCUGUCAACGCCCAGCUACUAAGGUGUUUGGUAACACUUGUAGUUGGGCUUUGGUAGCUUACCAAAUUUUUUUUCCUAACUUCUAUUCCACAGUUGUAGAUUUUACUUCACAGCAACUGCAGCUUAAAAUCUAUAGCACCUCACUCCCAAACACACCCGUAGAAUACUUUACACGAUAUGAGUGUAAACGCUAAGAUAUAUAGCUACCUACAUCGCGCCACGUGUUAAGACACAUCUCAAAAUAUUUCCACAAAUAAACGAAGACACUUCAGAUUCAGACUAAAAUAAAAGCCAGCAUGCGAUUGUUUACAAACAUGUGAUUGUCGUACGAGAUUAAAAAAAUAUGCUAGUGAUAUAACCUGAAACAAUGAUAACUGACGACAGUGCUAGUGCCAGAAAUUAUUUUUAGCAGGGGUUAAGUUUAAAUAGAAACUUAAUUUAAGAAAACUAUUAACAAAUAACUUAUAUUAAAAUAAAAAUUUAUUAAAAUAUUUAAUGCAAUACACUAAUAAUUGUUUUAGACGUGGUUCCAUAUGUUAAAAACAUUGAAGAAUAACCUUAUUAUUGAGACUAUACAACAUUGUUUUUUUUUUCUAUGUAUAAAAUAAGUCUAUCAUUCAACCAUUGAUCUCCCAUCUAAUUUCGCAGAUGAUUUUUCACAAAAUUUAUAGUUGAAACUACCCUUUCUAUUGUAGUUGUAGCAACUGGUAAAAUCAAUAUUAAUGUCACUAAUAAAUAAAUAAAUAAAGAUAAUUUAUCCUUCUUAGUCUCACCCAUAGCAUUAUUAUUUUAUUAUUUAUAAUAAUCAGUAAAGUUAAAAUUAAGGAGCCACAAUAGCAUUGCCAAUAACCAUUUUAGCACCUUUGCCACUUUAUCAACCCUUGAAGCAUUGCCACAAUAAGUAAAGCUAAGAAUAUUAUUCAAUUCAAAAAGGCAUAAACCAAUUCAAAAAUUAGAAUAUUAAAUCAUAAAGUAGUAAAGGUUCUUAAUAAUUAAAAUAAUUUAAUCAAUCCCAAUAAUUAAUAUAAAAAGCUGCAAAGGUUUUUUUUUUUGGCAAAGGAUUGAUGACGGGUUGGGGAUUUGAUUUUUUUUUCCCUUUUUUUUCAAAACGUUGUAUAAAAACAUUGGUAUCUUAGUUAUUUAAAAAAUUUACUAGGGACUUUCUUGUAAAUCUAUUAAAAAAUAAAAUAGAUCUUUUUUAAAAAAAAAUCAAGCAGGGGCUUCAGUCCUUAUUAGCUCUCAAGUGGCGUCACCACUAACUGACAACACACUAUUAUUAACAAAAUCACAUGUCAAAAGCAACGUAAAAUCGAAUAGGAUUAUGAAUCAAAUGAUUGAAAAUAGAACACAAAAUUUGGAUGGGGGAAAUUUAAAUCUAAAAUUAAAAUCUAUUGCCAAGUCUUCUUUCUAAGUUAUAAAUAGGGACCAAAAAAAUUAAAAGAGGACUUUUGAGCCAUUUUCUCAAUUAAUAAAGAGAAAAUAGAAAACAAGCAAUCUAAAUUUACUGAAAAUUUAUAAAAUACAAAAACUAACAAGAGCAUCGAGGUGCGUUAGCAGGACGCGGCUCGUGUCGUACUCUUGGAUGAACAUCAAAAGUAGAAAAGCUAUCGAACGAAGAAGCAUUCAGGUGCUUCUCAAACUAUCACUUAUAAGUUAUUCAUCUUGGAUCAUUGAAGGAUUUUACCACCUUCAAUAGCUGUUUAUUACAAAAAAAUCUUGAGUAUACCAGGUAAUAAAAUCAUGUAGUUAGAAAAUACUAUAUGGAAUUUAUGUUAAAAUAACUACUUAGUUAUUAAUCUUUAAACCUAAAUACACAGGUAAAUGAAUAUGGUUAGUUUAUUGCAUGAAUAAGUGGUACUCGGACUGUACUGAAAAAUUCUCAUCUAUUAGUAUUACCUAUUAAAAUAUUAUGAUAAUUUCUUUAGAUGUAAUAACAUAGGCAUAAAUAUUUUAAUGCAAAUAAUUUGGUAUAAUUAGUUAAAUUAAAAACAUUGUAUGAUUUAAAUGAUUUAUUUUUAUUAAUUUUAUUUAUUUAUUUAUUUUAGAAGUAUUAGUUAUAUUUAUUUUAGUUUCAAAUUUUCAAUUAACCAAUCCCGUCGGCACUGUAUCUGACGUGGCAAUGAUGAAUCGCGUUUUGCAUCACCUGCCGUUUGAUUGAAGCCAAACGACAGUCUUACAACCAAAAGGACACGUCAAACACAUUCUUACGCAACUCCAACUCCAUUGAAACUCUACUUAAUUAAAUUGUUUUAUCAUUAUUAUUUUUUCAAUUAAUUUUAAUUACCGGACAGAUUUAUUAAAUUUAAAUAAAACCAUAAAAAAAAUGUCACCUGAAAAUCCGCACACCGAGUCCCCACCUCAGGCCAUUGAAAACUUAACGUGCCACUGUCCAAGUCUAUCGACGACUUCCAAACAAGCCUAACCUCCCGGUUCAUGCACUAGAGCACCAUCAACAAAGGACUUUAAAAUAAACUCCCGGGACAAUAAAAAAUCACAAAUAAGGAACGAACAAUAACAAAGCAUGGGAACAGCUGUAGAGAGUUCUUUUUUUUUUUAGGAGAACUAUUGCUCAUGAUAUUUAUAACUAUACAAAUUAUUGAGACCGAUUUACAUUAACUCUGAUAUGACACCGCUUAAAUUUUAAUCCUCUCAAAUAUUUGAGAGAGAUCGCUCAGAUUUUAAUCCUCUCAAAUAUUUAAGAGAGAGCAGUUUACAUCAACUCUGAUAUGACACCGCUUAGAUUUUAACCAUCUCAAAUAUUUAAGAGAAACCGCUCAGAUUUGAAUCCUCUCAAAUAUUUGAGAGAGAGCAGUUUACAUCAACUCUGAUAUGGUACCGCUCCUCCUGAGAGAAAUAUUCUCUCAAAUAUUUGAGGGACGCCAACUCUUCUCCUAAAAAAAAAAACUACCUUCACUUAAGUUUUGAAAAAAAAUAAUAAUUUAAAGGUUCUGGCCACUUAGACAAGCCCGAGUGGUUUGCUGUAUAAAGUUCUAAAACAACAUAAUAAAAUAAUGGGUCCGCCUCUAAUAAAUCGCUGCAUGAGAUACAGCGGAAGUCCAAUUUUUUAUUCUAAAUUGUUUGCCGUUGGAUUACUUUAUAAGCAAUCCAACGGGUCGGUGAUUUUAGGCAUAAAAUGGGUCAACGAAACAGGUGGUGGAACUGGCAAAUAUCAUGGUAAUUAUCACUUUGCCACCCUCAUCGUUUAACUAAAUAUUAAAGACUUCAUUUAAUUUAGGCGACUAUCAAAGACCCCCUAACAUAAUAAUAUAUUUAAAAACAUGUAAUGUUUUUAAUAAUGUGAAUAAUAUUUAUAUUAGUGUAAACUGUAUUAAUUAUAAAUCAAUGCAAUCAUUUUUAAUAAUGAAAUUGAUCAUAAAAAAAUUAUAUCAUUUUUUUUAUUAUGACAUUAUAAAUCUACAAAUAUUUUACAAUAUAAAAAUUAGUGAGACCUCUUUAAUUUUUUUUGACCUUUUUAAUUUUUUUUUUGUUUUGCAUACUUGUGUCUCUUUGAUCAACUCUAUGAUGGUAUAAUACGGUCUGGAUGUGUAGACCAAUAAUAGGUUAAUUUUUUUUUCAAAGUGUUUAGAAGAAAUCAACUCCAAAAUGCACAAUAUAAGGAUUCAAAUUCUUAUGGUGUGUUUACUAAUCAACAAUCAGAAUGAGAAUCCAAGAAUGAGAACAAAUAAUGUGUUUACUUGCUUAAAAGAGAGUGAUAAUCAGAAUUAAGUGGUGGGUUCCACCUAAAAUUUAGAAUAAUUACUAGAGUUCUCAUUCUUUGAAGUGACCAUACUACCCCACUUAAUUUUAUAAUUUCCAUUUUAUCCUUUUUUUAUAUUUGAAAAAUUAAAAAAAAUUCCAUUUUAUUGCUGCUGCUACCUUGUUGUCACUAUUCCCGUUGUUGUUGUUGUUGCUACUUGCUACAUUGCUGCUGUUACUACUAUUGUUGUUGCUACCAUUGCCAUUGCUGAUCACCAGUGAUGGUGUUAUUAUUAUUAUUAAUAUUACUACUACUAUAAUUACUACUACUACUACUGUUGCUGCUAUUAUUAUUAUUUUUUUUUUAUGUUUUUUAAUAAUAAAUUUUUUAAAUAAUAAUAAUUACAAUUAUUAUAACAAAUAAUAAUAAUGAUAAUAAUUAACUAAGAGUAUUUUAAUAAUUUACAAUAGUUUAUUUUGAUUCUACGGCAAAAUAAACACAUAAAUGGUAAUAUAAUUCAUUCUGAUUCUGAUUUCGAUUGCCACAGCUCAAGUAAACAUCUUAUUUUGAUUCAUAUUUCUCAUUUCGAUUCCAGUUUGUUCCAAGUACUGAUUAGCAAACUCACUUUUAUUUUAUCCAUCAAUAUCAAUAUGAGAAUUAAAAUGGUUUUUCAUCCUAACUUGCAAAUAGUUUUCAAACAAUUAUAGUAUUGAUAGUACCAAGUAUUGUAAUUACUUAAAAUAUUUUUGUUUUCAAUAUUAUUUGUACCAAUGACUAAUAUAAAUAAUACAAUUUAAUUCUGGACAUGGGUAACUAUAAGAUGACAAAUCUUAUUAAAAAUAUUUCACAAAAAUUUCUAAGAAAUUCAUUAAAUUACUUUUUAUGGUCUCAUUUACUCACUAAUUUGAAGUCACAAAAAAUUCUGUGAAUUGUUAUAGAAGCUUAUACAUGAUUAGAUGUAAUGUUAGUAUUUAAUGAUAUUGUUUUAUUACUAGUAUUAUGAUUAAUGAUACUAUAACUCUUAACAUCCAUUAUUACGUUGUUAAUAAGUAUCUUUGUCAGUUGUUACUAUUAUUAAUGGUAAAUUGAGCACAUAUAUGAUAAUUUUAUCAAUAUCACUUUUCUUUUAAUCAAAAUGAGCUAAUGGUCUAAAUAUAACAACAUUUUACGGUAAUAAAUUUUUUGAUAAUGUAUUGAGAAAUGUUGUUAAUUAUCAUUGUAAAUUAUUGUCGACAUUAUGUUGUAAAAGCUAAAUUAUAAAUGAUGUAACUAUAAUAUUACAUUGUUAAUUAAAUUAAAGUAUGUAUCUCUUUGUAUAUUUACAGGAGUAGGUUUCUAAGUUAAUAUUUGGUGGACCGUUGGACUUUACUAUAAAAGUGCAUGUAUACAUAAUGUCAAAUACCAUUAAAUUAUAGUUUAUAAUGUACAUAUAAAUUGUAAUUUUUUUUAAAAAAUAUAUAAUAUAUUACUUUAAAUAGUAUGCAAUUAAUUUUUUAUUUUGAUAUAGCACUAAAAAGAAUUAUGCUUCAUUUAGCGGGAAAACUACUGCCUAAACGAAAAUGUAUUUACACAUUUCUAUAAUUUCUUUAUAUGUAAAUUUGCAAAUUAUUUUAAUUUUUACUGAAAAUAUAAAUGCUUCACAUUAUUCCAUUCAUGCGUGUAGAAACCCAAGCCAUUUAACUCAACCACCAUCGGCCGGCAUCGUAGUUGCUAACCGAAAAGAAAACAAGCGGCUGACAUAAUUUUUGCCGGAAAAUUUCCGAAAUCCCUCUCUUUCCUUUUGUCUUUCUGGCCAUUUGCCCAUUACACUCUCUUAAUUCCCUUACCUUAAUGAAUUUUCCAAAAUUAAUCAAACAAAACGAAUGGCGUCUUUCAAAAUAGUUUCUCAAGGCUUUGUAAUUUGUUUUAGUUCAAAUACAUUUCCUCUCUUCGCUCAACCCUGCAAGUCACAAUAAGAUCAAACCUUCAAAGACUCAUUUUACAAUUUUAAUUCUAACAUUUUUUGUGAUAUUAUUUAAAAUUUUAUAUUUUAUAUUAUUAUUGUUGACAUUUUUUUUUUCAAAAUAACUUUGUUUAUUGUUUAGAAACUUAAAAAGAAAAUAUGAACUUAAUUUUUUUUUUAAAUUUCAUCAGAAAACAGAUCCAUUAGGCUUAGGGUUUUGUUUGUAGCUUCAUACAUUAAGAUCUAUAUUUUUAAUCAUUAUUUCAUUUUCUUUUUCAAAUUCAGUUUUCUUAAUUUUUUUUUUCUUGUCUCGUUGGAGUUUUGUAAUUAAGGGUGUGGAUAUUUCCACCCACUAUUUUUAUAAACCAACCCCACCUUAAUAAAAUAAUUACAAUAAGUUCACAUUAUUUCAUAGAAUUACAAAUUAAUAAUAACUUUGAAUAAUUAAUUAAUUAAAUCAUUCUUAUAAUAUUAUUUUUUCUUAUUUUAUCUUUUAACAAUUUAAGGUUGCUUUAAGAUAAGUUUAAUUUAAUUAAUUUACCCUUAUAAUAUAAAUAAUCAAAUUACCCUAAGAAAUAUAUAUUAUUGUAACUAAUUGUUUAGACAUUUAGUUUUAUGUUUUAUAAUCUAAUAUGCUUUAUAUAAAUUUAAUAAUUUUCAAUACUUCAAAUGUCCUAAUUACAUCCCGUUAGUUUAGUGGAAUAUUAAUAAUCAUACUAAAAAAGCACUACUUAUACAUCAAUAAAAUAUAAAAAAAAUUUGUAUAAAAAUUUAUUAAAGUUAAAGUAAAUUUUUAGAUACUCUUGGUACUUUUACCUUAUGAGGUUAGAAUAAUUAUAUUAAUUUAUGUUAAAACAACCUUAUUGAUCAAAUAUAAUUAAAAAAAAUAUAGUCUCAUAAACAAAUAAUUAAUGAAUAUGGAUUUAAUUGGUUAAAAUUUUAAAUUCCUUCUUAAUUUAAAUUUUUUAAAAUAAUGUGCACUUGUUGUAAUAAUUUUUUAAAAUUGGGAUGGGUUCAUAAAAUUUAUGGGGUGGAAAUAUCACCACCCUUAAGUUAAAUUGUAUAACAUUUUGAAUUGUCACUUAAUUUUUUAUUAUUAGUCUUUUUUUUAAUGUUUUAUGCUUCCCAUAUAGACGGAUUGGCAAGGGAAACUAUUGGCAGAGCAUCUGGUCCAAAAAAUGCUAUUGGCAUCCUCUCAAGUGGUUGAAUCCAAGCAAGGCCGGUGAGCAGCCCAAGUUUCAGCUGGCUGUCUCGAGACCAGAGGGGGAAAUAGAAAUAAUAGAAAUAGUUUUCUAUAAUCCCUUGGGAAUAUUUUAUCUUUUUUUCUCUAAUGGCGCAAAGUUGAGUAGUGAAGAGGAAUUGGCUGCAAUUUUAUUUGGUUGUAAAUGAAUUUAAAUUUUUUUAAUAUGUUCUCCAAAAGAAAGGUGGUGUAGAGAUAAUUUCUCUAAAAAUUAUAGUGUUAACUUUUCUUAUUGGAGAAAUUUAUUUUUAAUAUUUUAUAUAUUUUAUUUUCUCUUGAUUGCAAUGAUUUUCUAAUGUGUUUAUAAAAAUAUUGUUUAAUUCGAGUUGCAUUUACUAUGUUUAAUGUACUUGGUAAAGAUAAAUUAAUGGUGGCUUAAUAGAAUUGGAUUUAAGUCAAUGUUACUUUGUCAAUCUUAAGCUAAAGAUCAAGAUAUAAGAAAUUAAAAAAAUGAUUUUUAAACUAAAUAAAAUGAUGAAAAUUUUAUGUUGCACAAUUGUUGUUUAAAAAUCUCAGCACAAUUAAUUAAAAUAAUAAAAUGAGCAUUAAUGUGUAAAAGAUCAAAAGCUCAAAGUAUACAUAUAAUUAAAUUCAAGAAAUAUCAUGAAGUAACAAAGACCACCGGGGCAGGAUCCACAGUGUUGAAAAAAAUUACGGGUUGCAAAAAUGAUUUUUCAAAAUUUUUGUUGAAUUUUUUUAAAGAAAAUGAUAAAUUCAAUAAAAGGAAUAAGAGCUUAUUUAGUAUAGCUUAUCUAAUGGGCAUAAGUGGUUAUUUAAUCUCAUAAGUACUUUUUAAAAUUUUUUUGGGUGUUUGGUUAUUUUUUUAGUAGAGUUUUUUAGACUUAAAUAAGCUAAUUUAUCUCUACUAGUAAAAGCCUAAAAUUUAAGAUUUUGGGAGUAAAGGUUCUUGAGCUUUUCCAAAAAUAUGUAAUAUAAAAAAUAUCCUUAAAAUAUUUUAUUAAUUACAUAAUAUCCUAUUAUAUGUAAAACCCAAAAAUUGUUGCUGCCAUAUAAACAUAUUGCUGCUGCUUCAUUCUCUCUCUCUCUCUCUCUCUCUCUCUCUUUUUAAAUAGCUAGCACUUUAAUUUUGUAAAUCCUACACUUGAGAGAAAACUCAUAGUCAUAGCCAACGCUUUUGGUGAGAAGUGUGCCAGGUAAUGCUUCCGGCUACUUUUUCAUCUUUGGCUCUGUUUGUCUUUAUUAUCUAACGGCAAUAAGUUUAUCUUUAUUAUAUUAUUCAAUAUGUGGUAUUAUUUCAUGUUUCUUUUAAAUACUGUGAUAGUUUCCAAACCAACUCCCAACAAUUAUUGAUUAAUGCUUUAUCAAUUCAUGUGUGGGUGCAAUUUUGCUAUGGAUUUUGUUACUAGUUGAUCAUUACCUUCCAUAUACGUUUUCCAUGUGAGUCAUUGCAUGUAAAGAAAUCACAGAAUAAUGUCAUAUUUUCUAUCACCACAUGUCUAUAUAUCACCUAACCUAUAAUAUGAUUUUAAUUAUGAUUUCUUUGUAAACAAUUAAUUGAUCAUGCACUUGAAAGGUAUUUAAAACCCAUGACCAAUCUUUUUAUUAUAAUAUUCAAUAUGUUUAUUGCCACCACUUGCUACUGGUUCAUCUUUCUUUUUAUUGUAUUAUUCAACAAUACAUGCUAAUUAUUAUUUUAUAUUUGAAAUUCAUUUCAUCUUUUUUUUAUUAUAUAUUUUUAUAUAAUAAUAUUAGAUAUCCUUUGUCUAGAAUGGCAACUGCUACAAAAGAAAAGAGAAAAAAAUUAAAGGCAAAUUGGGAUGAUGCUACUACUGAUACUUUUGUUAAGAUUUGCGUAAACGAAACAUUAGCUGGGAAUUGACCAAAUGGUCACUUUAAUAAGAUUCGGUGGAAAAAUAUUAUUGCUAAGUUUUAUUCAAUGACAGUGGAGAUUAUAAACAAAAACAAUUGAAGGUGGGACAUCCUAAAAAAAGAUUGGCGACUUUGGACAAACUUGUUGAGAAAUGAAACCGGUUUAGAAUGGGAUCCUGUAAAACAAACAAUUACAACUAGCGAUGAAUGAGGGGAGAGAAAAUUGAAGGUGAAAAUUUCUAACCUUUUUAUUUUACAGUGUAAUAGGAAAUGAUUUUGGGAGCAACUUAGACAUAUUUUUAACAUAUAAUCCUUUUGCAUUAUUGUAAGAGAUACUUAAAGCAAUUAAAUUUCGUUUUAAAAGCUUGAGAAAUGUUGACCAGCUAGAAAUUUUGUUCAAAGAUGUUUCUACUACAAGGGAAGGAUCAUGGGCGCCAUCUAUGGGUUUUGUACCAAAUGAUGGUGAGGGUGGACCAUUUAAUGAAUAUGUUGGUGAAGAUAAUAAUAUAUAUUUUCAGGAGGAGAAUGCCAAUAUUGAACCAAAUAAUUUUGAUGAACUAGAGAACAUUGAGACUGGCAUUGAUAAUGGCACUCCUGUAGCAUCUACACAUUAUAAUCGAAGGAAAAGAAAAUUACCAAUUCGAAAGCAAGAUGGAGCUGCAGUUAGAUUGUCUAAACAAUUGGACCACUUAUGUCAGGCAAUAGAGAGUAGACCAUCUAUAGCUAUAAGAAAUGGUGAAAAUGGUUGUGGCAUUGCAGAAGUAAUGGAAAUAUUACAUAAUAUGCUUGAAAUUGAGAUAAAAAGUGAGUCGUUUUGAAUACCACUAAAAGUUUUCUUAAGGAGAAUAAAGAGAUGUUUAUUGCAAUCAAGAAUCGUGAUGUUCAAAUUGAGUGGUUGAAAUUCAUGAAAGACUCUUUCUAGUUUUAUUUUAUGGCAUGUUAUAUUUAAGACUAUUGUUUGCUUUAACCUAUUUUAUUUAUGGUCUUGUAUUAAGAAUAUUAUUUUGAACCAAUUGAUAUAUAUUUAUUUUGUUUUGUUUUGAGUUGUGUUAGAUUUAUUUAUUUUUUUCUUUUCUUUUCAAAUAAUGAUAAUUUUGUUAUAUUUGUGUGCACAAAUAUGGAAUUUCCAGAAAAUGACAAUGAUAGGGAGCAUAAUUACAUUGAUGAAAGUGAUGCAUAGUACAAAUUGGCGUUGCAUUGUAUGUCAAUCAUUUUAUUAAGUAUAGUUUAAAGAAACCAUAUAGAACUUCCCAUCAUUCAGGUCAUUCUUUUGUAUUAGAGGUGCUAAAUGGAUAUAAAGAUAGAUAUCACCAACAAUUUAAAAUGGAAAAACAUGUAUUUAUGAAAUCAUGUCAAGUUUUAAGUGAAUCAUAUGGUCUUAAAAGAGGUACGAAUAUAUCUAUAAUUAAGUUAAUAGCUAUAUUUUUAUUACAUUAGGUCAUGCAUAUGGGAAUAGAAUGGUUCAAGAAAGAUUUCAACAUUCAGGUGAAACUAUAUCGAGGUGGUUUGGAAUAGUAUUAGAUGUUGUUUAUCAUAUAGCCAUUGAUUUUUUUAAACCAUUAGACCCAUAGUUUAAAGGAAUUCCUAACAAAAUUAGGAAUGAUGAAUGAUAUUGGCCAUAUUCUAAAGACUGUAUUGGGGCAAUUGAUGGGAUACAUAGACCAGUUAUAAUGCCUACAUCGAGGCAAAUACUGUAUAUUGGUAGAAAAAGAAUUCCUACCCAAAAUGUGAUGGCUGCAUGUGAUUUUAAUAUGUGUUUUACAUUUGUAUGGGCUGGAUGGGAAGGCACUGCCCAUGAUACGCGUAUAUUUUUGGAGGUGUUACAUAGAGAGAAUUUGCAUUUUCCUCAUCCACCUACAAUUCAGUUAUAACAUAUUAUUUAUGAUACAUUUCUAUAUAAGUUUGUUUAAUUUUUUUUCAAUUAUAGAAUUUUUAUUUUAAAGAUAAGUAUUACCUAGUAGAUGCUGGAUAUCCUCAUAUGAGGGAUUAUUUAGGUCUUUAUAAAGGUGAACAGUAUCAUCUUCCAGAUUUUCAAUGUGGAAGUCAACUAAGAGGAAAAAAAGAAAUAUUUAAUCGUGCCUACUUUUCCUUGAGAAGCACAAUUAAGAGGACUUUUGGUAUUUAGAAAAAUAGAUGGAAAAUUUUGCACCAAAUGCCUAGUAACCCUUUUAGUAAGCAAGUGAAAAUUGUGAUUGCUUCAAUGGUUCUUCACACUCUUAUAAGAAAAUGUGCAGAUAAUGACCAAGAAUUUCAACCUUUUGAUGAUGAUGAGGAAUUGCUUCCAAUAAGUGAAAGUGAGAAUUAGAGGGAAGAGAACAAUGAAGAAUAAAGUACACGUUCAUUCAAUGUACGUGAAAUGAACCAAGAACGUGAUCAAAUUGCAACACUUCUCAUGUUCCGUUAACAUUUCAUUUAUAUUAUUGAUUAUCAUUUUAAUUUGGAUAAUAUUAUUUGUUUGACAGAAUAUAUCAAUGAUGUAAUUUUUAAUUUUGAACAUUAAAUAAAUGAUUGAACUGAUUUUUUUUGUUAAUUGAUAGCUUGGAUGCAUUUUGUUUCAAGUUAUAUAAUUAUAAAUAAUAUCCUUUUUGAUAAUUUAAUUGCACAAAAGUACUUUUAGUUUUACAAACCAAACAGUUUAAUAGUUUAAAAGAGUUUUUUUUUUAAUUGACAACCAAACACCCACUGACUUUUUGUCAAAAGCUCUACUAGCAUAAACUCUACUCCUAUACGCUCUAUUCUAUAAGUUGUACCAAAUGGAGCUUAAAUAUGGAUCUAAAAAUAAACAUGACGUAUCCACUUAUAGUCUUGGAAUUGAAUUAAAAAAGAUAGAAACAUAGAAAAAAAAUGGUGAAAACAAGAGUAGAAAAGUCAACCAAAAAAGUUGGAACCACUUAUAAUAAUUUUCUAAAUUCUAAUGGGAAGUAGGAAUCUAGAAAGUGAACAUAAAAUGUUUACUCAAAUUAUUAAAAUUCAGUGAAAAGGGUAAAAAUAUAGAACUCAAAAAAUGGCAAAAGAGUCAAUUCAAAAGUUGGAAUGACUUAAUAAUAAUUUGAUAAAUUCAACGAGAAGUAGGGAUCUGAAAAAUGAACUUAGAACUUCCACCAAAAUGUUGAAAUUCAAUUAAAAAAAAAGAGUGAAUAUAGUACAAAAAAAUGGUGGGAAAAAGAGUUGAAUUCUCAAAAUUAGAAUGGCUUACCAAGAAUUUGAUAAAUUGUAAUGAGAAGUGCGGAUCUAAAAAAUCAAUUUGGAACAUCUAUGUAAAAUGAUGAAACUUAAUGAAAAGAGUAAGAAUUUGUAUAAAAGAAAUGAUGAUAAAAUUCAUGAUCAUAUUUUCUGAAGUAAUGAAUAUCGAUAUCAAAUAAACAAAGAUAUUUCAACAAUGGUUUUUAAUUUUUAUAACUUAUAAAAACUAGUUAUGAUAGCUUAAUAAUAUAAAAAUAGUUCAAAAAUAACAAUAGACUUUGUUGUUGAUUUUUCAAAAUAUAUUGUAAGUUGAUAUUUGUUAAAAAAAGAGGGUCAAACAUAAUUUACCUUAAUAUUUUAAUAUUUUACCUUAAUAGUUUAGUAUUUUACUGUAAUAGAAUGCAACUCGAAACAACACCUAGAAUGUUGGCAUACAAUGAAAACAUUUAUAGUACCAAAAAAAUGAUGGUAGUAAGUGUUGAAGAGCUAAACCCAGAAAUUGGAAUGACUUAAAGAUGAUUUGAUAAGUUUAAAUGGAAAACAGAGAUAUGAAAAUUAAACUUGAAACAUCCACCUAUAUGUAGGAAUUCAAUAAAAAUUGUUGGCAUAUAGAACCAAAAAAUAAUGGGAAAAAAGUGGGAAAGUCAACUUAAAAGUCGGAACUAUGCAACGAUAGUUUGAUAAUUCCAACGAGAAAUAGGGAUUAAAAAUUGAACUUGGAACUUUUAUCCAAAAUGUUGAAAUUCAUUUAAAAAACCUGGAAUAUAGAAUUAAAAGGUUGUGGAAACAAGAGUUGAAUAAUUUAACACAAAAGUUGGAAUGUCUUAUCAAGAAUUUGAUAAAUGCCAAUGGUAAGUAGGAAUUUAAAAAAUAAAUUUAAAGGAUCUAUACAAAAUAUUAGAAUUCAUUAAAAAGAGUAGGAAUAUAGAACAAAAACGUGGUGGGAACAAGAGUUUAUAACCAAAAUUGAAAAUGACUCACCAAGAAUUUGAUAAAUUCCAACCAUAAGAAUGGAUUCAAAAAAUAAAAUUGAAAUAUACACCCAAAAUAUUGAAAUUGAACAAAAGGGCAGAAAUAUAAAACCGAAAAAUGAUAGGAAAAAAAGUUGAUGAAUUUAACCAAAGAGUACAAAUAAUUUACUAAGAAUUUGAUAAAUUCCAAUUGAAAGUAGGGACAUAAGAAGUGAACUUGAAAAAUCCAUCCAAAAUGUUAAAAUUCAAUAAAAAAAAAAGCAUGAAUAAAUAACCAAAAAGUUGUGGGAAUAUGAAUCGAAGAGCUUAACCCAAAAGAUUGAAUAGCUUAGUAAGAAUUGAUAAAUUUCAAUGAGAAGGAGGGAUCUAAAAAUAAACUUGAAAUAUUCAUCCAAAAUGGUGAAAUUCAAUAAAAAGAGGAGGAAUAUAAAAGCAAAAACUGGUGGUAAUGAGACUUGAUGACCUUAACCUAAAAUUUGGAAUAAAAUAAACAAGAAUUUGAUAAAUUUUAAUAGGAAGUAGAGAUCUAAAAGGUAGGGGUGUUCACGGAUCAGAUUUUACGGAUUGGACAUCAAUCCAUAUCUGAUCCACGAUUUUGCGGAUUAUAAAUUUUCAAUCCAAUCCAAUCCACAAAUUAGUGAAAUUCAAUCCAAAGCCAAUCCAUACAUCUGCGGAUCAGAUGCGAAUUUGACCCAAUCCAUAUCCAAUCCACCAUUUUGCGGAUUGGUUUGCGGACUGAAAAUUUUUAAUUAUGUCCAAUCCACGACUAACUAAAUAAAAAAAUUUAAUAUAAAAAUAAUUUUACUACUGAUCAAAUUUAAAAUUAAAUAAGAUUUAAAUAAAUUAACUGUUUAAAUAAAGCUAGAAAAUACAUUUAAAGUUUUAAAAUAUACCACACCAAAAUAAAAAAAAAUCUCAUUUGUUUAGAUCAGUACAUGAAAAUUAACUAUUUAGAAAACUAUAUUUGUUUAUUUAAUUAUUCUUUAUUUUAUAUUAUCAUCAGAUAAGAUAUAAUAUAGUGUUAAUGUAACUAUAUUUUAAUUAAUUUAUUUAUUAGUAAGUAAUAAUGCCAUAUUUACAAUUUUUUAAAAUUAAAUAAAUACUUUUUAUUUUUUUGCGGAUUCGCGGAUUCUUACGGAUUUACAGAAGUAAAUCCAUAUCAAUCCACCGAUUACGGAUUAUUAAAUUUUCAAUCCAAUCCACCAAUUCACGGAUCAGAUUUUUACGGAUCUGACGGAUUAAGUGAAUCAGAUUGGAUUUUGAACACCCCUACUAAAAGGUGAACUUAAAACUCCACCCAAAAUAUUAGAAUUGAAUAAAAGGAAUAGGAAUAUCGAAUCAAAAAGUGGUGGCAACAAGAGUUGAUGAACUUAACCCGAAAGUUAGAAUAAUUUACUAAGAAUUUGAUAGAUUCCAAUGCGAAAUAGGACUCUAAAAAGUAAUUAGAAAUAUCUGCAGAAAAUGUUGAAACUCUUUGAAAAUAGUUGGAAUGUAAGACAUAAAAGUGGUGGGAAAAUGAGAUGAAAUAACUUACCAGAAAUUAGAUAAAGUCUAACUGAAUAUAGGGAUAUAAAAAAUAAACUUGAAAUAUCCACUUAAAAAGUUAGAAUUUAAUGAAAAGAGUGAAAAUAUAGAACCAAAAACUGGUGAAAAAAAUGAGUUGAAACAACUUACCAAAAUUUAGAUAAAUCAUAACAAAAAAUAGGAAUUUGAAAAGUAAACUUGAAAUAUGCACAAUAAAUAUUGGAAUGUGACAAAAUAAGUGAGAAUAUACCUAUUUUGUCAAAUAUUUAUUGUACUUUUAUAGUUUCUUGAACUAUUUAUAAAUUUAAAAUUAUUAAAUUCUUUUGCUUCAUUUAAUUACAAGUUUCUUGUACUAUUUAUAAAUUUAAAAUUAUUAAAUUCUUUUCUUCAUUUAAUUACAAUUUUAUCUUUUUCAUAUUUUUUUCACACUAAAAACUAAUUAAAAUGAUAUAUUUAUUAUAUUAACGGGUUAAAAACCAAUUGUACUAGUUGCGUGCAUGUGCUGUAUGAGAUACGGCUCUGCACUGUAGGUUGACUCUAAAAUAAAAGAAAAACUAAAAAAAAAAGAAACUAAGUUAGAAAAAAAAAGUGAAAGUAUCAGGUAAAAUCUCAUUAUUAAAAAAAGGAUCCCCAUAUGUUACAUGCAUGUAACUUAGUAUUAGCCUGAAAAAAAAAAUAAAGUUUAAAUAUUUUUCAUGAUACCAAAGUUGUUUAAUACCCCACCAGCUCCACCACUUCGACUUUCCUUUAUGCGCUCCUCCUCUAUUGUUACAGUUACGAGUCACCUUCCCUGUCCUCUCACAAAUCACAAUCCUAAUAUAAGUUUGUAUAUUUUAUUACAAGCAUAAUACAGGUUCCAGGUAAACUUCAAUUAAUGCAUUAUAUAGAAUAAUAGUUUUUCAUUUAUUUCUCAAAAGUGUGAAAAUAUAAAUUUACAUCAAGUAAAUUUAAAAUUACUUCUUAUAAAUUUAUUAUCUUCAAAUCACUCAUUUGUUUCUCAGGAAGAGGACUGCUUAGAAUUAGAAACCAUUAGAUUAGCACACAACAAAAUAAAAAGAUGGCAAAUUAUGAACUUGUGCUGGACUUUUUCAAACCUUGGCCCAAGCCCAUGUUAUUUGUAACAGGCCCAGGCCUUCUAAAAGCCUUUCCAAAGUUAGACGGACCAAGCCUGGCCCAGGCUUGGGAUUCUAUUAAUAUUUUAAAUUAAUUUUUAAUAAAGCUAAAAGUUGAAAAAAAUACUUAAAUUAAAGAUGAUUAUCAGAUACAUAAUAUACUAAUAGUCUAAUAUACAAGAGAAAAGUAAUAAUUAAUCGAAAGGCCGAGAAGGCAAGAAAUCUAUCAUGUUUUAAAUCUUACACAUUUUGACAAUAAUUUGAUAGAUAUUUAAAAUUAACCAUACAGAACCACCAUAAUCUCAGAAUUUCUAUGAUAAAGAAAAUCAAAGCAUUUUGGAGGUAGAGGUGGUGACUGGUGAUGGUUUACUGCUUGCUGGUUCGAGUCGCACGGGUGGGUGCUAGAUUUGGGUCACAUGGGUUCAAGUGUUGGGGUUGGGUUCGCUAAUCACUGUGACCACAUCACGUGGGUGCAGAUUGCUAGGUUUGCUGCCGUCGCCUACUUGAUUCGAGACUUCGCAUGGCUGCUAGCUAUUACGUCGCGUCACAUUAAAACCAUAGAGAGAAAUUUUGCAUCUUAGUAGGGUAAUAAAUUCACUCCAAGAAAUCAUAAUCUCAUUCACAACCCAAUCCUAUCAUUUUCAUUCGCAUUCCCUAAUUUAAUUUUUGCAAGUAAACACACACAAUGAAAAUAAUUUUUCAAUUCAAGGAGUAAAUACACUCUUAAUAGAUUUAAAUAAUCUCACCCAUUGCUAUAGUACACUCUUAUGCUGCGUUUACAUUUUCGAUUAGAGUAGAAAUUCUGAGGAGUAUGAAUCCUAGAAUUAAGAGUGUGGAGUGGGAGUAUGUUGUUUACUUAAACUGAAAUUAGAGUAUAGAAUUGGUAGUAAAUUAUUUUAAAUUACAAUUUUAUCCUUAUUUUAAGAAUUAUAGUUUUUAAUUAUAAAAUUAAUAAAAAAUAGAUUUGAAAAAUAAAUUAUUUAUUUUAUUAUAUUUUUAAAUUAAUAAUAAUGAUUAAUAUUCUUAAUUAUGUAAAUAUUUUUUAUUAAUUUUAAUUUUAAUUAUGUAAAUAAAAAAUUAUUAUUAAGAGCAACACAAAUGAAACAUUAUUAUUAAUAAUAUAAUACAAAAUUAAUAGUUUCUUAGAAUAAAAUAUUGAUUAUUAUUAAUUACUAAUAUUAAAUAAAUGUAAUACUAUUAUUUUUAAAUAAAUAUAAUAAUAUUAUAUUUUUAAAUAAAAAUAGUAUAUAGUAAUAUUAUUAAUUCUCUAUGAGUAUAAUAAUAUUAUUUUUCAGUAAUUUUAACUUAGAAUCAAUAUAAAUUAUUAUUUUUAAUAAGUAUAAUUUAUAAAAUAAAAUAAUAUUAUUAUUUAAAUAAAUUUGAUAUUAUUUAUUUUAUUUUAUUAAAUGUAAGGAUAAAAAUAGAAGAGGGGGGAGUGGAUUCUCACUCCCACCUCCCCCCAUGCCCACUCCCUACUCCAAAAAAAGGUAAGUCCCACGGAGUGGGAUUCCCACUCUCCUUUUAAAAUUAAUAAGUAAACACUGGAGUGGGAGGAAUCCAGAUUCCUCACUUCCACUCCAGCAAGUAAACACUACCUUAAUACUACUCCAAAAUAAGACCAGGCUGUAGCCUAACUUACCCUCUACAAUGCUUCACCAGUGGUCAUAUCAUAGAUGAUGUAAUUUCUAAGAUUUCUUUCUUAUUUAUGUUAAUGUAAAUACAAGUUUAAGGAGUUAAAGUGAGGCAAAGAAAUGGUUAUACAAUAAGUUAGCUAAAAGUAGGGAGGGUUGACAAAAAAGUUGAGGCUGACAAAAGCUGGGCCCACCUACUUAGACCCACCGGCUUUAGCACCAACCCACAUCGUGAGGCCAUGGACAUAGGCCAAAAAUUUAAAAGUCCAUUAUGAAUAGGCUUGGUUAAGGGUAUAAAUUAAAAAAAAACAAUCAAAUCUAUUGAAUAAUCAUCUGUAAUUUAAGUGUUGGACUAUUAAUCUAUUAUGUAUUGGACUAUUAGCACAUUAUGUUUUGGAUAAUCAUUAAAUUAAAAUAACAAAAUUAAAUUUAAAAAAAAUCAAAUAUAUUAGAUAAUCAUCUUUAAUUUAAGCAUUAUACUAUUAGUCUAUUAUGUAUUGGAUUGUCAUCCUUAAUUUAAGUGUUUUUUCUUUACUUUUAGUUUUAUUAAAAAUUUAUUUAAAAAAAUAAUGAAAGCCCAACGAGGCCUAGGCCUAGCCCAUCCAGACUUAGAGGGCCAGCGCUUGUUACCAAUAACAUUAGUCAAUCCUAAGCCCACAAUUUGCAUCCCUAGCUAGAAGUAUGGGUCAACAUGACAUAAUAAAUUAUAUUUUUUACUAAUUAAAAUUUGGAUUGUGACUUAAACUUAGGAUUUAGCUGCAAGGUAGAUAAAAACAUAAAAUAACCAAAUUAAAUAGCAGUAAUUAGCAUCCAAGCCAACAAAUCAGUAGCAUCCUCUAACAGUAAAAAAUAGUUGCAAAACUAGCGGAAAAACAAAGAAUUCGUAGAAGCAUGAAAAUGUGUACUAAAAUAGAGCACUAUCCACCCCUCAAGGAAGUUUUGUUAGUGCAACACAAUGAAUGAUUAUUAAUGCAUUUACAAAUGACUAGAGAAUGUGAAUUUAUAAAAGAAAAUCGAAAGAAAUUUCGAAUAUAGAGAAGACUGAAAAAUUAGAUAAAAACCUAAACAAAAUAACCGUUCAAAACUAGGGUUGGCAAAAUUCCUUGAAUUCUGAUUGAGAUUCGGGAUCUAAGCUCAUUCAGAAUGGGAUUCAGUAUAAAAUUAUCUCGAUUUACUAUUUGAGUCUAAAUUUGGGAUUUAAAUUUGUCUUGAUUCACCAUACAAGAUGGAAUUCAAGAUGUUUAGAAAUAUUGAUCAAGGCAGAAUUUGAGUCGUUUGAAAAUCCCUAUCAAAAUCCUAAAUAGGUCGAAAUCUAGGUUUUUAAAAAUGUAUCACAAGUCCAUUUAAAGAAUCACAUAGAUCUGACAAGUCAGUCGUACAUAUAUGAUAAGUCAUUUUGGUAAACAAUAUAUGUAACAUAUCGGUCAUAAUUGUAUAAAAUGUUGGUUAUAUCUGUAUGAUUAGUUAUUAUAAAAUAUACAGCAUAUGACAAAAAAGCUCAUUUCAUUUGGGAUAAGUCAGGAUCUUGAUCAAGAUUUAAGUUCCCAAUUGAGCCGAGAUUUGAGGCACAUGUUUUUUUUUUAAAAUUUUUUUAGACAAGUUUCUUGACAUAUUAUUUAUCUCAAUUAUCAAUCGGGAUGGGCUCGUCACUCCUUCUUUAGCGAGAAUAUCAUUAAAAUACAAAAAAUACAUAUUUCAAUAAAUUAGAGACUAUAUAUUUUUUUUUAAAAUACAUAUUUCAUACAAAAAGAUCCCUUAGUUUUUUUAUGUUGAAACGUUUGAUGCAUGAGAAACUGUAAGGAGAAACUGUAUAGUGUUGACACGCGGUAGCACUUUCUUCAAGUUUUGAAUAUGAAGUAAGAUAGAAGGACUGGUUGAUAUUUUGCAGCAAGGCAAUAUCGAAAUUUGAUAGGCUUCGGGGUGCUGCUGAAAAUUUUCUCCCACUUCCCUAACUCAGCAACAUGGCCUUACGUGGUCCUUUCAUUAAAACUCGAGAAAUGAUUAGCGGGUUUUAAAUGUUCUGAUAAUUAACCCAUGUAGUACAUCCCAUUAUGUCCCUCCAUUACACGCAUUGUUGCCUCUAGCUGUCCUCCCUUUGGGUACUGAUAAGCAGCGGAUUUUUAGCCCUUGAAUUUCAUAAACAGCGCAAAUUUUUUCCCACCUUUUCAUAUUCUUCGAACCCCUUUUUCAGUGGUCAUUGCCUUAUUGCCAUUAGAUUAAAACCCAUUUAAGUAAGGGAUGAUCUCCCCCUUACACUUGGCUAACCCUUUGCUGUAUGGUUUUUCUUACCCAAAAUCGAUUCCUCUCUCUUUCCUUCAUACUUCCUGCUUCGCUUACUCUCCCCUUUAGCUUGAAGCCCCUGUUUCUGAAAAAUUUGGGCUUUGACUUGUAGGCGCUUUGAAUCUACCCUCUGGCGAGUCCAUCUUCUCCUCCUCUGCGUUUUAUUAUGAGAUUUGCUCUGUUUUACAACUGCACAUUAUGAUGAUGCAGGAGUUCACCGUCCAUCACCUUGGCAUUGCAACUUCUCUUAUUGCUUCUUCAUACUAAGGUUUGACCUUCCUUUCUUUUAUUUUUCUUCUUCCUUUUCUCCGCUCUUCCUUUCUUUUACAUGAUCAUAAAUUCUUCUCUCUCUUUUCUCCUUUUUUUUUAGGUGGUCUGUUGCUCGAUUUCUCACCUCUCUUUCUUCCCUUUCUUUAAAUCUGCUCAUCUUUCAAUCAAAUGAGGUAUGUUUCCCUUCUCUUUCUCCAUUUUUGCUGUUGGCCUUCUUUAGUUUUUGUUUUGUUGGUUCUGUAUUUCGCUGCUUCUAUUUUUCUAUUUGUGUUGGGGUUUGUGAUGAGAGGGUAAUUCAAUAGGUUUGUGACAGUUAUGAAGAGGAAGGUGGAUGUUUUUUAUUUGGAGGAUAAUGAUGAGACGAGUGGGAUAAUGGUGAAUAUUCUCGUUUUAAGUUUGCCCCUCGGCAAUAUUGUUUCCCCACAUUAAGUGAUGAUUAGAGUUAGCAAAAUUUGAUAUGAGCUGAUUAUUUAAUAUGAAUACAACACAAAUAAAUGGGUAUAAGUUAUUAAAUUUAAGGUGAUUUUUUUUAAUGAUGGAUUAGGGUUAAAGUUCUUAACUGAUUUACCUAAUGAAUGAUACAAUUAUACUUUUUAUUUUAAAUUAAUUUUUAGAUUCUUGUUAUUAAAAUUCAAAUAUUAGACAUAAUUCUCUUUUUUUAUUUAUUUUUUCUAAAGGAUGGACGUAUAUACAAUGUUUCAUUUAUAAUAUUUUAUAUAGAUUUAAAAUUUUAAUAGUAAAAUUUCAAUAGUAUAAAUGUGUAAUAUUUUAGAGGAGUGUAUGUAUAAUAGUAUGCAGAUGUUUGAUAUAAAUUUUAUUAAAUAUAUAGAUAUUAAACGUGUUAUUAAAUAACCUAUUUAUUUUCUGUGUCUAGUUUGAAUCUCAAUAUUUUAAUACGAUUAUUAAAUGGGUCAUGUUAAGGUUAACCUAAAUCUGACACGACACGUACGCGACACAAUUAUCCAUUUUACCAACUCUAGUAAUGAUAGUGAUGAGGGUGAAUCCAGGAGUUUAUGAGGGAGGAGGGGAAAACAACAGCCAAGAGUGAUUCUAACGACGACUUUGACAAUGAGAGUACCACGGCUCCUAACCCACACGAAAGUUUACCUUCCAGGAAACUCAAAACGAAGAGUAAACCUCCUAGGGGUGGCCUUAGUUUCAAAGGGAAGAGCCUUGCCAUUUUUCAAAAUUUAAGCCCUCGUCCUGACUCAACCGACAACAUGCUAGAGACCAAAAUAUCUCUUAUUUUAUUUUAGAUUUGUCCUUCUAAGUGAGCUAAAUUCACUAGGGCUGUCCUCAUCCAUGAUUUGCACAUGUGGGCUCAUAUUUUAUUAUAAUACCUUUUCAUGUGUCAGCUUAGUAUUGGCCCGCAAAUAACUUUCCAUAUCUACCCUAAACUAUAUCUAUUGAACAUUCAAUAGGACAAAUAUUACAAAAGAUUACAAAAUAUUUCAGAAGCCACAACAAAAUUCCCCCCCCCCCAAAAUAAAAGAGUAACAAUCUAUUAAAUUCAAGCACAAUCGUUAGAAAAGCACCCCAUUUUUGGAUAUGGAAGAACAUGGAAAAAGAUCAUCAGUUUCCGUUUGUCCAAAAUCACUAAACAAACUACUCUACUGUCAAAUCCAGAAUAUAUAAUCAUUAUGAUACACUGUAAAUAGAAAGACAUCUAUGAAAUAUAUGAUAUAUCUUAUAGCCGGGGACAUAGCCCAGACAUAAACUUCUAAAUAUAAAACGACAGAAACACCUAACUAAUGAUUAACAUUCAGCAUGGGUAUCUGUAAGCACUCAGUGCCAGAGAGACAAUUGAAGAGAGCUUGAAUUUGUAGAUUUUGAUAAGAGUUUUCUGGCUGAAACAGAAUUUCAAUAUUUGAUCUUACAGUUAACCUCUUCCACUCAGAAGUUGAUGCGCCUUGUUCUCGAAAGUCACAAUGAGAGUGAAGAACAUUGAACGUUGAAGGGGCUGCAAAUUGUCAUAAACAUUAUGAUGAUGCAGGAGUUCACCGUCCAUAAAAAAGACAAGAUAUAAGUAUCAGUUAUUUAUAUAAAUAUAUUCUUUACAAGCACAUUACAAAAGCAUAAUAAUAAUAUGGCAGCGAAUCACUUUCCACUGAAAGAGAAUCCCAAGCCUGCUUCAAUGCCAAAUCCACAGCAAUGUCAAUAAUAAUUACAAGUAAACUAUGAAUUUAAAGACUACCUUUAAAGUAGUUCUCACUAUUCAUAUUUUCUCUCACGUCUCUCUACUUCUCACCCACCAGAUGGACAUAUGAACACAAUAUUUACAAGCAUUUAACAACACUUGUAACAAAUGAUUGGUACAGUUAUUGUUGAGUAAUAAAAAAGCACUAGUCAGGUAUGUCUCCAUUUCCUAUCGGGGGGUGAAUCUCCUCGGCUGAAUGGUAUGAGUAGAUUCCUGAUGAUGUCUUCUUUAUAGAGCACGUAACAACUGAUCAGAAACGAAUAACGAUCAGAAAUAAGUACCGACCAAAAAUGAGUACCGGCCAGAAACGCGUACCGACUAGAGACUCGUGUCGUCCAGAAGCUUGUCAUUCAGAAAGAGGACACGAUUCCGCAACAACGCGACAGUUUCGGCACACCCCAAAUUGCUGGGGAGAACACGACACUCCACGUUUGCCCACGUUCGAUUAUUGAAACCCGUUAGGGCCCUUGAUCGCCCGAGUAUGACGGACGUGGGAGAUGUUCUAGAAACAUGGAGUGAUCGCCUAUAAAAGCUGGGAAAUCAGAUUGAGAGGGGGACACAAGAAAAGAAGGGGAAAUUAUGUCAAAUUGGCACUAGAUUUUAAACUUCAGAGAAGCAUCUAAGACACUUUUCUUUGAUUAAAUUUUUAUUAAUUCGCACAAACCUACAUCACACAAUUUUCCCAAAAACCCUGCAUACUGACUUAAGCAUCAGAGGGUUUUAGCUGGGAAAACCACUGGCGCCUCUGAUUUAAUUUUGUGAGCAUAGGUUAGGAAGGAGGAAGAAGGGUGAUUUGAGUCUCAGAAGUUUGUGUAAUUGUAGAAGCUUGUGGAGUGCAGUGUUUUCAUCAUUGUCAAUACAACCGUUGGUGAGCCAAUCUGGUUAGGCAGAUGACGACCAGAUUUCAGCAUCAAUAUUUUGGCACUGUCUGUGGGGAUCUGAAUAAAAAGCUAUCACAAAGAUAGUAAUCAUCAGAGGAGCAGCGAACGAAUAGUUAUGGAUGUGACAAGGAGUGGCGCCCUAGGGGGCGACAAUGACACCAGUGAGACAAUCACCCUCUGAGAGAUAGCAAAUGAGGUUAGGGAGAGAGUGAUGCAAGAGCGAAUGGAGAAGCAGAUGGAGAUCCUUACCACUAUAUUGCAUAAGCUGAUGGAUGAGCGGAGAAGGGAUUAUGAGACCAUCGUGACGAGAGAUGAGGCCACUGCGGAACCCAGCCAUCGAAGGCAUAGAAAUGAGGAGGUUCCUCCGUUGGGGGGACAGGCCUAUGGGUACAUCCCCAUAGUAUGUGAAUGAAGGGAGAGACCAAUCUCGCUCUGGCCGGGUUCUGGGAACUGAUAGCCGAAGAGCAAACGCUAAGGAAAGCGAGCUCAGACAGCGGCUGCAUGACAUUGAACAGGAGCGCGACUAGGUUACUGCACGUGAUGCUGGUCGAGCUUUGGAAUUGGAUGGAGAGGUGUGACGAUUGGCACAUGUGAUAGAUGAGAUGCAGGGCAAACGAAAGCCCCCUAGUUGGAGGAUAAUGUUAGAUGAUAAAUCUCCACUGUUAGCAGAGAUCAUGGGUACUAUGAUCCUGAGGGAUUUCCGUUUUCCCGACCUCAAGUAUUCUGGGAGAAGUGGCCUACUGAUGCAUAUUGAACAUUUCAAUGAUAUGAUAGGUGUGCAGGGGUUAGCACUAGCACAGAGGUGUAGGGUAUUCCCAUUGACAUUAGAGGGACGAGCUCGAGAAUUGUACCGUAAGUUGCCGCGUGGAAGUAUAAGAGGCUACGAGCAAAUGUGCCAAGAGUUGACCGAGCAAUUCCGCGGAGUGAUAGCCCUAGAGGACGAUAUGAUAGAAUUAAUGAGAAUGAAACAAGAGGAGCACGAAUCUCUUUGAGAUUUUGUGAAGAGAUAUCAUCCGGCAGUACUUGACUUGGGGGUUUUUAAUCAUCCUCAAGCAUUAAAAGGGUUAAAAGAAGGGGUGAUGAUAGGUCGAUUGUGGUACAACUUGAGAAACCCUGUUAUUUAGAGUUAUUCAACGGGGUAUGAGCAUACGAAGAGGGAUAUAGAAAUCGAGGAGGAGAAAACGGUGAGAAUAAAUAGUGAACAGUUGGAGGAGCUGAGGUGAAAGGAGAAGAAAGUACCGAAUGGGAGUGGGUCACAAAAGCGAAUUGGGGAAUCAUCAGCUAGUGGGGGAGCAUUGGCUCGGUCUCGUCCUUAUCAAAUGGUUCAAAGACCGCAACAGUUCCAGCAUGGCCGAGCUCAGCAUCAGCGCUCCCCAUUCCCGGAACGGCAACAAGAAUUAUGGCAGAUGGUUGCCCAUCCUUAUCACAACAUUCCAAGGACAUUUAAUGGAGUUAACCCUAGGGUUGGUCAACCAAACCAGCCACCCCCAAUGCCCGAGAUGAUUUUCACGACAGCCGAGCAGUCCAACUGUUUGACUCAACGGUUGGCCACAGCCUGCUCAGUUUUAUAGAUGCCUUUUUUGGAUACAACCAGAUACCCAUGGACAAACAUGAUGAGGAGAGCACUACAUUCAUCACUAACAUGUGUUUGUUUUGUUACAGGGGUGAUGUCAUUCAGUUUAAAGAAUGCAGGAGCCACUUACCAAAGAUUGGUAAACAAAAUUUUUAAACCGCUGAUCGGACGCACAAUAGAGGUGUACGUGGAUGACAUGAUUACAAAGUCCAAGAACUCAGCAGAUCAUGUGUGGCAUUUGGAAGAAACCUUUGAGCUACUGAGGAAGUGCAAAAUGAAACUAAAUCCCGAGAAAUGCGCAUUUGGGGUUAGCUCGGGUAAGUUCUUGGUAUUCCUAGAGAGCCACUGAGGAAUAGAUGCCAACCCAUAGAAAAUACGGGCAGUAGUGGAGAUGAAGUCUCCUCGAACAGUCAAGGAGGUGCAAAGCCUCACGGGGAAGUUGGCAGCAUUGAACCGAUUCAUUUCAAAGGCCACAGAUAAAUGUCACAAUUUCUUCUAAAUUAUGAGGAAAUGAAGAAAAAUGGAGUGGACAACAGAAUGCGAGGAGGCAUUUGGGUAGCUGAAGGAGUAUCUCGCCCGUGCCCCAUUGUUUUCAACUCCAAGGGAGGGCGAUGAGUUGUACUUAUAUUUGGCUGUCUCCAAGUGGGCUACCGGUUUGGUGUUGGUUAGAGAAGAUGAAGGAAAGCAACAUCCAAUGUACUACACCAACAAAGCCUUGGUGGACGCGGAGACUAGGUAUCCCGCGAUGGAGAAAUGGGCGUUCGCCUUAGUAACAGCGGCGCGUAAGCUCAGACCAUACUUCCAAGCGCACCCGAUAAUUAUAUUGAUUGAUCAACCUAUUCGACAAAUACUCUUGAAACUGGAUGCAUCUGGUCGCUUAGUUAAAUGGUCAGUGGAGCUGAGCGAGUUUGACAUAACCUACCGACCCCGAGGAGCCAUUAAAGCACAAACCCUGGUCGACUUUGUGGUGGACUGUACAGAGCUGAUGAAAGGGUUCACGAGGAGCAACCAGCUGAAAAAGAAAGGCCAGAAGGGGUAUGGUUAAUAAUGAUUGAUGGGUUACGCAAUGACCAAUGAUUUGGAGCAAGGGUGGUGAUACGUAGUCCAGAGGGGGCCGAGGUGUCCUACGCAGUAAAGUUUGAGUUUCAGCUCACGAAUAAUCAGGCGGAGUACGAAGCCUUCAUUACUGGGCUUAGGCUAGCGCAUGCAUUAUGAGCAGAAAGGGUCGAGAUCCGAGCAUAUUCCCAGCUUGUCUGUAAUAAGUUUAAUGAGCAUUUUCAGGCAAGAGGAGAGAAGAUGGAGCUUUAUUUGAAGAAGGCAAAGUAAAUAAUUGUGCUAUUAUGAGAGGUUGAAAUAAAGCAGAUAGCAAGGACAUAAAACUAUCAAGCAGAUAUGCUGGCUAGAAUGGAUGCAACUGCAUAUCUGAAGUUGCCCAAGUCAGUCCCACUGGAAGUGAGAACUUCGUCAAGCAUUGGGGUAGAAGCAGAAGUAAUGGGGGUGGACGAUGGAAGAUCCUGGAUAGAUCCAAUUCUCUCAUAUAUUCGUGAUGGCAUCUUACUAGUGGAUAGAAAGUAAGCGAGAAAGUUGAAAUAUUGGGCAGCCACAUAUACAUUGCUUGAUGGGAUACUUUACCACCGUGGGUUCACCUUAACACUCCUGAGAUGCUUAGAUGACGAGGAAGCAAACUAUGCGUUGCAGAAAAUACAUAAAGGAAUAUGUGGCAAUCAUUCGGGAGUAAGGACUUUAGCAUUCAAGGCACUGCGAUAGGGAUAUUUUUGGCCGACCAUGCACUAAGAUGCAAAGGAAAUGGCCAGAAAUUGCAAAGUCUGCCAAAGUUUCUCAAAUGUCCGUAUUCAGUCUCCAAAAAAGCUGACCGCUAUGUCAUCUCCUUGGCCUUUUGCACAAUGAGGGAUUGACCUAAUUGGGCCCUUGCCUAGAGGAUGAGGAGCCGUAACACAUGCAAUUGUGGUUAUAGACUACUUCACAAAAUGGGUAGAAGUUGAGGUUUUAAGCCAGAUCACAGAGAAGAAGACAACCGGUUUCGUUUGGAAGAACAUCAUUUGUAGAUACGGGAUCCCUUAUACAAUCAUAACCGAUAAUGGAAGACAAUUUCACAACCAUAAUUUUAAGGAGUUUUGUCAAAAUUUGGGUGUUGAAUUGAAGUUUUGCUCUCUGGCACACCCCCAAGCAAAUGGACAGGUAGAAGCAGCCAACAAAGUCAUAAAGAAGCCCCUGAAAACUAGGUUAGGAGAGAAGAAGGGAGCCUGGGCCAAUAAAUUGCCAGGGGUAUUAUGGGCCUACCGGACAACACAUAAAACCGCAACUGGAGAAACCCCAUUCGCCUUAGCCUUUGGUCAUGAGGCUGUGGUCCCAGCAGAAAUCGGAGUAAGAACACAUCGAAUAGAAUAUUUCAGUGAGGAGCAGAAUGACGAGCAAAUGUGUAUAAACCUAAAUUUGAUGGAGGAUAAGAGAGAAAAAGCCUUGCAGAAGGUAGCUCAGUGUCAGCAGAGGAUCAUACACUACUACAACCGAAAUGUGCGCAUAAGGUAAUUCUGAGUCGGGGAUUGGGUUCUCAAAAAAGUAAACCAGAACACGCGAGAUCUUAACCAGGGUGUUCUUGGCCUGAACUAUGAAGGCUCGUAUAGGGUAAUACGAGCAACUAGCCCGGGAUCUUAUAAACUGGCCUACCUAGAUGGACGGGAGGUGAAUAGAUCAUAAAACGUCGAACACUUGAAGAAAUAUUUCCAGUAAGCAAAGUACUUUGUGAAAUCCUUUCAUUAAGUUAUCCCCGCUAGUUGUAAUGAGAAGUUGUUGCAUGUGCAUAUGUUUUAUUUUACUGUAACCCUUUAAAUAUUCAACAACUAUGAAUUCCAUUUACAGACAUCCUAUCAAAAUGAUUUUUAAGGCAAAGAUGUGCCCAUUCCUGCUCAGUCACUUAAGGACGAGCAAACAAAAUCAACAAAUUUCGUUAAGGCAAAGAUGUGUCUAUUCCUACUCAGUCACUUAAAGACGAGCAAACAAAAUCAACAAAUUUCGUUAAGGCAAAAUGUGUCUAUUCCUACUCAGUCACUUAAGGACGUGCAGACAAAAUCAACAAAUUUUGUUAAGGCAAAGAUGUGCUUAUUCCUGCUCAGUCGCUAAAGGAUGAGCAUACAAAAUCAAUAAAUUUUGUUAAGGCAAAGAUCUGCCUAUUCCUGCUCAGUCGCUUGAGGACGAGCAGUCAAAAUCAACAAAUUUUGUUAAGGCAAAGAUGUGCUUAUUCCUGCUCAGUCCCUUAAGGACGAGUGGGCAAAAUCAACAAAUUUUGUUAAGGCAAAGAUGUGUCUAUUCCUUCUCAGUCCCUUAAGGACGAGCAUAAGGCAAAGAUAUGUUUAUUCCUGCUCAAUCCCUUAAGGAUGAGCAGGCAAAAUCAACAAAUUUCGUUAAGGCAAAGAUAUCCCUAUUCCUGCUUAGUCGCUUGAGGACGAGCAGACAAAAUUAACAAAUUUCGUUAAGGGAAAUAUGUGCCUAUUCCUGCUCAGUCGCUUGAGGAUGAGUAGACAAAAUCUAUAAAAUUCGUUAAGGCAAAAAGUUGCCCACUCCUGCUCAGUCUCUUAAGGACGAGCAGACACAAUUUACAAAUUACUUUCAAGGCAAAAACUCACCAAAACCCACUCAGCCGUCUGAGGACCGGCAAAUAAAAUUGAAAAUCUCUUUAUUGUUAUAACACGAGUAGGCAAAACUCGCAGGAAUUUUCUAAGGCAAUCCAUAAGGAAAAGUCUAGCAAAGAAACAAUUAGAAAGUAUCAAAAGUCUAUAAAAACUCUAACAUUUACAAGGAGAAAGUUUAUGAUUUACAUGAAGAUCAAAGUUUAUGGGUCAUUAAUAGGAGGCAAUAGCUUCAACGGAAGGGGAGAUCUGCAAUCUCAGGCAAAGAGAGACCAACAACUUUUCAAGAAGUAGGUGCUGACUCCUGACCUGUGCCCAAAGUUUGGUCCCCUGUCUCCUUUUCCUGCUCUCCACCCAGUAGGACCUCUUCCUGGUUCUUGUCCCUCUGGCCUUGCUCAGCCAUGUACUCCUGAACGCGCGCUUCCAGUUUAUUCAUUUUCAGCUCGGAAUAUUUCUUAAGCACGAACAUGAUACAUUUAUAGCAAAAAAUGAGCCCAGAAUCGUACUCUGCAUCCAGUCGAUCGUUCACAUUAGUAGAUUUACCCUUUAACUCAACUAUUUGCGUGUCCAAGGACUUGAUCUGUUCUUCGUAUGCCGUCUUCUGAGUAUCUCGCUCACUUUGAGCAGCCUCGAGAUCAUACUUCAGGUUAGCCAGCUCACUCUCAAGCUGAGAACACUUAGACAUAGCAAGAGCAACCUUCUCCUCCAGGUCCAUAACCUGUCGGUGCAACCCUUUAGAGGGAGCGUCCCAGCUCGCCAAGAUCCAUGCUCUCAACAUCUUUAACCAAUUUGGGCCCCACUGAUUUGGUGUAGUCCCUCUGAUAUAAGGCCAAAUGAUCGCCCCGGUUCCUCUGAUACGAAGUCCGAUCCUUGGACGCAGCGCUGCCCUUAGGACUCUUUUCGUGAGGCCUCUCUCCGCCAUUCUUUCGGGUCGAAAGAGGGGGCAGAGCAGGAGCAGGGGAUUUAGAAGGACCGACGACAUUGAUAUACUUCUUGGGAGAGGGUGCGCUGCUGGAUUACCCCGUCACCUGAGCACAUUUCCUAGACAUGGCGCUAAGGAUCUUGUUAUCCAUCCCGGCAGCAAUGUUAACCAAGCGGGACUCGACGAGACUUGUUGGCGACAAGAGGUCCUGGCAGGUGGAGGCGUUGACCAGAGCAGUUUCAACUUUGAGCAAUGGGUCGUCGUCAAGUCUGCUGACCAGGCCCCACGAGUCUGAAAAUAUAGACAAGGUUAAGGAAAAGGAUAAGCCACAACCAGAGAAGUAAAGCAUAAAGAAAAAUAAACGACCUGGGGUGACAAAAUGUGUGGGGAGGUGAAUGUCACCACUAAGCGACUGAAUCGCUGGGCACCAAUUUCCCCCAGCGAAGAAGAACUUGUUUUUCUAAUUUUUACAUGAAGAAGGAAAGUUGGUAAUGGGUUUCCUCUUCACGAAACUCGACAUGAAGUAAUAUCAGCCCACUUCCUUUGGACUGCUUCUCAGCUGAUACAAACUUUUUAUCUCCUCGGUGGUAGGCUCCCCGAGCUGGCAUCUAUCCCAUAAUACAAACAGGCCUGAGAGGACCCUCCACCCGUUCGAUUGUAACUGGUUGGGAGCCAGAUGCAUGCCACUUAGUACCUUGGUAAAAUAGGGCUGAAGAGGCAAUUUAGCUCCUAGUUUGAAGCUCUCUAAAUGCAAAGUUACGUAACCUCUAGGGGGUCGACUGAGACCAUCACCUUUCCUAGGGAUGACGAGGAGAACAUGAUUGGGGAUUUGGUACAGGUUUCUCAGUUUAAAUAGGUCAGUUUGGGUAGUGGUACAUUUGAGGAAGUCAAUGGAGGUAGGAAUCAACUUUCAUUCUAUGACCGGGGUUCUUUUUCUUAGUUGGUCGGCUUGGGUCGAAGUACUCUCCUCGUUAUCACUUUCUUCCUCAGGGAUCUCGACACCAUCAGUUUCAUCUUCUCUUAACUGCUAAUAUUUAACUAAACAUAUUUGAAAAAAAGGAAAUUAUUAAAAUUGAAAAACACAUAAUUAAAAGAUAUGGAAUUUGAAAAUUGAAAUAAAACUAAUUUUAUUUAUUAAAAUAUAUUAUAAAGAGAGAUGAGAAGAAAAAUUUGGGGGGAAAGAAAGAAGAGAAGAGAAGUUGUGUUCCUCCCCCACCUCUAUUUAUACUAAUAUAUGGUAAAUCCGCACCACACAAAUAAAUAAAUUUAAUUACAUUUUAAUCUUACAUUAGUCCCACUAAUAAAGCACAAAGCAAACUUAAUCCACUAAAGCACAUCUAACACAUUCCACUAACAAUUACCAUACCUAAUAUGAUAAAAACUUAUAAUUUUACAAUUACUAUAUUUAUCGUGGUAAAAACUUAAAAUUUACAACAAAAGUCUCGGAUCCUCCUCGAUAAUGACAUAAUUUCUCGGACUUUUAGAAUCUAAAUUUGACAUCUAUACAUUUAUUUGGAGCCACAAAUUGCAUGAAAUUAUUAUUUUUACCUAAUAAACACACAAAAAUACACAAAAUCAAAUACUUAGAAAAAUAAUAAGAAAUUCACAAUAUAUUACACAAUUACAAAUAUAAGUUACAAUAAUAGCAUAAAAUAAUAUUUUUACCCCUUAAUAAAUAUAUAAUUUUUGACACUAAGGCAUAAGGGGCCAUCAAGAAGCUAAACUUGGGGGAUGCAGAAUGCUCGAGCAAUUGACAGUGGAACAGAUAAUGCGAGCAAUUUAAAAGGACAAGAAGCUUUUACCACAAAAAAGCAAUUAUAAAUUUCCUAGUUCACCAAACAUAAUAACUUUUGUCAUUCAAUUCUAAAGUAGAGGUCGUAAAUCAAUAUUAUAUAAAAAGGAAAAGAACAAAGAUUUAUGAUUUGUUAAACAACCUGCCAUAAUAAUCUCAGAAGUACAAGAAAAUUACUCAAAUUUUGCCACAUAGGGCGUCUUUUAAAUACGAACGCAAAAUUUAAAAUUCCCCCCAAAAAAUAAAUAAAACAUAUGGUCCAAACAGCAGCUAUCUCAAAAAGCUAUAUCCUGCUCAUUCAAAAAAAAAUAAAAAUAAAUAAAUAAAUAAAAGAGACGGAAAAGACAAAAAGAAAAUAGGAAGCCUACAUUUUCAUAAACCCAUGUUUCGAACUGUGUUUCUAACACCAGUGCCAUUUCCAGAAUUGGACACCAAUUGUGAACCAGUUUUAGAGCAAUACGCCAAUACCGUUGUUAGAUUUUUAAUACCAAUAUUGGCCGCUUACUUAGCUUCAGCUUUUGAGUCAAGCAGUUUUUUAACAUGGUACCAAAGCUAAGGUUUACCCCGACAUUGUAUGCACUUUUGUCUCCAUUAAUUUCCUAGUAAUUUCAUGGACUUUUUAUUAUUAUUAGACAAGGAUCCACAUGGAUAUAUCUUGAUUUCAUCCGGAUUUCAGAGGAUCCAUGGUACACGUGAACGGACACGUUAAAGUUUACUUGCUGAAGUGGUUUCAUAAUACGAUUGGGACCUAGCAUACGUACUAAAGUGGUUUCAUAAUGCAGUCUCCCACGAGAACAAAAAUUAAAAACACUUCUAUUUAAGAUUGUCUUUGUUAUAUCUUCAAUUAGCAUCUUCAAAUAUACUUAUGCAUUUCUUUGUUCAUAGCAUCCUACAAUCCUUAUUAGCCACCAAUCUCAUUCACAGAUCGAAGUUACCACAAUAAUACAUCUUAUGCAGGAGAUUCAACAGUGUUGCAACUUGCAAGUUCAGUUGUCCAAUCAGUUUAAAUGUCUCAUAUGGUACUCACAACAACUUCCAAACAGUUUUACAAAAUGCAAAUAGACAAAAUACAAUAAUAUGGGGAUAAAUAAAAUGAGCUUUCGUGUUUUUGAGGCACAAAUGGAAGCAUAACUGUCCCACAUUGGAGCUGUCCGAAGAAUAAAAUUGAUUUUGGGAUGAUCUUGUUGGGAUAAGAAAGCCUUUGGUGAAAACUAUCACUUGUAAUUCAGGAACAUUUAUGUUGUAUCACCAAGAAUCAAUAACAAAAUUAUUCGGAAGUAUACUUGAAUUCAUAAUGCUUAAUUCCUUUAUGGAGUAGUGUGGUUGACCUUCUAGAUCUACACAUUCUCGUAGAGAGUCCUUUAAUUGUCUUUGCUCUCUCUCAGUGACUCCAAAACGGGAUGUGGUACUAGCUGCAAUCCUGUAGAAGUAUUUUCUGCAACAUGAUUUCUAGAACAAGAGGUCAAGUGGUUUGGUAGUUGCUGCGACUCAGAGAAAGCAAUUACCUGUCCACUGUCAAAUUGAGAAUUCAAUAAAUCACCACCAAAACUAGGACCAUUAGAAUAUGACGAUUCCUGCUCCAGAGAAGUUGGUGACUGCAAUGCCAGGAAACAGUCAUUAUUCAGCCCAUUAAAGCUGCCAUGUGUAUUGAAUUCUGCAGGAAUUCCCCGGGUACCGAGCUCGAAUUCUCUACAACAUCAAUAGAAUAAGUAGCCCGUUGCUCAUCUGGUGAUCUCCAUGACUCCAAAACGGGAUGCAGUACUAGCUGCAAUCCUGUAGAAGUAUUUUCUGCAACAUGAUUUCUAGAACAAGAGAUCAAGUGGUUUGGUAGUUGCUGCGACUCAGAGAAAGCAAUUGCCUGCCCACUGUCAAAUUGAGAAUUCAAUAAAUCACCACCAAAACUAGGACCAUUAGAAUAUGACGAUUCUUGUUCCAGAGCCCAUUGCUCAUCUGGUAGUCUCAGUGACUCCAAAACGUCAUGUGGUACUAGCUGCAAUCCUGUAGAAGUAUUUUCUGCAACAUGAUUUCCAGAAUAAUGAAUCAAACAGUCACUCGGUGAUAAUCCCGAAUCCAAACUAGUGGUAGCUGCUGAGUCUUCAUUACAAGAAAACAAAUUCUCACUUGGUUGUAGAUGAUUCUUCAAAUUUAUAUUUUCUACAAUUUGAGUUGUUUUAGAAACCAAAUGUCGAUCUGGUGGUUGAGCAGAUUCUAGAGACAUAUCUUCCACAACAUUGAUGCUAGAACUAGAAGCAAAAUCUUGACUUGAUUGAUGUUUAUCAGUAGUUGAAACACCAAGCUUUUUAUCACAAGUUUUUCUUUCUAGGCGACACACGACAAAGUUUUCCUACACAAAUAAAAAGCGAGAAUAGAAUAAGUUCACAUUAUUGACUAUUGUGUUCUGAAUUAUGUUUUCACUAAACUAUUAAACCACAUAGCUCAAUAGGAUCCUAAAUUGGAACUUUCUAGUAUUUGCAAAACAUGUCCAAUUUAUUCUAAACAAAGCUCGCACCUUAUAGAGAGGGUCAUCCGCAAUAGCUAUCUCGUGCAUAAGCCACUUUGUGUUAACUUUCUCGGAAGUAGCAUCGUUGUGGAUAAAAACAAGAUAGUCUUUGUUACCAAUCACCUCAGUACUGUUUUUCCGCUUCAUCUCAGAAUCACUGCCAGUCUUUUUCCAGGUUCCUGACUUGGUUUUUCUAUGUUGUUGUUGUCCUGACCGUUUCCGCUUGGCACCCCUGUACUUAGGCUUAGAGAAAAAGUAGCACACAUCUUGCAUAGACUGAAACUCAGAAAGCCCUGCAUGACAAAAAUUCAUUAACCCAAGAUAUUAGCUACUGAAAUUAACCCAAGAUAUUAGCUACUGGACUAACUCCAAUUACAUCGUAUAGUGCUUGUUGGGCGUGAUACUUACCGGCUAGGUCCCAGGGGUCAAAGCUAUAAAAAUCAAUUUCCUUGAUCGUUUCAACAGAGAAACCACGGUCAAGCCUCUUCUUCUUCAGGAGAUCAAUGAUUUCUUCAUCCAAUGGCCGGAAUCCAAUGCCUGUGAGACUGUCCAUUUCUGAUUCGCACACACGAGAAACAGAGGUUAAGAGCUAUAUCUGUAUCAAUUUGGUCCGCGAACAGUCAGUGGGUAGUAAUACUAUUUGAAAAUGAAAUUUAGACAAGUAACACCAGGAUAGCAGAAAGGGUAAAGGACACAGACACCCCUAACGUUUGAAUAAGGGACAUAAAACUCCCUAAUGUUUCAAAAAAGACACUCAGACCCCAAUUAACUAACGGAAAUCGUUCCGUUAAAUCAUUAAAAGGUUAAAAUCGUAAUUACAAAUUAAAAACAAGUGAAUUGACUAAAAACCCACACACGCAUCACACGCACAAACAAACCCCACGUACACACGCACUGAUACUGAUUUCAGACAAAUCUUUUAACACACUCACGGUUUGCCUCGCCGAAUGCUGCUGGGGCUGCCGGAAGUUGCUGCUCGCGUUACCGGAAGCUGCUGGAACUGCUCGUGCGUGGAUCGAGACCGAGUCUAGUUGCCGGAUCUGCUGUCGAUCGACGUUUGGUUGUUGCUUGUGUUGUUGGAACUGCUGAAAUCUCGCGUUUGGCUGUUGGAACUGCUCGCGUUUGGCUGCUGGAAUUGGUCGCGUUUGGCUGCUGCUUGUGUUCGCGUUUGGCUGCUGCUUGUGCUCGCGUUUAGUUGCUAGUUGUGCUCGCUUUUGGCGGCUGGUUGUGCUUGCGUUUGGCUGCUGGUUGUGCUCGUGUUUGGCCGCUGCUUGUGCUCGGGUUUGGCUGCUGCUUGUGCUCGUGUUUGGUUGCUGGUUGUGUUUGUGGGAUAAAUUGGACAAUGAACAAUUAGUUUUUAAUAUGCUAUAAGGGUAUAAUGGUAAUUGCACUUUAAAAUUAUAAUUUCUGUUAAAACAAACGGUUUCCGUUAGUCAAUUGGGGUCUGAGUGUCUUUUUUGAAACAUUAAGGGAUUUUAUGUCCCUUAUUCAAAUAUUAAGGGUCUCUGUGUCCUUUUCCCUAGCAGAAAUGAAAGGGAUAUAUAUAUAUAUAUAUAUAUAGUGUUCUGUUAACAAAAAGUAUUAACACGUCGUUAUUGCACGUCAUUCUACCUCUGUGGCUCGACUUAAUUUCUGCGCAUAGUGAUAGUGAUGUUUCCCAACGGCGUUAAGGUGGAAAUAGCGAGAGUGUACAGAAGUAGUGGAUCGUGUUUGAUGCUCCGUGAACGAGUGAUGAGUGAUAUAUAUAUUUGUAAAAUGUAGAAGAUUAAUAAUAAAUUGCAUUAAAAAGGAGCAAAGUUAUUCUAUCUAUCAAUAUAUACACACACACACACGAAACAAGGCCCAAGUAUGGCAAGUAAGUCAUAUGGGUUAAAUUAAAUACAACACCUUUUUUUUUUCGUUUAGAAGAACCCAAAGACUCCCAAUCUUGAUUAGUUCAAUGGCUAACAACUUAACAAAGCAACUACAAUUACUAUGACCCAACGAAAAAUAAAAAAGGAAUGGCUCCGCAUGGCGCAUACUAAGAUAUGAUAAGAAAUUUGAAGAAUUUUUUCAGUAUGCUAUAGUUUAUCCACCUAAGUUAUUUUAAGUGAGGACCACAUUUGAAUCAAGAAAGGAAAAAAACAAACUUGACAUAGUGUCCUGUAAAUACAACACAAACCUAUCACCAAAUCAUAACUUAAAAACUUAAAUGUACACUUAGGUGACGUUUAUUUUUUUGUCUAAAAUCUGAAUAGACCUGAAUUAGUCUGAAUUCUGAAUAGGUCUGAAUGUCUGAAUCUGAAUCAUAUGUUUGUUUUUUCGUCUGAAUCUCAGAAAAUAAGUAUUAAGUUGUUUGUUUUUUUCAAUUUAAAAAGCUAAAAAUAUGUAUUUUUAUAUUUGUAUCCUUAUUAAAUUUGAAUGUCAAAUAAAUAAUAUAUUAAAUACCACAAUAUUUUAACAUUUAUAAGUAAAAUCAUAUUCAAGUAAAUACAUAAUUAUUUUAAAAUUUUAAUAUAUAAAAUACCAUAAAUUUCAAAUUUUAUCGUAUAUAAUAUAAGAAAAAAAACAGGGAUAUUUUUAUGUGGGGUAAAUAUCUAUGGGUGAGUUUUGGGAUAGAUAUGAAAAAUAAAUUAUAAAACAUAGAUAUUUUUGACAUUAGCAAGUAAUUGACUUAAUUCAUAUUUCUGCAUUAAGUAAAAAGCCAAAAAAAUUAACUUAUUUUAUUAAGUCAAAAUUAUCUAAAAAGUCUCAUUAAGUUAUAAAAACAAACACCUCUAAUUAACUUAAUUAUUUAAGUUAAGUCACUUUAAGUCAUUAAGUUAAAAAACAAACGCCACCUUAGUAACUUUAUUAAACCAUCAUUAUUUUUGGGAAAACAAUACUACAAUAAACACACAAAAGAACGACAACAAAACAUGGCAACGAAAGCAAAAUACUCUAAAUAAGCAUAACAAAAUAAAAGAACCAAAAAAAUAACAAAAAUUAGAAAACAAAAGAGAAAAAUGAAAAUUGACGAAUUGUUAUUAUAUUUUGGGUGUGGAUAUUUUCAUCUCAUUAUUAUUUUUUUAAAUCCAUCUCAGUUUUUAAAAUUAAAUAAUUAUAACAAGUUUACAUUAUUUUCAAAUAUACAAAUUAACAAAAAAUUAAGACAAUUAAGGAUUUAUAAUUUUUUUUAAAAUAUGAUCUUUGAUUAUUACAACCACUUUACGAUAAGUUUUUUUUAACUAUUUUAACCUUAUAAUGUAAAAUAACCAAAUUAUCCCAAAAAUACGAGCUUUUGUAUCUGGUAGUUUAGGUAUUGAAUUAAAUUUUUAAACUUUUUCUUUAUUUAAGUUUUUAAAAAAUAAUGUGAACUUAUUGUAAUUAUUUCUUAAGUGAAGUGGGUUAACAAAACUUGUGAUGUUGAAAUAUCAUUAUCCAUCUAUUUUUUAGGGUCCUUUUCAAAAUUGCCUAACUUAAGUUCUCAAUGAUUGCAUUUUUAUCAUUUAGGUCCUUAACUACCGACUAAAUUCGACCAAUUUAGAGAGAUUUUGAUGAUGUAGUUUAGGGCUGGCACGGGUCGGGUUGAAUUUUUUCAACCCGACCCGACCCAUUACAUUUUUCAACCCAACCCAACCCGCAAUCGAGUUGGGUUGGACUUUUGAAAAAUCUCAUUUUUAUGGUCUGAACAAAAAUAAAUUAAUUAACUGAAAUUUUUAAAAAGCACAAUACUAAAAUCCUUACAACAAAUUAAACAUUUCAAAGUUUAACAAUUAAAUUAUUAAUACAUAACUAAUGAAAAAAAAGUCCAUAAAUUUAAAAUCUUGUUUAAUACAAAACAGCAAAGUCUAAAGAGUGAGACCAAUGAAUAAGAGAAAAAAAGAGCAUGACUUAUUAAUACUGAAAAUAUUGCUGCAGAACAAUACCCAACAAAUGUUUGUCGAAAAACCUUUUCCCAAAGAUAGUAAUAAUCAUUAUUAUUAUAUUCAUGUUAAUUUGAUUGAGCUUGACACCAUCAUAACAACUAAAAAUUGACCAACUUUUAUCAAUAAAAAAUAUUAUAAAGCACCAAAUCAAAUGGGCUAAACCUUUUAACAAAAAAAAUUGAUCAACUUGUUUCAAAACAAAUUAAUCAACUUGUUUCAAAACAAAAAAUUAAUCAACUUGUUUCAAAACAACUUGUUUCAUCAUCCUUAACAUGCGUAUUUUUCUUGCCCUUUCCUAACUUCUAACACAAAAGUAAGGGGUCGGAUGUGUUACCUGUUACCAAAGAAAGUUUAAGACACCGCCUGGCCGGCCACUUUCCUUUAUGAUUCCUUCUCUGCUUGUAGCGUUUUACCCUUGUGGGUCACCCACUCACCAUCCUUCUCCCUCGCAAUCCUGCUACAGAAAUCUUGAAUCUUCAGCUUCUUUGGUUUUAUGUCUUCCCAAUUUAUAGAAGAUUUUCAACAGCAUAUUUGAAAUGCAAAAUAUUACUCUGCAAAAUAAUCAUGUGCCCCUCCUCCAAGAAGAAGUCUGCUCGGAUUGGAUGGUUUUUUUUUUUAUAAAAAAAAAGGUGCUCUGCAAAAUAAUCAACAGGUCCCCCUCUUCGAAGAAGUAGUUUGCUCGUAUUGGAUGGUUUGCUCUUUUUUCAAUUUUAAAAAAAGGCACAAGAAAACAAGACUUUCGAAUACAAUUGAGAUGACCAAGAAAGUCCUACACACGUACAGAUUCCUGAUGACUUCAUAUUGUUCAUUCAUUGGUGGAUGUGCACGAGCCAGUUACAUCUCUGCUUGUACUCUUUGAACAGGCAAUUUCUGAUUUUCUAUCUCUUGCCGUCAAACAAGCUUUUCUAUAUAUAUAUAUAUAUAUAUAUAUAUAUAUAUAUAUAUAUAUGUAUGUAUGUAUGCAUGAAUGUAUGUAUAUGUAUAUUUUCUAGUGAAAAUAUCCUCACUUUGUAUUGCAAUCUUUAUUUUUUUAUACUUCACUAGAAUUUGGUUGGCUCAUGUAGUCCAAAUGAUCUCGUACCACGGCGUAUCUAGAAUAAUAGUGAUUAGCGAAAAAAAAUUAUUCGCAUUAGACAAUAACUAUAUACACAAACACACAGACACAAAGUUUACUGUAGAACAUUUGGAUACUUGCUGAAUUUUUAUUAUGGUGCCGAAAUUCAUUCAGCAAUUUUUAUUAUGGUGAAUUUAGAACAUUUGGAUCCCUGGUGAAUUUUUAUUAUGGCGCCUAAAUUCAUUCAGCAAUUUUAAUAUUAGUCAAAAAUACAUAAAAUAGCUCAAAGUGAAUGAGCAUUAUAAAAAUAAAUAAAUAAAAAUAAUACAAGUUUCAAGCAUAUUAUUUACAAUGGUAUCACUUUAAAAGUUGAGAUGAUGAAUAGAUGAUUGGAUAAUGGCUAUAGACUUCGUAUUUUUAAAAAUUUACUUUUUGUUUUUCAAGGGAGCUAAUGAAUAUAAUAAUUUUCUUUGUAGUGAAUAGGGUAAGAAAAUUUUUUGUUUAUUGAAUUUUGAGAUUAUAAGAUUUUAAUAGAAAUUAGGGAAAAGGACAAACACACCCCCAACGUUUAGGCAAAGAGACAAAAACCCCCUUAAUGUUUCAAAAAAAAUAUUUAUACUCUAAUUUAUUAUAAUUUUACCAUUAUACCCUUCUAGCAUAUAAAAAAAAAUUAUUAGAUUAUCCAAUUUGUCUAUAUAUUGUUAAUGAAAUUAUAAAUAUACCCUCAUUGCCUCAUUCCUCUAUUUAAAUUUUUAUUAAUAACCAAUUUUCAAAGAAGACAUCUAAACACUUAAAAAAAAUUGUAAAUAAAUUAUAAUUUUAAAAAUAAAAUUGGUUAUUAAUACCAUAAUAAAUAACAUAGAAAAUUGGUUAUAAAUGUACAAGUUUAGAUGAUUGACAUGUGGAGAAUUAUUAAAUAUACAAGUUUAAAGUUUAAAUAAAAUUGGUUAUUAAUAACUAAUUUUAUUUUUAAAAUUAUAAUUUAUUUACAUUUUUUUUAGGUGUAUAGAUGUCUUUUUUUAACAUUGGUUAUUGAUAAAAAUUUAAAUAGAGGAAUUGGGUAACGAGGGUAUAUUUAUAAUUUUCUUUAUAAUAUCCAAUUUGUCUAUUUAUAAUUUUAUUAACAAUAGAUAGACAAAUUGGAUAAUUUAAUAUUUUUUUAUAUGCUAGAAGGGUAUAAUGGUAAAAUUAUAAUAAAUUAGGGUGUAAAUGUCUUUUUUAAAAUAUUAGGGGGGUUUUUUUCCUUUUGCCUAAACAUUGGGGGGGUGUUUGUUCUUUUCCCUAGAAAUUAAAAGAAAAACUAAAAGUCAAAGAUUAAUUCUAACUUAAAUAAAUAGGUUUUUUUAGGAAUUUAAUCUUUUUAGAAAGACUGAUUAUGAAUGAAUUAAUGGUUAGACAAUAUUAUUAGUUAUAUAUGAUUUUCUAUCAAAAAAACUUAAUUGAAGAUAAUUAUUAGUUAGACAGACGUCUAAAAUAGGCUUUCCGACAAUACCCAAAAAAUUAUUUAUUAAUUAGAACAUUAUUAGGGACAUACUUAAAAAACGGGUCUUCCCUAAAUAUGGGGCCCUAGGUGCCUAUUUUAUUCGCCUAUACUUAAAAGUUGCCCUAGUACGAGGUGCAAACCCUAAAUUCGUCUCAAGAUUCAAAUUGAAUAGCUAGUCAAAUAAAACUCCUUGAUGACUGCCUAAAAUAUAUAGUAGUGUUAUAAAUUUAAAAGAGUAGUAUGUUGUAAAUUUGGAAGCAAAUCCUUUAGAAUUGGAUAAGAAAAUUUGUAACAAAGCUUUAUUUAUAAUAUUACAAUAUUGUAGAGUUUUUCAAAGAAGAUCAAUAGACAAAGGAAGGUAAGCUCAUUUUCAAGUUCUACAUUUUGUUUAAAAAACUACAUCUAUAUAUAUAGUUGACACCUGAGUGGAGUGGGUGAUAAUAUGUCUAUAAAACUCAAAAUAGUGAAUCCACUUUCAAAAUGGUGAAUCCAUUUACUUGUUGGAAUCAACAAUAAUUCAUAAUAAGUAGUAACAUCUUCAUAGAAAUUUUAGUUUUUUAAGUUAAAAAUGAUGGUUCUACCACGAAAUGUAUCUCGCAAAAAGAAGCACCCAAAGUGAUAAUGACAUCAAAUAAUUUUUUUAUUCCAAAAGAUAAUGUCAACCAAAAUUUCUUUUCACAUUACAAAAAAUUAGAGAUGAGAUUGAAGUUGAAAUCAAUUUCAAGGUGAAGUAAAAAAUACUAGGAACAUUUUUUAAGAAGCCACAUAGAGAUAUCGUGUGGAUUAAAUGGGUCCAGCUACAGUGCAUACGUGAUUUGGAAUCACCGUUUUUUGUCUUUUACUUAAAUGGCCGUUAGAUUGCAAAGAGAAAAAUCCAACGGCUCUGAACUAACGUAUGGUAAUAAAGAUGUUAACUGGUUAUCGGCAUUACCAGCGUUUUCAAAAUAAAAUAACUAGGGUUAAGCAGUUAGAAAAAUCGUCGGUGUCAUUAAGGGGUUUCUAGUGGUAAGUCGUUAACUAGGCGUUUUAAAUCCAGACGCUGGGGUAAUAGAGGAGAAGUUGGAAAUCUUGUCGUCCAUCAAUGAACUGAGAAGAGAACUCGUACACGGGCUAUAUUGAAGGGGAUUUGAUAAAGAUCAAAUCGUCGGUGGAGAUUCAAAUGAUGGUCAUUGAAUGCGUAAGUGAAGAUUGAGGUAUGUUUUUCAUAAGAAUUGCAAACUUGAGAGUGUUAGUUAGCGUGCUUGUGAGUAAUUAAUUUGUGUAAUUUUAUAGGGGGUAUAUUGGGGCUCUGAAAUGUUACAAUGGGAUGAAAUUAUAGAACAGGAUACACACAGUAUAGGGGUAUUUGCUUGUCUAAUGUAGAUGUAAGUCGGGUUUCUUUUUGUAGUCAGCGUAUUAUAAAUUUAAAUUUAUUCACUUUGAUUAUUUCUCUAUAGAGGCUUUCAAAAUUGAUUUCACAAGAUCCCAAAAGCUUAACCAUUAAAUAAGUAUCUUCGUAUAUGACUAGUUUUAUCUCGAUUGUACGUGUCACUGAUACUGUUUUGUCUUCCUGCAAUAACUCCAUAGGCUUCAAACCGAGUUGUGAUCGAUUUCUUAGAGGUUCGACACUGUCAAACAAAAUUCGGUGUAUUUUUGUGGUUAAAUAAUGGCAAUUGUUGUUGUGUGGGCUGUUUUUCCCUUUUGUCAUUUCAGGGAAAUUAAUAUGGUAUGUAAUCUUGUGUAUGUUUUGAAGUCAUAAUAAAAGUUGUCAUAACCUUCUUAUGUGAUAAUAUGAUUACAAACUUGACUACAACUAGCAGUUUAAGUGGUAUUUAUAAUUCAUUUUAGAGCAUUGUAAUGCAGGAAUGAAAUUGGGGACAGUUCGUAAGCAGAAGGCAUUCAAUUCUGAUAGCUGUACUGAAACAAUGAUUGCUGUCAAUGGUGAAGGAAAUAGAGCCAUGCAAAAUAACUAUGGAUUUGUCAGCUUCUUGUAAGUUUGUGAAAUAACUCGAAAAAACGUCAUCGAUCAAUUAUUUUUUUGCACAUACAAGAUUGAACCUAUUUUUUGCUAAAUGAGAGGUUUUUGUUGAAAUCUUUGAAUGCUCAGUGAGGAAGUUGUUCGUUGGAUACAUUGGAUAAAGGCAAAGGAUGAAAGGGCAUGCGGUACAAGAGAUGUUAGUAAGCUGGAAGUGAUGUUUUAAUUGAUUUAGUUGAAAUACUAUAUGUUAGGAAUGAUAGGUAUUAAUAUCUGUUGAAUUCCUGUAGGUUCGAAAAAGAACUAGGAUUGGAAUUUAAGAACUUACCUCCAGGUGAAAAAAGAAAAAAUAUAAGUCAGUCACACAGAGUUGAGAAAGUUGCUGAUGAGGAGGCCAAAUUUCUAAUCCGGUGUGGACACUAUAGGUUUGCAGCCACUGUGGGACAACUGACAAAUGAGUAAAGGGAAGUAGUUUGUGAAAUGGGACUGGACAAUCUCAUUAAGCUAAAUCUUAUUUUGUAUGUUUUGAUAUCAUAAUAACAGUUUCUGUAUUGCCACGAAUGUUGUGCAUGGGUUUGGUGCUUAUAGCAAACUAGUCAUUAGUCCAUGUUAAACUUGUUCUUAUCCUACAUCGCUCAUGAAUCACGAUGGUGCUUGGGCGAAUAAACUAAUCAUAUCUUUUGGACAGUUGCUAGGUUGUGAUAUUGCUGCGCUAUAACAUUAUUUAUGAUUGUUUCUUUGCUAGGUUGUGAUAUUAUUGAGCUAUCUUCUGCUUUCAGGUUAUGAAUGAUGUGCGCACUUUGAUUAUAUCUAUCUUUACUAUAUGGAAAAAAUAAGGAUUUGAUGCGCUAAAUUACUAUUGAUGUAAUUAUUCUUGUAAAUGUACUUGAAUGAUCAAAUUUCUUUUGCCCUAUAUGCUGCUGCAGUGACCUCAAAGCGGGUUAUUUUAGAGAGUGUUUCCUCUAAUAUUUGGAUAAUCAUUUGCAACACUACACCAUUAUCUCCAAUAUUCGAGUGGUCAUUCACAAGAGGCUUUUUCAUUGUUUAUAGAUGGUUCUUCAUUAUACUAUAAGUUUAGAGAAAGAAAUGAGAUAAAAAAAUGUAAAAGAGUAAAAAGGAUCAAGAAAGAGAGCAGACUAACAAUAGCGAACUGAAAAUUUAUUAUUAUGCCAGAAAUUACUUGACAACAAUUAUCAGGAUUGAGUAACAAAGCAAAUAAAAUCCCGUAAAGAAAAUGAGAAUAUGACGAUGUAAUUAAAAAAAAAAGACAAAAAAGAACUAAGAAAGUCAACAUAACGGUGCCGACAAUAUCUGAGCCUUUCCCCUCUAUAUUCGCUUUUGUGCUUUAAUCUGUCUUUGGUAACUGUAACUCAUCGAGCUUGCUCUUGCCUUCUGAUAACUCUUCUUGCAUUUUUCGACCUCUUGGUUUCUCGCUUUGUGAUAUUCAUUUUUAGGCUGUAACAAGUGCUAGUCAUAUUCAUAAACAUGUCUGUAACAAAAAUUAUUAAGCCAACCCAAAAACAAAAAUGAAAACUUUGCAAAUUACUUCUUUCUCCAAACUGAAAUAUUAACAUCCAGUUAAAAUGAAAGAUUACCGUCAGUUUUAAUAAACGACCAAAUAAGUUCAUGCAACUAAAAGAUUAUAUUCCUCUAAGGCCACAGCAACAAGGAAUAUUCUUUAAAAACCUCAAACACGAAUAAGGAAUGCAGCUAAGAAGGUAGCAUCUUACAUUUUCGGCUUCGGCCUGCAUGGCUUUAUAUUCAGCAGCAUUUACAGCUAGUUGUGCUUGUUUUGUCUCUUCUUGCUUCUUCAUAAAUUGAAAAGCCCACAAGAAUAUUUAUGUGUGUGUGAAUCACCAAAAUAGAGCAAAACCCCAUGUGCAAGGAUUUCUAAUUCGAAAAAAUAAAAACUCAAAGUGGAAACCUUUUAGGCAUUACGAGAUGCGCUGCUCUCCCUUAAAAUCUUGGCAACUUGGUCAAAGGGUUCUAGGUGGAAGCCGACAAAGGUCGUUCUGGUAUGGUCAAUCCUAGUCCUUGGUAGGGGCAGGAGCAAAAUCAGACUUAUCGCCAACCGCCGGCAGAUCAUUAAGGCAAAUAGGACGGUUGAGAUUGCCCAUAUUGAGAAGAAGUACCAAAAUAGAAAGGGGAGAAGUUCGUAGGGCUAUCAGCAAAACAGCCGACAGGAGUGGGAACAAUCAGAAGCAGAGGCUGCUGCCACCGACGGGAGUGGGAACAAGCACAAGCAGAGGCUGCUUCCAAUGCUGAUGAUAUUAACCCUAUUGCAUAUGCUUUCCCCAAUUUCUAUUUUUUCUCCAAAAAAUGGAGUUCUUUUCAACUCUGAACGUAAAUGGUUAAGGAACUGGCUAUUUUAUUCAUGAACUUAUUUUAUCUUUAUCGCAUUAUAUGUGAAUUUUAUUCCAACGGAAAUUGGCAUGUAACGUUGUCAUGCAUCUAACGAGAUCUUGCAUUUAAGAAUGUAUUAAUUGUUUUCAACCAGUUACUUGUAAUUGUGUACCAUACAAUUGUAGAAUUUUUGGUGACCGGCUCUGAACUUGUUUAUUAGGUUACUCUUACUUAUCUAUGUGUUCAAUCACCAUCCAUUAGAUAAUAUCAAACGGUCAGUUUGGUAAAGACAAAAUUGGGGGAUUUGGAAUCACUGAUGCAGAGUAGCCGGCUCCGGAUUAAAUUUGGGAUUAGCUAAAUAUUAAUUUAUAUAGUUAGUGGGUCCUAUCAAUUUUUUUAAUUUUUAUAAUUUAAUAUCUUAUAAAUUAUUAAUUUAGUAUGUUGGUCCCAAGUUCAAACAGUAAAAAAUUAUUAUUUAAUUAAAAUUAGCAAUUUAUCGAGCAUUACUUUAUACAAAUUAUAUCGUUCAACAUGAGAAAGGUUAAUCAACAUCACACCAUCAAUAAUAAUAUCGAGGUUAUAUCUUCUUUUGCUAGCAAAAAAAAUUCUAAAAGCUUAACCUGAAAAGUAAUUAAGGUCCAACAAUAAUAUUAGAAAAAAGUCAUAACAAAUUAGGGACCAAAGUCCAUAUAGAGUAAGGGUGUUUGCAAAUUAGACACCAAUUCAUAUCCAAUCUAAGAUUUUUUGGGUUACAAAUAUUUAAUUCCAUUCAAUCUAUAUAUCUAUGAAAUUCAAUCCACAUCCAAUCGAAUAUGUUCAUGGAUUGAAUGCAGAUUUGAUGCAAUUUAUAUCCAAUCUACUAUUUUGUAGAUUCAUUUUGGAUUAUUUUCAUUAUAUCCAAUCCACUAAAUAAUUAAAUAAAAAUAAUAUAAAAUUAAUUUGACUACUAAUUAAAUUUAAAAUUAAAUAAGAUCUAAAUAAAUUAAUAUUUUAAAUAGUACUAAAAUAAUACAUUCAAAGUUUUAAAUUCUGACACACCAAAAAGAAAAAAAUCUGAUUUGUUUAUAUCAAUAUAUACAAUUAAUUAAAAUCAUGGAAUAAAAUCAAUAGAAAAGUUGAAACUUAAAAGUUUGGAUAAUCUAUAAAAGUUUCCAUGUCCAAUUUUUUUAUUAAAAAAAACUUGAAAAAAGAUAGACAUAAUUGAUUAAAUAACAUAAAAAAAUUUAUUCGAAUAAUACAGUUUAGGCAACUAUAAUAGUUUAUUUAAUUAUUUUUUAUUUUUUCAUUAUCAAUAGAUAAGAUAUAAUGUGGUGUUAGUGUAACUAAAUUUUAACAUAUUUAUUUAUUAAUAAUACCAAAUUUACAAGUUCUAAUUUUUUAAAAUUAAUUAAAUAUUUGUCUUUGCGUAUUUUCGAAUUUUUAUGGAUUUACUUUUAUAAAUUCAUUCUAAUCCACUAUUGUGGAUUUACAAUUUUCAAUUCAAUUAAAUCCAAUAAUGUGUCGAUUGAAUUUUUACAAAUCGAAUAUUUGUGAAUCGUACGAAUUGAACAGAUUGGAUUAAAUUCUGAACAAUAUUAGUAUAUUGCAAUUGACAAGCUGCUCCCACUUAAUUUGGCAUUAAUAAAAAAACAAAGGGUCAUAUUUUAUUUUAUGCUUCAAGUAUUGACCCUAUAACUCUUCGAGAUCCACCUCCUUGACUUAAGUGAUCUGUCCUUUAGCCCCUUAAAAUUAAAAAGCCCAAGUCAGCAAUAUAAUUGUCUUGACUGUAUAUUAUGGAUGAAAAAAUGAAAAAAGUAUAACUUCUAUAUUUAUUAAUUAUUUAAAGUUGCACUAGUGGAGUAGAUUUCUGGCUCCUCCAUCCGUAUAACAAAUAGAAUUGUCGGUUGAAAAAGCCAGCUUCCAUGUUCUCUGUUCUAACUGGAGCCUUUCAGGAAACAUCAUCUGAUAUGAUUGAUAUUUAUCUUUGCCAGUUCUGAUAAAGGAGAUUUUUGUGGAUUAACUCUAGAGAAUUUGAUCUGGCCAAGUGUUACCUUACAAAAAAGGCUUUGGCUAAGUUACGUUAAACGUAACUUACCCAAGAUACAGCAACAAUGCACAGUGAUAGGACCCGCUACUGUUGUUGUGGCUGGCGUAAGUUAUGUUUAACGUAACUUAGCCGGCUCCUACAAAAAAAUGUAACAAACAUCAAAGAUUGGACAAGUAGGUUGACGAGAUAUUGACACGUGUAGAGGACACGUGUUUCAAGUUGACCUGGUGUACCAGUUGUAGCCGGUUGAUAAAUUGGUCAAAGGCUCAAAGCUGGAUUGUUCCCUAUUAUUGCCGGUUGGGCCAGUAGAGCCAUAAACGAUAGUUAAUAUUGCGUUUAGGAAACAGAAGAUUGAUCGGAAUCGACUGUGAAUGGGCAUAGUUUGAUCUAUCAGCCAAUGAGCGAAAUAAUGUCGUCUAAAAAUAUACCAAUGGAAAUGGGAGUUAUCUGAAAAAACUCGAGGUGGAUGAAUUGUUCUCUCCAUCGAAUGAUAUUGUGCCUGCAGUGCCGGUAUGUUCCCGUUGGUGUUCAGAUAUCUUUGCUAGGGAUUCAUCACCCUCCCGCUGUCCAGUUAAAAGAAUAAGUCAUUGUAAUAUUAUAUAUUGUUGUAGCCUUCAUUAUACCGGAAUUAACGAUAACAGACAUUGAAAAUCGAAUGACAUUAUAGGGGUUGUUUGAGUAUUAUGAUAAGAUGGUGGCUCGUUCGCUGCUAAUUAGUUUGCAAAUUUUGCUGUUGUUCAGACUAACUUGCCUCAGUUUGUUUCUAUAUUUAUAUCUUAGCAUAGUUUAUGGUUUGAUGGUUAUUGUUCUGUGAGUUGGGGAAGAAACAAUGAGAUUAUAUUGGGUUUACAAUUUUUAGCAUCAACAUUAGCUCAGAGGGGAAUUGGGUUACCGAGUGCAAAGAUAAAAUUUGAUAGGAGAAAUUGACCUCUUAGACUUGUGUGCGUCAAAUGUAAUUCAAUAAUCUUGAAUAUUUGAGUGUAAAUUAAUACAAAGAUAAAACAGAAAUCAAUUUACGUCAAUCAAAAAAAUAUAUUAAUGAUAAUUCGAUUGUAAGUGGUACUAGAACUAUGGAAAUACGAAGACCUUUAGACUUAGCUAGGGGACUCGUUUGACACAUGACACUGUAGAUCGUCCAUAUAUAUGUUCCUGCAUUUUUCCAGCUUGAUGGGUUUUCUAGCAAUUUGAGUUGACUGCAAUGCCUGUGAAAUUCAUUAUCAAGGACCUAACUAUGUGAUAUAUGGGGGUCUGCUGCGGUGAAAUACCGUGGAAAAGAUUUGUGUUGAAAGUAAAAGUUAGGUUUUUGAUUCCUCUGGUACAUAUUGCUGCAAGUUUUCGUUGUUCAGAUUAUCCAGUCGUGUUUGGCUAAUUAUUGUCAGUGUUGUUUUAAUAUUUAUUUAAAAAACUUAGGUGUUUUUUUCGCACUUUCAGUUCAUAACACCUAAGCAUCCUGUGACUUGUAACAUAUGGCUUUGGACGGCCUUAAUUUAUGUACUUAUCGCUAUUAGAUAGUAUUAGUACUCAUAAAUUUUGUUCGUUUUUGUUCGUAUGAUGGAGCAAUCUUAGGGAUAGUUUUGUUGUAUACGGAUCACAUGGAUGAAAAAAGAAACUACAGAUAAUGAUGAGGUUCCAUCCCUGCAGUUGAAGAUGAAUGACAGAAUUCAAAUAACACAUUAACCCUAAAAUAAUGCUGACAUUGCUAACUCUAUAGAUGCCAUAUUGCAUCCCCUGUUAUAACGAUUUGAAUUUUGUGAUCGUUCUUCAACUAUUUAAUAACAAUGUGCAUAUUAGUUAAAUAAAGUUUGUAGGUCACAUUGUCCUCACGAAUCUAUCUUUUGGUUUCAUGGACACAACAAGAACUGGUUGUUAAAAAUUUCCCAGAAUCCCGUAGGUAAAUUGCAGUCGUUCAGUUGUAGAGUUGUCGUGAUAUCUAAGGUUGAAUGACAGUGAAGGAUGAGAAGGUGUUGUUUUAGUACAUGUUAAUGUUUUCAAUUUACACAAUGACAUUUUUGGAGUGAAUUCUUAUGUUACGCUUUAAAUACUAACCGUGGUAGUGGCCAGAGCUGGGGCCAUGAAUCGGGGCCUGAUUUAAAGACAAGAACAAUUGUUGUAGUAAAUCAUGUUUGAAGAGUUGUACUUUAUGUCUGUGAAAGUAGUUAUGUUAAAAGGGGUAUCAUAACGAUUUUGCCGUGGACUUUUCGUGUCUUUACUGAAUGAUAUGAGCUUUGUGUAGGUACGGUUGGAUGUAGUGUAAAAUCUGGGGCUUUCAUCAAGCUGAAUUGAUUAUUGAAUAUGGAAUGUCUCGUCUUGUUUGCAUGGCUAUUAUGCAUAUAACAGGUUUUCGUUGCUGUUGCACGUAACAGUGCAUGUUUUGUUGCUGUUAAGAAUUGUGAAUAUGUUUGCCUAUAUAUUGCUAUUGGUCAAAGCAACACAAUGACCUGACUCAUGAGAGAAAAAGUCAUCCUCCAUUAAGAAUUUUAAUACAAAAAAUGGAGUCGGAAACUAACAUGAGUGGGACGAAGGCUCACCGUUGGAUGUAAGUGCAAUUAUAAUUCGAUUUAACCUCGGAAAAAAAUAACCAUUUGACCGAAUUGUGACUACAUAAGCCACGAUAAAAAACUAAUUUAUGCAUGUUACCAUUGGUAAAUUUUUUUUUGAUAAAUUGGUUUUUAUUUUUUAACUUGUCAUAGUCGUAAUAUUGUAAUUUUUUAGGAUUCUACAUCACGAGUCCAUUCGAACUGGAAGAAUUUGUAAUAGAAGGGUUAAACAUACCGCAUAGGAGUUUAUGAUAAUGACAUGAAUAAUUAUCGCCGAACACCUCGUAAAAGGACCAAAAGUCAGCCCUUGAUUUCAUCUAUUCCAAUCAUUCUGAAUACAAAGAUGUUACACAGUACCUCCUCCGGAUAGCAUCGUUUAUCUGCAGUCGGCAUCACACAAUACAUUUGAAAAAAGUACCAAAGUAAUCGACUGAAAUAGCGAUAGCAUUACAUUUCCCGCACACAUCAAAUGAAUACAUUGACAUCAAUAAGACCACAAAUAUUCAUCCUGCUGCCCGUACCACUGUAUAAUCGUCGUGGACAAUAAAUUCAAAAACAUUUAGCAAUAAGACAUCUCAGGUGACGCGAAGUCAUAAUAAGGGACUCUGUUAAAAAAAAAAUCCUUGAAACAUAAAGGAAUGCAUGCAAUUUCCAAAGUUAACUACUAAGAAAGUUGAACAACGUUCAUCACUGACCUUGCUACAAAGGAUAUACCACAUACUAGACCAUGCAACAGUAGCAGAAAACAAUUGUUCGACCAGAAAUCAUUAAAGAUUGGCAAUUACUAUCCAUUAUGUUAUGUUCCCACAUCAUCUGUAUUUACAUAGAAGGAUGAAACAUAAACCAGCAACACACUUAACUUAUAAACCCUCAUAUAAUUUCAAUUACACUUCUGUUAACAGCUCUUGGCAACUGUAAUAUAGUCUACCUAAGUUUUCUGCGGCUCCCUUCUGAAAUGGAGCCCUUUAACCUAAUCGUCAACAUCUCCAACACUGUAGUGAACUUGAGCAUGUACUCUAAUAGUCAUAGCUCCUCCUCGUCAUCAUCCACUCCCUUGAAUUCAAGAUGCUUGACAUGCUGCAGCAAACAAAGGGGGACAUAUUCUCUCUCAAUCCAUUCAAAUUGUUCUUCAGUUAUCUCGAACCAACAUUACUGAACAGAGAGACAAUGACUAUCAGGCACAAUAAAUUCACUAGCACAUACUUGAAAUGUUAAGACAAAUCUCAGUAACUUUUGGCGAACUACUGAGGAAAAGAGGAAUCACGCGCCAUUCAUUUGCUCAAACCUUCAUCUCCAGAUAUGUCAACUCAGGAAACGAAGGAAAAAAAUUAUCAUAAGCAUUGUAAAUUGCCUGACCAUGAAAUAAAGAAAAUAGCACAUUACUCAAGGCAUAAAUUAAUAAGGAAUAUAGUUAAUCGAUGGCUUAGAGGUCGAUACAAUGUGAGAAACUGUCUAUAAAAUUAUUCGGUUAUAACAGAUUGACUUUCGAGGCCAUUUGAAGACAAAACGAACAUACUGGGAAGAAAGCAAAAUUAUACGCUGAGUAAAUAGUACUCACAUGGACAAUGCCUCCAUUAAUCAUCAGAAACUCGAUUCUGCUCACCCUAGCUAGUAGCUGAAUUGGACGGUUAGGAUCGACCUCUGACCAUUUCCUAUAGAAAAUAUCUAAUAGAACCUCUUUCAACGAAUGCAGUGCAUGCAUCACAUAGGAUCUGAAGAUGUCAGCAGCGAUAUACAUACAUUCAAUUUUUGGAGCGGUUAUCGCCACGAUGUGCUCUACGUGAGUAAAUAACUCAGCCUUUAUUGCUACCCUCAAGGCGAGCCUCUUCAGUGUAGAGAAUGAGAUAACAAUGUUCGUUGCAUUACCACUAUCAUUCAACUCAACUGUUAUGGACAACUCUUCCAGCGAAGGGCACCUACAAAAGAGUUUCUCCAUCAAAUUGCUUUCAAGGUAUUGUAGGUGCAGACUCAACUUCUUCACACUUGGAAAACAAGUUCCAUCAGGAGGUACAUUGAUGUCAAAAUUUGACUCAAGUUGUAGUACUUCCAGAGUCGACGAACUGUUAAUUGAUUCAGGCAACUGAAUGUGGUUAUGCUGCCGAAGAUUCAGUCGAAUCUCUCGAACAUUGGCACAAGUGCGGAGAAAAGCCAGUAGUUGAAUCUAGACAAGUUUGUGGGUCUUGAACAGUGGACAACUAACUUGGCAACAUUUCCCGAGUGAGUGCGAGAAAGCGCUGUAUCAACAUAGUCCACAAACCCUGGCAUUGGCACAAUAGUCGAGGCAGGAGGCCUCAAACAUGUCCUGUCGUUAAACGCAAAAUUCUGAAGUGAAGUCCAAACAUGCUUCCACCUUCAUGAUACAAGAGAAAUUACAACGACAUUUUCUGUUGGCAGAUAUGAAAUAAUAUGCCAAAGAACUGGAUCAAGUAAACUACUUAUCCUACUAGCAUAACCAAUAUUUCCCUUUGCCUGCAGUCUUUUGGAUUUCCUACAGCCCAAAUUUGAAGCAUGCAUCUUGUAUGUCAUAAACCGACAUGCCAAAUAUGAGGAUUCAAGCUGUUCAGAUGACUAACCAUGAAAAUGGUUUAUCUGAUGGAUUGAAAUUGACUUAUAAACUUUGGAAAAUACCCCAUACUAUUGAAAAUUACACCCCCUCAGUGACUAUUUUACGAACUUAACAUCGAUGCUACCUCCCAUAGCCUUAAUCCCACUGUUUUAUCAACAUCCAUUCAGGUCUAAAUUUGUGAACAAUAGAUGGCAUAAUUUAGAUUAUUGACUACUAUACGAUGGGGGACGAAGGACACACUCAUUAACAAAAUCAUGGAGGCCGAUUAAAUAUUCGAUCUGUGUAAAAUUGUUUAGUUACAGAUUUUACAAUUAUGUCUUAACAUGUAACACAGAAUCACAUCCUGCACCACAAAACCAUAUUACAGAGGGGGCUUAAUGUGAAACAGAAAUGACACGGCCAGUCUAGAGUGCCGAGAGGGUUCGCGUCAAUACUACACCGGAGAAUCAGAGGGGUUAUCUACGCUUGGCAUCAACAAUUCACUUUGUUAUCAAAGCGAAUAAAAGAAGCCACUUUUUGCGAUAAAGUCGUUAUAGAUUAUUACUGAGGCUAGAUCUAAAAUUUGUUUAAAUUGAAGCUAGAUCUAAAAUUUGUUUAAAUUGAAGCAAGCGUUCCAUUUUAUCAAGUAAUUGCAAUUGCAUCAAACCUGCAAGUAGAACCCGAGGUCGUGGAGAUUUACCUCUUGUCUUAACUAUCUUCACAAAACCUACAACAGCAUCAACCUUCGAUUCCCUCCCUGCCCCCCAGCGAGAACUGAUCGACGGUGAUGAUCAAAUGCAGACCUCCCACAUGCUGUAAAUUUCCUACCGGGAAAGACCCGCGAAAUCGAUUACACCCAAGCUAUUUAAAGGACAUGGUGUUGAGUAGCCGAAUGGGUUCUCCUCCUAUUUAUUUAAUUCCUGUUUGUUGUGUCUAAAAAUGGUUAGGUAUUACAUUCCAGUGCGGGUUUGAUAAAUACGGCCCAUCAUCAUGAUGACUUUCACAACUGGGCCUUCAGCCCAUAGUGAAAUAACAGUAACCAGUCUGCACUCAGGCCCACGGGCAGAAUGGCCAUUCUUUAUUUUGAACGGGGCUAAACAGAUAUUUUCUGUUAUCGAGAUUGAUUCCGACCAACUCCUUCACAAUUAAUGUCCCACAUUUUUAUUACUAUAAUCCGACGAGCCCCUCUAUUUUUAGUUAGGGAAUUUCAAUUCUACUGUCUAUUAUUGUUGCUUGGAGUUAAGUCAAAGGUUUUCAGAUUGUAUCUUUCAUUUGCAUAGUUAUCCUUUAUUUUCAAAGGAUAUCAAGGUUAAUAAAGUUAAUAAAUCGUCAUCUUUCCACUAAUAUUUUAUAAACUCCUAGUAUUAUUAAUCACGGUAGUUAAAAAUAUAUUAACAAUUUAAUUACAAUACUGUAAUGUAUUUAUUAAUCGCAUCAAAAUUGAAUAAAGCAAUGUCGAAGUUCAAAAUUUCACUGUUAUAAAACUCAUUACGUCAUUGGUUGCAUCAUUAAGGAUAAAUCAUUCCAGCUCUACAAUUCACGGGUUGAAUUUACACAAGAACCAAUAAUUAAUAAUAAAUAUUUCAACUUUAAUAACGAUUAAUAUUACAUUCUAUGGGGAUAAAAAAACUCUGGAGGGAAGUUAUCACGCGCUGCUCACCCUAAUUGCAUAGUCAACGUUUUGCUUGCAUAUAUUGGUCUGAUGCAGAAAAGUAAGAUUUUUUGAAGAAGCUAAUGGGUACACGACAUUAACGAAACUAUAUUCAUCUCAUCGCAAAAUAUUAAAUACCGCAUUACAAUACGAUACAUUGCAAAGAUAAUUUAGUGCCUGAAUGAAGGCACAUUUCCUAUCUUCAAUAUUGGCCAGUAGAUAUCACCCCAAAAAAUUUAUUGCAAUUAGAAAUAUAAAGCCAACCCGGUGCCUUCACUUUGUUCACCUAACUUGUGAUUACUGUACAUUCUAGCACGACCACAUCAAUGGAACAUACUUAAUUAUUUCUAACACAUAUGGCGAUAGAGACUACCCACAAUUACAGCCAUUGCAAAUAUAUUUCUUAAUGCAGUUUUUUACUGAACAAAGCACACAUAAUGGGUGUCAACUGAACAAUUACCUACGAUUUCAUUGGUUUGUCAACUUAUGGUUUAAUUGUUCAUAUGAUUUGAAUAUUAAAAUGGAUUAUACUUAUUUACUUGAUUUUCUUAUUUUGCACAACAUGAACUAUUGAGUUCAUUUAAUGUAAGUUAAUGCAAUGCUCUAUUCAGUAAUGUUAUAAAAAAAAUGGGAUUGAUAUAGAUGCACUUUCAUUUCAUUCAUCAACAGUGCCAAGGAUGAUUUUAGCUAUCCUUCGUUGAUAGUUACAAGGAAUUUUUCGCUAUUUUAUCCGCCUACUUUGUAGGCAACACGUAACAUGUUUUUGUACAUACAUGUUCGUCAGUAUUUAGGGAUAUUACAUAUUGUCGUAGGGCCAGCCCGUACUUGCACACCUCCAACAAUAUAUUUUCAACCAUUUGUUGGAUAGACCGAAAUGGUUCUUCCUUCAUAUGCAUUUGAUGUUAACAUACUUUGAAUUUUUUUUUUUGGCAUUUUUUUUUUCAUCAAACCCUUUGUUUCCAUGCAAGUGCUCAGAUCAUUACCAUUUAUGUGGUUACUCUCAAUUGUCUCUCUGUUCAUUUUGCAACAUUAAGAUUAAGGGCGGCUCUUCGUCUACGCAAUGAAGGCAGUUGCCUUGAGGCCUACUUUAUACGAAGGCCCCAUGUUUUUCUCCAACCUAAUUGCUAUGAAAUUAUUACUUUUAUCUAUCAUUUUUAUUAUUCUAUGAUAAUCUUUGUACAAAUAAAUUAUUGAUUUACAACAAAAUCUCUUGUUAACGUUAUUUUAGUUACACCUCUAUACAUUUCACCCAUUCGUUUACUUGUUAUCCAUUAUGUUUUUAUCAAUAAAAAUAUAAAGGCAUGACACAUUGAAUGCAAUAAUGCAUAAGGGAAAAAAAUUGCAUCUUUAUUUGUUGCAUACAAAACAAAAUUUAAACUUGUUCUAUUGAUCAUUGCUGUUUCAAAAUUUCAGUCCAAUGCAGUUACAGUUUCGAAUUUCCAGCUUUUUUCUUCCUAUUAUCUUCCUAAUUAGUUGUAUUAACCAAAUGUAGUAGUUUUUUUAAUUUAAAUAUUAUAGUUGAUUUCUUUUACCUAUGUAUCAUAACUGUUUGCUUGUUUACUCUUCUUUUCGAAAAAAAAAUUGUGUAUUACCUAGAAGACGUGCAUCUAAAUGCACAUAAUUCAGGCUGAAAAGUUAAUAAUAAAAUUCCAAGUUCGUUAAAAAAAAGACCUCGUCACAAGUUUGUCAUAAAUAGUAUUAAGGGUGUGAAUUAGAGUGCAUAAUUAGUACUUGUCAAAUUUUUUUAAAUUAAAUUGGAUAGACACUUGUUUGAGAUCAAAGCAGUCGAAAUAACAAGUAACGUGAUUUACCUAUAUUGCCAAUAACAUAUUACAUAACACAGACCUUUAAUUUUCCAUCAAUAUUUGUUCACCUAAGAACCCUAGAUCAAUAUAUUUUAAAUACAAUUCUGAUUAUUACAACUAAUACAUAUAUUUAACCUCAAAAUUUUUAAAAUGCCUAAUUAAAAAUAUUUUGCCUAAGGCCCUGUAAAAAUUUGGGCUGCCCCUGUCACAGAUCAUAUCUAUAGGUCAAUUUGGCAGUUAUUUUGUGACAUGUUCAAAGUUAUGACAUUGGUUACAACCAAUAACAAUAAAAUACAAUUGGACAUACUGUGUGCACCUCCUUGUGGUUGCUAAAAUGUUUUUCCCCCUUUUAAAUGUUUAUGAUAUUUUUUUGUGUUUAUUAUAAGUAAUAAUCAACCAUAUUUUCUGUUUAAAACAUUUAUCGCUUCCCUUUGGACCCUUUGAGUGAUAUGUUUUCGGCUUAAGUUAAUUUACAUUAUCAUGUAACAUCCAUUAUUCUUCCACAACCAUUGGAUGAAAUCCCCACGGUCAUGGUAAUAACAUUAUUAAAUGUCUUAUAUUCCCACAACCGUUUGAUUUUUAUCCUGCAACGGAGGAAGAUCCCCGUAUCUUACAUUAUCAUGUAACAUUACAAUCUCUUUCCCGUUUUAUUAUUUCUUAUCUACGUUUAUUUAUUUAUUCAACAAUACAAAACCAAUUAUUCAGGUUUUGCUCACAAACUGCCCUGCAUUGUGUUACUGUUCUGACUGCACAACUGAUAUCUACCAAAUCACUGUACGUCGGGGGACAAUGUAAACACACAAAUCGAUUUCCAUUUUCCACUACAGUCUAAUUAUUUUUGGCAACCGUUGUUCGACGUUAUUAGGUGGCAGUCGCCUUAUUCGUUUAGGAUUUUGCAUAAUCAAUUGAGUGGAUGGUUCCCUGCAUCAAAGCCAAAUGCAUGGGUCCUUACGUGACACAUUUCGUUAUUUUGGCAAGUUGUAUUGUCCCACAUUUGGAUGCUGGCCCAUGACAUCAACUUUUGACUUAAUUUAAGACUUUACACUGACUGAUUCGUUUGGGAAGUAUUUCCCUUUCCCUUUAAGCAAAACAAUGUCACUUCCCUUUUCGGCUAUUUCCCCUUUUUUCUUUUUGAGAAAACGAAAGGUCGAGGCCACAGUCAGUCGAGAGGACUGUCGUUUUCUACGCUCUGCUACCUUCAUUCAUCUCCGACGGUUAUUAGUGCCACUAUCAUCGCCAACAUUUAAGUUGAUACAGAGGCUAGUAAUUUGGGUUCCGCUCUCUCUAUUGACAGUUGUUAGUGCACAAUUUUUUUUCUUCUAAUCACUAUUUAAGUUCGUGGGUUAUUGGUUUGUUAACGUUUCCAAAAGGGAACCCAUCAUCUCACCUAAUCUCAAUUUUGUUCUUUUUUGUGUGAUUUAUAUAUCAUAGGGUUAGUAUUGUUAAAAAAAAAGUUACGUGUUUUGAUUUUCCGUUUCCAACGGGUCGGCCAAUUUUAAGGCCAUUGUUACCUUACCUCUAUCGUUUGUUUAUGUUAUAACGUCCCUCAGUUACUGAAAACAAAAUUUCUUUCAUGCACCUUCGUUUUGUUACAAUAUUUUGCAUGGUCAAUUUUUGUUUAGAGCAUGGGUUAAUACACCCUAAUUAGGCUGGCAUAAACUUCAAAGUUUGCCUUCCAACCAUUUUCUGCCAUGCAAGGGUGGGGGUUUCGCCGUACUUCAUGUAUAUGUCAUCUUUGAAAUGCCGUUACUGAUGGUCAUAUUAACUUUCAGUUCAGGUUUAAAGUCCUGAUUUAUUUUCCACUAUUGCUGUUUUUAUCACGUAUAAUGGUUUUUGGGGAUCUCAUUUUUUGAGGCUUAGUUUUUGCCUCUGCAUUUACUAUUACACAUUGCUUGUCCCCUUUAUGUAACUGUGUCAUUGUUAACAUUCCCCAGGUUCAUUUCGACAACUUAUGAUGAACUCAUCAAAUGAAUCAUUCUGCUACUCCAUCAGCCAUUCUACGCUGGUCACUGACGCAUCCGAAGAUCGAAUCAGCGCUCUGUCUGAUGCUGUUAUCUGCCACAUUCUGAGCUUUCUUCGCAUAAAAGACGUUGUGGCAACUUCAAUUAUUUCUUGAAGAUGGUUGUCUCUAUGGAAAUCUAUUUAUAUUCUCUGCUUCGAUGAUGGGUAUGUAUUAGGGAUGGUGAUUGUCGCAUCUCCAUAGUGCGUGCCAUUCAUGAUUUUGUCGACAGAGUUAUUGUAUGCACUGAAUUUGCAAAUUUGGAAAAGUUUUCUCUCAGGUGUUGUAAUCCCCCUCCACCUUAGAUGUUUCAUUUUUGGGUUUCUUAUGCUAUUAGUGGAAAUGUUUGUCAGUUGGAUUUUGAUUUUGGGCCCCAUGAAUGCAUCGUCAUACCCUCUAGCCUACCCAGAUCGACGACACUUGAAGUGCUUUGACUGCGUUCCGAUUGUUUCCUCCCAGUUCCUUCUGAUUGUGCUUGCUUUCCCACUCUGAAGAUUCUCCAUGUUGUGCUCAACAAUCCAACCAACACCUUGACUAAGCAUUUGUUUUCCAAUUGCCCUUCCUUUGAAGAUUUAUCCAUACAGGCAUCGUGGGGUUCGGAUGGGCCUCUAACGAACUUCAUCAUUUCGCUAGUUACCCUAAAUAGGUUAUAUUUUUGCGUUAAGUGUAGGAAUCUCUCAUUUUGCCGCAAUGAGAACACAAUUUUGAUUACGGCUCCCAACCUCGAUUUUCUCUAUGUCAUGGGUUUGAUUCCCUUCAACAAACCGCAGUGGGUGUCAGUAUCGGGAAUGGUCAAUUGUUGAUCCUAGACGUGUUGUUCACCUUCUUUCGGGUCUGACAAGAACGCAAUUUCUAAGUUUGUCCCCUGGCGUCAUCUUAGUACGAUUUAUCUUAUUUUCCAUUUUUUAUUCAUUUUUUCUUAUUUUCUACUUUUUUCGAAUAUACUAUCUACCGAUGACAUUGGUGAUCUCGUAUGUUUGGGACCUGCCUGCGAUGACUUUAUUAUUUACUAUCACAUAUAGUGAUUUCCAAGUAGUUUUCAUUUUGACAUUGUUCACUAUCAUAUAUAGUGAUUUCCAAGUAGUUUUCAUUCUGACAUUGUUCUCUAUUUGCACUUGCCAUUAACACAAAUAAUUCAAGGACCUACUGUGUUAUUUUAUUUAUUCUCAUUUCUCCGCACCCACUUGAGCCUGAGCGUUAAUGUUUUUCAUUUAAUUGUUAAUGUUUUCAACUUUAUUUUCCUCUUUGUCGCCAUGCAAUUGAGCGUGCUUUCCAUACUUACUUCCACUCAUUCUCAACCCUGACUACUUUCCAUGUUUCUAUAUCUCACUUGGGCUAGUCCAUUCUUCCUAGUAUCCUCAGUACUAUGCCCAACGUUCAUACUUUUGUCUUAGAUAUGGUGAGGAUUUCCAUUAAUUUAUACUGCAAAUGGUUUGGGGUGAGCAAUCUUUAAUGCGUUUUUUGUUAUAUUUCCUCAGUUUUGUUCGAAUGGGUUGAUAGAAGAACAAAUCUGAAGGACUGAAUCGGCCACUGUCCCUAGUUGCUUGACUGGGCAAGUGAACUUUAUCCAAAUCAAGGGACUUGGCAACAAAAACUCCGACGUAUGGCUGGUGGUGUACCUCCUCAAGUAUUACAAACUAUUGCAAAGGCUGGCCAUACGGUGUGUAGCGAUUGUUAAUGGGAAAAUAUUUGAAACUCUGUGGCAAACAAUUAUGUGGUUACCCACUGCAUCUCUUGGAGCUGAGAUUAAAAUUGAAAUGAGGAUUCCGGGUUAACUUAUCUUUGGGGUAACAACUAACCAUAUGCACUAAUAUUUAACUAGGAAGUCCCGCCAUAAUGUUCUGUAUAGUUUUUGUUUAUUUACCUCCAAUUGCCUUUCUAUAUGAUGAUGUUAUCAUUUUCUUGUUUGUCAAAUUGUCAUGUGUUCUUCCUCAAAGUUCCUUCGAGGUUUUGAGGACGAUAUCACAAUUUCCACUUCCAUUCCUGCUAUUACCGGUGGGGAUUUCUUCAAUAAUGUUUGUUAUAAUCAUUAUGUGCGUGAGUCGUUGCUUUCUGUGGAGGGAUGCAUUAAAUAUACAAAUACUUUUUUUCAUCUGUCUGCACGGAGCACCACCAAAUCUGUAUUAACAAUUUUUUUCUCACAUUUUCGUAGGCUUACUAUUGCAUUUUUGUUUCUUGAAUGGUCACCAAUAUUGCAAUAUUUCCUUGUUCCAUGAAUAACACAGUGCAUUCUCCAUUAUGCAUUUUUUCAAAAUAGUUUUUUAAUCUGCCUACGAAACCAUUCUUUACAAAGUUCUUCAUUUAUCAAAACACAGGUUAUCAGCUAUGGUUUGUUGCAUCUACUAUUGUAACUACAACGGUUGAUCCACUAUCUCACUUACAACAGACCUAUAUCAAAAUUACUUCCACAUAGCCAUCGUCAUAUUGAAUUGCUAUUUAUUAUUUGGGUUUUCCACUACGAUAUCACAUCACAUAACACCAUUGCACUAGGGUCAGAAUUUAUAACCUGUGAAAUGCAUGUUUUCUUGUUAGGUAUACAAUAAUAUCAUUAUUACUGACUUUUUUAACAAAUGAAGCUUAUAUUGCAUUAUAUUCCUAUACUAUAGUUGAUGUACAAAAUCCAGUCACCGUGUUCAUGUGAGUUAACAUUCACUCACUUGUGUCAUCCUCUGAGCUGUAGUCUACGUAGACGACGUCCUUGUCCAUUACGACUGAGUCCACUAGUUCAUUCGUUGCAUGUUUCUGCCCAAUUGAAAUAUCAUUACCACAAACUACACGGUUAUCAAAUCAUUCGUGUACAAUCCCAUUUAUCAAUUUUACUGCCAUACUGGGUGCGAAAAAAAAAUUUUAAUUUUAUUUAACAAUACGUGGGAAAAUAAACAAAUUAAACAUUCGUUACGCUUCUUGGAUGUCCACAAAUGCAAUUUUAAAUGGAACAUGGGCCCCAUUGCGUACACGUCCUGAUUUGUGUUAGGUAAACCAAAACACAAGUAUAAAGAAGUCAGCUUGGGGGUUAGCUCUUUUAAAGUUAGGAGCGUGGGUGAAAUAACAAAAAGCAAGGACAGAAAUGCGGUGAGGGUUAGCUGUUUUCAUUGGGAACACCCAGCGUCCGGCGACUGUGACUACAGGUAGUGAGUUUCAUCCAAUUACUCAUUGUAGAAAUGAUAAAAUACAUCGUCCUAGUUGUGGUAGAAUGCAUGUGUUUAGUUAGGUCGCAUGAAGGUCUUAAUUUUUGCAACUAAGCACAAUUUGUUGUCUUCAAUACCGAAUAACAUUGUUUUACGCGGUUAAAGUCACACAUACAUGUUGUGUUUAGUAUGGAGAGAAUAUUAAAUCGUAGUUGGAAAUUGUCUAUUACAACCCUGUAACUAUGACAAUAAUCUUCCCCCCAUGGCCUAGCAAUCUUGAUAACAGUUAGGGUUAAAAGAUCAAACAAAUGACCAAAUUUUUUUUUCGGUGCUCCGCUUUUGGUGGAAUUUGAUUGUUCCCCAAGAAUGUACUGGUGGUAGGUCAUGUAAAUGCGAUUGGCUUGACGGUAGAAUGCAUAUGGCCUAUUAUAGCUGGAUGGCCAUCUUCGAUUAGGACAAUAGGUGACUGCAUAGUAGGUGUGUAACUGAUAUGACAUGCAUAUUUUUCAGCACUAAUGCCAACCUGCAUACAAAGAUUAUGGCCGUUCAGAUACAUUGACAUGACUAACAAUGUGAAUCAGGGAAAGCAUGGAACUUAUGGUAACCGUUAACACCGAGACGACAUUAUUCCAAUUUCUACUAGACACUAUGAGUUAAUGAUGGCGCUACAUUAAGAGAGUGACAUGAGACGCAUCACCAUCUCAAUUAGGUGGGGUGCGGACAUAAGGCCAAAGACUUUAAUGUAUCAAUUCUGAUCGAUGGUGUAUCAUGUGGGGGUGAUGAAAGCACGUAUUAAAAAAAGUAUAUCUAGUUUGAUAGCACGUAGGAUAUGCAUGGGUUAUUUUGUUGUAUUAGUCGAACGAGCAAUGCAGAGUAGUAAUACCGAAGAUGGGAUAUACAUCAUCCUCAUGUGUGUCAUGGUUUGAUAGUUGAACAGGACUUCUGUAAUGUUAAGUUGAAAUGAGCACCUUUUGAUAAUAUAAUAGGAGUGGACGCGUAAAAGCAAGAAGGCCCGUUGUUGAAUGUACUAGAGACCGAAUGUGUAAAAGCAAGAAGACCCGUUAUUGAAUGUACUAACUAGGAAACUUAACAAAAAAACAUAAGGUUGCAGCGUGGAAGUAUAGCGGACGUAUUCACGCAGAAUCACAGACUGAUAUUUGGAGGGGGAGUUACAGGUACGAUAUCAUAAACUGCGCUUUUCUAUGUGAGUUAUGAUAUACUAUUACAUGUUAUACGUCGAUGCAAUAAAAUAUCAUAAGUGUUGAUAAGAGAGGAAACAGGGGAAAGGGCGCAACAUUAAGAAGAUAAAUACUGUUAUGUGGCGUAUAAUAAAUUUGAACUGUAUUUAUUGACGCUGUGAAUGAAUUAUCAAUAUAAAACAUUGAAAAGGGUGGGAAUUGAUAACUCUAGGAAAUGAGAGUUAUUACAUCUGUUCUAAACUUGAAUAAAGGGCAUUUAAAGAGCAAAUAAUGUGUUUUGAUUACAUUUUGGUGACCUUUUAUAUAAACAUUCAUUUUAGUUGAGUUGUAACAAGUUUUGCUUGAAUCAUAGUAAUUUAUGCUAAAAACAGGUUUUAAUUUGUAGGUUUUAAAUUCAUGAAAGGAUGCGGAGACAGUAGAUGAGAAAGGGGAGGAAAGAAGAUGGUCACAAAAGAAAGAAAGCACAAUCGAAAAUAAUACAAGUGCUGUUGCGGAUGUUAGAGCAACCAGUGCUGCAGCAAUUGGGGAAUGACGCGGGAGAAAAUAUAGGCGCGGUCAGCAAUUAAAUCACGAUCUGCAUGUUUCUCAAUUUAAACACAUGCACGCUCAUGGGUUUCAGUUUUAACCUAAUAUUGCAAUAUAUAAAGGAAGCAUAACACACAUAGCAGGCGGCAGAGAAUCAUUAUCAUAAAAAAAAGACAAUUACAAAGGCGAGAAGAAGAAGAAGAUUAAGGAGUGCUGUUCGGCUUCAUCGAAGAAUCGAGAAAGAUCCUUAGACUUUCAUCGUGCUUAAUUCAUAUUAUCUUUCGUCUUUUGAUUGAUUGAAUGUAUUCUGUGAUCAGUAUCAUUAUAUUUAUUUUUCUUAUCCAGAGUAUGAACUAAAUUUAAGUGUAGUUGAGUGACAAAUAAUCCAAUGGGUUCUUGACUGUUCUUAUAUGUUGCUAUGAUAAUGUUGUAGUAUUAUACUCUAAUAGCUUUUAUGAACAAAAUUAUUAUUUCGGUUGACCACCUAUUUAAUGGUUUCAAUUAAGAUAGAGCAGCAAAAGGGCAUAUCUUAGCGGAUAUUAUUGGAGUAUUACUUGUUCUUAAGUUGAGUCUCCUGGAUUACGUUAUCCUAAAUCCCAUAAGGGCAAUACUUGAAUUAAGAUUUGUGAUAUCCUAGACAUAGGUGUUCACCUUGUAGGGUAGAGAGAUUAAAGGUCAUAAAGCCAUACAUUAAAUUUAUGAGCAACUGGUCAUUGUUAGUAGAUUUAAAAGUAUGAGAUUUCCAACAUGCGAUAGCUGCAGAAGCAUAUUUGUUCUACCCAGUGCUACAGCACUUAUCAUAAACAACUGGUGCUAAUUCGGUAAUCAACAGUCACCCCAUUAGGAGAGUUUGAUCAUUCAACUACUACGUUCUCAAUUGAUUCUUAAACACAAUUAACUUAGUUUAUUUCGUACAAGUAUUUGUUUAUUUCUAUCUCUCAUAAUUAUUGGUUACGGGAGAAUAAUUUGACAAGUGUUUGUUUCGAUCUUUAGUUGAUUGCAUUAUUGUGGUUGCUUUAGCACUUUGAGUAACAUCAAUCCAUGUGGAGACGAUUUUGAAUACUCAUUACUUUAUUACUUGUUGUGUACACUUGCACUUUCGCAUUGAUAAUAAUUGAUUAUAUAAAUCAACCAACAAGUUUUAGGGCCGUUGCCGGGGAUUGAUUGUUUAUUUCUGAAGUGUAAAGUAAAUCGUGAUAUCACUAAACUAAACUUGAUUCAUUCUAUUGAUUGGCAGAUCAAUACGUGCAUGCGCAAGGACGGAUCUGUGAUAUUCCAAUUCGAUCUUGAGAUUGAACGGACUAUCAGGAGAUUGCGAAGAGAACAAAGAAAUCCAAAGACUGUUACAGACAUGAAUAACUUGCAAGAUGAGGGAAAUUUGAACCCUCACAGGCCUUUAUAACCAGCCAACAUUCAAGAAGAGCAGAAUGAACAUGCUAACGGGAGACAGCCAGAAAAUAACAAUAUUAUUUACAUGGCAGACGACAGGGACAGAGCUAUACGAGAUUAUGCCGUGCUAACUCCUCAAGUUGUCCACCCUGGCAUCAUCAGACCUGAAGUAGAUGGUACCAACUUUGAGUUAAAACCAGUGAUGUUUCAAAUGUUGCAAACAGUUGGGCAAUUCAAUGGUUUGCCAAAUGAAGAUCCUCAUCUCCAUUUUAAAUUAUUCUUGGAAGUAAGUGAUACUUUUAAGAUUGCUGGAGCAACGCAAGAUGCCUUAAGGCUGAGGCUUUUUCCUUAUUCCUUAAGGGAUCGAGCAAGAGCAUGGUUAAAUUUAUUACCAUCUGAUUCCAUCACUACAUGGAAUGAAUUGGCUGAUAAAUUCCUAAUGAAAUACUUUCCACCAACAGAGAAUGCAAAAUUACGGAAUGAGAUUACCUCAUUCCAUCAAAUUGAAAAUGAGAGUUUGUACGAGGCUUGGGAAAGAUUCAAGGAAUUGCUCAGAAGGUGUCCUCAUCAUGGUUUCCCCUGUUGCAUUCAAUUGGAAACUUUCUAUAAUGGAUUAAACUCGAGUACAAGGUUAAUGGUGGAUGCUUCAGCAAACGGGGCCCUGUUAUCCAAAUCCUACACUGAAGCUUACGAAUUUUUGGAGAGAAUUGCCAAUAAUAACUACUAAUGGCCUUCAGCUAGGCAACCAGUAGCCAGAGGAUCAGCAGGGGUACACAGUAUUGAUGCAAUUAUAGCCCUAUCAGCUGAAGUAACUUCAUUGACUAAUAUGGUAAAAGCCAUGACAGCUGCUCCAGCAACAGUAAAGCAAGUUACUGAACUUUCUUGUGUUUACUGUAGUGAAGAUCAUGAUUUUGAUAAUUGUCCUAGAAAUCCAGCCUCAGUAAAUUAUGUGGGUAACUUCAAUCAACAACCUCAUAACAACCCAUAUUCAAAUACUUACAACCCAGGCUGGAAACAACACCCAAAUUUCUCAUGAAGCAAUUAGAAUCAAAAUGCUCCAGCAUUGAAUGGGCUAAGUAGAAACACACAACCACAACCACCUGGUUUUCAUCAACAAAGCCAAGGGCAAAAACAUGUCAAUCAGGAUCCAAUCACUUCAUUGGAAGUAUUAAUUAAGGAGUACAUUGCAAAGAAUGAAGCAGUUGUGUAGAGUCAAGCUGUAUCCUUGAGAAAUCUUGAAAACCAAAUGGGACAACUAGCUACCUAGCAACACAGAAGAUCCUAGGAGAGAGAGCAAAGAACACUGCAAAGUGAUUAGUCUGAGAUCUGGAAAGCAUGUUGAUAUACCAUUUGAGGUAACAAAAAAUGGGAUGGAAUGCAAUUCAUCUUAAAAACCAACUCAAAAGGGAAGUCUGUUACAGCAGACUCCCCAUCAAGACACAGAUUCAAGGGAUCCAGCUACAGCAACUGUAAAAGAAAUUCAACCAGAACUUGCUGAAAAAAAAGUUACAACACCAGUAGCCAUAACCUGCACUAACUUAAACAAACAAAGUUUGGUACCUCCUGAAUCUAACCAGCAGUUUAGACAUCCACCACCCUUCCCUAAAAGGUUCCAGAAGCAAAAAUAAGACAAGCAGUUCAGCAAAUUUCUGGAAGUGCUGAAGCAACUAAACAUAAACAUACCUUUUGUGGAAGCUUUGGAGCAAAUGCCAAAUUAUGUAAAAUUUCUAAAAGAUAUCUUGGCACGAAAAAGAAGGCUGGGAGAGUUUGAAACUGUUGCUCUAACACAGGAAAGUAGCCAUAUCUUCAGAGUAAAAUUCUAAUAAAAUUAAAAGAUCCAGGGAGUUUUACAAUACCCUGUUCUAUAGGGAAUAGGUAUACUGGCAGAGCACUUUGUGAUCUGGGAGCUAGUAUUAAUUUGAUACCAUUAUCUGUGUUUAAGCAGCUUGGAGUAGGGGAGUGCAGACCAACAACUGUCACUCUGCAAUUGGUUGACAGAUCUCAUGCAUAUCUUGAAGGAAAGAUAGAGGAUGUACUGGUGAAGGUUGACAAAUUCAUUUUCCCUGUGGAUUUCAUUGUGCUGGACUUUGAAACUGACAAAGAAGUGCCCAUUAUACUUGGCAGACCAUUUCUAGCAACUGGAAAGACUCUGAUAGAUGUACAGAAAGGAGAGCUGACCAUGAGAGUAAAUGAUCAACAAGUCACAUUUAAUGUACUAGAGGCUAUGCGAAACCCUGAUGAAAUAUAAGAUUACAAUUUCCUCAGUGUAGUGGAUCUUGUUGUAGCAAGCAGAGUGGACAGAUGCUGCAGUGAUGUACUUAAUAAAGUCACCACCUUUGAGGAGGUUGAAGAGGAAGAUGUUGCAGCAAUUCAAACUGAUUGGAUGGACAAACAGCAAUCUAAUAGGCACAACAGAGCUAUUGAACACCUGAAUCUUUCAGACAGGGAAGUAAAAACAACUUUACCAUCUAUUGAAUCACCCUCUAGUCUUGAAUUAAAAAUGUUACCUUCACACUUAAAGUAUGCUUAUCUUGGUCAAAAUAACACACUCUCUGUAAUCAUUUCUUCUACUUUGGAUGUAGGUCAAGAACAAAGCCUAAUGGAUUUGCUGGGAAAAUACAGAAGAGCAAUUGGAUGGACCAUGGUAGAUAUAAAGGGUAUCAGCCCAUUAAUAUGUAUGCAUAAGAUCCUGUUAGAAGACUGUUCCAGUAAUUCGGUAGAGCACCAGAGAAGGCUGAAUCCUAUUAUGAAAGAAGUGGUAAAGAAGGAAAUCAUCAAAUAGUUGGAUGCUGGAAUCAUAUACCCAAUAUCAGAUAGCUCAUGGGUAAGCCCAGUUCAGUGUGUUCCAAAGAAAGGAGGGAUAAUAGUAAUGGCUAAUGAGAGGAAUGAACUCAUUCCUACAAGGAUAGUGACUGGAUGAAGAGUGUGUAUGGAUUACAAGAAGCUCAACAAAGCCACAAGGAUGGACCAUUUCCCACUUCCAUUCAUAGAUCAGAUGCUGGACAGACUUGCAGGAAAAUAAUACUACUGUUUCUUAGAUGGGUAUUCAGGCUACAACCAGAUUGCUAUAGAACCAGAGGAUCAAGAGAAUACUACAUUUACUUGUCCUUAUGGAACAUUUGCCUUCAGAAGAAUGCCAUUUGGGCUAUGCAAUGCUCCAUCAACAUUUCAGAGAUGCAUGAUGUCUAUAUUUUUCGAUAUGGUAGAGCAAACUUUGGAAGUUUUCAUGGAUGAUUUCUCAGUUUUUGGAGAAACAUACAAUAAUUGUUUACACAACUUGGAAGAAGUUCUUAAAAUAUGUGAGAUGACCAACUUAGUACUUAAUUGGGAGAAGUGUCAUUUCAUGGUGCAAGAAGGAAUAGUGUUGGGUCACAAGAUAUCCAAGGAGGGUAUUGAGGUAGACAAAGCCAAGAUAGAGGUAAUAGAUAAACUGCCACCCCCAACUUCAGUAAAGGGGAUUAGGAGUUUUCUGGGUCAUGCUGGAUUCUACAGAAGAUUCAUUAAGGAUUUUUCCAAAGUCGCCAAGCCUCUGUGUUCAUUGCUGGAGCAUGACAAACCAUUUCACUUUGACAAAGAAUGCCUGCAAGCAUUUGGCGAAUUAAAGAAAGCCCUCAUUACUGCUCCAGUAGUUAUAUCUCCAGAUUGGAAUUUACCAUUUGAAUUGAUGUGUCAUGCUAGUGAUCAUUCUGUGGGAGCAGUAUUAGGGCAAAUGAAGGAUACGGUUUUUCAUUCCAUAUAUUAUGCAAGCAAAACUUUCACUCCAACACAGAUCAAUUACACCACUACAGAGAAAGAGUUGUUGGCAGUAGUUUUUGCUUUUGACAAAUUCAAAACUUACCUGGUAGGUACUAAAGUAACUGUUUACACAAACCAUGCAGCCAUCAAAUAUUUAAUUUCAAAGAAGGAUGCCAAACCAAGACUAAUCAGAUGGAUCUUAUUGCUUCAAGAAUUUGAUCUGGAAAUUAAAGAUAGAAAUGGGACUGAGAAUCAAGUGGCAGACCACUUGUUAAGGUUGGAAGCAGACACUAGUACAUUGACAAUGAAGGGCAUCGCUGAAACUUUUCCUGUUGAACAGCUGUUGGUAGUACAACAAGCACAGAUGUUGCAGCAGUCAGAAUCUCCUUAGUAUGCAGACUUUGCUAAUUAUCUAGUAAGUGGGUUGCUACCACCUGAGCUGAAGUUUCAAGAGAAAAAGAAGUUUCUUCAUGAUGUUAAGAGCUAUCAGUGGGAUGACCCACAUCUAUAUAAGCUAUGCUCAGAUCAAGUAAUAAGAAGAUGUGUUGCAGUAGACGAAAUACCUCAAAUACUAAAGUCCUGUCAUGCUGCAGCAUACAGAGGACAUUUUGGGGGGCACAGAACAGCUGCCAAAAUUAUGCAAUCAGGUUAUUUUUGGCCCACUAUUUUUAAAGACGCUUAUGACUUUGUUAAAGGUUGUGACAGAUGUCCAAGAACAGGGAACAUAACUAGCAGACAUGAGAUGCCAUUGACCAACAUACUGGACGUGGAAGUUUUUGAUGUUUGGGGAAUAGAUUUUAUGGGUCCCUUUCCCCCAUCAUUUGGAAACUUAUAUAUCCUAGUUGCCGUAGAUUAUGUCUCCAAGUGGGUGGAAGCUACAACAUUACCUACCAAUGAUGCUAAAACCAUGGUAACUUUUCUUCAAAAAAAUGUUUUCUCCAAGUUUGGCACUCCUAGAGCAAUUAUUAGUGAUGAAGGUGCACAUUUUUGCAAUAAAAUCUUUGCUGCAGCAAUGAUAAAAUAUGGAGUCAGACACAAGGUAGCAACAGCAUAUCACCCACAAUCAAAUGGUCAAGCUGAAGUAUCCAAUAGAGAAAUUAAAAAGAUCUUAGAAAAAAUGGUGAACCCAACAAGGAAGGAUUAGUCUUUACAUUUGCAUGACUCUUUAUGGGCCUACAGAACAGCAUACAAAACCCCACUCGGUAUGUCUCCUUACCGAAUUGUUUAUGGCAAGGCCUGUCAUUUGCCCCUAGAGCUCGAGCAUAAGGCACACUGGGCACUGAAGAAACUAAAUUGGGAUAUGAAUGCUGCAGCAGAACAUGAGAAGCUUCAACUUUGUGAGCUUGAUGAAUUAAGGUUAUUUUCGUAUUAAAAUGCCAGAAUUUAUAAAGAGAGAAUAAAACACUGGCAUGACAAGCAUAUUCAACAUAGGCAGUUCACCCCUGGUCAAUUAGUGUUGCUAUACAAUACAAGACUAAGAUUGUUUCCGGGAAAGCUCAAGUCACGAUGGUCUGGCUUGUUUAAACUGUUAAAAUCUUACCCUCAUGGAGCUGUUGAUCUUUUGGAUGAACAAAAAGGCCACUAAUUCAAGGUUAAUGGACACAGGGUUAAGCAUUACAUACAUCCAGCAGCAGAAGGUUCAAAGGAGGUGUUACUCCUUCAAGAACCCAGCUAUUGAGCAAAGACAAAAGGUCAGGCUGAAGGACCUUAAAUCAAGCGCUUCGCGGGAGGCAACCCAUUGGGGAACCAGCCACUAUAAACCAAUUUUGAUAUCCUUUGGUUUAAUGGAUAAAUAUUCCUCUUUACUAUUUUCUCUUUAAUAUUUUCGUUAAUCGUGUUUUGCCAUUUUCACCAUUUAUUUUUGUCAUUUUACAUUAUUGCAUUCCUUAUUUUCGAUUUUAUUUAAUCUAUUUAUUUUCAUAAUUUUAGACUUAAUUUAAGUUUGAAAUAAAAGCGGCAACUGAAUCUCAUAUUGACAAGUGCAAGCAUUUGGUGGCAGAACUCAGAGGACAACAACCACGUGUCAGACGCUUUGGUAUGAAUUUUGUACCCGUUGUUGGAAUGAGCAAAGGGGGGGCUACAGCAAUAAUUUUUCCCGUUACAGUAAAUUAAAGGUUGGAGCCUUCACUUACCGUUGGAGAUGAAAUCGUGACAGAUGGACGCUCGGAUAUGGAUAGAAAUUACGGAAACAAAUCUCUGAAAUCACAGCUUUAAUUUCAAUAACUGAUAAUUUUGGGAUAUGCACAUUUAAUUUAAAUAUUUUAUUCCCUCAAUUAUCUCUAAUUACUGUAGUUAUCUUCAUAUUACAGUCCACUAUAAAUAGGAGUCACUGUACUUAGUGUCCACGCCACUAUUCCUCAUCUCUUUCGCAAGUCCAACUCUCCUAACUCUUAAACUUUUCUUCUCUUUUUAUUCUCAGAAACAGUAACUUCAACCUGUUACUGCUGCAGCAAUGCCGAGAUACAAGAACACAGCCAGCCGCCUCAAAGAUCCAUCACGAUUCCAGAGUUACCACGCUGAGGAAAAAUACAAAGAAUUCAUAGAGCCACUUCGGAUUCUGGAAGAGAAAGGGUUUCAAUUUCCAGACCAACUCAUUGGAAUUGUGAAAACAAUUCACAAUGCUGCAGCAAAGCGAGGAUGGAUAGAGUUUUGCAAACACCUUCGCAACCCUGUGCUACCGGUGGUAAAAGAAUUUUAUGCCAAUUUAGUAAGCCCUGAUAAGCACAACAUCUGGGUAAGAAAUACUCUUGUUCCAUUGGACUCCCGUGUUAUCAAUGCUUUUUAUAACUUACCUGCUGAGAUUACUUGUGAGUAUGCUAAAUUGCAUGAUAAGUUAACCCCAAAAAAGUGGAUUACCAGUUUUACAAUUCUGACCAUUGAAGGGGCAUCAUGGGUUAACGAGGAAGGACGUGUGGUUAACAUGAUAGAUUUGAAACCUAUUACUAAGGUGUGGGUGGAAUUUUUGAAAUCUAGGCUUAUGCCCACCACUCACACUACUAUAGUUUCACAAGAACGAUUAGUUUUGUUAUAUGUCCUUGUUCAAGGGCUGCCCAUAGAUGUGGGUAGCAUCAUUGCAACAGAAAUCCGAGAGUGUGCAGUCAAAAUUCACCGAACGGCUGCUUUUGUUAUUUCCUUCACUUGUCACCAGCAUUUGUGUAGUUUCAGGUGCCUUUACGGCACGAACAAUUGAAAGAGUUGCUGGCAAGAGUGCUGGAAUAACCACUGAACCAGCUGCUGUAAUAGGAGCAUGAUGAACUCUUGGCUUAAAACAGACCAUCCAAGCACUCAGCACCAGUAUCCACCAGUGUGUGGAAGCUCAGCAGAGGGAAAAUGGUCGGUUUUGGAGUUAUCUACAGCACCUGGAGGGACAAGUACACCAAUUUGCUGAAUACAUGAAACGCAAUCAUCGAAACUUCCCUGCUUCCCUGCUCCAGCAAUACAAUUUUGACACCAGUACCACAGGUGCUCCAGCAGAAACCAGUGAAGAAACCACUGCUUUAGAUAAACCAGCAGACUUCAGAUAAACCAGCAGAGCAAACUGCAACUGAACCACCAGCAGAAGUUGACUCAGAAGAUGUUGCACUAUCUGACCCACCUGAGGAGGAAGGUGACAAAUUUGAGAUUGAUAGCUCACCCUCAGAGGCAGAUGAUAAUUCAAAGCAAGCAGAUGAAGAACCACCCAUCCCAACCCAGUCCAAAACUAGAAAGCAGCACAUUAUUCCAGACGAGGAGGAGGAAGACCCUGACAUGGAGCCUCUUAUUCCAGUAUUUGCAGGCAAAGGAAAGGCCAAGGGUAAAGCUAAAAUGGCAACACCUCCAGCCUCUAACGAUGAGAUGGAGCAAAUCGAUGCUGAACUGGCUGCUGCAGCAUCCAGAGCCAUGCCUACAUCUGAGCAAGCCGAACAACUACUUGAGGUCAUUGCUUCCAUUACAGCCAAGGGCCAGGCAACUGAUGCAUUGACCCCAAAACCUCCACAACAACCUCCCAGCAAGCCUAUCCGCACCAGUCCAAGGCAACCCAGCAAACGAAAAGGCAGUACAUCUGCGGGUCCUGCUACAGCAACCCCAGCUACAACUUCUCUCACCAGCCCUGCAGCGAAAAAGACAAAGACAUUGCCAGCCACCUCCCCAAAGGCUUCACCAACGGAUAAGCUGCGUAGUGCCUCCAAGAAGCGCUGAGAGCAUCACAUCAUGGGCUGCAGUCCCCACCACAGGGGAGUACUUUUAUCUCAUUAGUUGCCUACCUGUUUGUUCUUAAAAAAAAAUUAUUUGUUUAUUUAUGGGUUUUUAUUUUGUUUACUUGUGAAGACACAUCACCUCUCAAGUUUGGGGGGGUUGUUUCCAAAUGCAUGUGUUUUAUGUAUGUGUUUAUGUUUGUGUUGUGUGAAGCUCUAUUAUCUGUUAUUUGCGUAUGGAUUUGAAAACCUAAUGAAGAUAAAUUGAGUGCUAUUUAUGAGAAUGUCAAGUAGAGAUAAUUAUAGAUAGAAGUGAAUUUCUGUCCCAACACUUAGCCCGUGAUUGAGUGGUAUGAGACUGCUAGAGCAAAACCAAAAAGAAUAGAAAUAAAAGUCUUAAAUUUUGAAGGGAAAAGCAUGUUGAUUGACUGUGAUAGUUAUGAAAUAAAACUCUGCUCCAAUGACUUAAGUUGCUGAGUAACCAGAUCUGAGUAUGCACCCCAUAUGCAGAAGUGUGUAAAAAGGCAGCGAGAGUUAUGAGCAGUGUUGUAGUAUAUAUAUCUAAAAAAAAAAAAAGAUCUCCAUAGAUCUAAGGCAUAUGCCCGCUGUCUAAGGCAUUGAAUAACCAGGUCUGUUUAUGAGUCCCAUGUUCAGCCUUGAGUCAAAGAUAUCUUGAGAUAAGACUAUACCACAGAUAUUGCUGCAGCAACUCUGAUCUGGGCAUGAUUUGAGUAAUUGGGUGUCAUCAUUACAAGUGAUUGACAUUCACAUGAAAAAUAAAUGUUACAGUAAGGAGGUUGAUUAUCCCCCAGAGUGUCAAAGUUAAAGCUAUUACAGUUUAAAUAUGUGGAAUUUAUGCCACCCCUUGUAAGAAUGAAGUAUAUCACUGCUGAAAUUUCGGCAGUCCAUUGGUAAUGUUACAGCAUAUCGGGAAUUCAAUCACAAAGGCAGCACACACACACUAAGGACAAAAAGAAACUUAAGUCUAGAACUGAUCUACUAUUGGCAUUUUGUAUGAUUGGGAUUAUAAUCUGAAGGUGGAAGAAUCUGUGCAAGUUUGAUAAAAGAACUGAAGAUUUUGUGCAUGUUUGUUUGCGGGAAAUGUUGGUAUGUGUCAUUACUUGAGGACAAGCAAUAAUUUAAGUUUGGGGGUGUGAUAACUCUAGGAAAUGAGAGUUAUUACAUUUGUUCUAGACUUGAAUAAAGGGCAUUUAGAGAGCAAAUAAUGUGUUUUGAUUACAUUUUGGUGACCUUUUGCAUAAACAUUCAUUUUAGUUGAGUUGUAACAAGUUUUGCUUGAAUCAUAGUAAUUUAUGCUAAAAACAGGUUUUAAUUUGUAGGUUUUAAAUUCAUGAAAGGAUACGGAGACAGUAGAUGAGAAAGGGGAGGAAAGAAGAUGGUCACAAAAGAAAGAAAGCACAAUCGGAAAUAAUACAAGUGUUAUUGCGGAUGUUAAAGCAACCAGUGCUGCAGCAAUUGGGGAAUGACGCGGGAGAAAAUAUAGGCGCGGUCAACAAUUAAAUCACGAUCUGCAUGUUUCCCAAUUUAAACACAUGCACACUCAUGGGUUUCGGUUUUAACCUAAUAUUGCAAUAUAUAAAGGAAGCAUACACCACAUAGCAAGCGGCAGAGAAUCAUUAUCAUAAAAAAAAGACAAUUACAAAGGCGAGAAGAAGAAGAAGAUUAAGGAGUGCUGUUCGGCUUCAUCGAAGAAUCGAGAAAGAUCCUUAGACUUUCAUCGUGCUUAAUUCAUAUUAUCUUUCGUCUUUUGAUUGAUUGAAUGUAUUCUGUGAUCAGUAUCAUUAUAUUUAUUUUUCUCAUCCAGAGUAUAAACUAAAUUUAAGUGUAGUUGAGUGACAAAUAAUCCAAUGGGUUCUUGACUGUUCUUAUAUGUUGCUAUGAUAAUGUUGUAGUAUUAUACUCUAAUAGCUUUUAUGAACAUAAUUGUUAUUUCGUUUGACCACUCAUUUAAUAGUUGCAGUUAAGAUAGAGCAGCAAAAGGGCAUAUCUUAGAGGAUAUUAUUGGAGUAUUACUUGUUCUUAAGUUGAGUUUCCUGGAUUAGGUUAUCCUAAAUCCCAUAAGGGCAAUACUUGAAUUAAGAUUUGUGAUAUCCUAGACAUAGGUGUUCACCUUGUAGGGUAGAGAGAUUAAAGGUCAUAAAGCCAUACAUUAAAUUUAUGAGCAACUGGUCAUUGUUAGUAGAUUUGAAAGUAUGAGAUUUCCAACAUGCGAUAGCUGCGGAAGCAUAUUUGUUCUACCCAGUGCUGCAACACUUAUCAUAAACAACUGGUGCUAAUUCGGUAAUCAACAGUCACACCAUUAGGAGAGUUUGAUCAUUCAACUAUUACGUUCUCAAUUGAUUCUUAAACACAAUUAACUUAGUUUAUUUUGUACAAGUAUUAGUUUAGUUCUAUCUCUCAUAAUUGUUGGUUACGGGAGAAUAAUUUGACAAGUGUUUGUUUUGAUCUUUAGUUGAUUGCAUUAUUGUGGUUGCUUUAUCACUUUGAGUAACAUCAAUCCAUGUGGAGACGAUUUUGAAUACUCAUUACUUUAUUACUUGUUGUGUACACUUGCACUUUCGCAUUGAUAAUAAUUGAUUAUAUAAAUCAACCAGCAGGAACUCUAUGGAGUCAACCACGACAAGUCAACUGUAUGGAACGAUUGUUAACGUCGUGCGAGAAGCAUAGUCGUUAAGAAGAAUAAAGACAAGUCUCGAAUGGAAAUUACCCAAACAGUAAUGAAAUGUUUGUGAGGGAAAAUUGACAUUAUUGGUAAUGAAAUUAAGUGUUUGUGUUAAAGGAGUGUUAAUGCCAUCAGAAAUUUUAAAUUUAUCUGUUUAAACAUUGAGAAAGGACUAAUUACCAUGCUAUAUGUUAACUUAGUGGAAUAAAUUUAUUGGAGUCAUGGUAUAUGUUAAUUUGAAUGUACAUUAGCAUGAAAAUGCAAGUCUAGGAAGUCAAGAACAAUUUUAGUAAGGAUUCAUAAAUUGUGUAACCAUGAGCUUCGUCCACAACGUUGUUGCAUGUAAGAAUGUUGCGGCUGAUGGAAAUAUCACGAAAACCCUUCCAAUUACCCUUUUCAUAUAAUGAAGUUUAUGACAGCCCUAGGAUGGUUUUUUUUUAUUCUUUGUCUAGAAACAAUUAAUGAUGUAAAUGGUGAAGGCUGCUUACGAUUAGAAGGAGCGGAGCUGCUGCUUGAUAGAUUAAGCGGGGAAAUUAAAAAAUAGGUAGAGAGGGCAAAAAAAAAAAAAGCAAAUCGAAGUGAACAUAACAACCCAAACCUAGCCUCGAGUGUGAAAUCAGUCUCCCAACUGUAAUGAAUUAAAGAAAAAGAUUAGUCGUACAAGUCCUUACAAAGUAAUCCCCAAACCAAAAUUACAAGAUGGAAAGAAUCACAACAUUCUCCAAUAGCAUAUGCAAUAUUGACUUCCUCAUAGUAUAAUAUUCCUUCAGCCAAUGACCCAAAAAAAAAAUUGGAUUACAACAAGUAGUAAACUAGCCUUGCAAUCGAUGUAUAGAGUAAACAAUAGGCCAAGGAGAGAUUAAUAAUAAGACACUAAAGAAAGAGUUGCAAUACUACUGACCUGGAAAAAAAUUGUUAUUUCAUGGCAUAAUUAGCGAUUGCGGACAAAAUGUGUGGCAAUCUAUGAAAAUAGAUAAGAGUUAAAUAAAAUGUUGCAAAUUUUCCAUUCAAGAAUUAGAGACUGAUUGUGAGUCAGUUGGAGGAGCACACACUAUGUAGUAGGUGCUCAAACUGAUUAUAUUACAAACAGAUUAACCUAAUUAAUAUAUAAAUUGUGAUUUCUGAAGACACUCGCAAUGCGUGGCAGGUUGGUGACCGACCGUUAUGAUGCGCGAGUUAGGGUUGAUUAGUGGUAGCUCGAAGAGACGUAGAAGACGUGCAAUUGAGGGUAGUGCAGACAGGAUAAAUUUGUUAUCAGAUUGUGUACUGGACCACAUUAUAUCGUUUGUACCAACAAAAUAUGCAGUCGCAAUGUCCAUUCUAUCUCGAAGGAGGAAGGACGUUUGGACCUCACAGCGAAACCUAACAUUCGAGGAUAGGGAGAGGUUAAGGGAACCACGCUUAAAUUCUAUUCCAGCGGCUGUGUUUGCAAACUUUGUUGACACAGUGCUUCGUCGAACAUACCCUGCAGCCAUAGAGAAGUUUUAUGUCCAUUAGUCCAGUCGAACUCCAGUAGAGCGUUUAAACUCGUGGGUUAGUACUGCACUAAUACAUUUUGUACGUGAGAUUGAACUAUUCAUCAGCCAGGGAAACCGCACUGAGUUACCGCUCGGUAUUUACACAGCCCCAACCCUUGAGGUGCUUAAACUUAAUUCACCUUUUUCCCUAAAAGUGUCAGCAGAUGGAAAAUUAUUUCCUAGUCUUAAGGUUCUUCGUGUUGUGCUUCAGUAACCAGAGAUCAUCGUGACAACGAACCUCUUCUCAGGUUGCCGUAUGCUAGAAAGUUGUCAGUUACAACAUUUUUUACUUUGGAGGGUUCCCCAACGAUAUUUAUAAUUUCAUCAGCAACUCUAAACAAGUUGGACUUGAGGGUAGCACCAGACAGUGGAGGUUAUAUUGAAAUUAAGUACAUAGUUUUCGUUGUGGAUCAAUUGCUUGAAUACGUCAAUCUAACAGCUGACAACUUGGGAUUGUAUGGACUCAAAAGGCAGUGUUCAUUAAAGGAAGUGAAGUUAGAUAUUUUCUAUGUAGACUAGACACAUGUUGAUCUUAGUCGUGCUAUACAUCUUGUUAAUGGUGUGGGUAAGACAAGGGUUAUGACCCUAUCUGCAGGGAUAUUAGUCGUAAGUAGUCUCGUCCUCAGCGACCAUAGCCACAAAAAUUGAAAAUUGACAGGAUACGUGCAACGGUAAUCCUUUAUAUUGUAUUUCUUUUACUUAUAAUAAAGGUGAAAAUCAAGUUUGACUAUGUCACAGUUGUAGAUAAAAUAAUGUUGGGGACAAUUUUAUGCCACUGCGAGAAACUCCAUUCGGCCAAGUUCACAAAGUUUUCAAAUUCUUGCAAAAAAAAUUUUUGUUGUUUUGAAGAAGUAACCGGGGUUUGAUUUUGUCUCUGAUGCAUAGGCACUGGACAGUUCGGCCGACAUGGACAUUCAUUGUCUGCUGGAGUUGGAUAUUUAGAGGUGAAGGUGUGUGCAAUCUGCUGUCAAGUUCUUCAUCACAUCCUUAUGAGGGCGCCCAAGGUUGAGAGCAUUGUUGUCGGCAAGGUGACAAUUUGUUGAACGUUGGAGUUAAAUGUAGGAAAUUUGUUGUUCAUGACUAAUGGUUGUUAAAAUUUUUCCCUAGAACUCUUUAAUUGCAAUCAACGAAGACGAGUUUCACUUAAUUGAACAAGAGUUGUGUCGGACUGUUUGGUUAAUGUAGUGAAGGAAAUUGAAAUGAAGAGGUAGAUGGCGGUAAUGACAAAUUAUGACUGGUUGUGUACUGGUUGAAGUGUUGUCAAGUAUUGGAGAAGUUGAUCAUUAGGUUGAAGGGACCAAUUUCAGGAAAAAAAGGUACAAAUACUGAGGCAGAAGCUAUAUAAGUUGCCCAGUGCAUCAGACAAAUCCGAUAUUAAAGUUGUGGUUGAUAUUCCAUUUAAACUCUGUUGCCGACGAUGGUGUCAUGAACCAAGUAUGUAAAUAUAUAGCAGCAUGUAAUUUUAUAAUCCGGCCAAUGCAAGAAAGUUUGGAUAGUGAUAGGCCUUUGGGUGUGGUGAUUAUGUCGCCUUAUGUGGACUGUGAUUUCGUCAUUACAGCAGGCGGCGACUGGGCAGUGGAUAAUUGGAAAUACUAGGGAGUAGGUGUUUGUCGAACAACAGUGAGUUUUGCGAAAGCAUGACAAUGUUGUAAGCACAAUGGGGUAGGGAGUGAUAGCAAGGGUUGUGACUGGAGUGAAGAUGAGUUUUGUUGAUCAAGGUGAACAAUCGGUUCCACGUAAGAUAAUGGAUAGUUUGAUGGGUAGUACUUUAAAAACCAAGCUGUUUUUUUUAUUUUGCUUUUUAAUUACGUAUGAUGUCGUGCAUGUGGUAGACAUUGUCUACUGUUGAGUGGUGACGUUGUGUGUGUAUCAGAGAUUGUGGUUCGAAUGUAGUCUGGAGCAUUUGUUAAUGUCAAAAUAGUUUCUUCUAUUUUUUGUGAUUAUAGGUUGGAUUGUGUGUUAUAUUGAUGGUAGGAAGCAAAAGGGGAUGCAGCAGGCAUCACCAAUGCUUUGACCAAUAUAACAACAUUAACAAAUUGUAGCAUACUUUUAAUAGAGACGGUAAAGGGUGUAAUAAUUAUAAAUGACGAGUAAAAAUCUUGUAGAAGGCAACAUUUGCGACAAAUUACCCUAUUCUGUAGAAAAUGUACGUGCACAAGCGUAAUGUUUCAAACUUCAUAACAGUUGAGUGUAGUGCAUAUUGUAAUUAACAACAAGAAGAUGCAAAAUAUAUUGAUCGACUAUGCACUAAAAAAUGAAAAGCUUAUGGAAUUGUUGCAGAAGAUGAGNNNNNNNNNNNNNNNNNNNNNNNNNNNNNNNNNNNNNNNNNNNNNNNNNNNNNNNNNNNNNNNNNNNNNNNNNNNNNNNNNNNNNNNNNNNNNNNNNNNNNNNNNNNNNNNNNNNNNNNNNNNNNNNNNNNNNNNNNNNNNNNNNNNNNNNNNNNNNNNNNNNNNNNNNNNNNNNNNNNNNNNNNNNNNNNNNNNNNNNNNNNNNNNNNNNNNNNNNNNNNNNNNNNNNNNCACAUGGUGGCUAUAAGAAAUUAAAAAAAAAUCAAGAUUCGAUAAAUAAACAUAUGGAUUAAAGUUGGAUUGAACAAAUAAAUUCUAUAAAUGAAUUAGAGGAAAAGUUUAAUAAAAGAGAAAUCCCGAAGAACGACAUUUAGUAAAUGUGGAAGAAAAGAAAACAGUCAUUAAUUUAGGUUUAUGUGAAAAAACCACUUGCAAUGAUAUAUAUGACCAACUCGGAAACUAUAUGACAAUAAUUGUGACCACUACACCUAAAAAUUAAUAAAUAUUAUUUUUCAACAAAGAUCUAAUAAAGACAUAUUUAGUAAUAUAAAUGUAAUAUAUUAUAUAGGUAGCAAAAGUAUUUAACUUAUAUUUAUAGGGCAAAAGGGCACUGGGCGAACAAUCCCGGCCAUCAAACAACAAUUUUUCUUGGGCUUUCUGUCGCAACCCGUUGUUGAUGUGACUGUUAAAUUGGGCCAAAGUAAGUUAAAAUAGUCUCAAUGUUGGCUACAGGGUGCGCACUAGAUAGCGAGAAAAUUUAAUACUUUUGACCUCGCCUAAAGGAGUUUAAGCGUGACCCUCGUUUGAAAAUGGCGAAUAUAUCAGCGAACGUGCACUACCAACAGGAAUGUAGUCACAUUGCACAACUGCAAUGACAUUCGACUAAGAAAGACUCUAAGAAAUGAGGGGAUCAAGAGGUUAAUAGGGGAAGAGAAAUCAGAAACACAAGAAAAAACCCAGUUAUUGCUGCUGUACACGAGCCAUUCGUUGAAUGGGGGAUGUUGAAAGAGGUUAGAUUUGGAUCUAUUUCGUAGAAAUUGAUAAUUGUCACAUUCGCGGUGUGGUUAUUGAAAGCGUUAAAUACAACAGAUUAUAUUGAUAAUGUAAUUUACUUCAAUCAAACGACAACUUUGUGGUCAGGGAAAGCCAUUACUCUUUUACUUAUGUAUGCCAUAAGUUUGUGACAGGUCAAGUAAUAAUUUGUGUACUUAAUGCGGCACUCACAAAGUAUGGCACUAAAUAGAGUAAACCGACAAAUAAUAAUGGAACCAAAAAAGUUAUUAACAAAUUGAUGAUGUAUAAAUUAUGCAUUUGAUGUUUACACCUAGAUGAGGUUGGAAUAACAUGCAUGAAUGGAGCAAACAUUGUCUGCACCGAAGUUAUGUUGGAACUAGGCAAUAGGAUGUGAUAAUGUGUGUUAUCGCGGACGCAGGAAUCUAAGAGGAAAGGGAAACAAACAACACAUAUUUUAUGUCCGAUGCGUUACCACCAUGUAAUCUCGAAAACAUAGAUUCAGAAGACCAGCAAGGUGAGGUGUGACAGGUGAUGGGCAAAGCACAAGCGGGGAUGAAAAUGGCAAUGUGGUCGAUUGCUUGCACAUCAAUCAGUUGGAGGCGCGGCUCGCUCAAGGCAACAAAUAGACAAGUGAGGCAGAGGCUGAAGUGUUCUACUACAACUACGUAAGAAGAAAAAGAUUUAGAAUUAGAAAAGAUGUUAAACUAUAAGACAAAGCUAGGAAAUCGAAGUACAGGAGAUGGGUAUUGUUGUGCAAAUUUUAUUGAACUCGCAAGUGCACGAAUCUAUUAUAGAAUAGAUCAAUGGUGACGAGUGUCGAUCCCACGAGGAGGUGAAUUUUAAUUGUGUAGAAUUAAUUUUCUAAGUGGGUGGUUGGAUUUGUGGUAAAAGAAACUUAGAUUAUCCUAAAAUUUGAAUUAAAAUGGCGGGAAUAAAUUGAAGAGAAAACUAUUAAAAUAGAGUGCUUUGGUAUCUGGAUCUGCAUAAACAUGCACCAUGGGCUAAAUAUGAAAUAUAAGUGUGUAACCCAAGAGGGGGGUGAAUUGUUAUUUUAAAAAUUAUCCUAGCAAAUCCACACAAUAGACAAUCUAACGUCUUAAUAAAAUUGAAAGCAAUAAGUUCAAUAAAAGCACAAUAACAAAUGAGUAAGGGAGAAGAGAAACAAACACACGAAUUUUUACGUGGUUUGGCAAUCCCCGCCUACGUCCACGCCUCCAAGCGAUCCAAGCUUGAGGAUUUCACUAUCCGAGCCUUUCCAAGGCUUCAACCGUUUACAAUUGACUUCAAGCUGUCAACGAACCUUUACAACAAAGAGAUUAUCUCCCAAUCUCUUCACUCAAGUGUCUCACACACUCAAACAUUUACAAUUAAGAUGAAGAAAUGAAAGUUACAACAAAACUCACUCAAAGAGUAGAUAUUCAAAAAUAAAGAACAAGAGAUGAUUCAAUGUUUUUGUGAUUUGCGAAUUGAGAGCUCAAGAUAUCUCGUGUGCUUUUUGUUUAUGCUUGCUGGAGAGCUUGAAAAUGAAUUGGAUUUGAGUUUAUAUAGUUUUAGCUCAAAACCUAACUGUUAUGCACAUUUUGAUCAAAACCGGCUUACCGUUUAUGGAAUCUAGUUAGCCGCUUUUAUGUUACCGUUAAGGCAAAAAUUUAAAUUUCAGAAUAUCCGAUAUGCCGCUUUUAAUAUCCGGUUAGCCGCUUUGAAACCCGGAUUGCCGCUUGCGAAAUCCGAAUAGUCAUUUAUGCUCCAGAAGCUUACUGCCCAGAAUCCGGAUUGUCAUUUACCAUAUCCGGUUAGCCCCUUGCUACAGUAACUGCUACAGUGAAAUAUUUUUUAAAUUUAUAGUUUGACCCAAAACUUUAUAAAACUGUAUUAUAACCUAAAACGUUAUGAAAAUUUUUAAAUAGGUCCAAUUUCAGAAUUUUUCAAUAAUGCUUUGUCAAUCCCAAAACUUUUUAAAAUUAUGAUUUCACCCAAAUUAUGUAAAAUUAUAGAAUGACCCAAAAUAUUUAAAUAGUUUCAAAUAGGUCCAAAUCUGAAAUUUUAAAACAAUAUCAAAGGUUUUAAAAUACUUUCAUUUUAGUCCAAAGCACUUUGAUUCUAUAACAUCAUUUUCUUAUUAUAAAAACACAAUUCAUAAAUCUUUGUUUAAUCAAUACAUGUGGUUUGUUAUCAUCAAAAUCAAUAUCUAUAGUCAUAUAAGCUAACAAUCUCCCCCUUUUUUAUGAUGACAAAACACAUUAUAAAAAUUUAAUCUAGUUAUGAAAAGCUCUCCCUUAAUCAAUGCAAGGUUAAAAAAUUGAUUUGAAAAUUAUUUAAAAAGACUUCCCCUGCAUACACACAUACUCCCCCUGGAUACAUGCAUAUUUUUAUAACACUUUUUAUAACACAUAUUAAAUUAUUCUCCCCCUUCAUCAUAAAAAAAAAAUAAAAACUCCCCUUAUUAAUCAUCAAAGUCGUAAUACAAGCACAUUAGUUAAAAAAAAUAUAUAUCCAUAAGCAUAAGGAAAUCCAUAUAAUCUAUAACAAACAAUCAAAACAAAUCUAUAUCAUCCAAAACAAAUACAUAAUCCAAAAGCAUAAUAACCAUCCAUAUAGUCAAAAAUAAAAGAACAUAAUGCAGUAAAUGAAAUGUAGGUGUAUCCAAAUACAAGCAUAAGAGACUACUGAGGUGGUGAGGAUGGUGGUGAUGGAGGUGGAUACGGAUAUGGAAUGCCGAAGUGCUCAAAGAGAAGGUGUUGUCCAUGAAUGAGCUGUUGCUGCUGCUGAAACUCAGUCUGCCGCACCGAGAGUGUCCGCACCUCAUCCAUAAGCUGCUGAAGAGUAACCUCUUCAGAGGUAAGAGGCUGUGGAGGUGAUGAAGCGGAUGCAGAGGCACCAGGAUCUGAAGCAAUCACAGGAGGAUCUCGGCGUCUACGCUGCCCCCGAAAUGAGAGUGAGAAAACGAGUAGCUGAUCGACUGGAAACACAACAUUAAUUGGCCGAUCAUCACUUGGAGCAAGAAAGGUAAACUUGUUUUUAGUGAAUUUGACCCAAGUGCCAUUUUUCCACUCAAAACCUAAGCCAAAUAUAGUGUCAUCCCUUAUACCCUUAGACGGUCUACACGAUGGUUCUUGGAUAGGGAUGCUAAAGUAUUUGAGGAUUCGGGUGAUGAAAUAACCAUACAGAAGGGAACGAGUAAUCAACUUAGGUAUACUGAGCAUGUUUCGGACAAUGGUAUAUCCUAAGUCGACUGGACGAUAUCUAAGAAUACAAUCAAUAAAGGCAACAUCCAUAUGAGAGACCUCAUCCAAAUGGCAUGAUCUAGGAAGAACAAUACUCUGAAUAAAACAAAGUAAUAUCCGAGUUUAAAGACAAAGACAUUGGGUGCGAAAAUGGAUAGUACAAUCUUCAUCUGAAAGGUCAAUACGACGACAUAUAUUCUUAACAGCUUCAAUAUAAACAUAGUCAUCAAUAUCAGGAGGUUUCCUAGGUGAAAAAAUUUCUAGGCCAUCAUCAGAAGUUCCUAGGAUAGAGUUCAACUCCGAAUCAUCAAACUCAAUCGAAACUCCUCCAACUGUGGUGAUUACUCGAUUCACUUUCUCCGCGGAACAAUCCAUAUUCGAGUAAAACACUUUCACCAAGUCAGGAUAUACAUUUUCCUCAAAAACAAGUGCAUUAAGCCAACCAACAUCUUCCAACAAUUGCAAUAAAGUUCUAUUGCUAAUACUAAGAUUAUUUAACCAAUCCGGUAAAACAAAAAAGGUUUGGAGUACCUCACGAGUCAUGAACGGUUGGUGAAAUCGUUUGGCUAGAUGUUUUUGUUUCUGAAAGUGUGUGGACUCAAACUUGGAUUGAUUGGAGGUGCCCUCUGCAUGCUGUGACCGGUUGAUUUGUGGAACCGGUUCUUUGCUUUUUCUUCGAACCGGCCGUGAGUUUGACAUGUUGAUUUGGAGUGAUUUGAAGUGAAAUGAGGCAAUGAUAAGGGAGAUAAUGAGGAUUGAAAGAGAUUUUAAAAAGCAAUUUGGAUCAAAAAUGACUUAAGGGGAAGAAUUUUAGAGAGAGAAAAAAUUCGGUUAAACCCUAGGUUGAAUUUGGGAUCUAGAGAUUUAGAUGUUGAAAAAGGAUUUUAAGUAUGAUUUUGGGCAUAAGAACGAAUGGGGAUUAAGAUUUAUGGAUUGAUUUGCAUCAAAACCGAGUAGAAAUGGUGGAUUUUGAAGUGAAAAACGAGAGAGAGGAACCGAUUUUUAGAGAGAGAACGAGAUCCGGAUUGCCGAAUGAGAGGGAGAAGAUGAACAAUUAAUAUAGUCUCUAAUCCGGCUUACCGGAUGUCUUUAACCGGAAAUCCAAUUAUAUUCCAGCAAGGUAUUCACGCGAAUCCAGCUAACCAGAUUUCACUAACCGGUUACCCGGUUAUGGGACAGUGAACAAAAACCCAUAUCUGGCUUUCCGAUUUAUCUAACCGGUUGUCUGGUUUUGAGACAGAAAGUUGCCUCUCAAUUCGAUUUUCUGGAUUUAAGAACUGGUUAGCCGGUUGUGAGGCAGAACCAUGCAAACCGUAAUCGGUUUUCCGGAUUUGAAGAAUCGGCUGUCCGGUUUUGAGGCAGAGAGGAGGCUUAGCAAAUUUGAUUUUCCGGAUUGAUAAAUCCGGUUAUCCGAAUGUUGACCCGAGAGCAACCAAAGCUAAUCCAGCUUACCGGUUUGCUAAAUCAAGUUAUCCGGAAUUUGUCUCGAGAGAAAUCAAUAAGAAAACGGUUUUCCGGAUGAGAGGAAGUGGUAUACUGGUUUAGACUUGGAAAUCUUUUUGUCUCUAAUUGAAUUUUGGCAAGCUCUUAUACUUGUAUUACACACACCAUUUUAUUUUUAGCUUUUAAAAUUGAUUAAUUUUAAAUCAUUCUGAGAUUUAAAACUUUUCAAUAAGCCAUUUAAUGAAUGAAACAUAAAAUCAUAAAAUUACAAGCAUAUCAAGCUAUCUAAUUCAUGAAGCAUAAAUCCAUAUAAUAACAAACAUAUCAAGCCAUGUAGUAGCACAUAAGUCAAGAUGCAAUAUUCAUCAUUCCAAGCUCAAGUCUUAUCUUUAUAAAAUGCUCUUCGCUAAGAGGUUUUGUAAAGAUAUCCGCAAGCUGAUUUUCAGUAGAAACAAAUUUAAUUACAACAUCUCCUUUUUUAACAUAAUCUCUAAGGAAAUGAUGUCUAAUUUCUAUAUGCCUAGUCCUAGAAUGUUGAAUGGGAUUCUUGGAAAGAUUUAUAGCACUAGUAUUGUCACACAAGAUAGGUAUUUGAUCAAGUUUAAUACCAUAGUCUCUAAGGGUUUGUUUCAUCCAAAGAAUUUGUGCACAACAACUACCUGCGGCAAUAUAUUCUGCCUCGGUGGUUGAAAGCGCAACCGAGUUUUGUUUCUUACUAACCAAGAGACAAGUGAAUGGCCUAGGAAGUGACAUGUUCCACUAGUACUUUUUCUAUCAACCUUAUAUCCGACAAAAUCGGCAUCCGAAUAACAAGUUAAGUCAAUAUGAGUUCCCCUAGGAUACCAAAGGCCAAGACUAAUGGUGCCAAUCAAAUAUCGAAAAAUGUGUUUGACAGCAAGCAUAUGUGACUCUUUAGGACAAUAUUGAAAUCUAGCACACAAACAUACACUAAACAUAAUAUCAGGCCUACUAGCAGUUAAAUAGAGUAAGGAUUCGAUCAUACCUCAAUAUGUCUUUAUAUCAACUUCCUUACAUUUCUCAUCUUUGUCCAGCUUGAUGGUAGUACUCAUUGGAGUGCUUUUUGUCGUUCCAUUAUCAUAGCCAAAUCUUUUGAGUAGAUCUUUCACGUAUUUGGCUUGAUUUAUGAAAAUUCCUUCCUCGUUUUGUUUGAUUUGGAAUCCAAGGAAGUACUUCAACUCUCCCAUCAUACUCAUUUUAAAUUCUUUGCUCAUACACGAUGAAAAUUCUUUACACAACAACUCAUUAGUAGAACCAAAAAUAAUAUCAUCAACAUAAAUUUGAACAAUAAGUAUAUCUUGGUUCUUAUGCUUAACAAAUAAAGUUGUGUCCGCUUUUCCCAUCGAAAAAUCGUUAUCCAACAAGAAGUUUUUAAGCCUAUCAUAUCAAGCUCUAGGUGCUUGUUUUAGUCCAUACAAAGCCUUAGAUAACUUAUACACAUGAUUUGAGAAUUUUUCAUUUUCAAAACCAGGAGGUUGUUUCACAUAAACUUCCUCCAUAAUAUAACAAUUUAAGAAAGCACUCUUGACAUCCAUUUGAUAUAAAAUAAAAUCUUUAUGACAUGCAUAUGCUAACAACAUCCUAAUGGAUUCUAACCUUGCUACAUGUGCAAAUGUUUCAUCAAAAUCAAUUCCUUCUUCUUGGUUGUAACAUUGAGCCACUAAUCUAGCUUUAUUUCUUACAACCACAUCGGAUUCAUCCAUUUUGUUUCUAAAUACCCAUUUAGUACCUAUAAUGGAUUGAUGUUCUGGAUUAGGAACUAAUUCCCACAUAUUGUUUCUUUCAAAUUGAUUCAACUCCUCUUGCAUAGCCAUAAUCCAAGAUUCAUCAUUUUCCGCAUCCGCAAAGGAUUUUGGUUCAAUUUAAGAGAUAAAUGCAGCAUGCUCACAUGUGUUCCUAAGAGAUGAUCUAAUUGUAACACCUCGUGAGGGAUCUUCUAAAAUUAUCUCCUUAGGGUGAGAAGAAACAAACCUCCACUCCUUGGGGAGUGUUUGAGAAGUACCUUCAUUUUGCUCUGCAUUUAUUUCUUCAUGGUGCUCCUCUUGAAUUCCAUGUGGUGCAUCUUUUUGGUUGUCAAUUGAUGCUUCGUCUAGUUGUUCUUCUUCUGCAUUAUCAUCAACAACUACUUUCUCCGUAGAUGAGGGAUUAGACUCAUCAAAUGUAACAUGCAUAGAUUCUUCCACAACUAAAGUUCUUUUAUUAUAAACCCUAUAAGCUUUGCUUGAGUUUGAAUAACCAAGAAAAAUGCCAACAUCAGAUUUUGGAUCAAAUUUACCAAGAUUAUCUUUUGUGUUCAAAACAAAACAUUUGCAUCCAAAGACUUUAAAAUAGUCAAUGUUGGGUUUUAUAUCUUUCCAAAGCUCAUAUGGAGUUUUAUUAAGAUUAGGUCUAAUCAACACACAAUUCAAAACAUAACAAGCGGUGUUGACGGCUUCGGCCCAAAAAUACUUAGGCAAAGAAUUUUCAUUCAACAUGGUCCUAACCAUUUCUUUAAUAGACAUAUUCUUUCUCUCUACAACUCCAUUUUGUUGUGGAGUCCUAGGUGAUGAAAAUUGAUGUUCAAUGCCAAAAUCAUUAUAAAAAUUUUCAAAUGUAUGAUUUUCAAAUUCUCUAUCAUGAUCACUUCUAAUACAAGUAAUAGAAUAACCUUUUUUUUUCAUUUUGAACCUUUUUAUAGAAAAUUCGAAAUGCAUCAAUGGCAUAAUCCUUAUUAGCUAAGAACAAUACCCAUGUGUAUCUAGAAUAAUCAUCUACAAUUACAAAUGCAUAAAAUUUGCUACUUAAACUAGCAUAUCUAGAAGGUCCAAACAAAUCUAUGUGAAGUAAUUGAAGUGGUUUUGAAGUAGAGACAUGAUUCUUGGUUUUGAAGGAAGUUUUGAUUUGUUUUCCAAAUUGGCUAGCUUCACAAAUUCUGUCUUUUUUAAAAUUGAUUUUUGGAAGACCUUUAACCAAAUCAUUUUUCACGAUUUUUGAAAUCAAAUCCAUGCUUGCAUGACCUAAUCUUCUAUGCCACAACCAACCAUCAUCAUGCAAUGCGGAGAAACAUUUAUCAUUUGUCGACGCACAAUCUAUAUUAAUGGUAUAGACAUUAACACAUCUAUUUCCUACAAACAAAACUUUCCCAUCACAUGCAUUCUCAAUAACACAUUUUGAUUCAUCAAAGAUAACUCUAUAUCCUUUAUCACAUAAUUGACUAAUACUAAGCAAGUUGUGUUUUAAGUUUUCAACUAAACACACAUUUUCAAUGAGAGUAGAGGAUACAUUACCGACAUUUCCAAUGCCAAUGAUUUUUCCUUUUGAAUUAUCUCCAAACGAUACAUCUCCACCAUUUUCGAUCUUAGUAAAACUUGAAAACCAAGAAUAAUUCCCUGUCAUGUGUCUUGAACAACCGCUGUCCAAGUACCACUUAUUCUUCUUCUUCUUCAAGCCCUGUAGAGAAAAUCUCAAGUUUUAGGUACCCAAACCUUUUUGGGUCCUUGAGAGUUAGCAAUAGUUCCUUUCGAAAUCCAAACACAUUUCACACCAUAAUAUGCAUUUCUCUUCACUACACAUCUAUUUUUCAUAUGACCAUCUUGAUUACAAUAAUGACAUACAAUUUGAUUGUUAAUAGAUGUAUUCUUCACAAAAUAACUCUUGUAAUAUUUUUGUUUCAAAUUUGGCUUAUAACCAAUGCCUCCUUUGUCAAAUACAUAUUUUUGUGAGUUUAGCAAGUUGUCCAACAUCUUUUGCUCAUUUGUGAAUUUUAGCACAAUCUCAUUUAGUUCAUUGUUCUUCUUUCUAAGCAUUUCAUUUUCAUUUUUCAAGUCAUUCACGUGUGACUCUAAGUGCUCAUGUGGAGUGCUAGAAUUCUCAAAUAAUGCAACUAUAUCAUGCAAUGUUUUAUUCUCUAAUUCUGGGCAUGUAAUCUUUGCACUAAAUGAUUCAUUUUCAUCUUUAAGCUUUAUCAUCUUCUUUUUAAGAUAUAUAUUCUUUUUACCAAUCUUCAUCACCUCAUCAUACAAAUCCUUAAAGGCAUCAUGUAAUUCAUCAUAUGUAGGAAGAACACUUACCUCAUCAAGUUCAUCACAUGAUUCUUCCCCAAAGGCCAUGAGAGCUAAAUUUGUCAUUUAUUGUUGCUCAUCAUCAUCACUUGUUUCCUCAUCGCUAUCAUCUCACGUGGCCACCAUAGCUUUCUUCUUGAGUUUGUUGAGAAGAGGACAUUCCGGUCGUAUGUGUCUGGGCUUCUUGCAUUCAUAACAAGUGAUUGCCUCUUUUUCUCCUUUUUAUUCUUGUAGCCUCUGAACUUUCUCUGCUCAUUAUUCUUCUUGUAAAAUUUUCUGAAUCUUCUAGCCAACAUUGCCAACUCCUCAUCAUCCAUCUCGCUUUUCUCAUCACUCUCACGUUUUGAAGCCUUGAGAGCAAUGUUUUUCUUUUUUUCCUCAUGCCCUUUUUCUGCUGCCAAAUCUUCUUCAUAUGAAAUGAGAGAACCAAUUAAAUCAUCAAUAGGUAAUACAUUUAAAUCUUUGGCUUCCUCAAUGACAGUCUUUUUUUGUCUCCAUUCCUUAGGUAGCAACCUAAUGAUUUUCUUAACUUUUUUGCUAUUUGAAAAGGUCUUUUCUAGGGCUCCUAGGGUGUUCACUAUGUCCGUAAAUCUAGUAUACAUAGAGUACACAUUCUCAUUUUGUUUCAUUUGGAACAAUUCAUAUUAUCGAGUGUACCUACUUAUUUUAGAUUCUUUCACUUGGUUCGUGCCUUCAUAAACAACUUCAAGUUUGUGCCAAAUUUCAUUAGCACUUUCGUAACUAGACACUCUAUGAAACUCGUUCUUAUCUAGUGCACAAAACAAGGCAUUCAUAGCCUUGGAAUUUAGAGAAGUAUUUCUCUUUUCGAAUUCAUUCCAUUCCCGUGAAGGUUUUGGAAUAUCUUCCUCGACUUCACUUUUAGUCAAAGGCGUGAAAGGACUAUCAUUAACGAUUUCCCAAAUUUCGUAAUCUAAGGCUUGCAAGUAAAUUCUCAUCUUAGUUCUCCAAUACGGAUAAUCGUUUCCAUCAAAGUAAGUGGUCUAAUGGUGGACUGUCCUUCCCUAAAUGUGGAAUCAUUUUGAGUUGCCAUUGAUCUUUAGCUCUAGACGGUUAAGUCUAAAUAAGAGCACAUCGCUCUGAUACCAAAUGAAAUAUAAGUGUGCAACCCAAGAGGGGGGGUGAAUUGGUAUUUUAAAAGUUAUCCUAGCAAAUCCACACAACAAACAAUCUAACGUCUUAAUAAAAUUGAAAGCAAUAAGUUCAAUAAAAGCACAAUAACAAAUAAGUAAGGGAAAAGAGAAACAAACACACAAAUUUUUAUGUAGUUCAGCAAUCCACGCCUACGUCCACGCCUCCAAGCGAUCCAAGCUUGAGGAUUUCACUAUCCGAGCCUUUCAAAGGCUUCAACCAUUUACAAUUGACUUCAAGGUGUCAAUGAACCUUUACAACAAAGAGAUUAUCUCCCAAUCUCUUCAUUCAAGUGUCUCACACACUCAAACACUCACAAUUAAGAUGAAGAAAUGAAAGUUACAACAAAACUCACCCAAAGAGUAGAUAUUCAAAAAUGAAGAACAAGAGAUUAUUCAAUAUUUUUAUGAUUUGCGAAUUGAGAGCUCAAGAUAUCUCGUGUGCUUUUUGUUUAUGCUUGCUGGAGAGCUUGAAAAUGAAUUGGAUUUGAGUUUAUAUAGUUUGAGCUCAAAAACUAGCUGUUAUGCACAUUUUGGUCAUAAUCGGCUUAUCGUUUAUGGAAUCUAGUUAGCCGCUUUUAUGUUACCGUUAAGGUAAAAAUUUAAAUUUCAGAAUAUCCGGUAUGCCGCUUUUAGUAUCCAGUUAGUCACUUUUGAAAUCUGGAUUGCCGCUUGCGAAAUCCGGAUGGCCGUUUAUGCCCCAGAAGCUUACUAUCCAGAAUCUGGAUUGCCAUUUACCAUAUCCGGUUAGCCGCUUGCUACAGUAACUACUAUAGUGAAAUAUUUUUUAAAUUUAUAGUUUGACCCCAAAACUUUAUAAAACUGUACUAUGACCUAAAAUGUUAUGAAAGCUUUCAAAUAGGUCCAAUUUCAGAAUUUUUUAAAUAAUGCUUUAUCAAUCCCAAAACUUUCUGAAAUUAUGAUUUCACCCAAACUAUGUGAAAUUAUAGAAUGACCCAAAUAUUUAAAUAGUUUCAAAUAGGUCCAAAUCUGAAAUUUUAAAACAAUAUCAAAGGUUUUAAAAUACUUUCAUUUUAGUCCAAAACAUUUUGAUUCCAUAACAUCAUUUUCUUAUUAUAAAAACACAAUUCAUAAAUCUUUGUUUAAUCAAUACAUGUGGUUUGUUAUCAUCAAAAUCAAUAUCUAUAGCCAUAUAAGCUAACAAAAUAUUCUUUAUUAAUUCCAAUUAAACCAUGAGGGGGGUUUCCACUCCUCAUGAAUCAUACUCUAAUCAAUAUGGUGCUAAGGGCUUAUCGUGCCAAAUAGUAAUAACCUUGUACUAGGGAGCCGGUUAAACUAGUGCAGUAUCUAGACAAGAUUAUUACUAUUUAUCGACGAAAGGUCAAAACAUCCACAAUAAUUAGAGGGGAAGAGAAAGUAAAUUUACCAAAUAAAGCCCAUGGAACAUGUUGAGACUUCACUUUCAACCCAAGCUUGAGAAAAAUUUAACUACUCAUAAUUGAAUUAGGGGCAAAAUGAAAAUUUAUUAAAAUACGUAGAAAAUACAAGAUGGAGAAGGAAUUACAAAAAAUUGAACUCAGAAAUGAAUUCAGGGAUGCCAAAUUAGGGGGAGCCCCCUUUUUAUAGAUACACUGAGUAAAUAAUGGUCAUCAGAUUAAAAACAUUUUGGACGCUUGGGAUUGCGCUACGCCAUCAGUCAACAGUACACAGUUUAACCACGCAGUUUGAAUAGUGAUGUGGUAUGAACAGUGAGACGGCUUCAAUAGUGACGCAAUUUGGUUGUAAAUAAUUCUGUGUAUAUACAUGUACCGUACAUGUGAACAGUGUUAUUUUUCUUUUUAUACUCCUCCUAAGGUUUUCGACUGUCCUGAAUUCAAAAGUGAUUUUCGUUUUACUGUCUGAUCUCUUGUUCAUUGUGAAAUGACCAUGAUGCCUCUAAAAUACAUAAAAUACUUAAUUAUAAUACAACAUACAUAAUUAAAUAACAAGAGACUUAAAUAUAUAAAAGUAGAAAUGUUAGUGAAACGUGAAGUGUAAAAUGAUGAUUUUCUCCUUUAUAACUAUACACUUUCUAGCACUCAACAAGUAUGCAGCAGGGAAGGUUUUAGACCACGUAAGUACGUGCACAACCCAAAUAGAAAAAGAGAUCCAAGGGCAAUUACCAGACUGGGUGCAAGGUAGAAUUUUGAAUUGUUCUAAAUCAAAAAUCGGGUGGGUGGAUUUCUACUUACUUUGCAGGAGACUACAACCAUGAGUUGAUGCCGCUUGAACAUGUUCACUACAUUAGAUCACAUCGAAAGGUAGCUGAACCGGACUUAAAUGCGGUAAGAGCAAUGCAUCGAGUAGGAAUUAAGCCCUCGCAAAUACACGAGUACAUGGUUGAACGGGCAAGUGGUUACAGGCAAGUGGGAUACACGAGAUCAAACAUUCAGAAUUCACUGGCUUGCCUUAGAUGAAAGAAGCUUCAGGAUACAGAUGCAGAAUCGUAUAUAGCAUAUCUUCAGGGGAAAAAGAGUAACGAUGAAGCUUUCUAUUUUGAGUACACUAUAGAAAAUAAAAAUAGGUUGGGCGACAUUUUUUUGUGUGACGGCGGCUUAAGGGCUGAUUAUGCACUCUUCGGGGAUGCAAUUGCUUUUCAUGAAACAUAUCGGACAAACGCUUACAACAAACCAUUCGUCGUCAUCGUUGGCAUUAACCAUCACAGGCGCACAACAGUAUUCGGAUUUGCUCAACUUUCUUCGGAGACAAAAUAUACUUAUACAUGGUUGUUGGAGACAUUCUUGAAUGUAAUGGAUGGAAAGCAUCAGCAAACAGUUAUAACAGACGGCGACCGUGAAAUGCGAAAGGCUAUUUCAUAGACUUUCCAUUGAACAGUUCAUAGACUUUACUGCAAGCAUCUUACGAGAAACGCCCAAAGUAAUGUGGGCAGUACUUCAUUCACAGCCGACUUCAAGGAUUGCAUGCUCUACACCUUUAGUACAGAAGAAUUAGAAAGGAAAUGGGAAAUUAUGGUUAGGAAACAUAAAGUAGAAGCAAACGAAUGGGUGAAGAAGAUGUAUGAAGAUAAGCAUUCUUGGUCAGAGGCGUAUCUAAAAGGUCAUUUUUUUUAGGAAUAAGAAGUAUGCGGCAAUGUGAGGGAUUAAAUGGCUACCUUAACCAAUAUGUUAAUAAGAAACAACAUUUAACAAAUUUUGUUGAUCAAAUGGCGAGGUUGAUGCAUAGACAACGGGAAAUUGAAUGAUAUGAUUGAUUACCAUAGUUCAAAUGAAAGCCGGGUUUAACCACCCAUCUAAGAGAGUAUGAGCAACAGGCAGGCAACAUGUACACGAAAAAUUUGUUUGAGGAAGUGCGCAAGGAGAUCGAGAAAGAGGGAUUGUUGAUAGUAAAUGGAGUAAUUUCAUGAACAAAUUCGAAGACAUACAACUUCACAGAAUUCGGCAAGGUUAAUAAAGAAUGGAAUGUUGAGUUUGAUAUGGUCUCGAAGCUUGCAUGUUACGGUUGUCAACUCUUUAAGAGUAAGGGCAUACCCUGUUCUCAUACAUUUGUUGCUUUUAAAGCUGAAGACAUCCAGUUUAUCCCAAAAUCAACACAGCUGUCAUGGUGGAUAAAAACUGCUGAAUUAAAUAUACGGCCACAAGUAACAGAACCGACCGUCACCCAUUGCAUCAGUGAACACGCACGGAUCGGGUUGUGCAUGCUGCCUGCAGGAACGUACAGACAUUUGCAUCUAACAGUGUAGAAACAUACACUGAGGCUAUGAAGGCUCUUCACCAGCUAAAUAUGCGACUCUAAUCUAUGCGCGCGCCAUCAGCCGCAACAAAUCCUGGAAUGGAAACUCACAAACAACCCAACAAGAUUCAAGACCCUCUCAUAGUGCUAACAAAAGGAGCACCCAGGCAGCCAAAAAGGACCUAACGAAAUGCAAAAGAAUGUAGUCGUUGUAGUAUUGGACAACUCAUCCCAAAACUUCUUCUAAGCAUCAUAUCAAAAUGUCUGUGAUUGGACGAAUGUUAUAUCAGAUAGCAGGUCCAAACUAACUCCCUCAAACGCAUCAGAUUCCUACAGGUAUGGGAGUAAAACAAAUACAUAGAUGAAACUUCUCAACAUGAUUCAUUUGGCAGCACUUCACUAGGACUCAGUUAUUCAGAACAAGACGGCCGAUUUAUUCAGUUAGGGUUGUAUAUGGUACUUCCAAGUUCGAGCCAAGUUCGACUCAAACUGAAGCAACAGGCAAGGCUGUUUGGAUGAUUUCGCAAUAUGCUGAUGCAUGGCCAUUUAUUUUCCUUUAUUUGUGAAAAUCUUUCAUAGGAUAAUAUGACUAUUCAGGAGUGCGAAUGGCAGAGACUUCUUGUUUGUGGCGUUUGAUUGUCAAGUAUGUUGUCGUUCGUGCAGGUGUUCUAACUGAUUUUGUAUGUCAUACAAUUAAAAUCGGUAGAUGUCGUUAUGUACCCCUUUAGUUUGAUCUGGAUCGCAGAAAUGUAAUUCUUUAAGUGUUGACAUAUGAUGAUCAUGGUUGUUUCCGAUAUUAGAGUACUUGUCGAUCAGUUACCUUUGCAUGAAAUUAAUCACACCUUCAAUAAUAUGGUGAAAGCAUAUGUGGUCAUUUGUGGUCAUUCAUCUUUCGGGCUUGUCAACCUAAUAAGUUUGUCAGUCGUAAAAAGAUCAGGGCCAGCAACCCGCUCCACAAUCUCUUUCGUCUUUCGUGUAGAAGCAUCACGGGCACUAUCAGCAUAUCUGCCACUAUGUUGGAUUUGGAUCGCGGAUGUAUCAAAUUUUAGCACGGCGGCAGAUGUUUAGACAAAGAUUGUUUCCAAUCUCAUUGCAAAUUAAUGAUUGUUUAAUGUAAAGAAAACCAAAAAUAAAAAAUUAUAAUGCUAAUUUGAAUAUACAGCGAAAGUUAUAUAAUUGGACCUUAUUCGUUUGUCAAGGACAAGUUGUCAAAUAACCCAUAAUUUUGGGUAUAGCGGCAAUUUUUGCAGAGGGAAAAUAGUUAUAAUUGGUGACAUUUCCAAAUGAUAUUGCAUGGUAAUGUAAAGUCAAUGGAUCUCUGUUGCCAGCAUUGUUGAUCUUGGCCCACUUAUCAGAAAAUUAGAACAUAACUAAAUCUUCGGAUAAUUAGAAGAAAGUAGUUUUUGUUCCAACCAAAUCUGUUUCAUAUCAAUUGCAUGCCCUAGUUGUCCUUGUAACUUGCAUUAUAAAGGAUAAAUGCUGGCAACGUUAUAUGUUUGCAGACGUGCACCAAUAUGAACAUUUCACCAUGCAUAAGACAACUUCGGUUAAUGACAAACAUAGAGUACCUUACACCUCAAUAGCGACCUUGACGUUACAAGACAACUUGUAGAACGCAGGCAAGAACCAAUUUCCUACUUUCUACGCCCAUUACCAUUAUGCUUUAAACAUCUACCCCUCAAAAGGUACUUCUUCUAUGACGCCUUUGCGCAUCUCCAUUGCUCUGCUUCAUUGCUAUUAUAAAAGCUAAUUGCUCACCCCAAUAUUUUGUUCUUCGCCAUAUUCGUCCCAUCAAAUACCAACUGAAUGGGCAAGUUCUUUCGUGCCUCAUCCGAAUUAAACUGAGGAUAAUGAUAAAUUUCUUUAAUACAGUUAUUCGAUCCAAUAUCAUCAUUUUCAUCUAUACUUUGAAGUAAAAAAAAACAAGAUAGUAUAGGCAUCAUGUGUUACAAGGUAAGGUUCAAACAAUCAUAUAUCUAUUAGACUUAAUCGAAUUACUAUGCACACCUUAUGAACUUAUCGUAAGUUAAAGUUUGAACUGAGGCAACUUCUUUACUUACUGUAUGGUUAUCGACAUCUGGUGUUGUGCAAAUUUUCUUGAACUCGCAAGUGCACGAAUCUAUUCUCUAUUGUAGAAUAGAUCAAUUGCGACGAGUGUCGAUCCCACGAGGAGGUGGAUUUUAAUUAUGUAUAGAAUCAAUUUUCUAUGAGAGUGGUUGGAUUUGUGGUGAAAAUGAUUUGGAAUAUUCUAGAUUUUAAAUUAGAAUAACGGAAAUAAAUUAAAGCGAAAUCUAUUAAAAUGAAGCACUUGGGUAUCUGGAUAUGCAUCAACAUGCACCAUGAGCUAAAUAUUCCUUAUUAAUGUCAAUUAAAUCAUAAGGGGGGUUUUCACUCCUCAUGAACCACACUCUAAUCAAUAUGGUACUAAGGGCUUAUUGUGUCAAAUAGUAAUAACCUUGUACUGGAGAGCCGGUUAAACCAGUGCGGUAUCUAGACAAGAUUAUUACUAUCUGUCGACGAAAAGUCAAAACAUCCACAUUAAUUAGAGGGGAAGAGAAAGUAAAUUUACCAAAUAAAGCCCAUGGCACAUGUUGAGACUUCACCUUCAACCCAAGUUUGAAAGAAAAUUAGCUACUCAUAAUUGAACUAGGGAUAAAAUGAGAAUUUAUUAAAAUACAUAAAAAAUACAAGAUGGAGAAGAAAUUACAGAAAAUGGAGCUCAAAAAUGAAUUCAAGGGUGCCAAAUUAGGGGGAGCCCCUUUUUUAUAGAUACACUGAGUAAAUCAUGGUCAUCGGAUUAAAAAUAAUCUAGACGCUUAGGAUUGCGCCACGUGUCAACAGUACGCAAUUUGAAUAGUGAUGCGGUUUGAACAGUGAGGCAACUUGAAUAGUGACGCGAUUUGGUUGUAAAAAAUUUUGUGUAUAUGAUGAAUAUAAUGUACGCACGAUUUUUGGUUCAUUAACAUACUGCCACGUCACCGAUCAACAAUAUAUAAGAAUUUUAGUCCAAUAGAAUCGUGACAACCCAUCAGUCAAUGCCACGUCAUCGGUCCGUAUAUGUGAACAGUGUCGUGAACAGUAACAUGGACAGUACCGUACAUGUGAACAAUGCUAUUUUUCUUUUUAUGCUCCUUCUAAGGUUUUCGACUGUCCUAAGUUCAAAAGUGAUGUCUGUUUUGCUAUCUGAUCUCUCGUUCAUUGUGAAAUGAUCAUGAUGCCCCUCAAAUACAUAAAAUACUUAAUUAUAAUACAACACACAUAAUUAAAUAACAAGAGACUUAAAUACAUAAAAGUAGGGAUGUUAGUGAGACUUGAAGUAUAAAAUGACAAUUUUAUCCUUUAUAAAUAUACACUUUCUAAUACUCAACAUCUGGUAAACUUACAGUAUAAUCCUCGCCUACUUCCUUCACAAUGUUCUCCAUCCACCAAAUCACAACCAACCCGCAAUCAAAACCAUAACGUCCAACGGGAACCGUUCUUGCCUCUGUGCAUUGAAAUGUCUUAAAUUGGAAAUCACCACCGAAUAAUAAUCUUAUGUCAUCCUUCAAUAUCUCGUCAAGCACUGUCAAAUAGAAAUAUACAAUCACCGACAAAUAAGUUGUCGUUGGAGUGGCAUAUUAGCAUAUUUUAUGAUAUCUUUGCAUUAUUGUACUCUUAAAUACAUGACGUAACCUACGCCCUCGAACCUAAUAAUAAAAUUAAGCAAAAGAUAUUCUGAUUGCAAUAUCUGUCAUAUUCAAUCGAUGUAUAUGAUGUUCAUACCAGUUCAUCAUAAUCUAUAUAGUUCAACAAACAUUACACCCAUGUUCCCAAAAUAAUUUUUUAAGUCGACCAUGAAUCUUUUAAUGUAUGAAAUCAUAUCAACCCAAUAAUCUCAGGAUACCGAACAUCAUUCUCAAAUUUUAUUAUUUUCCCACAUAACUACAUUGUGCAUAUAACUACAUUAUAUCAACACUAUAAAUAGUUGUAAUGCAUUUCUCUAUUAUAUUCCAGCAAGUGACAAAACUUACAUGGUAAACAUGACUCAUAUGCAUUCCAACACCAAUGGCUCAAUUGAAUUUCAGAAAGUAUAAUUGGUUCAACGAAACACAAACAGGAAAUCACCAUGUCGCACACAAUUGCCAAGAUAAAUAGAAGGGAAAACUGAUUCGUUAAUUGUAGUCCAUAUCAACUCACAAUGGUAUUUGCUUCCCCACUAAUUAAAAUUUUUGCCAAUUGACUUGACAUUGGGUCCCAUAUCUCUACACAACAACGUUUCAUAUCCACUAUUACGACAUACCAAUGCGAUGGCUCAUGGUUGACCGGAAUAACUAUCUGUGCAAUUUGUCAUAACAAUUAGUCGUUAACAUCAUAUUGGUACUCCCUUAAGCAUGUAGCACUCCCUUAAGUGUUUCCAUUUCCCUAGCCAUGCUAUGUCACUACCUUGAGCCAAAACCAAAUGUUGCAUUCAUUCACAAUAUGUGCCAGUCAAAUUUCCACCCGUUAACAAUGAAAAGUUCAAAAGGAAUGUUCAACCAAAAAAAUAAACAAACAAUAAGCAAACUAUAUACAUUAAAAUAAGUUGGUAAAAACCAGAAACGUGGACUGUCAUGGUCUUUUUCCCGCUCUUUAUAGGACAAAAUCUCAGCCUUAGUGGAGACUAUCUAUAAUGAGAGACCGAAUUGAUUGACUGAAAUUGUUAUUAUAUGUGAACGUAAAAUCUAAGUAAUAAGAUUUGAAACAUCUCCCCCCUCACCUGACCACUAACCCAUCUUUUUUCGCAUAACGAAAAAUAUUUCAUUCCUGCUCAAGUAAUUCUUUUUUGUUUGGACCAGAGGUUCGCUACAAGAAAAGUUAACAUCAAGUCACUUAAACAUUUACACCGACCUGUUCAUCACAACAUAAGACAGGACGGCAACACAACCAACGUGAAAGAUAGAGCACCUCCACAAAUACAUACAAUUGACAUCGUCCAAUGGAUAUAAUAUGAAGACAAAAGCUGAUAUACUUUUUUUUAUGUUUCACAUUUGUUCAUUACCUGAUAUCCAAAUCUUCAUUCAUCAUGUAUCGGAUCAGCUUCAUCCCGUUAUCACACACAGGAUGUGGUAUGACAUAAGGACCAAUCAUGAACCAUCCUGAUCGAUUAGCAUUGGCCUUUUUGCUUGCCAUCCACAUCGGCAUCUCAGAUUCAUCUCUUGAAGGGCUAUUCCCGAGUGUCAUAAAAUCUAUUAUCUCAUCCCCAAAAUUUUUCUACAAUAGUAUGACAAACACAAUUAAACCCAACUCAAAGACCAUUAAAAACUCAUUGCUUCAAUCCUAGUUCAAUUAGCGCAACAAUUCGAUAAUAGAUAUAUUUUCAACAGCACACAAUUACUUUACCUUAACUGGAGAUUCCAAUUCUAAUCCAAAUGGACACGCAAAGUUAUCAACAUUAUUCUUUGGAAGCACAAUUUUCCAUUGGGUAGCAUUCUGGUUAAUAUUUUUUGUUGUCUCUGCCCCACCCCUGCUUUUUCCACAAUAUGCCAGCCCAUCAGCAAUCGCGCAACUUGAACUCCCCAAGGCAACACCAUCUUCACUAUCACUUUUCUCAACCAACCGACGAAAUAAAUUUUCUCCCUUAAACUUUACGUUUUCCAGGAUCUCAAGGGACAACUCUUUUAGCAAAUCAAAUCAAGAAUAAAACCCCUAAACCCAUGGUUCGUAGCCUAUAAAUUGGAACUUAUCCUUCUCUUUGUCUAAUUCUUAAUUUUUUGAUAAAAUUUCCUCUGCAUCUUUGAUGAACUAAUUGACUUUAUCGCGCAAUCUAACCUGCAACACAAAUACGGUAACCAUCCAUCCACCACAUCUCAGUUCCAAUCAGUAUCACCAACAACCAUAUCAUAUUUUUGUCAAUUGUGCGAGAAAACUAUUAUUUGUCUUUUAAUUAAAAACUAUUAUUUGUCUUUUAAUUCAGUGUUAUGUAUCUUAUCAUUGCCAACACCACCCAGCUUGUCUAUCCACUUCAUAAAUACCCUAAUCUCAUUCGGAUCCCACAUGACAAUAGGGCAUAUAGAUGUAUCUCUUCUGACUUUUGCAUAAUGUACAGAAUUUAUGUACAAUAUCUGCAUAGCUCAAAUGUUUCCAUUUAAAUUAUAAUAGUAAACAUUAUUAACAUUGUUCAUUACCAAAGAGAACAAAAUAUACCUAUUUAUACAUUGUUUGUAUUAUCAUUGAUUAUCCUAAUCGAAUUCGUCUAAAAUGAUGAGUAAAUAUACCUUCAUACAAUUCUUUUAUUAAAACUAAUAAAAUUUAUUUUCAAUAUCUAAACCCACAGCUUUACCUGGAGAUAUAAUAAACAACCACCGACGUAUCCCAACUUCUCCUCCUUGUAUCUUGUUAUACCUUAUAUCAGCUUGCCGAAGCAAAAUGAAGCCCAAUUCUUGCCCAAUUCCUUGAACUGAUUCUUUUACAUCCUUUAAUGCAAACAACAACGAUGAACUUAUAUGGACUCCGCCUGGAGGACAUAGCACUGAACCCAACAAAAAAAGAGCAAACGUUACUUUGAACUCAUUGUUAUCACAUUGACAACUCUUUAGGAUGUCAUCCAAUUUCUUUAUGUGUAUUCCCUUAGAACUUGCCUCAAACCGGUCUAAAUAACUAGCAAUUUCAUACAUGUCGCCCUCGACCUCCACAUGCAUUCCCCCAUCUGAAAUACCCAUAAUUUGCAUAAAACUCAAGGCGUUGAGCUCUAGCUCCCAACCAUGAACUAUCAAUACAAACUAUUCCAUAUCAACGUUGUCCACUAACACUCACAUAGCUUCCUUUUCGGCCAACCGCAUUUCAUCUUAAUUAGUGUACCAAAUCCAAUUGCUCUCACCAGUGCCUUUUGUUCCACUGUUAGACUUAAGGCAACAGUUGCCAGUCGGUCUGGCACACACCUUGAUAUAAACUCUGAUUUCCCUCUAUCAACAUGUGAUAUUUUGUGGCUUCCUCCAGUGCACUUGCAUUUUUUUCUCGGGAGGCAAAUUCUUAAACUCAUUUCCAAUCUCCUUCCUAACCUAAAUUAUUUUCGAUACAGGUGUUAAUCAUAACUUAGCAACUAGUUUUUAUUUCACCACCCAUUUCACAUUACCUAAGUUAGUUUUAUGCUCACCCUUGCUUUUAUAGAAAUCAGACUCACCUCAUUCGUGAUACAAGCCCUUAUAUCCUUUGCCUUCAGCUUCUAUACUGCUUCUCCGCUGCAUAUGUAAGAAUAAACUCAGUUAGAACACUAAACAAUUUAACCUAUAUCUCCCAUUAUAAUCAAUCAAACUGUUUGUUAUUAAUUUCCAUAUACUUUUCCUUAACUACAAAUGCUCUACAAAUUCCAUAUAGCUUCAACUAUACAUAAAUGACAUAUUAGUCACGAAACUAAUCUCUAUCUUCACAACUAAUCAAACCAAUUUAUCACUAUUGUAUUCAUUCCAUUAACGCUAUAAAUAGACAGUCUCGAAUCACAUAAGUGGAUAUUACCCUCUACCUCCACUGCUACAAGCCUAUAUCAGUCUUGUUAUGUUUGUUUCGAAUUUUUUUUAAGCAUAUAUAUCAAAUUACCAUGUUGCAUUUACCUAUUUUACUUUGUUUUACUUGAUAACAUAACAUUAAAGAUCAGUAUUCGUUAUUUUUUUCUUGAUGUCAUUGAUACUUACAAAUACGAUACAAACCCAUAACCAGCAUUUCCUUUUAUCUCUCCCUCAACGUUCUUUUCACCCUACUGUGUCGUCGUCUUGUGCUGCAAGUCCACUGCCCCACCUCUUAUUUUAUCAACGAUAAUAAUUUCUUUUACAACUGCUUCAUACUACUUUGCCGUUUCUUGCCAUGAUAAUGCAAAUGUCUGCAUUAUUGCACAUUGAUAUCCCCGAUAAAUCUUGUUCUUCCCUUAUUUCCUUUAUCGUGCGAAAACCCUAGAAAUUUUAACUCUCAAAAUGUUUGUCGUUGCCACCCAGCGUGUCCGCAGCGUUAUUUUUUUUAUUCCAUUAAUUAGAGUUCCAGAUUCACUCGGUAGCCUUAUAUGCUAUCCACCGAUUUGUCCUGGUUACCCACAACUCCCCAUACGAUCACCUAACAUUUUCGACACCGUUCGAUUUUCAACUUCGUAUCGAACGGUUGUUAUUGAACUUAUGUUACUUACAUUAUCAUGUAAGUUAACUAGGUCCUUUAAUCUGAGGUAUGGAAAAGUAAUUGUCAUGAUCUCACAAUGAAAGAAACCAUCUUCCCUUCUUGUACCAUCCACGGAUGAUCUUGCGUUAGGUCUAUGAACCAGUCGUAUGAGCACUAUAGACAAGAGUUCUGUUAGUAUGUUUAAUAAAAUGAAGUUUUCCAAAACUUAGCCAUAGCUACCCAUCAAUAUCAAAUAGAGACCAAGGGGACAGCAUAAUAAUUUCUUUAGUAUAUAAUGAGUCUCAAAGAUUACAGACCAUGUGUGAUAUUAUCUAUAAUAACAAUACUUUCCUCCAAGAGGAUUUGAUAGUUAUUUACAUAUGCUACUCAAGAUUACACAGUUCUGAAUGGAAUUUAAGAUUAUUCAAGCAUCAUCACUAUAUCAAAUCAUCAACAACAGUAAAUUAACGACAUUACUGCCUAAGAAGAUUUUAUUGUUGUUUGUGCUACUUAAAUUAAUAUUCUCAAGUCGUUCAUCGAUCGUUUACCCACAUGCAUUUCACAAAAUCCUCACCUAAGAUGAUCAUCUAGAGAAGGAAUCAAAACUGAUGAUUCUAUUUCUCAAUCUUUCUUACUUGCUCCUACGGAACCAGGAAACAAGCUUCAUAAGGCUCAAACUCAUGACUAUAUUCCAAUUAAACAAGCACCAACUUUCAUGAACUAGCCAACACAAUCACAUACUGAAAUAAAUAUUUUAUUAUGUAACAGAGCUGGGAAUACAUCCUGCAAGAAUAAAGCGUUAUCACAAUUUCAACAAUAAUAUUCUCCAUUAGCUAUUGGGGACUGGAGAGAGCAAGUUCAGUUUCUUCAAGAGGGUAUUUAUCAUGGGUAGCCCCUAUUGUGAAUUUACAUCUUCCUGCUACCCGCGGCCAUUAAAUUGAAAAUUCAUCCCAUCACAGUCGUUGUUGAAGCCACCAAAAUAUCAUGAGGAAGAUCUUUGUUCUAGUGACUGCAGCAAUGAUCCAUUACAACCGUAAAGUGCAUCAAAUUGAGCAAACACCAAAAGUUCCUCCUAAGAACAAUAUAGGAAGAAACGCAAAUCCUAUAAACAUUACUCAUGCACAAAAUACAUGGAUUAGCAUUUGAAAUUGUUUAUAUAGCAAUCUUUCUCACACCUGAAAAAGUUUGUUCUGCAACUUGAUCUCUAAAAUAAGAAAUCAAAUGGUAACAUGGCAAUUGUAGAGAUUAUACCCGAAUUAACAAUGGACAAAUAAGCAUUAGUUUUGUAUGUAUAUAUUUCUAGUGUAUUAGAGAUAUUAUGGCUGCUUUUUCUCACUAUUGGAAAAGUAUUUUCUGUAACACGAUUUCUAUAGUGCAAAGCCAAAUUGUGACUUGGUAACAAUUGAGAUUCUUCCUAAAAUAAGAGCCAAUCACAAAGUAGCAUUAGUCCCAAAUAUAGUUACUCACACACUAUAUUCAUAUGUUGAUAUUUCAUAAAUGCCACAAGUUGUGUUAUUUCCGAGCUUUGGAAGAGUAUUUUCUACAACAUGAUUUCUAAUGUCGAAAGUAAUUGAUAUUCUGCCUGAAGUAAAGGCCAUGAACAAGGCAUUAUUAAUUCGGGACACCAUUUAUCAUACAUAUGUAAGUUGACAAAUUCAAGCUUUUUUUUCUCACCUGUAGGAAUUUUUUUCUGAUUUUUUCUGCAACAUGAUUUAUAAAAUCAAAACCCAAAUGAUGACUAGGUAGUAGUUGCAAUUCUUCCUGAAAUAAGAACCGUAAAUAGCAUUAGUUCUGAAUAUAUUUCUCCUGCAGUACAUUCGUAAUUGAUAUAAAGAGCUGUCAACAAUGCAUGUUCUUUCUCACCCAUGAAUUGGAACAUAUAUUUUCUGUAAUAUGAAUUACAUUAUAAGUCAUAUUAUGAUUUGUUACUUGUUCAUAUUCUACCUGAAGUAAAAUCACAAAUAAGAAGCAUUAGUCUUGUAUUAGACUAUGUUCCUUAUACAUAAAUUAGGAAUUGAAAUUGACAGUUAAAUUGUGCUCCUUCUCACCUUUUGUCUAAUAUUUUCUGCAACAUGAUUUCUAGAAUCACAACUUGCUAAUUGAUGACUUUUUACCUAAAAUAAAAUUCAAAAAAGUUAUAAUUUCAUGUAAGAGUCUCACACAGCCAAAAUGGAUAACUUGAUAUUGAAACUGUCGUUAACACACUUUUUGUCACCCCUGAAAAAUUGGUUCAUGUUUGAACCCAAAUUUUUUUCCCAAACAACACUAUUAAACUGAGCUAUAGCUUUUCUAGACUUUAAUAAAGUCGAGGAUCCUAGACCAAAUUAGCAUUAUAUAUAUAUAUAUAUAUAUAUAUAUAUAUCUAUAUAUAUAUAGUUCAUUAUCUAGUGAGGACAUCCUCAUUUUGUUAAAAUGAAAAUACCACUAAAAUAUAAUAAAAAAACACAUAUUUCAAUACAUUGUAAACUUUGUUUUUGAUUUGGUUAGCAUUAUAUUUGAUGAACAUGGUGAAAUUCAUAUGUAUUGAAAUGUCUUGAUGGGUAAUCUCGAAAAGCUUUUGUUGUUUAUGUUAAGUUCAAAUUGCCCAUCUAUUGCCUUGGAGUAAAUUUAACUGUUAUUUUGUACCUCAUGGACUUGUUAGUUAUAGUGGCUACUUGCUUUUAUUUGUUACGUGUUCUCUUCCUUGAUUGGUUUAUGAUUAUCCUAUAUUGUUUCACCACAUUGCUAGAAUUUUACAACAUUGAUAUAACAAAAUGAUAAAAAGAUGAGGGCUGGUCUCAAACAGCUAAAUUUAAUUGUUGAGCUACAAAGUAACUGUUUUCUAGAAGAUUGUUGGGUAUCUUGUGAUUCUAGGAUUAUAUAUUACCCUUAUUUUAAUCACUCAUGGAUGUGGUUCUCAAUUGUCUGGCUUUCUGAAAUGAGGAGAAAAUAGGGUUGCUAUUCAAAUUUGAGAGUAUUGUAAAUUUUUAAUGCUGCUUCUUGUAAUUCAUUUAUUUGUAUCUUUAUAGUUUUUUAAUAAACCUCAAGCAUUUUAUUUACAAUCAUUAUUGUGUUUUCUACCUCUACUUGAAAUGCCUACUUUCUUCUCAAUUUUCUUUUCAAUUUCUAACCUAAAGAUUUUCUUAUUCUAUACGUGAGUGUUGAUAAUAUAUUCAUUGCAUGCUUGCCUAAACACUGGAAAACUAGCUUUCUUAGCAAUUUUUGUAUCUGGAGGAAUAAUAUUGUAGAUUGCAGAUAUUGGUCAGUAGUGUUCUUUAUUGCUAAAUAAUAUUUGUUCAAGUCUUUUGCAAGUGUGUGAUGAAUACUUCCUGGUGUUUAAUCUGGCAGGCAUGUGCAUUAUACAAUAAUUGGUGGCCAAUGCUCACUAAUAAACCCCCAUGAACUUUUUGUUUAUGAUGUUAAUGAUGUCCUUAAAUAGGAAUUCUGCAUUUGUAGCUUCAAAAUUUUAAGAACAUACUCUGCCCUGCAGUUGUGCUAUUGUCAUGCUCAAACAUGCUAAAACAAUUAGUGCUCUACCAAGUAUAUAUGUCCUUGAAGUAAAUUCAUGUCUCGUUCUGAUCUACCUGUUUGUUUGUAUCAUACACCCCAAGAACAGAAUAAGAACAAAUCAUUAAUGUCUUAAAGAUAAAAAGGACUAUAAAUUUGCAAUGCUAUAUAUUUUAACUAAAUUCUAGUGGAUCUAAUUUAAAACAAAUAAAUUUGUUUAUAAAGGAAUAUCAUUGCCUUCCUAAGCUCAAGAUGUGCUCUUGCAAAAGGUUGGAGAAUGACUGGGUGAGUUGGGUAUCUAAGAAUGUGAUAAAAAAACGAAUGAAAAUGAAGAUGAAACCAUAAGCCUUUGUGGUUUGUUAACCUUUAAAAUCGAACAAGCUGAGACUAGCGGUGGAGCCGACAGUGGCCCGUGAUCACACUCUGAUGCUCAAGUAAGAUUUUUAGAAAAAUAAUAUGGCGGCCUUAAAAUCUAAAGAACAUUUAACUCUUGACAAUAGCAUUAGCUUUUUAGUUGAAAAAGAUAAGUCUAUUUUUUAGUAAGGAAGAAGUUACCAUUUUAAAGAAACGCUUGAGCUUUAUAUUAGAGUGUACCUGAAGGUCAUUUUGGUCCAUUUAGGCAUGUGGCUGAUAUUUAUUGUGUGACCUCCCUCAAGUGAGGUUAUCUUAGUAUUUUAGUUUUUUUUGUCCUUUGAUGGUGACAUCCGUGAGCUUGGAAAGCAAAAAAACCUUCAAACUCUUUUUUGCCUCCAUAAUUGGUCACAUGGUGAGCUCUCAACAUUACAGUCCUAUUUUUUAGAGUGCAACAAAGGAUGACUGACGUGGCUCUCUCUUAUUACUUUGCUUAAGAAUCUCUACUUUCAUUGGCUCCUCCUUUUUAGCCCAAAAAAAGAGUUAUUUUACUCUUUUUCAUAAUGGCAUGUAUUGUUCACACGUUGGCUUUAACCACCAAUUUUGGGUUCCGAUAAUACUCCUUGGUGUUGAGCAUAUUUAACGAAACUAACUUUUUUCCAAUGAGCUUAUCAUGCCAUUUAGUCAAAUGAGCCAAUUUCAUGUUGGUUGACUUUCUUUGUCAUGAGUCAUUAAGUUGUUAGUCCAUGUCAGCAAAGAGCUGACCUGCAGUAGCGCUUUUUUAAGGUCUUAAAUAUGAAGUAAGAUAGAGGGACUGGUUGAUAUUUUGCAGCAAGGCAAUAUCAAAAAUUGAUAGACUUGAGGGAUGCCAUUGAAAAGUUUCUCCCACUUCCCCAACUCAACAACAUGGCCUUACGUGGUCCUUUCAUUAAAACUUGAGAAUGGAUUAGUAGUUUUUAAAUGUUCUGAUAAUUAACCUAUAUGGUACAUCCCAUUGCGUCCCUCCAUUGCAUGCAUUGUUGCCUCUAGCUAUCCUCCCUUUGGCUAUUGACAUGCAGUGGAUUUUUGGCCCUUGCAUUUCAUAAACGGUCCAAAUUUUUUUCCCGCCCUUUCAUAUUCUUCUAACCCCUUUUUUCAGUGGUCAUUGCCUCAUUGCCGUUAGAUUAAAACCCAUUUGAGUGAGGGAUGAUCUCCCCCUUACACUUGGCUAACCCUUUGCUGGAUGACUUUUCUUACACAAAAUCGAUUCCUCUCUCUUUCUUUCAUCUUACUUCGUGUUUCGCUUACUCUCUUCAUUAGCUUGAAGGCCUUGUUUCUAAAAAAUUUGGGCUUUGACUUGUUGUAGGCACUUUGAAUCUAUUCUUUAGUGAAUCCAUCUUCUCCUCCUCUAUGUUUCAUUAUGAGAUGAGAACGUUCAUGAGAGGAGAAGAACUUUGUAUGUAUUAUUGCAUAUCACACGGCUGUUCACAUAUACAGCUACACCAAGAUCAAAGUCAGCUAACAAUUCUUCUAAACAAUCUCUUAAAUAUGUUCCUUCUAUCUUUAUCUAAUAGCAUUCCUAAUGAAAUACAAAAGCUACCAAAUAUACAAAGAUAUGAAAUAUGUUACAAUAUUUACAGCACACGUGCCCAAUACUCCCCCUCAAGUUGGAGCAUGAUGAUCACGAAUGCCCAACUGGCAAAGGAUAUUUUCAAACUGGUGUCGACCAAGCGCCUUUGUGAAAAUGUCUGCAAGUUGCUCAGAAGUACAAACAUGAAAAGCAGCAAUAUUACUAGCAUGGAUCUGAUCCCGCACAUAGUGGCAAUCAAUCUCAAUAUGCUUAGUGCGCUCAUGAAAAACAAGAUUGGCGGUAAUAUGAAGCCCCAGCCUGACUAUCACAAUAAAAACGCAUUGGUAGAGAAUGUGAAACACCAAGGGACUUUAACAAAGCCUUUAGCAAAGUUAAUUCACAACUAGUGAAGGCCAUAGACCGAUAUUCUACUUCAGCCGAAGAACGAGAGACAAUAUGUUGUUUCUUUGUCUUCCAAGAAAUAGGAGAACCACCCAGAAAAAUGAAAUAACCAGUAAGAGAGUGAUAGGUAAGAGGACAAGUGCCCCAAUCUAAGUCAUAAUAGGCAAUAAGUUGAAGUGCAUUGUCCCGCAUAAAAAAAUACCUCGACCCAGAUGACCUUUUAGAUAGCGCAAGACACAAAUAGCAGCAUCCCAAUUAAUCUCUCAUGGAUAUUGCAUAAAUUGAGCCAAAACAUUAACUGAAUAACAAAGCUCAGGACGAGUAAUAGUCAAAUAAAUUAAGCGACCAAUGAACCUGCAAUACUGCUCGGGAUCAUAAUACAAAGUGCCAUCAUCAAGAGCAACACGGUGAUUUUGGUCAAUAGGAGAUUGAGUUGGUUUUGCACCAAGAAGAACGGUUUCAGCUAAAAUAUCCAGCGUGUAUUUGUGCUGAUAUAAGAACAAGCCAAUAGGUCCUCAGGAGAUCUCGAUGCCUAGAAAAUACUUAAGAACACCCAAAUCCUUCAUGUGAAAACAACGGCUUAAAUAGGCUUUAAAAGCAAAAAUAACAGUAGUAUUAUUCCCUGCAAUAAAUAUGUCAUCAACAUAAACAAACACAUGAAUAGAAAUAUCAUGACGCUCAAAUGUAAAAAGAGAGUAAUCGGCAUAUGAUUGGACAAAUCUAAAAGAUUUCAAGGCACCAGCAAGCUUAGCAAACCAAUUACGAGCAGCUUGACAAAGACCAUAUAAAGAUUUACGGAGAUGACAUAUUUUACCAGGAGAAAUAGUCGAGGAACCUGGAGGUAGUUGCAUGUACACUUCCUUAUCAAGGUCACCAUGAAGAAAAGCGUUAUGUACAUUUAUCUGAUGUAACUCCCAAUCUCGAGCAACUGCAACAGCUAAGAAAGUUCUAACAGAAACCAUUUUAGCAAUACGUGCAAAUGUCUCAUUAUAUCCAUCCUACAAGCAUUAAAUUCACACUCCAUCAAUCUUCAAUUUCAUAAGCAUCUUCAACAAGUUUCUUAAUCUUACCAUCUAAGAACGAUUGUUUUCUCUUUGCCCGAAGUGCAUUACGCAUCGAGAGUGACCACUCUUCAUAGUUCUCACCAUUCAAUUUCACCGAGGAUAUAAUCAUGCAUGUAUGAUCAGAAGGAUGAAGAUAAUAAAGUGAAGAUGAAUCAAUCACGUUUCGGUUUUCCUUUGCUUUCCAGCCAUUGUGCUAAGCUUCGGUGCUGACUAUGGAAAAAAUUUGAUUUACUAGAAGGAUCGACUCAAUGCUCUAAUACCAUGAGAACGUUCAUGAGAGGAGAAGAAAUUUGUAUGUAUUAUUGCAGAUCACAUGGCUGUUCAUAUAUACAACUACACCAAUAUCAAAGCCAGCUAACAAUUCUCCUAAAUAAUCUCCUAAAUAUGCUCCUUUUAUCUUUAUCUAAUAGCUUUCCUAAUGAAAUACAAAAGCUACCAAAUAUACAAAGAUAUGGAAUAUGUUACAAUAUUUAUAGCACACGUGCACAAUAUGAGAUUUGCUUGAAACCCGUUGUGAUGCAAGAGCUCACUGUCCAUCACCUCGACAUUGCAACUUUUCUUAUUGGUUCUUCAUACUAAGGUUUGACCUAUCUUUCUCUUAUUUUUCUUCUUCCUUUUCUCCACCCUUCUUUUCAUUUACAUGAUCAUAAAUUCUUCUCUCUUUUCUCAUCUUUUUUAUUUUUUUUAGGUGGUUUGUUGCUCGAUUUCUCCCCUCUCUUUCUUCCCUUUCUUUAAAUCUGCUUAACUUUCAAUCAAAUGAGGUAUGUUUCCUUUCUCUUUUUCCAUUUUUAUAGUUUGCCUUCUUUAGUUUUUGUUUUGUAGGUGCUAUAUUUUGCUACUUCUAUUUUUUUUAUUUGUGUUGGGGUUUAUGAUGAGUGUAUAAUUCGGUAGGUUUGUGAUAGUUAUGAAGAGGAAGGUGGAUGUUUCGUCUUUGGAGGAUAGUGAUGAGACGAGUGGGACAAUGGUGAAUAUUCUGGUUUUAUGUUUGCCCCUUGGCAAUAUUGUUUCCCCACACUAGAUGAUUAUUAGAGCUAGCAAAAUUUGACACGACCUGAUUAUUCAAUAUGAAUACAACACAAAUAAACGGGUCUAGGUCAUCAAAUUUAAUGCAACAUUUUUUCAUGACGGAUUAGGGUUAAAGCUCUCAACUGAUUUACCUAAUCAACGACACAAUUACAUUUUCUAUUUAAAUUAAUAUUUAGGUUCUUGUCAUUAAAAUUCAAAUAUUAAAUCAUAAUUCUCUCUUUUUUUCUUUUUUUAAAGGAUGAAUAUAUACACAGUGUUUCAUUUAUAAUAUUUUAUAUAGAUUUAAAACUUCAAUAGUAUAAAUGAGUAAUAUUUUAGAGGAGUGUGUGCAAAAUAGUAUGCAGAUGUUUGAUAUAAAUUUUGUUGAAUAUGUAGAUAUUAAACGUGUUAUUAAAUAACUCAUUUAUUUUCUGUCUAGUUUGGGUCUCAAUGUUUUAACACGAUUAUUAAAUGGAUCAUGUUUAGGUCAACCUAAAUCGGACACGACACGUACGCGACACAAUAACCCGUUUUACCAACUCUAGUAAUGAUAGUUAUGAGGGUGAAUCCAGGAGUCUGUGAGGGAGGAGGGGAAAACAAAAGGCAGGAGUGAUUCUAACGAUGACUUUGACAAUGAGAGUACCACGGCUCCUAACCCACACGAAAGUAUACCUCCCAUGAAACUCAAAACGAAGAGUAAACCUCCUAGGGGUGGCCUUAGCUUCAAAGGGAAGAGCCUUGCCAUUUUUCAAAAUUUAAGCCCUCGUCCUGACGCAACCGACAACACGCAUGAGACCCAAAUAUCUCUUAUUUUAUUUCAGAUUUGCCCUUCUAAGUGAGCUAAAUUCACUAGGGCUGUCCUCAUCCAUGAUUUGCACAUGUGGGCUUAUUUUUUAUUAUUCCUUUUCAUGUGUCAGCUUACUAUUGGCCUGCAAAUAACCUUCCAUAUCUACCCCAAACUAUAUCUAAUGAACAUUCAAUAAGACAAAUAUUACAAGAGAUUACAAAAUAUUUCAGAAGCCACAGCCACAUUCCCCCCCCCCCCCCCCACCAAAAAAAAAAAGAGUACCAAUCUAUUAAAUUCAAACACAAUCGUUAGAAAAGCACCUCAUUUUUUGGAUUUGGAAGAGCAUGCAAAAAGAUCAUCAGUUUCCGCAUUUUUGGAUAUGGAAGAGCAUGGAAAAAGAUCAUCAUUUCCGUUUGUCCAAAAUCACUAAACAAACUACUCUACUGCCAAAUCCAGAAUAUAUAAUCAUUAUGAUACACUGUAAAUAGAAAGACAUCUGUGAAAUAGAUGAUAUAUCUUAUGGCCGGGGACAGGAGCCCGGACAUAAACUUCUAAAUAUAAAACGGCAGAAACACCUAACUAAUGAUUAACAUUCAGCAUGGGUAUCUUUAAGCACUCAGUGCCAAAGAGACAAUUGAAGAGAGCCUGAAUUUGUAGAUUUUGAUAAAACAGAAUUUCAAUAUUUGAUCUUUUAGAGUUAGCCUCUUCCACUCAGAAGCUGAGGCUCCUUGUUCUCGAAAGUCACGAUGAGAGUACGGAACAUUGAGCGUGGAAGGGGCUUCAAAUUGUCAUAAACAGUUUGAUAAUGGAUUAUCAGAAGAUCAAAAAGACAAGAUAUAAGUAUCAGUUAUUUAUAUAUAUAUAUAUUCUUUACAAGCACAUUACAAAAGCAUAAUAAUAAUAUGGCAGCGAAUCACUUUCUAGUGAAAGACAAUCCCAAGCCUGCUCCAGUGCCAAAUCCACAGCAAUGUCAAUAAUCAUUACAAGUAAAGCAUGAACUUAAAGACUACUUUUAAAGUAGUUCUUCCUAUUCACAUUUUCUCUCACUUCUCUCUACUUCUCAACCCACUAGAUGGACAUAUGAACACAAUAUUUAUAAGCAUUUAACAACACUUGUAACAAAUGAUCGGUACAGUUAUUAUUUUUGCAUUUUACAAUAAGGAAUGUAAUUUUAAAAUGUUAAAAUGAACAAUGCACAAACAUGACCAAUUAAAGACCCCUAUGAUGGUAAUGACAUCAUACAAAAUACAAUAAAAACUCUACACAGAAAUUUGGUUAUGAACUUGUGUUUUACAUAAAAGUAAUAGCAUACAAAGAUUAUACUUACUCAAGCUCAAGGGCGGCCAAAAUAUGGCCAAAUAGUUAAACAUACAAGCUCAUAAUUUAUAAGAAUAUAUGAUCUUAUGGAUUAAAUACCCAAACUCCCAAUACCCAACCACCUACAAGCUUACAUUUUAUUAGUCGAACAAAGCAAUCAGAAAAAAAAGAAUGCCAUACAUGCUAGAGAGAAUAGAAGAUCCAAACAUACUCAGCACUAGGAUGAACAAGUAACUAACGUCCAAUCUUUCAAUACAACUCAAAACUGAAGUAUCUUCCUGAUCCCUUUGAAAUUCCAGAAAUUCACCCAAGACAUUUGUGUUACCUUCAAGCUGUAACCUCCAAAAAAAAUAGAAAAGAGAACUUUCAUGUUUUCUUUCCAAACGACAACCUUAAUCAAUCAUCUGAGAACAUCAUCACAUAUAUGGCUAAGAACUUGGACUAAUGGGAUAAUCGGAAGGCCAACAUAAGCGGAAGACCAAGAUUAACCCAAUGACUUGGACAUGGUACUUAAACCAAUCAAUUCCAACUUUAUCUGAAGUUUCUUGACAUGAGAUAAACCUGAAGUUUCUUGACAUGAGGUAGGUAGAGGCAUAAGGUGCCAUCAAGAAGCUAAGCUUGGGGAAUGCAGAAUGCUCAAGCAAUUAACAAUGGAACAGAUAAUACGCCCAAUUUAAAAGGGGCAAGAAGCUUUUACCACAGAAAAGCAAUUAUAAAUUGCCUAGUUCAGCCUUAAAGCAAGAUGUUUCCAGCUCAGCUUAGGUUGUCUGAUGGGGAUUAUGGCUCUUAGGUGGUUAAGAGUAGGGCUGAUAUGGUAGUAUCAGGGCAACCAGACUGAGAAAAUCGGUACCCAAUAAGAUAUCUUCGCCUGAGUAAUCAAAGGCAAAGAAGCCAUGCCUGAUCAUGAAAGGUUGGAUCUCUAUUGGUCGAGUAAUCUUUUUGCUGUAGAAGUCCCGGCCACUGGCUGAUCCGAAUGAAACCUUGGUUGGAACAUAAAAGCUGUUGGGAACACAAGCUUCUCGGAUGAAUGAGCACAUUGCGCCUGUAUCAAUAAGAGCGGUAAGGGCUACUUGAGUAUCCUCGGAGGGAUUGAGGAUAAUUUUGAUAUGAGGCCGGAAGAGAGAGGAUGGCUGCAUUGCUAAUUUAGCCAGGAGUGGAUCACGGACAGCCAGAACAAGGUUGUCGUCACCAGAAUUGCUGUCAGUGCAAGUAGUGGAAUCAGUAUCCUCGGUAUCGGAAAGAGGAUAUUUAUCUAAUGUGUAGACCGCACCGAGGGGGCUAUCCGACCAAGUAUAGAUGUCAUCAUCAAAAUCCUCAUGCUGGAUCAUUUGGAGGAGUUUUGCUGGAAGUUUCUUCUUGGAUUUGCACUGUUUGGCAUAGUGACCUUUCUUUCCACAGAUGAAACAUCUUCCUGAGCCUUUCUUUUGUUUCCGUUUUUUGAUAAAAUGGUAUUUCUUUCCUUUAUAGGGUUUCCAAGGCCGUUUUGCUUUUUUUUGUUUACCAGUAUUGCAAGAGCACAUCUUGUCUGUAUGUUGACAACCAAAUUUAUUUGGUUCCUCAUUACAGAACUUUUGCAGAGAGGAUUUCUCAAUCUGCUUCAUGUGCCUUCGUAAGUCCUGAGAUCGGCAAUGACUUUGGAUUAGCUCCAUUGAUAUCUGGUAGAGCUGAGCUAGGCUGAGCUGUGCUAGAUCAACGAUUGCAUCAGCUUUGAAUUUAGCCUCCAUCAUUUCUGCUACUGGGCCUGGCAUGUUUAGCACGAACGUGCUGUGGAUGGUAUCAGUUUGUUUGUCAAAGAUAUAGUACAACCUCUCUUGCUCUAGGUAAUACUCUUCCAUCUUUCGGACAUCACAGCACUUGUUUUGGAGAAAUUACUUUUCAGCAACCUCUUCUUCUCUUGUGUAUUGGCCUAGAAAAUCUAAAGAUAGAUUCUCAACCAGGCUCCCACAAGGAUCUUCUCUGCUGAGAAUAAAUUGUUUUUGGUCUCUGGUGAGCUUUCUUCCCCACCAUCGUCUUAGUGAUCCGACGAAUCCUGCUAUCAGUCUUAGUGCGGCUGAUCUUCUGCUCAACUGGGGAGCUCGUUGGCAUUCUCCUUCGUACCAAGCUACCAUUUUUUCAAAAUAAGCCAACCUUUCUUUUGGCUUCAACCCAUCGAUGUUCCAAAACAUUUUUCCCGUUGUGGAGUGCCCAAGUUGGACACGGGUUUCCCAUUCUUCUCCCUGAUUCACCUCAUCGAUAUGUGGUGCCCGUUCUUCCGAAUUAGUGGACUCUACUCCGGAUGCUGCUGGUUGAGCAGUGGGAUCAGUCUGACCAGUGAAUUCUGGGGCAGUGAACUGGGUUGUUCCUGAUGGGUUCUGGGUUUGUUCCUGUCUUCCAGGAUCAGAAGUUUGACCCGGUGUUGGUGUAGAGGCUGCAAAUCUGGUUCGAGUAUCCACAUAGAAUGGAUUUGGAGGAUUUGCUCGUUGCAUAAGAACUGGUAUAGGAGAGAACUGAUCAUCAGAGGAGAUACUUGUUUCAGCUCCAGUAUCAUCAUCCUCGUACCAUCCUGUAGCCAUAGUGGGCCACGGAUAUUGUGGAGGUGGAGCAUAGCUUCUCCAGAAUGCCUUCUGACAGUUGCCAGAUGCAUUUUCCUCCCAGAUAUGCCAUGGCUUUGUAGGUUUGCUCUUCCAGUGUCUGGACACUUUUUGAUAGCUUUUCCUUGUUCUUUGCAUUUCAUCCUCAUCUGCAGCUCCAGUCAUAACAAUCAUGUUGAUGGAUCUGGAGGCACUAUCAUGUAGUUGAGAAAAUUGCUAGGUAGUCAUUUUAUGCUAUUUUCUGUUCUUCUUUAGCUGUUUUCUGAUAACAACUAAGUCAGUAAGAAUUUGCUGUUGGGUAACCAUGAUGUCUCCCAACGCCUGGUUUUGUUCCACAGCAUUGAUGUUUGACCAGUUGAUUGCUUUUUCAAUUGGGCCAAACUCAGUUGGGCUGGUUUUUUGUAUUACCCAUUUGGCAGCAUACAUUCCUCCAGGAAUAUCCUUGAGGAAUUCAUUAUCAAGAUCUGGAGUGGUGAUCGUGUUGACUGGACCCAUGAUUCUGCAGGAGGUGGUUCUUCUUGGCAUAUGUGUGCACAGGGAGGGAUGCUUUCCAUCAAGCUGGCAUUUUUCACAUGGAUAGAGGACUUUAGUCUCAAUGGGAAAAGAGACUGAUACCCUUCCUUCUUGUAACCGGCUUAUUUUUGGGAUUUCAUGGAUUUGUUGAGGCCUGUUGUUUUUUCAUACUCAUUGAUCCACUGUGGUGGAAAAAUGAGUUGGUUUUGCCUAAAAGUCCUGGGUUGAAAGACUCUGCCAUCACCAGCAAGAAAUCUGGUAAUAGGUCUGCCAGAGCUGCUCAUAGAGAACAGAUGGGUUUGGAUUUUAUAGGUCAUGGUGUGGUGAAUUGCUAAGGCAGACUCAUCAGGUUUCAUGGUUAGACCAUUCACCUGAAUUAAUACCUUAAUGGCAUCUGUGAGGGAUGGCUUGUGUAUAUCAAGGGUGAAGUUUGGUUCAACUUGGAGAACAACAUGACCUUGGUUGAGUCCUGCUUCAACAGCAGUGAUCAAGGCUUUCUCAAAGGUUUGCCACCUAGUGUCUAGGAUGGCAAUGAAGCAUGUGAUAUCUUUUCCAUCUAGGAACAAUGGUUGUAUUCCUAUCUGGAUGGCUCCAAGGUGUAAUCCCUUAUAUCCCUGCAGCUUAUACCUUGUAACCUCAUUGGUAGAGAUUAUAGGAAGGUAUGUUUCCUUUGAACUAGAGGAGAUGGACUGGACAGUGAUUUCAGAGGAUUUAUAGAUGGUUUUAAGCUUAGGUUGUCUGAUGGGGAUUAUGGCUCUUAGGUGGUUAAGAGUAGGGCUGAUAUGGUAGUAUCUAUAGGGAUCCAAUGGAUCAAGUCUAAAGGACUGAACCGCUCUCUCACUGCUUUCAUCCUCUUGGGUUUCAUAAUGUAAAUUUAUGGAGGGUGCUAUCAGUUGGAACUCUGAUGGCUGAAGUUGAUGUUUGGUCAAAAAUUGGUUGGUUUCCAGAUCUGCUACUGUUUUGGUUUUCCAUGGCUAAAAGAAAUCAAAGGGUUUUCUUUGGGGUGAUAAGCCCUAAACACGGCUCUCCUGGCCUUCUUAAAGGGGCGCCACACCUUACAGAAUUCACUCUGUAAGUUUUAGUAUGGAAAAUCUAGACAGGUAGAUCAGUAUCCAACAACUUUCUGAUGUGGAGGAUCCGAAGUAUUUCGGCAACCACAGAGUAUAAUAUUGUUGCACACCCAGGGGUUUCCUUUUGGAAAAUAUGGCUCUGAUACCAAAAGUUGUUUUUGAAAAGAGGUUUGUUUAUUUAAAACAGAGGAAGGUUACUUCAUCAAAGAGGAAUGAGAGAUUUACAAAUACAAGAUUGCACUCCAAGACUCGAUGCCUAGAUACAAGCCAAGGGUUCCCUUUUAUAGGCACAAGGGAACCACUAUUACACACUGUAGACAUUAUUGAUCCUUAUCACAAAGGAAUCUACUUUAAAACUCACUCACUCAUAAUACCUUUUGUCAUUUAAUUCUAAAGUAGAGGUCAUAAAUCAAUAUGAUAUAAAAAGGGAAUGAGAAAAAGAAAAGAACAUAGAUUUAUGAUUUGUUGAACAACCUGCAUAACAAUCUCAGAAGUACAAGAAUAAAUUACUCAAAUUUUGCAAUAUAGGGCCUCUUUUAAAUACAAAUGCAGAAUGAAAAAUUCCCCAAAAAAAAAAAAAAGAUUGUCCAAACAGCAGCUAUCUCAAAAAGCUAUAUCCCGGAAGCCUACAUUUUCAUAAACCCAUGUCUCGAUCUGUGUUUCUAAUGCCAGCGCUAUUUCCACAAUUGGACACCAAUUGUGAACCAGUUUUAGAGUAAUAUCAUUGUUAGACUUUUAAUACUGAUAUUGGCCACUUACUUUGCUUAAGCUUUUGGGUUAAGCACUCUUUUAACAUAGUACCAAAGCUAAGGUUUAGUUUUCAUACCCCGACAUUGUAUGCACUUUUGUCUCCAUUAAUUUCAUUGACUUUUUAUUAUUAUUAGAUAAGGAUCCACAUUGCUAUAUCUUGAUUUCAUCCGGAUUUCAAAGGAUCCAUGGUACACGUGAAUGGACACGUUAGACCUCAAAUACUACUUCCUAUUGGGACCUUGAAUACUUGCUGAAGUGGUUUCAUAAUACUAUAAUAGCAGUCUCCCCAAGAACAAAAAUUAAAAAAACUUCUAUUUAAAACUGUCUUUAUUGUAUCUCCAAUUAGCAGCUUCAAAAAUAGUUAUGCAUUUUUUUCUUCAUAACCUCCUACAAUCCUUACUAAUCACCAUUCUUAUCGACAGAUGAAGUUACCACAAUAAUACAUCUUAUGCAGGAGAUUCAACAGUGUUGCGAUUAGCAAGUUUAGUUGUCUAGUCAGUUUAGAGGUCUCAAAUGGUACUCACAGCAUCUUCCAAACGGUUUUACAAAAUGCAAACAGACAAAAUACAAUAAUAUAUGGGGACAAAUUAAAUGAGCUUUGGAGUUUUUGAGGCACAAAUGGAAGCUUAACUGUCCCACAUUGGAGCUGUCCAAAGAAUAAAAUUGAGUUUGGGAUGAUCUGGCUUCAGUUGUGUCAAUUCGUCAUAGGUAAUGACCCCUGGCAGGUUUAAAGAAAUGGGGCUACAACCCAAAAAUAUGAAAUAAAAUUAUAAGUUCCAUAAGAAGACUAUCACCAACUUCUUUCACACCGUAUUAAUACAUUUUGGCUACAACCCAAAAAUAUGAAAUAAAAUUAUAAGUUCCAUAAGAAGACUAUCACCAACUUCUUUCACACCGUAUUAAUACAUUUUGCAGCACAUCUAGUGAAGAAAACUAUGAAUUGGUUCCACUUUUUUCUCUCUCUCCAGAACAGUAUGUACAGGGAAUAUAUACAGCAAAAUAGGAGAGAAAAUAGGAGACUACAUCUAUCCUUUCCUAAAUAAUAGGAAACAAAAUCUGGAAAGAAUCCUAAUGAAUCUUCCCAUUAUAAUUUAACUUAUUCCUAAAAUAGCCUAGAUUACAAAUAAAUCCUAACUUUGAAUCUUUAUUUUCAACACUCCCCCUCAAGCUGGUGUGUGUAUAUCAUACAAACCCAGCUUGUUACUUAAGUCUUCAAAGUUAGGUCUUGGCAGUGCUUUAGUAAGGAUGUCUACAAUUUGUUGUCUAGUUGGAAUGUACUUUAGUUCCACACUUCCACUAGUGACCUUCUCUGAGAUGAAGUGCCUAUCAAUCUCGACAUGUUUGGUUCGAUCAUGAUGCACUGGGUUUUUUGCGAUGCUGAUUGCUGCUUGAUUGUCACACCUCAUUAGAAUGGAUGAAGGGCUGCACACACUGAGUUCCUUGAGUACACGCUUUAUCCAAAUUCCUUCACAGAUUCCAUUUGCCAAAGCUCUGAACUCUGCUUCUGCACUACUCCUAGCUACAACUGAUUGUUUCUUACUCCUCCAGGUUACUAGAUUUCCCCAAACAUAGGAACAGUAAACAGAUGUUGAUCUUCUAUUUGUGACGUCUCCAGCCCAGUCUGCAUCGGAGUAGAUCUCAAUAUUCCUAUAUUCUGAUUUCUUGAAAAACAAUCCUUUUCCAGGUGUCAUCUUUAGAUACUUCAAAAUUCUAAAGACUGCAUCCAUGUGUUCCUCUGUAGGAUUGUGCAUGAAUUGGCUCACAGCACUAACAGCAAAGCCUAUGUCCGGACGAGUAUGUGAGAGAUAGAUUAAACGACCAACCAGCCUUUGAUAUCUCUCCCUAUUGACUGGGACACUAUUCUCAACUGAGCCUAGUUUCUUGUAGGGAUCCAUAGGAGUAUCUACUGGUUUGCACCCAAUCAUACCAGUCUCCUUUAGUAGGUCCAGGGUGUAUUUCCUCUGGGAGACAACAAUUCCCUUUCUAAAUCUUGCCACCUCCAUCCCAAGAAAAUAUUUCAGAUUCCCUAGAUCUUUAACUUCAAAUUCCUGAGCUAGCUGUUUCUUCAACUUCUGCAGUUCUUCCUCAUCAUUUCCUGAGAGAAUGAUGUCAUCAACAUAUACGAUUAGGAGAGAGAUCUUCUUUGCUUGUGAUGUUCGGAGGAAUAGAGUGUGAUCUGCCUGACACUGAGUGUAACCAAGUCUCACAACUGCCUUCGCAAAUCUAUCAAACCAUGCUCGAGGGGAUUGUUUAAGCCCAUACAAAGAUUUCUUGAGCUUGCACACUUUAUUUCCAGUAAGUUUCAGAUCAAGACCCUGGGGAACUUCCAUAAACACUUCUUCUUCAAGAUCGCCAUUGAGAAACGCAUUUUUUAUAUCUAGUUGGUAUAAGUACCAAUCUAGAUUUACUGCUAAGGAGAGCAAGAUUCUGAUGGUGUUGAGCUUCGCAACUGGAGCAAAGGUUUCAAGAUAAUCAAUCCCAUAUGACUGUGUGAACCCUUUAGCUACAAGACGAGCUUUGAGCCUCUCAACACUUCCAUCUGCCUUGUAUUUAACAGUAAAAAUCCACUUACAUCCAACUGGUCGUUUCCCUGCAGGAAGAUCUGUUAUAGCCCAUGUAUCAUUUUUCUCAAGAGCAUGUAUUUCUUCAUGAACAGCUCUCUUCCACUCAGGAUGACCGAGAGCCUCUUGUAUAUUGUUGGGAACAUGUAGAUUAUCUAAAGAAGAAACAAAGGCUCGGUAUGAUGAGGACAAACCAUCAUAUGAGACAUAUUUGGCAAUUGGAUGAGUGGUGCAACUUCGAACCCCCUUUCUUUCUGCAAUUGAUUUAUUAGAAUCAUCAACACUUGGAACCAUGAACUCAACCGAGGCAAGACUAUCCAUACCUGUGUUGUCUUCACAAGAGCUUAGAUUUGGUUCAGUUUCUUGGACAUGUGGCUGAGUUCCGUGCUCUAUCUGCUCUCUAGUUCUUCUCCUCCUAUAAACAUUGAGAUUAUCAACAGCAAGCUGUGGACGAGGUGAGAUUAGAGGCUGUAGUUGAUGAGCUGAUGGAUGACGGGGUGACUCGGCUAAUUGUGGUUGGGAGGACUCAGAUGACUCAAAAGGUUGUGAAGAUGUUGGGAGGAUUGCUGAUUGUGGCUGUUGGAUAGAUUGAUCAUGUGUGGUGGUUGAGUUAUGAGGGUUUUCAUGAGGGGUUUCCAGCCAAGAUUGCCAAGAAGAUUCCCAAGGCUGAUGUUCGCUCGUACUCUCUCCCUGAACAGCAGUUUUGGAAUAGAAAGGCAGGUUUUCAACAAAUGUUACAUCUCUGGAAAUGUAUAUUUUUCUGGUGUGAGGAGAAUAGCAUUUGUAUCCUUUUUUAUGUGGAGAAUAGCCUAAAAAUAUACACUUGAGAGAUCGGGAAUCAAGUUUAGUCCUGUGUUGAGAGUGAACAUGGACAUAUGCUGUGCAACCGAAUAUUUUUUGUGGUAAAUCUGCUGAAACAAUCCUAGUGUGUGGAAAGAAAUUGAGAAGAACUUUUCUUGGGCAAUGAAACCCCAAGACUCUAGAAGGCAUUCGGUUGAUUAAGUAGGCUGCAGUGAGAACAGCUUCACCCCAGAAAAAAUUAGGAACAUUAGAUGAGAACAAAAGACAGCGAGCCACUUCAAGAAGGUGUCUGUUUUUGCGUUCAGCGACCCCAUUUUGUUGCGGGGUGUCAACACAAGAACUGAUGUGAAGAAUGCCGUGAUGGAGAAGAUAUGAGCUGAGGGAGUCUUUGAAAUAUUCCUUGGCAUUGUCGGUUUUAAGGACUUGGAUUUUUGUAUUGAAUUGGGUUUGAAUCAUGGCGUUAAAGUUUUGGAAGAUUUGACUAACUUCGGAUUUGUUUUUCAUGAGAAACACCCAAGUGAGACGAGUAUGAUCAUCCACAAAUGACAAAAACCAGCGAGCCCCAGAAACAUUUUUAAUUCUUGAGGGACCCCACACAUCACUGUGAAUUAAAGCAAAUGGACGAGAAGGCUUAUACUUAACACUUGAAUAGACAUUUCGAGUAUGUUUUGCAAAUUGACAAAUUUCACAAUGAAAGGAUAAAGGGUUUUUAUUGAUGAAUAGAUUGGGAAAAAUUUUUGCGAGAUACAUGAAACUAGGAUGACCUAAUCGAUAGUGUAACAGAACAAUUUCACUAUCGUUAUUGACAUUUGGACUAACAAUAGAGUGAGGAUAACUAGUUGACAGAUUAUUGGACUUGGCACAGUUUGCUCUCGAAUCUUUUAUGAAGGAGGAUUGAUCGCUUUUGAGUAGAUAGAGUCCAGAACAUAGCUCAGCACUGCCAAUCGUCUUCCCCGAAUCCAAGUCCUGAAAAACACACAUAUUUGGAUAGAAUUUAGUUACACAAUUCUGAUCAUGAGUGAAUUUACUGAUUGAAAGUAAAUUGCAAGCCAAAUUAGGCACAUAAAGUACAGAAUUAAGGUGUAACUCCUUAGUGAGUCUGAUAGAACCUGUCCCUGCUAUUUUUGUGUGAGAGCCAUCUGCGAUCCGAACUAAAGUGCUGUUGAUGCUAGCUUUAUAAUCCUGCAACAUUGAGGCAUCUCCAGUCAUGUGAUCAGAAGCACCAGUGUCAAUUAUCCAGGGUUUGCUUGUUCCAUUAGUGGCUGCAAAUGCUGAAUGAGUCUCUUUCUGAGCCACUAGACUUGUCCCUGCAUUGGAGUUCAAAGUGGCUUGAUCGAAAAGCUUUUGAAGAAUCUCCAUUUGCUCCUUGCUGAAUGGAUUUGGCUCGGGUAGGGCCUGAUUGUCCGUGGUGGAUGCUGCAUGAGCACGAGAUUCACGGUCACCUUUGGAACGAGGUUUCCAAUCAGCAGGUUUGCCAUAAAUUUUCCAGCAACUCUCCUUAUAGUGGCCUGCCUUACGACAGUGAUCGCACCAUGGUCUUUCUUUCUUUGUACGAUUUUCACUAACCCCUAUAGAGUUGGAUGCACGGGCAGCAAGUGCAGAGGCGUCCAGUGUUGGUUCUGAUGACCCCAUCAUCACCUUUUUCCUACUUUCUUCACGCCUAACUUCAGAAAAGGCUUCACGAGGGCGCGGUAGAGGCUUUGUCCCGAGCACACGACUCCUAACCUGAUCAAGAUCUUUAUUGAGUCCGAGGAGAAAUUUAAACGUUCUCUUCUGUUCCACAAUCUUCUUGUAUAAGGUUGUAUCGUCGGUGCACUUCCAAGGGUAUGUUUCAAAUAGAUCAAGGUGUUGCCAAUGCCUAGUCAGAGUAUUAAAGUACUGAGUGACAGAUUGUUCUCCUUGGCGGAAGUCAUGGAGGAUGGUUUCAAUCUGGAAUAACUCUGAUGUGUUCUCAGAGCUAGAAUAGGUUUCCUUUGCAGCAUCCCAUAUGUCCUUUGCAGUCCCAAACAGAAGAAAAUUCUCACCAAUAUCAUUUUUCAUGGAAUUGAUAAGCCAUGACAUGAUCAUGUUGUUCUCUGAUUUCCACCUUUUGAAACUAGGGUCUGACACCUCUGGCAUGGCCGCCUCACCCGUGAGAUAUUCAUCCUUACCCUUGCCACAUAUGAACAUCAUGACAGAUUGUGACCACUGGAGAUAAUUGUGGCCGUUCAAUUUAUGACUGGUAAUUAAGAUCGGUGAAGAAUCAAUUCCACCAUGAGUUGCAGUCUCCACGUUUCCUUUAGACUGUGAUACUGUAACGGAGGAUGAUGAGGAAGCCAUCCCGUAUUUUGCUACAGAGAAUACAACUGAUGGGAGAGGAAGAAAGGUGGAUACUGUUGAAAAAAAAAAGGUGGUAGAGGAGAAGAAGGAAAUGGCGGCUGAUAGGAGAACUAGGGUUUAGAGCCUAGCUCUGAUACCAUGAAGAAAACUAUGAAUUGGUUCCACUUUUUUCUCUCUCUCCAGAACAGUAUGUACAGGGAAUAUAUACAGCAAAAUAGGAGAGAAAAUAGGAGACUACAUCUAUCCUUUCCUAAAUAAUAGGAAACAAAAUCUGGAAAGAAUCCUAAUGAAUCUUCCCAUUAUAAUUUAACUUAUUCCUAAAAUAGCCUAGAUUACAAAUAAAUCCUAACUUUGAAUCUUUAUUUUCAACAUCUAGUGAAUUAGAUUCCAAAUUAAUGCUUCAAUUUCUUAAAAAUUAUUGCAACUGUCAUAGACAAUAUCAUUCAUAUCUUUCUAACUGCAAUCACAAUAUUUGAAAAUGAGAAACUAGGAAUGAAAUGAAAGGCAUCCUCAUCACAAGAUAUAUAUGCUUAAACAAACGGUAGUUAUCCCCUAGGUCAACUGAAUCAUUAAGAAAAUUUCUAACCCCAAAAAAUCAGUCCUCAAAUAUUGCCGCCAAACAUGGCACAUCGUGCCCAAAUCAUAGAAGCACUAAUUAUAUCGUAAACAGAUAUGAAUUUAAGACUUCAAAAAUAAAUGACAUAACAUGCCUAGGAACAAUAUAAAGAUGUUAACACACACCGUAAUCUUGGAUUAGGAAGUAUCAAUUUGCAGGAUAAACAUCUUUCUCCUGCAGGAAUUCCCCUGUGUUCGAGAGAUGACUAAAGAAUUGAAGCUUAUUUUUUAACUUCCUCCGCCUGAAACAGAGAAAUUUAAGGAAACAACUGAAACUUGAAUGAUUCAAAUAAGCAAUCAGGAUAUAUUUCUUUUCUUAAUUAUUUAUUUCUCACUUUUACAUAAAACUGCAAAGAUUAAACAGAGGCAAUAUCUUUGAAAAGCUGCAAAAAAUUGUGUGAAAUCAUGAAAAACGAUGGUGUCCCAUGAAGGUCUUCCAUACCACAGGAUCGUUAUUAUAGAAAAAAACCUUACUUGCUAUGUAUAAAAACAUUAGGAACCACUUAGUUAAAGUCAUAUAACCUGUGCAAGGGCAAAAAUAAUUCAUUUAGACCAUUAAUAUCUAUCAACUAAAUAUGACAGCUUGGUCUCAUGUUUAUUACCUAACACAUUUCACGAAAAAACCGGACUUUGGAAAUAUCCAUUAAGUUGGAUGAAAGAUUUUUUAGCCAGUAGUUGAAUUUCAUGGAAACUGUUGGCAAAAAACAUCCUAGAAGCAAUGCUUAAUUGGUAAUAAAAAAACAGCCAGUUUUAACUAUGACUAACCGGAUUAAGGUGAACUGCUUCACCCAUGCAAAGCCAGCUGCCAUUAUUAUUGAUUGAUACAAGUCCUGAAAAAUUUUUGACAGAUAUCACCACUGCCUCCCUGUAAUUACAUACUUUGCUGUUAUCACAUACAUAUGACCAUCUAUCACAAAUUCACAAUUAACGAGGGUGUUGAAAGAACAGAGAAUAAGAACUAAAAUUAUGAUUAGCCCUAUGUGGUUUAGAUAUUUCUGUUAAGUUGGCCAGAAAGCAAAACAACCUAAACCCAUGAACAUAAAACACAAACACAAUGUCAGAAUGAUUAGAACCCAUGACCUCGUGAUCAAACCGACUCUAACAUCAUGUUAAGCUACCUGUAAAAACUAAUUAACAAGUCGAUAAGAGAAGACAGAGAAAGAAUUGCGUACCAUUAUAACUAAAUAAAAAGUAGUAGUGCCCCUAAAUCUAUAUCUUAAUCUGCAGCUGCAGUCACUCUACAUGAACCCAGAGAAGACUGAGGAAAAAUUGCACUCUUUCGAUGAAGAAUAAAAAUAAAACAUUUACCCAUUUUUAACAAGAACUAUAUCAAUAUUCUGCAGCGAACGUGUUUCAGGAUCAGGAAUGCUAAGGCCCACAUAUCUGUUCCUCCAUAAAGCUCUUCGAGCCUACAAAAUUGUUACAUAUAAUUUUAAAAAAAAAAAAGACUUAACAAUAAGAUCAAAAACUACAACCCAGAUAAAAUUUCAUUGUUUGUUGCGAAGUAAGAUAAAUUACAAUCAUAAAUAGAAUUCAACUACCGCUCUACUCUUUUAGGCUUUCAUUUCUCUGCCCACAGUUUCUCAGCAACCAAACAAGUCAACAUUUGUAACAAGUAAACUUAAAUUCAGUAAUUAAUUAGCUUUACUGCAUAUUCGCGAUCACAAAAUAAAAAGAACAAAAAAUACCAUGGUCUUUAAAAAUUUUAUUCAAUUUUACUUUACAGUUAUCGCCAAAUCAAACAAACAACUGGCUUAAAAUGUUACCUAUUGGCAACUAAGAGUGUAACAGUACAAUCAGAGGUCUCCGAGUUCAAAACGGCGUCGUCGUCGGGUACGCGCUUGAAGAUUUUGUAAAUGACCAAACCGCAGAGAGCCCCCGCGCAUAGAGUUAGCUAAAGAGGUCGGCGCCGUUUGGAUCCCAGGAAUUUUUUUUACUUUUUUUUGGGGGGGGGGGGGGUGCGGGGAAACGUACUGUAACGAUUAUGCAUGCUUUAUUUUUCUUUUCAAAAGUGGUUGCUUUUAUAAUAAAAGCAAAUUAAGGCAAGAGAGAACAAAGUUUGCCGUAGCAUGCAUGGGAAAAACCCAAUCAUAAGUUGUGUCUGUGGCAUUAAAUUUUGCCCAUUAUAAUGAAACGCCCAUUCUCUUUGGUUUGGUGCGUAUUUAUUCUAAUUUGGACUCCCGAUUGCAACUCUUCACACGCACUGACAUAUGGUCCCCAUUUCUUUUUGGAAAUAUAUACAUGUAUAUAUAAAUGUUUGUGCUGUUUAGCCUCCAAAAAGCAGCUUUAAUAAGAAACUGAAAAAGUGUCAAUUUUUUUUGUUGAAUUAAAUAAAGAUAAGCUGAUUUGACUUUGAAAAUCCCUGUUUUAGAAUGUGCCCAUCUAAUCUCAUCCUUGCCACCACUAUUUAAAGGGGGUUUGAUAGGUGCAAUUCUAAGGAUCACAUUAUCUGGGAGCAAAUUAGCAAAAAGACCCCAGUUCCAAGAGCCAUCGCCAUUAACACAAUCCGAAACCGUGCUAUUGAUUAACUCCUCCGGGAGGGGUUGCUGAGCGUAAAAAAUCAAACGCUUGUCCUUAAGAGCCCAACAGUCCCACCAAAAUUUUACUUUUCUGCCGUCCCCAAGGUUCCAUCUAAUUCCCUGCAAAACUUUAUCCCAAAUAAUUCCAAUAGCUUUCCACAUAUAGGAUCCAGAUUUGGUGUUCAAGGAUUGUGGUACUGCCUGAUCUUCAAUGCCAUAUUUCGACCGUAAAACCUUGACCCACAGGCUGUCUGAUGAGGUGAUUAAACUCCAACCAAUUUUAAUAAGCAAAGCAUUGUUCAUAGCAUCAAUUCUUUUAAGGCCCAAGCCUCCCCAAGUCUUAGGCUUGCACACAUUGUCCCAUUUAACCAUACUCAUCUUCUUCAUCUCAACAUUUCCGCUCCAAAUAAAACGACGACAACACUGAUCGAUUUGGUUAUGAAGUGUGGAGGGAAGUCUUGUAGUCUGUAUUGUGUAAAUCGGAAUGGAUGGAAUAACUGACUACGCAAGUGUGACUCUUCCAGCCAAAGAAAGAUGAAAAAGAUGAAGGGCAUUCCACCCAGUGAGGCGCUGUUGGACUUUAUCAAGGACACCCUUAUAAGUGUGUUUGUUAACUCUAUGACUGAUAACCUAGGCAAUUGUCUUGGUGUUCCCCUUUUUCUUUUCUUUUUCAGUUGUUCUCUCAAUCAGUAAAUUUCUUUAUGGGCAGGACUAUACGUUUAUUCUUAUGUUCCCAAUAUGUUUUAUACAGUUUGCAAGUAAUAAGUGAAAAACAUAUUAUGCCUGGACUUACAUUAUUAGAUCUAGUGAUAUCGAGAGAAUAAAAUUUAAAAAAAAAAAAAAACUUUACAUAACUACCUGGUGAAAUUAAUUAAACUCGGAGACUCACCAAACAAAAGGGCUAUCAACAAAAUGGCAUGCCUUCCAUUCGAGGCACUGAAACGAUGAUCAAUCAUGACACUCAAAUUGAAAAGCUUUUAGAUUUUUGGUAAUUUACAUUAUCUCAUGUAUCAGGUUACAGAUCAUCUCUACCCAUUGACAUAUGCUUUAUAUUUUCAACAAUCCUUCUGUAUCAUGACAUGAUGAUAACAUCAAUUUUCCAGCUAGAUACAAUCAUUAAAGAAAUACACCAAACACAAAACUUACAAAUACAUAAUGACAAUGGAAGUUCCAGAGCACUUUUCUGGUCUAAGGCAAACUCAGCAUUAGGGCUCUCCUUCAGACAAUAGUAUGCUUAGCAUCUCCUCAUGCUAGCCGCAAAAAUCAUCAGUGGAUGAUCUUCCAUAAGGCCUGUCAUGCAUCACUCACCUCUAUUGUUUUGAAUAAGCAUUCCCAUUUAACAAGCUGAACUUUUCCACACCUUGGCCACACUGUUGCACAUAGAGAGAGCAACUUGAACAUCCAAGUGCUCUAAAUAAUCGACUCCCAAAGUAUGUAACCAUGGUUGCAAAGUUUGGAGUACAACAAACCAAGAGUGAAGCAUUAUUACGAAACUAUUAAAGUAAUAUAAUAUCCACCUAGAGGAUUUGAUAGUUAAUAACAGAACCAAGGAGUAUCAUGCAUUGAAGGUUUCAGUGUCUAUGUCACUGCUAUCUACCUCGUAAGCUCCUCCAUCCAAAUUUGAUGAAUUGAAGUCAGGAGUGGUUUGUCCAGUUUCUUCACGAGAGUGUUCAUUCUGAAAAGCCCUUUGUCAUUUGAUCAGCUCAUCUACCUGCUCACCGUCAAAUUGAGAAUUCAAAAAAUCACAGCCAUAACUAGGACAAUUAGAAUGCGAUCAUUCCUCUUCUGGGUAAAUUGGUGACUGCAGUGCCGACAAAGAAGCAUUAUUCAACCCAUUAUAGCCACCGUGUGUAUUGACCUCUGCAACUAGUUGAGGUUCUGCCUCAAAAGAAUUUCCAAUAGCACUAGUUGAAUAAGCAGCCCAAUACUGAUUUGAUAAUAUCUGUGACUCCAAAAUGCCAUGUGGUACUUGCUGCAAUCCUGUAGAAGUAUUUUCUGCAACAUAAUUUCCAGAACAAGAAAUCAAGUGGUUUGGUAGUUGCUGCGACUCAGAGAAAGCAAUUACCCGUCCACUGUCAAUUUGAGAAUUCAAUAAAUCACAACCAAAACUAGGACCAUUAGAAUAUGACGAUUCCUGUUCCAGAUAAGUUGGUGACUGCAAUGCCAGGAAAGAGUCAUUAUUCAGUCCAUUAAAGCCACCAUGUGUAUUGAAUUCUGCAGGAAUUCGAGGUUCUGCCUCGAAAGAAUUUUCUACAACAUCAACAGAAUAAGUAGCCCACUGCUCAUCUGGUAGUCUCAAUGACUCCAAAACGUGAUGAGGUACUAGCUGCAAUCCUGUAUAAGUGUUUUCUGCAACAUGAUUUCCAAAACAAGAAAUCAAGUGGUUUGGUAGUUGCUGCGACUCAGAGAAAGCAAUUACCCGUCCACUGUCAAUUUGAGAAUUCAAUAAAUCACAACCAAAACUAGGACCAUUAGAAUAUGACGAUUCCUGUUCCAGAUAAGUUGGUGACUGCAAUGCCAGGAAAGAGUCAUUAUUCAGUCCAUUAAAGCCACCAUGUGUAUUGAAUUCUGCAGGAAUUCGAGGUUCUGCCUCGAAAGAAUUUUCUACAACAUCAACAGAAUAAGUAGCCCAUUGCUCAUCUGGUAGUCUCAGUGACUCCAAAAUGUCAUGUGGUACUAGCUGCAAUCCUGUAUAAGUAUUUUCUGCAACAUGAUUUCCAAAACAAGAAAUCAAGUGGUUUGGUAGUUGCUGCAACUCAGAGAAAGCAAUUACCGGUCCACUGUCAAUUUGAUAAUUCAAUAAAUCACAACCAAAACUAGGACCAUUAGAAUACGACGAUUCCUGCUCCAGAUAAGUUGGUGACUGCAAUGCCAGGAAAGAGUCAUUAUUCAGCCCAUUAAAGCCACCAUGUGUAUUGAAUUCUACAGGAAUUAGAGGUUCUGCCUCCAAAGAUUUUUCUACAACAUCAAUAGAAUAAGUAGCCCAUUUCUCAUCUGGUAGUCUCAGUGACUCCAAAACGUCAUGUGGUACUAGUUGCAAUCCUGUAGAAGUAUUUUCUGCAACAUGAUUUCCAGAAUAAGGAAUUAAACAGACACGCGGUGAUAAUCCUGAAUCCAAACUAGUGGUAGCUGAGUCUUCAUUACAAGAAAACAAAUUCUCACUCGGUGGUAGCUGAGUCUUCAAGAAUAUAUUUUCUACAACUUGAUUUGUUGUAGAAACCAAAUAUCGAUCUGGUGGUUGAGCAGAUUCUAGAGAAAUAUCUUCUACAACAUUGAUGCUAGAACUAGAAGCAAAAUCUUGACUUGAUUGAUGUUUAUCCGGAGUUGAAACACCAAGCUUUUUAUCCCAAUUUCUUCCUUCUAGGCGACACACAACAAAGUUUUCCUACACGAAUAAAAAGUGGAAAUAGAAUAAGUUCACAUUAUUGUCUAUUGUAUUCUGAAUGAUGUUUUCACUAAACUAUUAAACCACAUAGCUUAAUAGUGUUUCCAGCCAUUACACUAUUAAACUAUAUGGCAAAACAUGUCUAAAACAUGUCCAAAACAUGUCACUAAGUUAUUUUUCCGAACUUUAACAAAUCCUAAAUCCUAAAUUGGAACGCUUCUAGUAUUUGCAAAACAUGUCCAAUUCAUUCUAAACAAAGCUCGUACCUUAUAAAGAGGGUCAUCCGCAAUAGCUAUCUCGUGCAUAAGCCACUUAGUGUUAGCUUUCUCGGACGCAGCAUCGUCAUGGAUAAAAACAAGAUAGUCUUUGUCACCAAUCACCUCAGUACUGUUUUUCCGCUUGAUCUCAGAACCACCGCCAGUCAUUUUCCAGGUUCCUGACUUCGUUUUUCUAUGUCGCUGUUGCCCUGACCGUUUCCGCUUGGCACCUUUGUACUUAGGCUUACAGAAAAAGUACCACACAUCUUCCGUAGACUGAAUCUCAGAAAGCCCUGCAUGACAAAAAUUCAUUAACCCAAUAUAUUAGUUCUGAAUUUUAGCUACUGAACUAACUCCAAUGACAUCGUUUAGUGCUUGUUGGGCGUGAUACUUACCGGGUAGCUCCCAAGGGUCAAAGCUGUAAAAAUCAAUUUCCUUGAUCGUUUGGACAGAGGAACCAGGGUCAAGCCUCUUCUUCUUCAGGAGAUCAAUGAUUUCUUCAUCCAACGGCCGGAAUCCGAUGCCCGUGAGACUGCCCAUUUCUGAUUCACACACACAAGAAACAGAGUUUAAGGCUAUAUCUGUAUCAAUUUCGUCUGCGAACAAUCAGCGUGUAGUAAUACUGUUUGAAAAUGAGAUUUAGACGAGUGACAGUAGGAUAACAGAAAUGAAAGUGAUAUAUAUAUAUAUAUGAAAUGUGAAUAAAUUUAAUCACUUUAAGUUUUUAAAUCUACAAUUUUAAAAAUUUUCUUGGACUUUUCUCAUAUUUAGGAUUCAGAUAAAAAAAUUAUUAAUAUAUAUAAUUGUAACAUAAAGUUGUGAUAAUUUAAUUAAGAAUUCAUUUAUUCAAUUCAAUUCGAUUUAAAUUAAUUAAAUUUAAAUUUUAAAAAAUUAAUUCAUUUAAUGAAUAAGUGAAUUCUAUUCAAUUUGUUAAAUAAAUAAAUUUAAACUAACUAUGAAAUUAUUAUUUUAUUUAUUCCUUUAGAUUCGUUUGUAAUUGAUAGUAUGUUAUUUUUAUAAUAUUUUACUUAAUUUUAUUUAUUAAUUAUUAUUUUUAGAAACAAAUUAUAAAUGCAUCUAACUUUCGAUUGAAUUGUCAUUAAAUGAAUUCAAAUUCAAUUCAUUUAAUUUUAUACAGCAAAUAAAUUAAUAAAUAUUUAUUUAAUAAACGAAUCGAAUCUUAAUAUUUCAUUUAAUAAAUAAAUAGAAUUUCUAUACAUGAAACUUUAAUCCAAUUUGAUUAUGAUUUAAUUCAAUUAUACUUUGCCGAGUAAUGAUAUAGGAAUAAAUUUUUGUAUAAAUUUAUUUUAUAUAAAUUGAUGUGACAUUAAUUUAUUGAUUGAAUUAAAUAUUUCUUAGCCCACAUAAUUUAUUUCUAUUAUUUUAUAUUUUUAUUCAACUAAUAAAUUAUUUUCAUAUCAAUUUAUACAAGAUAAAUUUAUACAAAAAUUUAUAACAGAAUCAUCACUCUUCUUUGCCACCCUUAAAUUAACAGAAAGCGUUACCACGUCAUCAUUAACACGUCAUUCUACCUCCGUGGCCUGGCUUGAUUUCUACGCAUAGUGCUGUAGUGAUGUUUCCCAACGGCGUUAAGUGGCAAUAGUGAGAGUGUACAGAAUUUGUGGAUCGUGUUUGACGGUCCGUCAACCAGUGACGAGUUUGUUCUUCUCUGUAUAAUGCAGAAGAAUAAUAAUAAAUUGCAUUUAAAAGGACCAUAGUUAUUCAACAGUACAACAAGGCACAAGUAUAGUAAGUAGAUCAUAUGGGAUUAAAUCAAAGAAGAACUAAAAGAAUAAAAAAAAUCGAAAAAAUAAGAAAAAAUAAAAAAAUUGAAGAAUUGUUAUUAUAUUUUGGGUGGGGAUAUUUUCAUCUUAUAAUUUUUAUAAAUUCAUCUCAAUUUCAAAAAAUAAUUAUAACAAGUUUGUAUUAUUUUUAAAAUAUACAAACUAACAAAAAGUUUAAACAAUUAAUCAAUUAAAUCCUUCUUAUAAUUUUUUUAAAUAUGUAUCUUUGAUUAUUACGUUUACUUUAAGAUAAGUUUUGUUUACCUAUUUUAACUUUAUAAUAUAAAAUGACCAAAUUGUUCUAAAAAAACAUGAGCUCUUAUAUCUAAUAGUUUAGGUAUUUAAUUUUAUUUGAUUAAAUUUUUAAACUUUUUCUUUAGUUGAAUUUUUAAAAAAAUAAUGUGAACUUAUUGUAAUUAUUUCUUAGAAAUGGAGUGGGUUUGCAAAGGACGAUGAUAUUCCCAACCCAAAAUUCACCCACUUUUAGAAAAUUAUUAUAAUAAAUUCACAUUAUUUUUUAAAAUUUUAAAUUAAGAAGAAAUUUAAAAAAAUUAAUCGAUUAGAUUCAUAUUUUUUUUUUUUUUGGAGACUAUGUUUCUUUAUUAUAUUUUAUCAACAAGGUUGCUUUAACAUAAAUUGAUAUGACUAUUUUACACUCACAAUGUAAAAGUACCAAAAUAUCUAAAAUUUUACUUUAACUUUAAUAAUUUUUAUACAAUUUUUUUAUAUUUUUAUGAUGUAUAAGUAGUAAUAUAUUAGCAUGAUUACUAAUAUUCCACUAAAUUAACAAGAUAUAAGUAGUACAUGUGGUGUAUUGAAACUUAUUAAAUUUUCUAUAAAACAUAUUAGAUGAUAAACCAUAAAACUAAAUGCCUAAAAAAUUAGUUUCAAUAGUAUAUACAUUUCUUAAAGUAAUUUGGUCAUUUCAUACUAUAAGGAUAAAAUAAUCAAAUUGAACUUAUGUUAAAGCAACCUUAAAUAGCUAAAAAUUGUUAAAAGAUUAAGUCAGAAAAGAAAAAGAAUAUUAUAAGAUUGAUUUAAUUAAUUUCAAACUUAUAAUUAAUUUAUAAUUUUAUAAAAUAAUGUGAACUUAUUGUAAUUAUUUUAUGGAGGUGAGGUGGAUUUAUAAAAAUAGUGGGAUGAAAAUACCUACACCUAUUUUCAAAACUUAUGAGGUGAAAAUAUCAUUAUCCUUAUAUUUUUAGGGUCUUUGUUUUUGGGUAAAAAGAAUUCUAAAACCAAAAGUUUCAAAAUUGCCUAACUUAAGUCCUCAUGAUAUGAAAAAUUAAGAAAAUUCUAUAAUGGUGUGAUUAAAAUUAUGGUAUAAACAUAAAUUUUGUAAAUUAUAUAUAAGAUUAGUAAAUUGAAAGUAAAACAAGUAAAUUACUAUAAGAGCAGUAAAUUAGUGUUUUACAAACAAAAUAAGCACUUCUUCAAAUAAUAUAAAACAUGGCACAUUAUGCCCAAAAGAAUUGGAAUAAGUUUUAUUGAAUUUGUUUACCUAUAAAUUUUGUUUUCAUUCUAGACAUUCAUUUUUUUUCUCUAUCAUAGUGUUGUUUACUACACAGGUUAAUUAAGUAAAAUUAUUUCUCUUUAUGUGGAUCAAGUUGAAACAAAAUUAAAAGUUAUUCUUAUAUUACUAAACGUAUAUAAUAUAUCAAUUAAAUUGCAUAUAAUUUUAAUUUUAUGUUCUAUACAUAUUUCACGUAAUUUUAAGUCUUGCUUUUCAUUUAGACAUAAAAAUCAUUUGGGUUUGUUGACGAGAAGAUUUAAAAGGAUGCAAAGUACCUUAUCAUACGAAUAACUUUGAAAAUAUGAAAAAAAUAGUUUUUCAAAUUUCACAUAUAUUACAUACACCCAAAACUAUCAUUAAUCAAUUUAGAAACAAAAUAAGAAAAUUUACAAGGUAAUAAUUAUUAUAAUGAGUUUUUAUUUUACAUUUAUAAGUUUUCAUCUUUUUAAAUAAUUCUUAUAUUAAUUUACUUAUUUUAUCUUUUAUUUACAAGUUUUAUAUUUUGUUUACAUAUUUUAUAUUUUAUGUCACACUUAACAAUGAUUUACAAGUUAUAUUAUGUUAGUAAAUUUUUAUUUUGUUUACCAAUAAUACUCUAAUUCACCUCUCCUAUAAUAUGAUACUUGUUUUACCUUCUAUUUACAAGUCUUAUAUUUCAUUUACUUAAUUGAUGUUUUAUUUUAUACUUAUUGUUGAUUUACAAGUUUUUAUAUUAUGCUUAUAAGCUUUUGUUUUAUUUGCCAAUAAUACACCAAUUUACCAUUCUUGUGCUAAUUUACUUAUUUUACCUUCAUUUAUAAGUCUUAUGUUCAAUUUACAUAAUUUAUGUUUUAUUUUAUACUUAAUUUGAUUACAAGUUUUAUGCUAUAUUUGUAAGUUUUUGUUUAGUUUACAAAUAAUAUAUUAUUUUACUACUCUUAUGUUAAUUUACUUCUUUUACCUUUCAUUUACAAUUCUUAUGUUCCAAUUACAAAAUUGUGUUUUAUUUUACAUUUAAUGUUGAUUUAUUAGUAUUAUGGUACAUUUGUAAGUUUUCUUUUGUUUACCAAUAAUAUACUAAUUUACUACUCUUAUGUUAAUUUAUUUGUUUUACCCUUCAUUUUCAAAUAUUAUGUUUUCUUUACAAAAUUUAUGUUUUAUUUUACAUUAAUGUUAAUUUACAAGUUUUAUGUGAUAUUUAUAAGUUUGUUUUGUUUACUAAUAAUAUGUCAAUUUACCAUUUCUUUGUUAAUUUACUUGUUUUACCUCUCAUUUAAAAGUCUUAUGUUUUAUUUCUUUAAUUUAUGUUUUAUUUGACACUUAUCGUUGAUUUACAAGUUUUAUGUUAUAUGUAUAAAAUUUGUUUUGUUUACCAUUGAUACAUCAAUUUGCCAAUUUAUCAUUCCUACAUUAAUUUACUCGUUUUAUCUCCCAUUUAGAAGUCUUAUGUUUUAUUUACUUAAUUUAUGUUUUAUUUGACAGUUAUUGUUGAUUUACAAGUUUUAUGUUAUAUGUAUAAAUAUUUGUUUUGUUUACCAUUGAUACAUCAAUUUAUCACUUCCAUGCUAAUUUACUUAUUUUACUUUUUAUUUGCAAUUCUUAUGCUUCAUUUACAUAAUUUUUAUUUUAUAUUUAAUAUUGAUUCACAAAUUUUAUAUUAAGUUUACAUGUCUUAUGUUCUAUUUACAUAAUUCAUAUUUAGAUAUGGUAUUGAUGCCGUGCUUUUAAUUAUGACUUUAUAAAACGACCCUAGCAAUUAAACUAAUGUUGAUUGAGUUGUCGUUAAUUACUUCACGUGUUUGGUUGGGAUAACAAAAAAAAUAUUAGAAAGUGUUUUACAGGAUUGGUUAACAAAAAUGAGUUAUCAUCAUCCAUGAUUUUACAUCUUUGAAAGCAAUUAGGAUAAAUUUUCAUGAAAAUUUUGGUGGCACUGCUUAGUUUUUUUUUUUGGUCUUUUAAAAAAAAAAGACAAUGUAUAAGGGAAUUCAAAAAUACAUUUGGAAUUUUGUUUGAUGAUCGAAUAGACUAUUUGUUAUAUUCAGACUUAAAAUUCAGGACAGAUUUAUAAUAUCGUAAAUCAAUAAAUAAUAUUGUAAAAAUUAAUUUACGAACUCAUAAAUUCGUUCCGAACUUUAAUUUGUGAGUGAUGAAUUUUUAGAUCGAACCAUCAUCCUUAUCAUGGAUAAUUUUUUUAUUCCCCACCUUUUAAAACAAAAGCAAGAAGGACGCGUUACUUGUUACCCAAGAAAGUUUAAGGCACCACCUGGCCACCAUAUGAUUCCUUUGCUGCUUUUUCUGUUUUACACUUCCGAGUCACCUUCCUUCUCCCCCACAAUUCUGCUACAGGAAAUCUAGAAUCUUCAACUUCUUUGGUUUUAUGUCAAUUUAUAGAAGAUUUUCACCGGUAUAUUUUUAAAGCAAAAUUUUGAAAUCUUUUUAGAAUCAUUAGUUAUUCUGCAAAAUAUUCAACAUGUCCCCCUCUUCCAAGAAGGAAUUUACUCGGAUUGGAUGGCUCAUUAAAAAUAAAAAUAAAAAGCAAAAGCAAGACUUUUGAAUACACUUGAGUUGACUCAGACGGUCCUACACUGCUACGCAGAUUCCUGAUGACUUCAUAUUGUUCAGUAACUGGUGGAUGUGCAUGAACCGGUUACAUCUCUCCUUCUACUCUUUCGGAACAGGUAUUUUCUUGAUUUUCUAUGUAUUUCCGUCAGACAAGCUCCAAUACAUACAUAAGUACAUACAUACAUACAUAUAUAAUUAAUAUAUAUAUAUAUAUACAUUUUACUUUAAAAUUUCAGACUAAAAAGCUACUACUACUACACACACACACACACGUGUGCGAAGUUCACAUUGGAACAUUUGGUCUUUCGAUGAAUUUUUAUUAUGAUGCCUAAAUUCAUUCAACAAUUUCAACAUUGGCUAAAAAUACAUAAAUAGCUCAAAAUUAAUUAUCAUUAUAGAAAUAAAUAAAAAAUAAUACUAAUUUCAUGUAUAUUAUUUAUCAUGAUAGCACUUAAAUAGCUCAAAAGUAAUUAUCAUUAUAAAAAUAAAUAAAUAAAAAUAAUACUAAUUUUAGGUAAAUAAUAACAGUAGCACUUAAAAAGUUGAAAUGAUUAAUUGAUGAUUAAAUGAUGGCUAUAGAUUUUGUAUUUUAAGAAACCAUUUUUUUUUCAAGCGAGAUAGUGAAUAUAAUUUUUUUUUUGGCGAAUAAGGUAAGAAAAUUUUUCAUUUAUUGAAUUGGAGAUUUUAAGAUUUUAAUAGAAAUUAAAAGGAAAAUUAAAAGUUAAAGAUUAAUUCUUAAGAAACUGAUAAUUUUGGGAAUUUAAUUUUUUUUGAAAGAAUAAUUAUUAAUGAAUUAAUGGUUAGACAAUAUUAUUAUUUAUAUCUCUUUAACAUUAAAAUUAUCAAAUAUAGAUUUUCUAUCAAAAAAAUUCUUAAUUGUAGGAUAAUUAUUAAUUAGAGAAAUAUCUAAAAUAGGCUUUCCUACAUAUGCAACUUAAAAAAAUCUUUAUUAAUUAGAAUAUUAUAAUGGACAUAAUAAAAAAAAAUGGAGUCUUUCUAAAAUAUAGGGCCCUAGGUGAUAGGGUUGGCAAAUCUUGGGUCCGGGUCUAGGUAUGGUAAUGCCCGAACCCAGUGCAUAUGUAUUUUUUAGACACUCAGGCUAAGUUUUUUAAUCCUUGUUUUUAUAGCCGGAUUAUAUUUCUUAAUAUUAUAUAUUUAUACUUUUUUUAUAAUUUUAUAAUUUUUAAAUUUAUUUCAAUGAAAUUGGACAUGAAAAUAUGAAUUUUAAAUGUUUAAAGCUUUACACAUCUAUAAUAGAUGAGUCAAAUAAAUAUAAUUAUUUAAAAUAAUAUAUAUUUUAUAAUUUUUUCAAUAAAAUUUAUGUUCCAGGCCGGAUCCCGAGCUUAUCAAGUAAUGUAGGAGACCGAUUCGACUUCAUCCUUGGGGUGGGUAAUACCUAGCAUUCCCUGUGUCCAGUCCGAGUCUGGGUCUAGACUAGGUGAUUAUUUUUUAUACUUUUAUCAGGUGAUUGUCUUGUUCGCCUAUACUUAGAGUUGUCUUUGUACAAGGCGAGCAGAGCCUAAAUUAAUCGCAAGUUUCGAACAAGAUGGCCAAUUAAAUAAAACCGCUUGAAACAACUUGGCCAUACCCUCUGCAUGCUUGUGUUUAUAGAUUUACCUUGAUUUGAAAUUUUUGUGUUUAUUUACUAUGUUUUAUUUAAUUAUUAAAUGAUUGACUAAAAUAUAUAGGAAUAACAUUUUUAUAGAAAUUUUAGUUUCGUAAAUAAAAAAUGGUGGUUCUACCACAAAGUUACUAACAAAAAGAAGCACCCAAAGUGAUAAUGACAUCAUAUAAUUUUUUAUUACAAAAGACAAUGUCAACCAAAAUUUCUUUCCAUAUUAUAAAAAAUUAAAGAUAAGAUUAAAGUUGAAAACUAAUUUCAUGGUGAAGUAAGCAAUACUUGGAACAUUUUUUAAGAAGCCACAUAGACACAUCAUAUAGAUUAAGUUUUAAAUUAGUUAAAUAUUAAUUUAUACAGUAAGUGGGGCCCUAUCAAUUUUUUUUUUAUAAUUUACUAUCUUAUAAAUUACUAAUUUAACAUGUUGGUCCCAAGUUCAAACAGUCAAGAAUAACUUAUUCAAUUGAAAUUAUCAAUUUAUCGAGUAUUAUUUUAUCCAAAUUGUAUGGUUCAACAAGGGAAAGUUGAACCAAUAUUACACUAUCAAUAACAAUAUUGAGAUUAUAUCUUCUUUUGCUAGCAACAGGAAUUCUAAAAGAAUAAACUGAAAAGUAAUUAAGGUCUAAAAAUAAUAUUAAAAUUAAUUCUUAACAAAUUAGGGAUGAAGGCCAUAUAUGGUAAGGGUGUUCGCGGACCAAUCUAUAUCUGAUCCAAGAUUUUAUUGAUUACAAAUAUUUAAUCCAAUCUAAUCCAUGAAUUAGUAAAAUUAAUCCAAAUUCAAUUCAUACGUCCACGGAUUGAAUGCAAAUUUGAUACAAUCCGUGUGCAAUCCACCAUCUUGUAUAUUGAUUUUUAAUUAAAAAAAUUUAUUUUAUCCAAUCCACAAAUAAUUAAAUAAAAUCUAAAUUAAUUAAUAUUUUAAAUAACACACCAAAGAGAAAAAAUCUGAUUUGUUUGGAUCAAUGCAUGAAAAUUAACUAAAAUUAUGGAAUAAAAUCAAUUCAAAAGUUGAAACUUGAAACUUUGGAUAAUCUAUCAAAAAGUCCACCUACAAUUCGUAUUUUUUAACAUGAAAAAAGGAUAGAAAUAAUUGAAAUAAAUAACAUAAAAGAAUUUACUCCAAUAAUACUUCUUAGGUAGCUGUAUAUGUUUACUUAAUUAUUUUUUAUUUUCUAUUAUCAAUAGAUAAAAUAUAAUGUAGUAUUAGUGUAACUACAUUUUAACUUAUUUAUACUAAUAAUGCCACAUUUACAAGUUUUAAUUUUUUUAAAAUUAUACACACACAUACACAUAUUACGUAUUUAAGAUUUUUAAGAAUUUACUUUUGUAAAUCUAUAUUAAAUCCAUCGACUGUGAAUUUAAAAUUUUUAAUACAAUUAAAUCCAUUAAUCUAUGAAUUAAAAUUUUACAGAUCAAAUAUUUAUGGAUCUGACAGAUUGAACAGACUGGAUUAAUUCUCAACACUCCUAGCACAUCACACGCUACCCCACUUAAUUGAAAAAAAAAAUGGUUCAGAUUUUAUUUUAUGCUUUGAGUAUUGCCCCCUGAAGCCCUUAGUGAUCUACCUCCUUAAGUCCCUUAGCCCUUGUUUGAGGGAAAUACUCCGACGAGACUAGACGUGAUGAGCAGAUGUUUGGUGGCAGAGUUCUGCGAGCAGGUGUGUCCUGUAAGAGCCAGGUAGCAAGGGAACAGGAGCAGGAAUAUUUUGCUCGUCCACGAAUAUGUCAUUCGCGAGGCCGAACUCCUGUUAGAGGCAUAAGGCCAUUCCUGCUAGGGGUCGAGGCGAGGAGACCCGGUCAACGACAGUUGGCAAGACGUGCAUUCCUAUCCGAGAAUCAAGGCACGAGGUCCAUCUCCAUUCGCCCACAAUGACGAUAAUGGGGUAUCCACAUCCGAGGGUGGGGAGAAUAAUGGGCGUGGACUACGGAAGACCGAGAUUCAGAGGAAGCUUAUAAAACGGUAGCCAACGAAGGUAAAAGGGUUAGAAUUUUUGCUAUUAGAACUAAGAAAAGAGAGCUCUAAAAACUGAGACUAAAGAGAAGCCGUAAGAUUCGUGGCAAACACUCCCAGAACCUUCAUAUCUGACUUGAGCGUCGGAGGGUUUACGCUGGGAAAACAACCGGCGUACUCUGACAUGCUUCUGUGUACGCAAGAACUUUUGGAGAAGAAACCUUACGAGGAGAGAUCCUGGUCGUGGUAGAGUUGGUCGAGCAGAGGUCCUGGUCUUGGUAGAGAAGGCAAUCAGAAUCUCGCAUCAACAUUUUGGCGCCGUCUUUGGGGAACUGAUCAAAAAGCUUCUGUUGAUAGCAAGAAGAGGAGUGAAGCAAGUGGAAAAGCAAUGGAGACAGGAGGAAGUAGUGCACAAGGGAGUGAUAUGAGGCUUAAUGAUUCCGUGACGCUGAGGGAGAUAGCCAGUGAAGCACGGGAAAAAGCCAUGUUCGACUGGAUGGAACGGAUGAAAAAACAGAUGGAGACCCUGACAACCAUCCUACAUGAGCUGCGGAGUGAACGAAGGGGAACCCAGGAGGAAAGGGUGAGAGGUGGUGGAGUGGCACCAAGUCCCGAUAGUACGAGGAGAAGUCAAACUACUGGGAGAUUUGGUGGUGACAGAGGUAACAUACCUCUGCGGGGAGAAUUUCAUAGAGAGGAAAAGCAAUCCCCGGCAAGACAGAUUUUUGACGAGGACGAUGGGGUGGCGAAUGCAGAGGAAACAGAGUUGAGGCAACAUUUGCAUGAUGUAGAGCAAGAGCAGGAUCAAGUUGCAGCACGUGACCUUGGUCGUGCAGUGCAGCUGGAGGAGGAAGUGCGCAAACUAGUGCAGAUAAUUGACGACAUGCAAAGAAGGAGCAGAGCUCCUGGUUGGAGGAUAAUGCUGGAUGGAGAAUCACCGCUCGCAGCAGAGAUCAUGAGGACAGUUAUUCCGAGAGAUUUCCGCCUCCAAGACCUUAAAUAUUCGGGACGAACUGAUCCGCUGGUGCACAUAGAGCGCUUCAACGAUAUAACUAUGGUACAAGGAUUAUCUCAAUCCCAAAGGUGCAAGGUGUUCCCACUAUCCCUUGAGGGACGUGGACGCGAGUGGUACAGAAAACUUCCUCGGGGGAGCAUUAAAACCUUCGAGCAGAUGUGCUAGGAAUUUGCAGAAAAGUUUCGUGGGGCAAUGGCACUAGAAGAUGACAUGAUGGAGUUGAAAAGCAUGAAACAGGGGGAACAAGAAACCCUUAGAGAAUUCAUCAAGAGGUUUCAUCGUGCUGUCCUCGAUUUGGGAGCCUUCAACCAUCCUCAGGCAUUAGGGGAUUGAAAGAAGGGGUGAAGAUAAGAAGGCCGUGGUACAAUUUGAGAAGUCCAGUUAUUCAGACGUAUGCAACCGCAUACGAGCAGGCUAAGAGGGACAUUGAGAUUGAAGAGGAAAAGACAGCACAGAUCAAGACAGACCAGUUAGAAGGGUUGGGAAAGAAAGAGAAGAAAGCAUUACCAGGGAAUAGGCCGAUCAGGAGGAGGGACCAUCAGGCCUCAGGUAGUGGAGCAGGAGGUCGGGUAACAUAAAUUAUGUAAAUUGAACAUUUUCGAAUAUUUUCGAAGGCAUGCAAAGGCUCGCCAAGUCUCAAAGCCUGUUUACGGCGAGACUAGAAGCCAAGCGUGCUAGGAUCUACUCGACCGAGCGGAGGCGAGUAGAAUCCCAAGACAUGCAGAAAACUAAGUCUGAAAGCCAGUCACAUGGCAAAACCAUAUGCCAAGCCAGAGCCUGCUCGGCCAAGCAAAGGCGAGCAGACCCUGAAACGAAAAAAUGACUCGUAAAUACAACACAAGAAAGUAAUCAAAAACAUUUUCAUUAAUUUGUCAAUAACCGAUAAUCUUCGAAUACAUCGUUCAUUACAACACAAGAAACAUGCUCAAGAAGAUGGCGGGUCAGUAAGCCGAGCAGCAUCAGUUGGCUGGACCACCUCAGGUGCAAGGGGGGUAUCAUCAGUUGCGUCCGGAGGGGUGCUCGCCUCAACAACAUCAGCAUGGAUGGCACAAGGAGGAGAGUUUUCCUCCUUGACCAGGAUUGGCUCCCCCCUUCGGCAUCUCCCUUGGCCGCCUCCUCGUCCAUGUGUUGAGCAACACCAGCUGCAAGGUCAUCCAUCUUCAGAUCGGGAUGCUGCUUUCCGAGGACGGCCAUGAUGCAACGAUAGGAAUGUCGAAGUCCCUGGUCGUACUGGUUGUCGGCUUCCUUCUCCAGGUUCUCGACCUAAACCCGGUGGGAGUCGCGGAGAGAUUCGAGCUGAACCUCGUAUAUAGCUUUCUGCCUUUGCAGAUCCUCCUUGAUCUUAGUCAGCUCUUCCUCGAGAGUAAUGGCCUUUGCUUGAGCAAGAGAUUCUUGCUCUAUCAACUUCAGAUUCUCGAGAUUCAGCUCCCCUGCUUUCUUCUCAGCAUCGUCAGCUCUGGUCCUCUCCGACUGAAUGUCCUCCUUCAUCUUCCUGUCAUAACGGCCAACCUUGGCCUUAUAGUAGGUGGUCAUGCAGCUGAGAUGGAAGGCGCUAUACUGCAUGGCUCCCACCAGCUCGCCUAGAGUGCAGCCAUCAAAGUCCUCCAGAUCCUUCUUGCUCAUGAGUCUGGAAAGCUCGUUGAGAUAGGGGGCCAAGUGUUCUGCUCGGCUGUCAGAUAAACGAGAUAUAGGCCCGACAGGAGGAGAAGAGGAAGCAGGAUUAGUGGCUGCUCCACUAGUUUUUCCGACUUUGGCAGGAGGAGGAGGUAGAGUCUUCAGGGGAGGAACCUGCUGCAUAAUAUUCACCUGCUUCGUAGUGGGAGCGUCCUUGCUCUGGUCUAUUUUCGCAGUUUGAGGUCAAGGGCGCUUCCGAGUCAGAGCCCCAAUCACAGCAUCCUCCAUCUUAUGGCCGGGGGGCACCAAACCAGACUCGAACAUGUUAUAGGUAGUUAUCAGCUAUCGGUACAAGCAGGAAUUGGCCAGUACAGCCUCGACCCGUUUGAGCUGGUCGGGUUUAAGCGAGAAGUGAACGCCCCAAGAAUCUGUAAAACGAACAGACAUCUGGUUAGAGACAAAUCAACAAAGUGAGAAUAACUAUGGAGACAAGACAAUUAAAACAAGCAGACAACCUGGAACCACAAAACGGGGUGGGACGCGAUAAUCCUUCCCGUCAACCCGUGCAACCUGACCCCAAGGACCCCCAGCAAAAAAAAAAACUUUUUCUUCCAAUUCCCACCACCACCAGUAGGAAUCUCGGUUAUGGGUUUCCUGGUCUUAGUACUGAAUUGGAAGUAAUACCAGCCAGCAUCUUUGGGGCUACUUUUCAGCUGGUACAGGUGUUUCACCUCCUCAACUGUGGGCUCGCUUUGAUAACAUCUGUCCCACAAUAUGAACAGACCAUAGAGUACUCUCCACCCGUUGGGGUUUAGUUGACCAGGAGCUAGAUUUAGCCCGUUGAGUAUCCGUGCAAAGUAGGGUUGCAAGGGGCACCUCAGCCCAUAAUUGAAGCUCUCCAGAAACAGGGUAACAUAUCCCCUAGGAGAUCUGCUAGGAGCAUCCUUCUUUCCUGGGAUCUUAAGGGGUAUUUCACCAGGAAUAUGAUACCUGAGCCGGAGGUCAUCGAGCUCGUUGAAUGUGGUCGAGCACGUUACGUAAUCAACAGCAUAAUCCCGCGACAGGGUUCUACCUCCUACUGUACUCCGCCCCUCUGGUCACAGUGUUCCUGGCGAGGAUCCCUCACCAGAGUCACCUCCUGGAUCCUCACUUAGGGUAUUUUCCGAGCCAGAAGAUCCCUCCUUACCACUAUUUCCACUCGAGGAGGUUACUUGGGGGGGCAUCCUCCUAGCGCUAGUACCAACACUAGAUCUAAUGGGUUUUAAGGGGAUCCCGGGGUCAAAGGUAUGAUCGGUGAGCAGACUGGACAGGAAGUCUAACUCAUCGUCAUCAACCUCAACGAUUUUCUCUUUACCUUUUGACAUGCCCUAAGCUAUAACUAGAGCAACACCACCAAAUUCUACCCAAACAAAGCAUAGAGAAAAGAAAUUAUCUACAACUAACCAAGACUGAGAAAAUAGAAGAAAUACCUGAAGCAGGGACUCGGUCAGAGAGAGACAUGGAUGAAAGCUUUAAUGCCAAGGUUCAUUCGCCGGAGAGACAAGAAGGGAGAAAAUGACGAGCUCGCGUUUGAGGAUUUUGGGUUUUCUUACUGAGGAGCAAACUCUUGGGCUGCCAGUAUUUAAUGACACAUAUCCCGAGAAUCUUACAACCGUAGGUUUGAAAUUCAAAUGGAGGGGUAGAUUUCUGCCACAUCACUUCAUCCGCAAUUAAAUACGACACGAUUCUUGGCAGCCUUUUCCAGUCCCACGCGAGCAAGAACCGUUGAGUUUCUACUGCUGGUCCAUUACAUUACCCAACACUAGAAACUGGAGGACCGGUGUUUGAGGGAAAUACUCCGACGAGACCAGACGUGAUGAGCAGAUGUUUGGUGGCAGAGUUCUGCGAGCAGGUGUGUCCUGUAAGAGCCAGGUAGCAGGGGAACAGGAGCAGGAAUAUUCUGCUCGUCCACGAAUAUGCUAUUCGCGAGGCCGAACUCCUGUUAGAGGCAUAAGGUCAUUCCUGCUAGAGGUCGAGGCGAGGAGACCCGGUCAACGACAGUUGGCAAGACGUGCAUUCCUAUCCGAGAAUCAAGGCACGAGGUCCAUCUCCAUUCGCCCACAAUGACGAUAAUGGGGUAUCCACAUCCGAGGGUGGGGAGAAUAAUGGGCGUGGACUACGGAAGAUCGGGAUUCAGAGGAAGUCUAUAAAAAGGUAGCCAACGAAGGUAAAAGAGUUAGAAUUUUUGCUAUUAGAACUAAUAAAAGAGAGCUCUAAGAACUGAGACUAAAGAGAAGCCAUAAGAUUUGUGGCAAACACUCCCAGAACCUUCAUAUCUGACUUGAGCGUCGGAGGGUUUACGCCGAGAAAACAAUCGGCGUACUCUGACCUGCUUCUGUGUACGCAGGAACUUUUAGAGAAAAAACCUUACGAGGAGAGAUCCUGGUCGUAGUAGAGUUGGUCGAGCAGAGGUCCUGAUCUUGGUAGAGAAGGCAACCAGAAUCUCGCAUCAACAGCCCUUUAAAAUUUAAGAGCCCAACUCGGUGAUAUAAUUGUCUCGAGUAUAUAUUAUGAAUAAAAAUAUAGCUUAUAUAUUUAUUAAUUAUUUAAAAUUGCACCGGUAGAGUAGAUUUCUUGCUCUCCAUCCCUAUAACAAUUUAUAUAGUUGUCAGUGGAACAGCCAGCCUCCAUUUUCUUCGUUCUAACUGGAGUCUUUGAGGAGCAUCUUCAUCUUAUAUGAUUGAUAUUUAGCUUUGCAAGUUAUUCUGAUAUAGGAGAUUUAUGAGGACUACCACUAGACAAUUUGAUCUGAGGUAUAGGAAAGCAAUUGCCAUGAUCUCACAAUCAAAGAAACCACUUUCCCUCCAUAUACAAUCCAUGGAUCAUGGAUGGUCUGGCAUUAGGCCUAUGAUCUAUUCGUAUGAGUACUAUAAACAAAUAUUCCAUAUGUUUAAGAAACUUGGCCAUAUGCCACACAAAGAUAUCAAAUACACACGAAAUGGACUGCCCAGGUAAUAAACGACAUAACGGUUCCAUUAGCAUGUGAUUAGUCUCAAAGAUUACAAACCAUGUGCGACAUUGUCUAUAAUAAUAAUACUUUCCUUGUAGAGGAUUUCAUAGUUAUUUAUGUGGUAUUAAGAAUGAUUGAAGCAUUAUCACCAUAUAAUUAUAUACAAAUGCUACUUACAGCCUUCUUUAUGGUAAUAAGAAUGAUUGAAGUAUUAUCACCAUAUCAAAUUAUCAACUACAGUAAAUUAACAUGAUUUCCUCCUAAGAGGAUUUGAUUAUUGUUCGAAUGUGCUACUUAAUUAAUAUUCUCAAGUAGUUCAUUUACCAUUUACCCACAGGCAUUUCUUUCCAUGCAGGCCAGUAGCUGAUAUUGGAUUUGUUAGCGAUUAUUGUGCAAAUGGGAAACUUUUCAUAGCUUAGCUCAAGUCAAUUGAUCUAAGGAACAUAUGUAUGUGGUAAAUUGAUCAAAUAUAGCAAUGUAGCAGUACAUUCCAUUAAACGAGCACCUACUCUCAUGAACUAGGCAACACAAUCACAUAUAGAAGUAACUAUUUUCUUAUAUAUAUGUAAGAGCUGGGAAUACAUCCUGCAUUACCACAGUAUCAACAAUAAUACUCUCCAUUAGCUUGCGGAGACUGGAGAGACGAGGAUGAGCAAGUUCAGUUUCUUCCAGAGGUUAUUUGCCAUGGCAGCCCCCAUUGUGAAUUCCCAUCUUCCCCGCAGCCGCUAAAUUGAAAAUUGGAGACAUCACAGUCAUUGCUCAACCCAGCAGAAUAUCAUGAGGAUGAUCUCUGCUCUAGUGACUGCAGAGGGGAUCCAUUAUAUCAAAUUAAGCAAACACCAAAGUUUCCUCCUUAGAAAAACUUAGGAAGAAAUGCAAGUUCUAUAAUUGUCACGCACAAAACAUAUAAAUUAGCAUUUGAAAUUGUUUAUAUAGCAAUCUUUCUUACCCCUAGAAAAGUUUGCUCUGCAACUUGAUCUCUAAAAUAAAAAUUAAGAAAUCAAAUGUGACUUGCAACUGUAGAGAUUCUACCUGAAUUACCCAUGAACAAAUAAGCAUUAGUUUUGUAUGUAUGUAUUUCUAGUUCAUUAAAGAUAUUGUGCUUACUUUUUCUCACCAUUGGAAAAGUAUUUUCUGCAACAUGAUUUCUAUAGUGCAAGGUGAAAAUGGUGACUUGGUAACAGUUGAGGUUCUCCCUGAAAUUAGAGCCAACGACAACGUAUCAUUAGUCCCAAAAAUAGUUACCUAUGCACUACAUUGGUAGGUUGAUAUUUCUUAAUUGUGAUCUUUCUCUGACUUGGUAAUUGAUAUUUUACCUGAAAUAAUUGACAUUCUACCUGAAAUAAAGGCCAUGAACAAGGCAUUAUAAAUUCUGGAUACCAUUUCUCAUACAUAUGUAAGUUGAUUUUGAAAAAAACCUAAAUUCAAGUUUUUGCCUCACCUCUGGAAAUAUUUUUUUUUUCAAUUUUUUCUGCAACAUGAUUUCUAGAACCAGAAACCAAAUGGUUACUUGGUAGUAGUUGCAAUUCUUCCUAAAAUAAGAACCAUAAAUAGCAUUAGUUCUGAAUAUAUUCCUUCUGCACUAUAAUCAUUAAUUGAUAUAAAAAACUGUCAACAACCGUUCUUUCUUACCCAUGAACUGGAACAUACGCUUUCUGCAACAUGAUUUCUACGUUAUAAGUCAUAAUAUGAUCUGUUACUUGUUCAUAUUCUACCUAAAACCAGAAACAAGAAGCAUUAGUUUUGGAUUGGAUUAUGAUCCCUAUACAUAAAUUAAGAAUUGAAAUUGAAAGCUAAAUUGUGCUCCUCCUCACCUCUUGUCUAAUAUUUUCUGCAACAUGAUUGUCAGAAUCAAGACUAGGUAGUUGUUGACCUUCAACCUAAAAUGGAAAAGAAGAUAUAAUCUCAUAUAAGAGUCUCAUCCAGCAAAAAUGGAUAACUUGAUAUUGAAACUGUCUCUAGGCGUGCGCUUUGUCACUCCUGGAAAAACUCUCUUUACUUCAACAUGAUUUCUAAAAUUAGACAUAAUUGGUGACUCGAUUGACCAUCAUCACAUGUUGAAAGUUUUAGGCUUGAUAAAUUUUUCAUUUUCUUUCUAAGAGGCAAAUAACAAAUUCCUUUUACACAAAUUGUAAACAGUAUAAGCUCAAAAUUUAGAAUGUUUACAAUCAAUUAUUUAUUUUUUUCCAGCAAAGACAGACUUUUCAUUGAAAUUUCUUAUAGUGAGAACCAAAAUCAAAGAAAACAAAUAAGAAAUAAAUAAGCAAAGCAGUCACCUUAUGAAAAAGGCCGUACGUGGAAUGAAAUCCGUACACGACACAUUUAGCUGUAUGCUUUUUACUUGGCUGGACAGAGAAAUCACGGUCAAGUCUCUUCUUGUUCAGGAAACGAUUGAUGAUUUCUUCUUCAUCUGGUGGAUGGAAUCUGAAUAAUCUAAAAACAAGAUAGCCCAUUUUUCAGAUUUGAUUCAAAGUGCCUGAGGAUUAGCUUGCCGUCUCUCAUGGGAAAAAUUUGCCCUGCAACAAGAGAUAGGGCGGGUUCAUCGUUUUUUUAUCUACACAAUAGCUUGCAGGUUGGUGAUUGGUCGACGAAACAUUAAGGGGCAGCUGAUGACGUGUCAAGACAGGUUUGUUUUCACGUGAGUAAAAAGAAAUGUUGACAUCCUGUGGUCGGCGUUCCACUACAGGGUGUCUCCUUCUUUUAGAAGGAGUUAAAGGAAAUAAAGACACGUGUCUCUCCUUCCUCUGCAAGUUGUUUGCUAAUUUCUUUUUUUUUUUUUUUUAAUACGUUGUUUGCUAAUUUCUAAUAAUAUUAGAAGCUUCUACUUCUUUCACAAGUAGUGAAUAAUUCAAGUCAGCAUACGACUCAAGGAACAUUUAAUCUGAUGUGGCAAAAUGCGACAGAUGACUCAGCUUACACUAGCAAACCGCGGUGAGCAGACAGGUUUAGUGCGGUGAGCAGAGGGAUCAUGUGAUCGAGCCCAUACCUAACAGUUCAUGACCUUAUAUUAUUAAUAAUGCACAAAGGACGAACAAACUGUAUAGAGUGUCGCACCACAAAAAUACGUGAUCAAGGCGUGCACUAGCAGCCGUUGUCACCGUGUUUGACAAUGCAAUUUUUUAAAAUUUAUUUUGAGAAAUGUCUCAGAAUCAAUUUUAAAAGAUCUCGAAUUACCAAUUUUAUUUUCAAAAACUUUUCAUUAGCUUAAGAUAAACUCUAUGUUGACCAUUGGAUGAGGACGAGUAGUGCAGAAUAGCUAUAGUUGGACACCACACAUUUUGGGAUACCAGAAACAAUCUUUUAUGAAUGUAUUCCGAUGAAAUGAAAUAAGCAGUGGUCUGCGCAUUUUUAUCUCUUGUUUCUGCUUCAUUACUUGUUUCUUUAAAGUAAUAACUAACCUUUCCGAAGGAGCAACUCCAGUCAUCCAGAAAGCAGCUCAUUUUAUCUCUUGUUUUUGGUUUCCCAAUGUGUGAAAAUUAUUUAAGCUUCAAAGCCACAAUGAACUGCUUGAAUAACAUUUUCGUAUUAUUUACAAGGACGCUAGGAGAUUGUUACAGAUGCCACACAAAGGACGAACAAACUGAAUAGAGUGUCGUGUUUACAUGAAUGAAGAUAGUUCCUGUCCCAAGAACUUUUAACAUCAUAUAUAAAUGGUCUAUGGAUCUUUUGUUUUCUUUCUCAGUUAAUCAGUAAAUUUCUUUGAUGAGCAAGACUAAAUGGUUAUCUAAUAUUCACAAUAUAUAAAAAAUACAUUGUGGCAGUUUUUUUUUUUUUCCUGAGAAUAAAACCAGUUUCAAUUCAUAGGAGAAAAUAAAUACAUCAGUUGUGCCGCGCAUGAGCCCCAUACAUACAACAGUUUUGCAUUUCUAUAAGCAAACGGGACACUAACAUGAUCCCUUAAUUAAGUUCUGAAUUUCUGAGACAAUCCAGAAGAUCUCGAAUCCACUGCCCAGCCUUUCCUUUACAAAAUUAACCACCUCAUGGAAGUCUGAUUCAAAAAUCAAUAAUGCUAAGCCUGCACACCCGCACUAUGCACACCCAACUCCAUCGCUUCUGCCUCCACAACAGAUACAUCUCCACAAAACUUUGAAGACUUAACUGCAGCUGUAAUUACAUUCCCAGUUUCAUCUCAAAUAACAGCUCCCGGCCCUGAGAUUUGCUUAUCUGAGUUGGUGGCUGAAUCUUCAUUUACCUUAAAAUAACCUCUUUCUGUAGGGUUCCAAGUCUGCAAUUUCUAACAGAUGCGUAAUUGAGGUCUUUUGAUCUUCCCUUAGGUCUAUCAAGUCUUAUCUGCAACUAUUGUUUUCAAUAAGCACUCCCAUAGUCCCAUUUAACAAGCUGAACUUUUCCAAAACUUGGCCCUACUGUUGCAUGUAGUUAUUACAUAUGACAUAGAGCAACUUGAGCAUCCAAGUGCCCUAGAUAACUACUCUCAAAGAUUUACAAAGCUUGGAAUACAAUACAUUAUGAGUGAAGCAAUAUUACAACUUUCAUAAUAAUAUAAUAUCGUCCUUGAGGAUUUGAUUGUUCUUAACAUAUGCUACUGAAGUACUAUCAAUAUAAUUCAUUGAAGGACUCGGUUCACUGCUAUCCUCCAGGAAAACUCCUUCAUCUGACGAGAAGAAGUCAGGAGUGGUCUGUCCAGUUUCAUCAGAAGAGUAUUCAUUCUGAAAAUCCCUUUGAGAAUUGAACUGGCUAUCUACCUGCUCACCGUCAAAUUGAGAAUUCAAUAAACCACUACCAUAACUAGAACCAUUUGCACAUGAUGAUUCCUUUUCUGAAUAAACUGGUGGCCGCAGUGCCGGGAAAGAGGCAUCACUCAGCCCAUUAUAGCCACCACCCUGUGGAUUGAACUCUGCAAGUUGUCAAGUCUUUGCCGAAUUUUCGACAGUAUUUUCUGCAACAUGAUUUCUAUGGUCUCUUGCUUGAUCGUCAGAGACCAAAACAGUAUUUUCUACAACACGAUUCAUAUGGCCUUUUGCUUGAACUUCAGGGACCAAAACAGUGCUUUCUACUAAAUGAUUUCUAUUAGAAACCAAAUCUUCCUUUUAUGCAACAUGAUUUCUUUCCGUAGCUUCUGCUACAUGAUUUCUUUCAGAAGUCAAAAUUUGACUAGAUUGAUCUUUGGAAACACCAUGCUUCUUAUCCCGUUUUCUUUCAAGGCGACACACAACAAAGUCCUUCUGCAAUAAAAUUAACAGAGUAUGUUACAAUUAUUUUUCACGAGAAUAAACGAACUAUUUUACAAUACAUAUGCAAUUCUAAAACGGAAGCUGAUACCUCAUAAUCAGGGCUAUCUUCAACAGCAAUCUCAUGUAUAACCCACUCAGUCUUAGCUUUCUUGGCAGCAGUAUCAUCUCGAAGAAAAGACAAAAUCUUCUUCGUACCAAUCACCUCUGUACUGUAUUUGCGCUUGAUUUUUGAACCAUUGCCAGUCUUCUUCCAGUAUCCUUCCUUUGUCCUUCUAUGAGCCCGUUUACUCUUGGCAUACUUGUAAUAAGGCUCACAGAAAAAGUACCACACUUCUUCCUCAGACUGAAUCUCAGAAUGCCCUGCAUCGCAGCAAAAGAUUCCAUUAACUUUUGAAUUUUAGUUACUAAACUAAUUAACUUAAACAGAUAUCAUGCAGAGUACUCGUUGGCACGAUUACUUACAGGGUAGCUCCCAAGGCUCAAAGCUGUACAAAUCAAUUUCCUUGAUCGUACGGACAGAGAAACCAGGGUCAAAUCUCUUCAACGUCAGGAGAAGAAUGAUUUCUUCAUCAGUUGGGUGGAAUCUGAACCCCACGAGACUGUCCAUUAAUUUCGGAUUCAACACCCAGCUGGAGAAACGUAAGAGUAAGAGUGAGAGAGUAAGAGCUUCUUCAAUAUAAUUUGACCUGUGAAAUCUAAAAGGAUUCGUGGAAAUGCUGGGUAUUGUAAAAUGUAGAAUAGUAUUUUUUUUGUUAAAAAGGAAAUUGAUAAUUUUUUUUACAACUGUAGUUCUUUUAAUGCUUUUAAUAAAUUUCAUUAAAAGAAAUAAAGUUAGCCGAGAGUAUAAUAAUAAGUGACAUUGUGUUUAAGUACAAUGGGUUAAAUCGGAUUUAAAUACAGCACUUAAAUUUCUUGUGGAAGAAACGAAGACACGAAUGUCUAAUAUUUUUAUGACAGCAGUAACAACAUAUUAAAAAAAAGGGGUCCAGCUAUGUUACUCACGGGUUUGGUACCUUUUUCGUCUUUCAAAUCACUUGGAUUUAAUACUAGAGUUGUAUAACGCUUAAAUGUAUUUAUUAGGUUAUUAAUAUUAAAUGUCCCUGUUGUUUAUGUAAAAUAAAAAUAAUAAAAAAUUUUAAAUUUUUAAUAUGUAAGUCCAUAGUAUUUUAAAUUUUUUUACACUAUUGAACUAAGUUUCUAAUUAAAUGAUUUAUUCUUACAUUUAUUAAUAUAUAUUUAAAUUAAUACAUUCUCUUAUUAAUUAACAACUUAAUUAAUUUAAUAUAUAGUUAAACAUUGUAUAUUAUUUACUAACCAUUAUUGACAAUAUAUAUAUAUAUAUAUAUAUAUAUAUAUAUUUAACAUAAUAACAACAAAUUUCCUUUCACUCAUGUGAGACUGUGAGUAAUGUUCAAACAUUGUAUCUUUUUUUUUUUUCUCUAACACAAGAGAUUCUACUAUCUUAAAUAGAUAAAAUGCACAAAAUAUGAAAAUGAAUUUAAUUUCAUAUUCCAUAUAAAUAAUGUUUUAUUAUUUUCUUGUAACAUAAUAUUUAUUUAACAUACUAUCAAUUAUUCGAUUAUGUAGAAAAAUAUAUUAAUUUACUACUAAUAAUAAAGUGUUAGUUUAUUAAUUCGUAAAAUCAUUUUUGUUCAUUUAAACAAGGAUUUUGUAUUUUUGGUUGAGUUUUUGCCCUUAAACAAAAGAAUAAAUCUUAACAAUUACUCUANNNNNNNNNNNNNNNNNNNNNNNNNNNNNNNNNNNNNNNNNNNNNNNNNNNNNNNNNNNNNNNNNNNNNNNNNNNNNNNNNNNNNNNNNNNNNNNNNNNNUAAAUAUUUCUUUAUUAUUUUUUGUAAUUAAAAAUAUGAGUAAUAAUUUUGUUUUAUUAUUCUGUUUCUAUAUUGAAAAUAAUUUUAACCACUUUUUAAUAUUAAUCAUUUUAGGAAAUUAAAUAAAAAAAUUUGUGUAAAACACAUUAAUUAGAUUUUCAUAUUACAAAAUACAUAGUGAUUUAUAAUAAAAAUUAAAUAUCCAUGUCUACCCUUGGAUAUCCAUAUUCAUAUUGGAUAAUUAAGUAUUUACACAUAGAUGGCUAAUAACUAUAGCCAUAUGAAUUUUGUCAUCUUUAAUUGACAAGUAUAUGACCAAUUAAAUAAUUAUUUCAAACUUACCAUUCAAAAUUUUUUUUUGGUUAUAUUUUUGUUGGAUUAAUGGCUAAGUGCUGGAAAACACAAAACAACACCAUGGCCUUGACCAAUUUUUUAUUUUUUAGAUUGAUAGUGAAAUGUAUUUCUUUCUUUUUUUCCUUCAAUUCUAGCAAUUUAUGCAUUUGUUUCUCUACAUAUAUUGCAAUACCAAAAAAAAAAACUUAUAUUGUCCAAAUUGAUAAGUUUGCGAAGUCAGAAUAUUGUGUUCAUAUCGAAAGGUGCUUCCGAAAGAGAUUGUAGCUUCCAAAAGCAUCACAACAAUUAAAAAGUUUUAGGUGCAGGACUAAUGUCUGAAAAUAAAAAAGAUUUUAGCCUUUUUUUUAACAAAUAAAUGGACUCUACUAUAAUUGAUCUUGAAAAAGAUUAAAAAAAAAGGUACGAAACCUAUGUGGCAACAUAGUUUUGGGCAUACAAAAAGUGAAUUAUCAAUACUAUUAAUUCUUAAAAAAAAAUCAACAUACUAAGAUCUAACAAAGUCCAAUCGCCACUUAGAUUUUAACCCAGUGGUGAAUCACUAUUCUCAAAGUAAAAAAGAACUAUGAGGGUAAUGGUUUGAAUGUUCAUAGACUCAACUUUCCUCAAUUAAGUAAAAAAUUAUGUAGAAUUAAUUUAUAAGUCUUUCUACCUUACAAAAUGCGAGUGAAAUAGAAAAAUCCCUCGUCUGUGAGGGUCAUAUACCUGGACAUGUAUUUCAUAGAAUUAAAUUAAUAAUGUAAGUCCCAAAUUAUAUAUUUAAUUAUAAAUAUCAGUGUAAAGUUUACUAUAAUAAUAGUUAUAAAUAUCUGUGUAAUAUAAUAAUCUGAUAUGUAAUCAGUGUUAAAAAAGAAAAAGUCCAAUCCAGAAAAACCUCAACAUAAUGCUAAUAAAUAAAACACAAUAUUAUCACCGGAUCAUAAUAGAAGAAAUCAGAAGUAAAUAUUUAUGAAUUUAAUGAACUAACAAAAUACUUAAAAAGUAAAAUAAAAUCAUAAAAAAUCAAUAAAACCAAAAAAAAAUCAUUAGAAAAUUUUCACAUAGAGCCCUCAUCUUAGGUCAUUGGAAACUUGACAAACCACUACUAAAAUCCAUCUACAACUCCAAAACAAGCAUAACUUCCUAAUCAAUAAUUCACGUCAGCAUAUGACUCAAGGGACAUUUAAUUUGAUGUGGCAAAAUGUGGCAGAUGACUCAGCUUAUACCAGAAUCCGCCUCGAGUAGAGAGGUUAAGAUCAUUCAAUUGACAUUGUGUUUAAGUACAAUGGGUUAAAUCGGAUUUAAAUACAGCACUUAAAUUUCUUGUGGAAGAAACGAAGACACGAAUGUCUAAUAUUUUUAUGACAGCAGUAACAACAUAUUAAAAAAAAGGGGUCCAGCUAUGUUACUCACGGGUUUGGUACCUUUUUUUCGUCUUUUUCAAAUUCACUUUGGAUUUAAUACUAGAGUUGUAUAACGCUUAAAUGUAUUUAUUAGGUUAUUAAUAUUAAAUGUCCCUGUUGUUUAUGUAAAAUAAAAAUAAUAAAAAAUUUUAAAUUUUUAAUAUGUAAGUCCAUAGUAUUUUAAAUUUUUUUACACUAUUGAACUAAGUUUCUAAUUAAAUGAUUUAUUCUUACAUUUAUUAAUAUAUAUUUAAAUUAAUACAUUCUCUUAUUAAUUAACAACUUAAUUAAUUUAAUAUAUAGUUAAACAUUGUAUAUUAUUUACUAACCAUUAUUGACAAUAUAUAUAUAUAUAUAUAUAUAUAUAUAUAUAUAUAUAUUUAACAUAAUAACAACAAAUUUCCUUUCACUCAUGUGAGACUGUGAGUAAUGUUCAAACAUUGUAUCUUUUUUUUUUUUCUCUAACACAAGAGAUUCUACUAUCUUAAAUAGAUAAAAUGCACAAAAUAUGAAAAUGAAUUUAAUUUCAUAUUCCAUAUAAAUAAUGUUUUAUUAUUUUCUUGUAACAUAAUAUUUAUUUAACAUACUAUCAAUUAUUCGAUUAUGUAGAAAAAUAUAUUAAUUUACUACUAAUAAUAAAGUGUUAGUUUAUUAAUUCGUAAAAUCAUUUUUGUUCAUUUAAACAAGGAUUUUGUAUUUUUGGUUGAGUUUUUGCCCUUAAACAAAAGAAUAAAUCUUAACAAUUACUCUAUUUGAAAAUAAUUUAAAUAUUUCUUUAUUAUUUUUUGUAAUUAAAAAUAUGAGUAAUAAUUUUGUUUUAUUAUUCUGUUUCUAUAUUGAAAAUAAUUUUAACCACUUUUUAAUAUUAAUCAUUUUAGGAAAUUAAAUAAAAAAAUUUGUGUAAAACACAUUAAUUAGAUUUUCAUAUUACAAAAUACAUAGUGAUUUAUAAUAAAAAUUAAAUAUCCAUGUCUACCCUUGGAUAUCCAUAUUCAUAUUGGAUAAUUAAGUAUUUACACAUAGAUGGCUAAUAACUAUAGCCAUAUGAAUUUUGUCAUCUUUAAUUGACAAGUAUAUGACCAAUUAAAUAAUUAUUUCAAACUUACCAUUCAAAAUUUUUUUUUGGUUAUAUUUUUGUUGGAUUAAUGGCUAAGUGCUGGAAAACACAAAACAACACCAUGGCCUUGACCAAUUUUUUAUUUUUUAGAUUGAUAGUGAAAUGUAUUUCUUUCUUUUUUUCCUUCAAUUCUAGCAAUUUAUGCAUUUGUUUCUCUACAUAUAUUGCAAUACCAAAAAAAAAAAACUUAUAUUGUCCAAAUUGAUAAGUUUGCGAAGUCAGAAUAUUGUGUUCAUAUCGAAAGGUGCUUCCGAAAGAGAUUGUAGCUUCCAAAAGCAUCACAACAAUUAAAAAGUUUUAGGUGCAGGACUAAUGUCUGAAAAUAAAAAAGAUUUUAGCCUUUUUUUUAACAAAUAAAUGGACUCUACUAUAAUUGAUCUUGAAAAAGAUUAAAAAAAAAGGUACGAAACCUAUGUGGCAACAUAGUUUUGGGCAUACAAAAAGUGAAUUAUCAAUACUAUUAAUUCUUAAAAAAAAAUCAACAUACUAAGAUCUAACAAAGUCCAAUCGCCACUUAGAUUUUAACCCAGUGGUGAAUCACUAUUCUCAAAGUAAAAAAGAACUAUGAGGGUAAUGGUUUGAAUGUUCAUAGACUCAACUUUCCUCAAUUAAGUAAAAAAUUAUGUAGAAUUAAUUUAUAAGUCUUUCUACCUUACAAAAUGCAAGUGAAAUAGAAAAAUCCCUCGUCUGUGAGGGUCAUAUACCUGGACAUGUAUUUCAUAGAAUUAAAUUAAUAAUGUAAGUCCCAAAUUAUAUAUUUAAUUAUAAAUAUCAGUGUAAAGUUUACUAUAAUAAUAGUUAUAAAUAUCUGUGUAAUAUAAUAAUCUGAUAUGUAAUCAGUGUUAAAAAAGAAAAAGUCCAAUCCAGAAAAACCUCAACAUAAUGCUAAUAAAUAAAACACAAUAUUAUCACCGGAUCAUAAUAGAAGAAAUCAAAAGUAAAUAUUUAUGAAUUUAAUGAACUAACAAAAUACUUAAAAAGUAAAAUAAAAUCAUAAAAAAUCAAUAAAACCAAAAAAAAAUCAUUAGAAAAUUUUCACAUAGAGCCCUCAUCUUAGGUCAUUGGAAACUUGACAAACCACUACUAAAAUCCAUCUACAACUCCAAAACAAGCAUAACUUCCUAAUCAAUAAUUCACGUCAGCAUAUGACUCAAGGGACAUUUAAUUUGAUGUGGCAAAAUGUGGCAGAUGACUCAGCUUAUACCAGAAUCCGCCUCGAGUAGAGAGGUUAAGAUCAUUCAAUUGGCAGUGGUCUUGACUGAUUUCUAAAUAUCUCUUUUGAAAUAAUUCCUUAUGAUUUAGUUUUAUAAUAUUACUAGGAAAUAGAACCACAUUUCGUGCGGUUUUAAAAAAAAAUUUUGGCCUAAUUUUUUUUAUUAUUUUGCACUUGAUAAAACUGAUAAAAAAUAUGAAUUAUUUUUUUUAAAGAUGACGUAGCUUUAUAAAACUAAUGUUAUUUAUGAAAGUUAAUUAUUUUUUUGUUAAUAUUAAAAAUAUAUAUUAAUGUGUAUAAUUAAGUGUACACAACCUUUUUAUCAAUAAAAAUUAUGUUCACAUUAAUCAACUCUCCAUUUUUUUUUUUGUAUUAACAGACUCCCACAUCUUACAAAGUCUAACUCUUAUCAUCCAACUAUCUUUAUCAUUGUUUAACUCAUGAAGAAAAGAGUACUCUAUGAAACACACAAUACUAAAAAUUUAAAUAAGUUAAAAAAUAAAAACACAAGAACAUUUCUAAAGAGGAUGUUGGUUAAAUAAAAAAAAAAACCCCAAACAUAACAAAUCUUAAAUGCUUAAUAUUUAUAGAGUUUGAAGAAGCCAAAAGACACUAAAUAAAAUGUUGCAUAAUUAAAUAUGAGAUUAUGACAUUAAAAUUAGGUCCUAGUGGCAUUGAUGAGGAAAGAUGAAGGAACAUUCCUUCCUAUAUUAAUUAGUUGAUGUAUUUUAAACCACUAAAAUUUAGUUGUUGGCUUAAUAAAAUAAAUGAAUGAUGUAAAACUUAUAAUUAAUUUAUUAUUAAUGGUUACAUAUUGUUGAAUUUAAAUAAAAAGAGGAAGAGACAUGUAAUCUUUUGUAAUCUAUUAAUUAUUUUCUAUUUUUAAUAUUUUGUAAUGUAAUCAUUUUUUAAUCUCAACCAAUAUAUUAGAUAAUAGAGAAUAUAAAAAGAUGAGAAAUAAUAAUGCCACAAAUCUUAACUACUUAAUACUUAUAGAGUUUGAAGAAGCCAAAAGGCACUAAACAAAAUGUUGCAUAAUUAAAUAUGAAAUUAUAGCAUUAAAAUUAGACCCUAAUGGCAUUGUUGAGGGAAGAUGAAGGAACAUUCCUUUCGAUAUUAAUUAAUUGAUAUAUUUAAGCCACUAAAGUUUAAUUGUUGGCAUAAUAAAAUAAAUAAAUGUUUCAAGAUUUAUAAUUAAUUAUUAUUACUGGUUACAUAUUAUUGAAUUUAAAUAGAAAGAGGAAGAGACAUGUAAUCUUUUAUAAUCUAAUAAUUAUUUUUUAUUUUUAAUAUUUUGUAAAGUAAUUAUUUUUUAAUUUCAACCAAUUUAUUAGAUAAUAGAGAAUAUGAAAUAAUGAGAAAUGGUGAUGCCACAUCACCUCUUGUAGUCCCAACUUUAUAGAUAGAUAUAUAGAUAGAUAGAUAGAUAUAGAUUUUUAAUAUUUUGUAAUGUAAUUAUUUUUAAAUCUCAAUCACUAUAUUAGAUAAUAGAGAAUAAAAAAAGAUGAAAAAUAAUGAUGCCACAAAUCUUAAAUAUUUAAUGUUUAUGGAGUUUGAAUAAGCCAAAAGGCACUAAACAAAAGAUUGAAUAAUUAAAUAUGAGAUUAUGACAUUAAAAUUAGGCUCUAAUGGCAUUGUUGAGGGAAGAUGAAGGAACCUUCCUUCCUAUAUUAAUUAAUUGAUGUAUUUUAAGCCACUAAAAUUUAAUUGUUGGCAUAAUAAAAUAAAUAAAUGUUUCAAGACUUAUAAUUAAUUAUUAUUAAUGGUUACAUAUUGUUGAAUUUAAAUAGAAAUAGGAAAAGACAUGUAAUCAUUUAUAAUCUAAUAAUUAUUUUCUAUUUUAAUAUUUUUUAAUUUCAACCAAUUUAUUAGAUAAUAGAGAAUAUGAAAUGAUGAGAAAUGGUGAUGCCACAUCACUUCUUGUAGUCCCAACUUUAUAUAUAUAUAUAGAUAUAUAGAUUCUCUUUCAGUAAUUUUUUUAGACAUUAAUAAAAAAAUUAAACUAAAAAUAAAAUAAAAAUAUUAUAUAUUAAUUUUUUUCAAAUAUAUUACUAAAGAGUUAAUAUAUAAUUUUUUUAUUAAUGUUUAAAAAAAUUGGUAAUUUAAUUUUUUUACAAGAUUAAUUUUUUUAGACAUAAGUGAGCUUCCACAAAAAAAUUACAUAUUCUUUUUGUUUUUAUUUUAUUUUUGAAGUUAAAUUGAUAAUUUGAUUUUUCAUUAAUAUCUAAAAAAAUUAUUUUAAAAGAGUAAUAUUAUAAAAGUAAGCUAAAAGAAACAGAAUGUAAAGGCAGGAAUAUCAAUAGUUUAACAAGGAUGUUUUGAGUUAUUUUUAAAAUUAUGAGCACUAACAUCAAAAUAUAAGGACUAAAUUAGCAUUUACCAUUUCUAAAAAUUUGUUUUAAAAUACAGGUUUUGUUAGCUCGGUAUUUAAAUUUUAGCGUUGAAAAAAAAAAUUCUUUGGAUAUUAGUAAGCACUUUUAAAAAAAUGUAUUUUCAUUAAUGUGUUUUCAAAAAUGUACUUUCAAAAAUGUGUUUUCAGAAUCAAUUUUAAUAAAUCUGAAAUGGCCAAUUUUAUCUUCAAAAUCAUUUCACUAGCUUUCUAUUAACUCUAUGGAGACUAUUUUUUUUUAAGUUUACUAUACACAGAUGUUAUUGAUAUUACAUCAGAUAUUAUAAUUAAUAUUUACAAUCAUUCUAUAUAAUUGGGAUCACCGUCAUAUAUUAACAUACUGAAGCACUUGCCCAUAUAUUUUAAAUCCUCUCUAAUAUUCUAGGGGUACCUACUCCACUCAUAUUUCGUAAAGGAAAAUUUUGUAAGGGAGAUACUGUCUCCAUUCAAUUAUGUUGAUAAUUGAGGGAGUACUAAAAUUAAUCCCAUAAAACUUUUAUAGAAAUUCAAACUCUUACACUCAACAUUGUAAGUGUAUAACUUUUCCCAUUGAAUCAAAUGCCCAUUGGUUACUCGGUGUAGACCAUUGGAAGGGGAUUAUGAGGAGCACAGAGUAGCUGCAGUUGUACAUCACCCAUCUUGGGGUACCAGAAACAGUCUUUAAUAUAUGUAUUCCAAUAAAUUGAAAUAAGCAGUGCUAUGCGCAUUUUUAUCUCUUGUUUCUGCUUUAUUACUUGUUUCUUUAAAGUAAAUAAGUCACCUUUCUGAAGGAGCAACUUCAGUCAUCCGGGAUGGGGUUCAUUUUAUCUCUUGUUUUUGCUUUUCAAUAUGUGAAAAUUAUUUAAGCUUCAAAGCCAACAAUGAACUGCUUGACUAACAUCUUUGUAUUAUUUACAAGGAUGCUCGGAGAUUGUUAGAGAAGCCAACAAAAAGGUGUCAUACAUACAUGAAUGAAAUGGUUCUCAUCACAAGAAUUUUUAACAUCAUAUAUAAAUGGAUUAUGGAUCUUUUGUUUGAUAUUUCAGUUAAUCAGUAAAUUUCUUUGAUGAGCAAGACUAAAUGUUUAUCUAAUAUUCCCGAUAUGUUAAAAAUACAAUCUUUUCUUUUCCCUUAGAAUAAAACCACUUUCAAUUCAAAGAAGAAAAUAGGUACAUCAGUCGCGAAGGGUACAAGCCCAAAACAACAGUUUCACAUUUCUAUAGAGCAGAUUUAACUAAAGAUUGGGCAAUAACAUUACAAAAUCUAUGCAUACUGGACAGCAGCAUGAUCCCCUCAUUACGUUCUGAAUUCUGAGAUAACCCAGAAAAUCUCGGACCUGCUGCCUUGCCUUUAGAUUACAAAAUUAACAACCUCUUGGGUGUAAAAACUACUCUCAAAGAAUACAAGGCUUGGAAUAAAAUACACCAUAAGUGAAACAAUAUUACAACAUUCAUAAUGAUCUAAUAUCCUCCUUGAGGAUUUGAUAGUUCUUAACAUAUGCCACUGACGGAAGAUUGAUAGUCAAAGACUAUGUUUACCCAUUCAUUGAAGGAUUCGGUUUCAGGGUUCGCGUCACUGCCAUCCUCCACGUAAACUCCUUCAUCUGACUUUGAUUUGAAGAAGUCCGGAGUGGUCUCUCCAGUCUCCUCAGGAGAGUAUUCAUUCUGAAAAUCCCUCCGUGAACUGAACCGGACAUCUACCUGCCCACCGUCCAACUGAGAAUUCAAUAAACCGCUACCACAACUAGAACCAUUACAAUCUGAUGAUUCCUGUUCUGGAUAAUCUGAUGACUGCACAGCCGAGACAGACGUGUCAUUCCGUCCAUCAAAGCCAUCACCCCGUCGAUUGAGUUCUGCAAGCCGUCGAGUUUCUGCCUCAACAGAAUCUUCGACCAUUUUUUCUGCAACAUGAUUUCUGUAACAAGAAAUCGAAUGGUCCCUUCCCUGAGGUUCAGGGACCAAACCAAUAUUUUCUGCAACAUGAUUCCUAGUAGAAACCAAAUUUACUUUUUCUGCAACAUGAUUUCUAUUAGUAUCUUCUGCAACGUGACUUCUUUUAGAAGUCAAAUUUUGACAAGAUUGAUCACCAUCGCUGGUGGAAACACCAAGCUUCUUGUCCCGUUUUCUCUUAGUAGAAACAACACCAAGCGUCUUCGUCUCCCGUUUUCUCUUAGUGGAAACAACACCAAGCGUUUUCUUCUCCCGUUUUCUUUCAAGGCGACACACAACAAAGUCCUUCUGCAAUAACACGAACAGAGUAUUUUACAAUUAUUUUUCACGAAAAUAAACAGACUGUUUCACAACACAUAUGCAGUUCUAAAACAGAGGCUAAUACCUUAUAAUCAGGGCUAUCUUCAACAGCUAUCUCGUGUAUAACCCACUCAGUCUUAUCUUUCUCGGCAGCAGCAUCAUCGCGGGAAAAAGACAAAAUCUUCUUCGUACCAAUCACCUCAGUUUUGUAUUUGCGCUUGAUGUUAGAACCUCUGCCAGUCUUUUUCCAGUAGCCUUCCUUUGUUCUUCUAUGUACCCGUUUACUCUUGGUAUACUUAUAAUAAGGCUCACAGAAAAAGUACCACACUUCUUCCUCAGACUGAAUGUCAGAAUGCCCUGCAUCGCAACAAAAGAUUCCAUUAACUUCUGAAUUCUAGUUACUGAACUAAUUAAUUAAUCUUAAACAGACAUCGUGUAGAGUACUUGGUUUACACGAUUACUUACAGGGUAGCUCCCAGGGCUCAAAGCUGUAGAGAUCGAUUUCCUUGAUCGUACGGACGGAGAAACCUGCAGGGUCACGUCUCUUCAUCGUCAGGAGAAGAAUAAUUUCUUCAUCAGUUGGGUGGAAUCUGAACCCCACGAGACUGUCCAUUAAUUUCUGAUUCAACACACGGCAGGAGAAACGUAGAACAAGAAUGAGAGAGUAAGAGCUUCUACUAUCCAAUUUGGUCUGCAAUAAGGGGAGAGCCAUGGGAUGUGGUUAUAUAGGCAGCAGAAAGGCUUGACUUAAUUUCUACGCGAUGUGCUACAGUGCCAGGGGAAGUAAGGUUCGUGGAAACAAUGGUUGUGAUAUUUGUGAAAUGUAGAAUUGUAUUUUUUCAAAAAGAAAUUAAUAAUUUUUUAAAGAAAUAAAGUUGGCCAAAAGUAUAAUAAUAAGUGACACCAUCGGGUUUAAAUAUAGGGAAAAAGACAUUCAACCCCCUACGUUUAAGAAAAUGGAUAAAAAAUUUCUCAAUAUUUUAAAAAAGAUUUAUAAAUUUUUUUUUGUUAUCAAACACGGUUUAUUUUAACAGUAAAUUUAUUUUUAAUUUUUAAUUAUUAUUAUACCCUUAUAAUAAAAAAAUUAAUAUAUUAAUUUAAGAUAUAUCACAAUUUUUUAUAAAUUUUAAAUUGAGAUACAAUUAUUUUUUUGCCAAAAUUAUUUACUAUAAAUUAUACAUUUCUAACAAUAAUAAUAUCAUUUUGAUUCCUCAAAGAAAAAUGGUUUAAUCAAAUUUCGUUUUAUUAAUAAUAAUCACAUAUGAAAGUUUUGAUCAUUAGAAAUGUAUAAUUUAUAGCAAAUAAUUUGGAAAAAAAUGUAAUUGUAUCUCAAUUUUUAGUUUUAAAAAAAUUAUUAAUUGUGACAUGUCUCAAAUCAAUAUAUUAAUUUAUAUUUAUUAUAAGAGUAUAAUAGUAAUUAAAAAUUAAAAAUAAAUUUACUGUUAAAACAAACGAUGUUUAUUAACGGAAAUGAGGUUAUAAGUCCUUUUUGAAACGUUGAGGAAUUUUUUAUCCCCUUUUUUAAACGUUGGGGGGUUGAAUGUCCUUUUCCCUUAAAUAUAUUAUGUUAUAUCAGAUUUAAAUACAACACUUAAAUUCUGGAAGAAUCUAAGACUCAAGUGACCAAUAUUUUUAUGACAGUAAUAACAACAUAUAUUAAAAAAGUGAACUAUCAAUACUAUCAAUUUUUUACAAUUAAAAGAAAAAAAAUGUUUUACAUAGUAGAUCUAAUAAGGUCUGAUUGAAAAAAAAAUGCAACAUAGUGCUAAUAAAUGAAACACAACAUAAUCACCCAAUCAUAAUAAAAAAUCUCAAAUUAAAUAUCUGUAAGUUUAAUGAACUAACAAAAUACUAAAAAGGUAAAAUAAAAUAAAAUAAAAGUUCAUCCGGUAGAAUCUUAUUAUUUUUUCCAAAAACAAGAGUAAAGUUUAUCCGGUUUUCGUGGUACCCAAGUAGCCUAAGACCCCACAAGGCCAUCGCCACUUUCCUUUUUGACUCUGCUUUUACAGUUACGCGUCACCCUCCCUGCUUCAUCACAAAUCACAAUCCAGCUACAGAAAAUCUAGAAUUUUCUGCUACUUUGAUUUAAAGCACUCUAUUUAUAAUUUAUGGGGCUUUGCUAGCUUACAGAUUCUGUAAGCUACAGACUGCAUCAGCCGUUGGAUGUGGAGUGAGAAAUAAAACAAUAGAAAAUGGGAUAGUAGGAUGGUGGGAGAUGUUAGCCCAUUUUUACCAUAACACUAAAACUAACACUAAAUUAUAUUUUAUAUUAUUUUAGUGUAAAAUAUUUUUUUAAUAUAAUACCAAAAUCAAUUUUAAAAUAGUGUUAUGUUUAAUAUUGUACUAAAUAUGGUAUAAAACUAUUCAUUUGAUGUUAGAAAAAAAAAUCUCAAAUAUUCUUAUUAUUAUCUUUUAUUUACAUAUAUGUCCUAUUUUAUAUAAUAUUUUAAAUUAUUAUUAUUAUUUUUUUAUUUUUUUUAUUUUUUUUUUAAUUUUUGAUUAUUAUACUAAUAAUUUAAAUAAAAAAUAUUCAACACAAAAAUUAAUAAUAAAAAUAAAAUGCCAAUAACAUUAAUUACUAGAUUACAUAUUACAAAAUAAAAUUAACAUAAAUUAAAAAAGCUACUACUACUAGCAUAAAUUGGAACAAUUAUUUAAUAAUCUGGGAGAUCAUUAUUAGAUCUUCUAAUAUCAUCAAAAUAUUGGCCAAUAUUAUUGGCAAUAUUUUGAGAUGAUUGGCCUUACUGAGAUAUUCUCUGCAAAAUCUUAAUUUGUUCAUUUUGAAAAAUAUUGACGUAAGUUAGGAUCACUUAUCGAAUUUAAAUUUUUAAGUAAAAUUUUAUUUUCUUCACGAUGUGACCAUCUCCAAUUUUUUUUUCUCAUUUUGGGCUCGUAUCAUUUGAAUUUAAUAAUUUUAUUGCCUAUCUUCACUACCUUUUUUAAGAAUUUCAUGAAGUUGUCGAUUGUCUUCUUUAAUAGUAUCAAUAACUAGUGAAUUUUGAUCUUCAACUUUCCUUUUUCCUUUUGCCUUCUUUACUCCAAUGGGUCGUUGAGUAGAACAAUCGUCAACAUGCUCAUCAUUUAUAUUUAGUGAAAAUGAUAAUAGACCAAGAGAUGCUGAUGUUGGAGACUCCGGAGCGAGAGAAUCUGAUUGUGAUGACACAAAUUCGCUACUUUGCCUUCGAAAGCAUGGUGUUGCGAUGCUAUGAUCAUCUCCAAAAUUUUCAAUAUCUUUAAGGAUAGGCCAUACAUGAUCAAAUUUGAACCCUUUAUUGUAUUUCUUAUCUUGUGCCAGUAACACAUUCGCUCGAUUUAGCUACAGAAUAAUGUAAUUAGAAUGUUAUAUAUAAAAUAAGUGUAAGAUAAAAAUAGUAAAGAUGUAAUAUAAGUUUACAAUAUCUUGUUCAGAAGCACCGCUUGGAUUUUGAUUUUCAAUUUGUUGAACGCAUCCCCUCAGUUUGCCAAUUGCAGCUAGAAUACUUUGCAUUUGUUUUUGCAAAGAUAUUCGUGGUCGAACUUGAGUGGUGAACUCCAGUUUAGAAUUAUUGUAUUCAAUUUCAACUCGAGACCAAAAUGCAUCUCGAGAUUGAUUUAUACCAACAAUAGGGUUUUGGGAAAUAUCAAGAUAUAUAUGACAUAAGUGUAUAUCUUCUUCAUGGGUGUAUGAAGUACUUCUUGGAGUUAGAGCCAUUUUAUAGAAUAAAUGGUUGAAGAGAUAUGUUUGAGUGAAGUGAAGUUUACAAUGGUAUUUAUAGAUGAAAAAGAAACAUAUCUAAUAGAUGAAAAUAAGUGAAAUCCAUCCAACAAUUGGUAUUGAAUAUGAGAGAAUCAUUAUUUUUAAAUUUUGAAUAAUGUGUAGAUAUGAUAAAAUUGGGUAAAAGUUAAUCUAAUUGAUGAAAAUAAGUGAAAUCCAUCCAACGGUUGGUAUUGAAUAUGAGAGAAUCAUUAUCUUUAAAUUUUGAAUUAUGUGUAGAUAUGAUAAGAUUGGGUAAAAGUAAAUCUAUUAUAAAAAUGAUAUAUUUAUGUGUACUAAAGCUCAUUCAAUUUACAUAUCUUUGAAAAUGAAUUUCAAUAUUGGAAGUUCAUCUCAGCACUUAUCAUAUUCUUCAUCUUCUUCAAAUUCUGAUGUUGAAAAUGAUGAUGAUGUAAACCUAAUAAAUGAUAUUGAGGCGAUCAAUGUACAUGAAGAAGUGAUAAUUAGCAUGACUUCAAACAACAAUAUUUGCAUGGUUUACUAUCUCAAUCAACUAAACAACAAAGUGAUCCAUAAUGGUUCAGUUACAGGUCAUUUAAUAAUCAACCGCAAUCAUGAAAUGGCUAAUCGUAAUCUGUUCAACGACUACUUCUCAAAGAACCCGCGUUUCAAUGAUUCAAUGUUUUGCCGUCGAUUUAGAAUGUCUCAAAGUUUAUUCAAUCGUAUUACUAAUGCCGUACAAGGUCAUGACAACUAUUUUAUGCAGCAAAGGGAUGGCGUCGACAGACUUGGGUUAUCUGGUCUUCAAAAAAUCACUGUUAUAUUUCGGAUGUUGGCAUAUGGCAUGCCAAUAGAUGCUAGUGAUGAGUAUAUUAAAAUUGGAGAGUCUACAACAAUUGAAAGUUUAAAGAUAUUCUGUCGUGCAAUUGUGGAAGUUUUUGCAGAGCAAUAUCUUAGAUCACCCAACACUAAUGACGCCGCUAGGCUACUCCAUGUUCGUAAAGAGUGUGGUUUUUCAGGAAUAUUAGGCAGCCUAGAUUACAUGCAAUGGAAGUAGAAAAGUUAUCCAACAGCUUGGGCCGGACAAUAUGCUGGUCGUAGUGGAACCCCAACUAUUUAUUCUGGAGGCUGUAGUUUAUUAUGAUAUUUGGAUAUGGCAUGCACAUUUUGGUUUGCCUGGUUCAAAUAAUGACAUUAAUGUAUUGGAGGCAUCCCAUCUUUUUGCCAACCUCGCUUCAGGUAUUACUCCUCCUGCUCAUUAUUCAUUAAAGGGAAUGAAUAUAAUAUGGGUUAUUAUUUAGCUGAUGCUAUCUACCCAAAAUGGUCUACUCUUAUACAAACGAUCCAUGAUCUACGUGGUCCUAAAAAGAAAUUAUUUGACAUGAGAUAAGAAGCAUAUCAGAAAGAUGUAAAACGUGCAUUUGAAGUCCUUCAAUCUCAUUUUGCAAUUGUUGCUGGACCAUUACGUUUUUGGAACAAACAUGAGUUACAUGAUAUAAUGACUGCCUGCAUUAUUAUACACAAUAUGAUAAUCGAAGAUGAACGUGAUGUUAAUGCAACAAUUAAUGAUUGGAUGCAAGCGCCAAUACCAACCGUUGCUAUGAGGGUAGAUGAGAAUAUUAGAUUUCAAGAAUUUCUUGCUCGACACAAACAAAUCAAGGAUAAAGAGGCUCACACUGCACUCUGAAAUCCACUAAUUGAUCAUUUAUGGAUAAAUUUAGUAAUUCGAAUAACUAAAGUAUUAUUAUUGUUAUUGUAUUUUUCUAUAUUAAUUUAUUGUUUAAUUUUCAGAAUGUACUAAUUAAGUUAAUUAAAUGCAAAUUUAAUAAUUUUCUAUAUAUUUUUUUGUUAAUCGAUUAAAAUUACUUAUUACUUAAUUAUCUAUAUUAAUAGUAAUAUUUAUUGUGUUAAUUAAAUUAAUUCUUGAGAAUUAAAAGAAUAAAAAGAAGAAUAUUCUUUUUAGUGUAAAUAGGUUGGAGAUGAAAUAAUAAUUUGGUGUGAAAAAGGUACAUUUUUUGUGUUGGUGUUACACCAAAAUAGUAUUAAGCAUUGGAGAUACCCUUAGUCACAGAGCUGCACCGUAGACAGGUUUUAAUUUAUGAUUAAUGUUUUAUUAUUUUCUUGUAACAUAAUAUUUAUUUCACAUACUAUUAAUUAUUUGAUAAUGUAGAAAAAUAUAUUAAUUUACUACUAAUAAUAAAGUGUUAGUUUAUCAAUUCGUAAAAUCAUUCUGUUCAUUUGAACAAGAAUUUUGUACUUUUAGUUGAGUUUUUGUCCUUAAAUAAAAAGAAUAAAUCUUAACAAUUACUCUAUUUGAAAAUAAUUUAAAUAUUUCUUUUUUUGUAAUUAAAAAUAAGAGUAAUAAUUUUGUUUUAUUAUUUUCUUUCUAUAUUGAAAAUAAUUUUAAUUACCUUUUAAUAUUAAUCAUUUUAGGAAAUUAAAUAAAAAAUAAGAAUUUUUUAUGUAAAACACAUUAAUUAGUUUUUCAUAUUAUAAAAUACAUAGUGAUUUAUAAUAAAAAUUAAAUAUCCAUGUCUACCCUUAAAUAACCAUAUUCAUAUUGGAUAAUUAUGUUUUUACACAUAGAUGGCUAAUAAUUAUAGCCAUCUAAAUUUUGUCAUCCUUAAUUAACAAGGAUAUGACCAAUUAAAUAAUUAUGUCAAACUUACCAUUCAAUUUUGUUUUGUGUUAUAUUCUUGUCGGAUUAAUGGUUAAGUGAUGGAAAACACAAAACAACACCAUGGCCAUGACCAAUUUUUUUAUUUUUUAGAUUGAUAGUGAAAUGGAUUUCUUUUUUUUUUUCCCUCUUCAAUUCUAGCAAAUUAUGCAUUUGUUUCUUUAUGUAUAUUGCAAAAAAAAAAAAAAACUUAUAUUGUCCAAAUGACAAGUAUGUGAUGCCAUAAUAUUGUGUUCAUAUCAACAUCUUCAGAAGGUGCUUCUGAAAUAGAUUGUAGCUUCCAAAAGCAUCACAGCAAUUGAAAAAUUUUAGGUGCAGGACUAAUAUGUGAAAAUAAAAAAGUCUUUAGCCUUUUUCAAAACAAAUAAAUGGACUCUACUAUAAUUGACAUUGAAAAAGGCAAAAAAAAGGGUACGAAACUUUUGUGGCAAUAUAGUUUUGACCAUAAAAAAGGGAAUUAUCAAUAAGAUUAAUUCUUUAAAAUUAAAAAAAAUUCAACAUACUAAGAUCUAACAAAGUUCAAUCGCCACUUGGGCUUUAAUCCAUUGAUAAAUCACUACUCUCAAAGUUAAGAAGGACUAUAAGAGUAGUGGUUCGAAUCACUAUACGCUCAAUUUUUUUCAAUUAAGUAAACAAUUAUGUGGAAUUAAUUUGUAAAUUUUUCUCCUUUACAAAAUACAAAUAGAGUAUAGGCAUCCCUUGUAUGUGAGGGUCAUAUGUAUGAACAUGUAUUUUAUAGAAUUAAUGUAAUAAUAUAAGUUCCAAACUAUAUAUCUGAUUAUAAAUAUCAAUAUAAUGUCUGUUCUAAUAAUAAUUGUAAAUAUAUGUGUAAUAUAGGAAUCUGAUAUGUACUCAGUAUUAAAAAAAAAAAACAAAAUCUAAUCGAGAAAAACCUCAACAUAGCGCUAAUAAAUAAAACACAAUAUUAUCACCGGAUCAUAAUAGAAGAACUCAAAAGUAAAUAUCUAUGAAAAAAUUCAAAAGUAAAUAUCUAUGAAUUUAAUGAACUAACAAAAUACAAAAAAAAAAAAAUCAUAAAAAAUCAAUAAAAACACAAAAAAAUCACUAGAAAAUUCUCACACAAAAUCCUCAUCUUAGGUCAUUGGAAAUUUGACAUACCACUAUUAAAAUCCAUCUACCACUCCAAAACAAGCAUAACCUUUAGGCAUUAGAGUGACAUCAACAAAGGACAUAAUGCUAGAGCCUAGAAGCUUCUACUUCUUUCACAAGUAGUUAAUAAUUCACGUCAGCAUAUGACUCAAGGGACAUUUAAUUUGAUGUAGCAAAAUGAGGCAGAUGACUCAUCUCAUACCAGAAUCCGCCUCAAGCAGAGAGGUUAACAUCAUUCAAAUGGUAGUGGUCUUGACUGAUUUCUAAAUAUCUCUUUUGAAAUCAUUCAAUUAUUCGAGAUAUCGACUGAUUUUUAAAAGGUAACAAAAUUUAUUUAAUUUCUAUACUUUGAAGUUAGUAUUUUUAAAUUUUUAUAUAUUUUUAAAUUUUUUAAAAUAUCUUUAUCUUUAAAUUAUUGAUAUUCUAUUAUUAUUUUUUUAUUUUUUGACUUAAUUUUAUAAUAUUAUCCUCUUUCAGUAAUUUUUUAGACAUUAAUAAAAAAAAAUUAAACCAAUUUAACCCAAAAAUAAAAUAAAAAUAUUAUAUAUUAAUUUUUGUGAAAUAUAUUACUGAAGAGUUAAUUUAUAAUUUUUUUUAUUAAUGUUCAAAAAAUUGGUAAUUCGAUUUUUUUUUACAAGACUAAUUUUUUUGGACAUAGGUGAGCUUCCAAAAAAAAAUUAAAUAUUCUUUUUGUUUUUAUUUUAUUUUAUUUUUGGAGUUCAAUUGGUAAUUUAAUUUUUUUAUUAAUAUCUAAAAAAAUUAUUUUAAGAGGGUAAUAUUAUAAAAGUAAUCUAAAAUGAAUGGAAUGUAACGGCAUAAAUAUCAAUAGUUUAAUAACAAAAAUAUUUUGAAUUAUUUUUAAAAUUAUGGACACUAAUAUUAAAAUAUAUGGACUAAAUGAACAUUUAUCCUUUCUAAAAAUCUAUUUUAGAAUACAGUUUUGUUGGCUUGGUAUUUAUAUUUUACCAUUGAAAAAAAUAUUUCUUUGGAUAUUAGUCAGCACUUUUUAAAAUAUGUAUUUUCAGAAAUGUGUUUUCAAAAUCAGAAAUGUGUUUUCAAAAAUGUACUUUCAGAAAUGUGUUUUCAGAUUCAAUUUUAAUAAAUCUGGAAUGACCAAUUUUAUCUUCAAAAUCAUUUCACUAGCUUUCGAAUAAAUCCAUGUAGACCAUUGGAAGAGGAUUAUGAGGAGCGCAGAGUAGCUGUAGUUGUACAUCACCCAUCUUGGGGUACCAGAAACAGUCUUUAAUAUAUGUAUUCCAAUAAAUUGAAGGGUGAAAUAAGCAGUGCUCUGCGCAUUUUUAUCUCUUGUUUCUGCUUUAUUACUUGUUUCUUUAAAGUAAAUAAGUCACCUUUCUGAAGGAGCAACUUCAGUCACCCGGGAUGGGGUUCAUUUUAUCUCUUGUUUUUGCUUUUCAAUAUGUGAAAAUUAUUUAAGCUUCAAAGCCACAAUGAACUGCUUGACUAACAUCUUCGUAUUAUUUACAAGGAUGCUCGGAGAUUGUUAGAGAAGCCAACAAAAAGGUGUCAUACAUACAUGAAUGAAAUGGUUCCCAUCACAAGAAUUUUUAACAUCAUAUAUAAAUGGAUUAUGGAUCUUUUGUUUGAUAUUUCAGUUAAUCAGUAAAUUCUUUGAUGAGCAAGACUAAAUGUUUAUCUAAUAUUCCCGAUAUGUAAAAAAUACAAUCUUUUUUUUUACCUGAGAAUAAAACCACUUUCAAUUCAAAGAAGAAAAUAGGUACAUCAGUCGCGAAGGGUACGAGCCUAAAACAACAGUUUCACAUUUCUAUAGAGCUGAUUUAGCUAUAGAUUGGGCAAUAACAUUGCAAAAUCUAUGAGCAAACUGGACAGUAACAUGAUCCCCUCAUUAAGUUAUGAAUUCUAAGAUAACCCAGAAGAUCUCGGACUUGCUGCCUUGCCUUUUGUUUACAAAAUUAACAGCCUCUUGGGUGUAAAAACUACUCUCAAAGAAUACAAAGCUUGGAAUACAAUACACCAUAAGUGAAACAAUAUUACAACAUUCAUAAUGAUCUAAUAUCCUCCUUGAGGAUUUGAUAGUUCUUAACAUAUGCCACUGACGGAAGAUUGAUAGUCAAAGACUAUGUUUACCCAUUCAUUGAAGGAUUCGGUUUCAGGGUUCGCGUCACUGCCAUCCUCCACGUAAACUCCUUCAUCUGACUUUGAUUUGAAGAAGUCCGGAGUGGUCUCUCCAGUCUCCUCAGGAGAGUAUUCAUUCUGAAAAUCCCUCCGUGAACUGAACCGGCCAUCUACCUGCCCACCGUCAAACUGAGAAUUCAAUAAACCGCUACCACAACUAGAACCAUUACAAUCUGAUGAUUCCUGUUCUGGAUAAUCUGAUGACUGCACAGCCGAGACAGAGGCGUCAUUCCGUGCAUCAUAGCCAUCACCCAGUCGAUUGAGUUCUGCAAGCCGUCGAGUUUCUGCCUCAACAGAAUCUUCGACGAUUUUUUCUGCAACAUGAUUUCUGUAACAAGAAAUCGAAUGGUCCCUUCCCUGAGGUUCAGGGACCAAACCAAUAUUUUCUGCAACAUGAUUCCUAGUAGAAACCAAAUUUACUUUUUCUGCAACAUGAUUUCUAUUAGUAUCUUCUGCAACGUGACUUCUUUUAGAAGUCAAAUUUUGACAAGAUUGAUCACCAUCGCUGGUGGAAACACCAAGCUUCUUGUCCCGUUUUCUCUUAGUAGAAACAACACCAAGCGUCUUCGUCUCCCGUUUUCUCUUAGUGGAAACAACACCAAGCGUUUUCUUCUCCCGUUUUCUUUCAAGGCGACACACAACAAAGUCCUUCUGCAAUAACACGAACAGAGUAUUUUACAAUUAUUUUUCAAGAAAAUAAACAGACUGUUUCACAACACAUAUGCAGUUCUAAAACAGAGGCUAAUACCUUAUAAUCAGGGCUAUCUUCAACAGCUAUCUCGUGUAUAACCCACUCAGUCUUAUCUUUCUCGGCGGCAGCAUCAUCGCGGGAAAAAGACAAAAUCUUCUUCGUACCAAUCACCUCAGUUUUGUAUUUGCGCUUGAUGUUAGAACCUCUGCCAGUCUUUUUCCAGUAGCCUUCCUUUGUUCUUCUAUGUACCCGUUUACUCUUGGUAUACUUAUAAUAAGGCUCACAGAAAAAGUACCACACUUCUUCCUCAGACUGAAUGUCAGAAUGCCCUGCAUCGCAACAAAAGAUUCCAUUAACUUCUGAAUUCUAGUUACUGAACUAAUUAAUUAAUCUUAAACAGACAUCGUGUAGAGUACUUGGUUUACACGAUUACUUACAGGGUAGCUCCCAGGGCUCAAAGCUGUAGAGAUCGAUUUCCUUGAUCGUACGGACGGAGAAACCUGCAGGGUCACGUCUCUUCAUCGUCAGGAGAAGAAUAAUUUCUUCAUCAGUUGGGUGGAAUCUGAACCCCACGAGACUGUCCAUUAAUUUCUGAUUCAACACACGGCAGGAGAAACGUAGAACAAGAAUGAGAGAGUAAGAGCUUCUUCUAUCCAAUUUGGUUUGUGAAAUCUAGAAAGAGUCAGUGGUCAAUGAGCCGAGGAUCCGUGGAUGUGUUUAUAUAUGCAGCAAAAACGCUUGCUUAAUUUUGAAGCGAUGUGCUACUGGGUAUGAUCUUUCUAAAAUGUAGAAUAGUAUUUUUCAAAAAAAUUGAAAUUAAUAAUUUUUUUUUUUACAACUUUAGUUCUUUUAAUAAGUAUCAUUGAAAGCAAUAAAGUUGGCCGAGAGCAUAAUAACAAGUGGCAUCGUGUUUAAAUACAAUAAGUUAAAUCGGAAUUAAGGACAAAAUUACGUUGCCCCUACGUACCAAACACUUAAUUUUGAUAUUUUCUUCGGCAGCCAUAUUAUUUUUUAUAAAUAAUGAAAAUUAUAAAUUUAAAAAUCUUAUAUAAUAAACUCCAAUUAAAAUAUAAUAAUUUAAAAAUUCUAAAAAAUUUAUUUGACAUUUUCUUCGGCAGCCACUGCUAUUUUAAAAUUUUUAAAAAAAUUUAUUAUCUAUGUUUCCUUCUCAAUCAACCCAUCCUUUUUUAAAUUUUAAUUUAUUCAUUCUCAAAUGUAUAAUUCUUAUAAAAUAUAAAAAAAUAGAGAAAUUUUUAAUCACAUAAAUUAGAUUAAUUUCUUAAACACAAAACCUCAUAAAAAUAAUGCUUGCAUUCUCUUAAAAAAUAUCUAUUGUGUUUAUAUUUUCUUUUUUACCAAUGUAAUAAGAAAGGAGCUGCAUCUUACAUUCUAUAAUAAGAUAUAAACAAUUAGAACCUAUUCAAUACAGUUAAAGAUGGUGGGAUAGACUUAUUUUACUAAAAUUUAAUCAUAAUAUAGUGUUUGACAUAAAUAAGUAAACUAAAAAUAAUACAGCUUCGACCUACCAAAUUAUUAUGUGAUAAUGAUAUUUUUACCUUAAAGAGACGUCUAGGAUAAAUUUUUUACAGUAAAAUUUUUAUCUUAUGUUAACAACACGAGAUAAAAAGAUUACAUUAGAAGCCUUAAAACUUAGUUAAUCUUAAUUUUUUUGGAAAGAUAAUUCUCCCAUAAUCUAUUAAUUUAAGUUAUUAUUCACUCUUUACCAUUUUAAAUUUAAGUUUCUUUCUUUACAACUUUAAAUUUAAGUAAUAGAAUAAAUAUUAUACAAUUUAUUUGUUUUCACAUUAAGUAAAUAAUUGAGAUUAUAUUAUUAUCUCGGUUCCAUACAUGUGAUAAGGUAUGAGUAAUUUUCUAUAAUUUCAAAUUUGCAUGUAGAAAUCUAUUAUUUGAACAUAGCAUUUAUAAACUCUAUAAUGAAACUUAAAUUACCGUUCAAGUACUUAUUUAAUACUUAUUUAUUUUUCAUUCUAAUAUUGUCAUAAUUUUAUAUAAAACUUUGCUCAAUCUUGUAUUAAACUAAAUAUAAGAUACCAAUAUUGUAAUCCAAUUGGUAUUUUAAAUAAAUGGAUGUGAAGAGUAUUUUAGCAAGUUAAAAUAAUCCAUCCAUAUUUUUAAGACUUAAUUAUGUUCAUUUACUAAAUUACCCUUGAUCCAAAUAAAGAUAAUAGAAUAUUUUAAUGAACUUAUGUGUAAAAAUUUUGAAAACUAACAUUUCCUUAUAAUUUUCAGAAAAGAUGAGAGGCUGCGACGUUAAUAAUCAAGUAAUUAAAUCCUUACCGUUGGAAUAGCUUUUGAGAUGAGAAUAUUUCCAUCCCAUUAUUUUUAUAAAUCUACCCCACUUUUAAAAUAUAAUUAUGAUAAGUUCACAACAUUCUUAAGAAAUACAAAUUAAUAAAAAUUUUAUACAGUUAAUCAAUUAAAUCUUUCUAUUAAAUUUUUUCUUAGGUUUUUUACCAUCUUUGAUCAUAAAUUUUAAUAUAAAUUUUAUUUUACUAUUUUAUUAUUAUGAUAUAAAAAGAAAAAAAUUACUCUAAUAAAACAUGAGUUAUUGUAUCUAAUAAUUUAGGUAUUUAAUUUUGCGACUUAUAAUCUAAUAUUUUUAAAUAAAACCUAAUUUUUAUUUAACUACCCUUACAUGUACAUAACAUAAAUUUAACAGUCUAAUAAUUUAUAUGAGAAUUGUGCCAUAAAGACACUAUGUUAAUUUAAUUAAAAAAUAAUAAUCAUACUAAUAAAAAAUAGUAUUAGAAAUAAUGAGUUUGAUAUAAAUUAGAAAAAAAAUUGAAGUAAAAUAAAUUCUUGAUAAUUUUAUUUUAUAAGGUUAAAUAAGUCAAUUUAAACUUACGUCAAAGCAAUCUUUGUAAUCAAAUAUUCUAAAAAAAUCUAACUCAAAAAAAAUGAACUAAGAUAAAUUUAAUUAAUUAAUUCUCCAAAGUUCUUAAUUUAAAAAUUUUAAAAAUAAUGUGUAACUUUUAUAAUUAUUUUUUGAAAAUAGGGUGGAUUUACAAAAAAUGUGGGGUGGAAAUAUCAUCACUCUAGCUUUUACAACUCUUGUGUUGAAUCUAAUGAAUAGAUUACAAAAAGACAAGAAAAUAAGGUAUCAAAUUACGGUUGCAUAAUAGCUGGACCCAAUUUUAAGUACAACACUUAAAUUUGUUAUGGAAGAACCUAAGACUUUAAUCAGGGGCGGCUCAAUUAUACUUUAAGUCUUAGGUAAAUUGUCUGAUUAGGCAUUCUAAAAAAUUUGAGGUGAAAUGUAUAUUUUAAUUUUAUUUUUUAAAAUCAAUUUCUCUAGCUUUUGAGAUGUAAAAUUAUUAAUCAAAGUUUUUAUAUUCUAAUUUUAUUAAUAUAUCUCCCUCAAUAGACAAUAUAAUUAACCUAUUUAAUUUUUUCUAUGACAUAAUUAAUCUUAAAUAAAUUUUUAUCAAUAGCUCUUUUUUUAGAUUAAAGUUAACUUUUCUAUUUUUCACUUUUUUUUAUCCUAAUGCAUUUUUUUAGUAGACAUUUUUUUUCUAGUGAAAUAAGAUUAAUUAAACAAAUAAUUAUACUUAGAUAAUUACAAGAAAACAACCUAUGGACACAAUAAUAUUUUUAAAAAGAAACAAAAAUAACUGAAUAACAUAAUGAAACUUUAACUUUUGAUGGUUUGAGGCUUUGAGUAGCGAAAAGUAAAACAAUUAAUUUUUUUUCCCUUAAGUGAAAAUAAGGUAGAAACAGUAGUUUUUCCACAAAAACAAUGUGUUUUGUUUUAUUGAAAAAUGAUAUUAAUAGAUAAUAAUUUAAAAAAAUAUGUGGUUUCUAUAGAGUUUUAGAUGAAAUAUAUAGAGGAAAUAAAUGAGAUUAAAAUUAUUAAUUAUAAUGUUAAAAGAGAACUUUGUAAGGAUUUAGUAAUUUGUUUGUGGAAAAUAUAAUUAUAAAAUAAUAAUAAAUUAAUAAUUAAUAAAUAUAAUUUAGACCAAUAUUUUUAUAAAAGCAGUACCAACAUAUAUAAAAAAGGUGAACUAUCAAUACUAUCGAUUAUUUACAAUUAAAAGAAACAAAAUUCAACAUAACUAUGAUCUAACAAAGUCCAAUCGGGAAAAAAAAACUCAACAUAGUGCUAACAAAUAAAACACAAUAUUAUCACCAGAUCAUAAUAGAAAAACUCAAAAGUAAAUAUCUGGGAAUUUAAUGAACCAAUAAGUAAAAUAAAAUAAAAUAAGUGAAGCAAUAUUACUUGUAGAUAUUACAUACGACAGAGAAAAGCAUCCAAGUGCCCUAAAGAACUAACUCUCAAAGAGCACAAAGUUUGGAUUACAAUACACCAUAAGUGAAGCUAUAUUACGACAUCCGUAAUAAUCUAAUACCCUCCUUGAGGAUUUGAUGGUCCUUAACAUAUAUGCCACUGAAGUACUAUUAAUAGUCAAAGAGUACAUCUAUCCAUUCAAUGAAGGAUUCGGUUCCAGUGUUCGCGUCACUGCCACCCUCCAUGUAAACUCCUUCAUCUGACUUUGAUGUGAAGAAGUCAGGAGUGGUCUCUACAGUUUCCUCAGGAGAGUAUUCAGUCUGAAAAUCCCUCCGUGAAUUGAACUGGCCAACGACCUGCUCACCGUCCAAUUGAGAAUUCAAUAAACCGCUACCAUAACUAGAACCAUUAUAAUCUGAUGAUUCCUGUUCUGGAUAAUCUGAUGACUGCAGAGCCCAGACAGAGGCGUCAUUCCGUGCAUCAUAGCCAUCACCCCGUCGAUUGAGUUCUGCAAGCCGUCGAGUUUCUGCCUCAACAGAAUCUUCGACGAUUUUUUCUGCAACAUGAUUUCUGUAAUAAGAAAUCGAAUGGUCCCUUACCUGAAGUUCAGGGACCAAAACAAUAUUUCCUGCAAUAGAAACCAAAUCUACUUUCUCUGCAACAUGAUUUCUAUUAGUAUCUUCUGCAACAUGACUUUUUUUAAAAGUUAAAUUUUGACAAGAUUGAUCACCAUCGCUGGUGGAAACACCAAGCUUCUUCUCCCGCUUUCUCUUAGUGGAAACAACACCAAGCGUCU